ACAAAGUUUGGUGGUUCUUAAAAAAUGAAGUUGCUGGAGCCGUUUUUUGCCCUCCAAAUAGUCAAAAAACGACUGAGAUGCUCUUACAGAAGUUACUGAGUGAACAAAACCAGUGUACCCCAAAUGGCUAGGAUUGUCAGGUAAUAGUACUGAAGCAUGUUAACCAGAAACAUGUAAAGAUACCCUAAACAGUUCAAGAGUGUCCACGUAUGAUUCACUCUAGACUGUUGACCGGGUCUUGGCCCAUUCCUCACACACAACUUUUCGACAAACUUUAUUCAAGCCCUACAAUAAGCCUACUAGACGGUAAGCAAAGUCGACCAAGUCACCUUCACUGAGAUCAACCCAAAACCAGUCUUUAUCUCUCGAGUAUCAAGUCCAUGCGUGUCUGCCUUGAAGGAACAACAUCGUUCCACUGAACCAGAUGGCCCCGAGGCCACCUUGAACUUCAAAACCAGAGUGGAACCAUCCACUACAGCAACCACAGACCUCUUUAAAUGACGUGACUCGCCAAUUGUACCAUUGAACAGCCGAAUUCCUUCGUUAUAAUCACCGAUAAAACAACGCAAGCAUAGAUCAAAGCUGCUCUGCACCUCUAACACAACAACUUCAAUAUUCGCCAUGACUGCGUCAUCGACACGUGCUAUGGUUAAGUCAACCGCACCACAGUCGCCUUGGAUGCGAUUUUUCAAUGCACAAUUCCAUGGGCCCAGGUCGUCUAUGUCUGUUACACCAUCAAUCAGCUGGUAAUCAUCCCUUUCUUCCUCACCUACCUUGAUCCGCAUGUCAUAUUCCACUAGAAUAGUGGAAAUCAAAUCUAUCCCUCGCUUAGGGCCAGCCAUGUCGAUGAGAGAACCCUACAAAUUUGUUACUGUUUAGUAGCUCUUCAUAUGGAAGUAAGAAACAACUAAAGCUUUAUACUACCUCUGUAAGACGUUUUGGCAAUUCAAAUUGAACUACCAAAACACUUAUUAUACUCCCUCCGUCCGGAAAUACUUGUCGGAGAAAUGGAUGAAUCUAGACGUAUUUUAGUUAUAGAUACAUCUAAUUUUAUCCAUUUCUCCGACAAGUAUUUCGGGACGGAGGGAGUAUUUAGGAACAGAGGGUGUGCUUCUCUAAGCUGUUUUACUAGCAAUAUUAAUUUUGUGAUACUUUACAAUUGCUGACCAACAUCUUUGCCACAUAUCAAACUGACUGGUUACAUAGUGUACACCAGUGUUUGGGAGGGGAAAUUGGCCCUCGGUAUUUAUUUGACAUUGUUCAGAUCCCAAUUUUUACAUAAGCAUGUCGAAAUGAGAAGAGAAAACAAAAUGACUUAAUAGUGAUGCAAUGAUUCAUGCUGGUGUGUUAAGUAGAAACUAAGAGCCCGAACUAUUCUAUUUGAUUUUGUUUAGAAUACAUGAUAUACUCACUCAGUUCCAUAAUUUAUAAGUUUCUCAUAGUAAAUCACCUUUCCACAAUAUAAACUUGGUGUAAUGGUGGCCUAAACAAUCCAAACUACCAUUCUGCUAGGUCUGUACUGAUAAAUCACAAGACUUGAGAGUGCUUGCUGUUCCAUACAUACACUAGGUUUGGCCUUACAAUGUGAAAUGAAUAGAUUUGACAUAAGGCAGGUAUUUGACACCCCCCCCCAUUCCAUACUGUAUAAAUCAUUUCCUCAGAUGGUUUCGCCCACACUGCAACAUCCACCUAAUGUGAGAACUUCCCCAGUGGGUACUUUAUACCAUAUGGAAUGCUUCAAGGGGACAAAUACAUUGUUUUAUACUUGAGGGGGUUAUUAAGUAGACUUAUUGCUUGAAAUAAUCGUAGGUAAGUAUGGAUUUGCACCUGCUUCACAAUGAUGGGAUCAUCCCUGCUUAUAUUAACAACAUAAUUGCGCAAUGUAUCCAGAUAAUCUCGCACUGCUAUGUAUCCAUACAACUCUACUGGGCCAAGAUCCACAGUAAGUUCAGCCAACUUUAAUGAGAAAAUUUGUAACACGCGAUUAGGUAGAUGCCGAAUGCAUUCUCCAUUGCGGAUGUCGCAAUCUGUGGGAUCUGGUAGCCGAGCUUCAUAAAAAAAGUAAAGAAAUAAGUUAAAUUGUAAUGGAAAAUAAUACAGGAAAAAAAUAGUCGUCAUACAAAAAGUAAGCGUGCCACUAGAGGAUUCCAUGGCCCUAUUGGAAGUUUCCUUUUCAUCCAAAUGGAAAUUAUCGAUGUUCUUUUUACUAUGAAUUUCACUCCAUCAAAGGUUUUUGUUUUAGGAAACCCAAAGAAAAAGCGGGUAACAUUUCAUCAUGUCAGCAAGUAAAGGUCCAUUUCGCCCUCCCAGAUUAUUUCAUAACCCCCUAAAUUUAUUUAUUUGUUAUGUCUACCCCAAGAAUUACUAAAACAAGUCAAUUCAGCCCUUGAUGAAAAAUAUUCUAUUGUUUCACUUUCUAGAAGUCUUGUUGUAAGUUAGUUUUUUUAUUUUGAUGGUAGAUAACAUCACAGUCUAUAUAAUAAAAAUCAUAAUUUUCCAUCCUGCAUACUUGGGAGCAACUAAACCUACUUCAAUGCUCAUGGUACAAAAAUAUGUGCUAGAAAUGCAAGUUUAUGAACAUAUUUCUGUACGGUACAUGGUGACAACAAAAAGGAUAAAAACCAGUCAUGUGGCGAACUGAGCUGGGGGGUGGGUUGGUGGAGGCCCAGGAUAACCAAACUAAGGUAAUGCAGGAAUCUGAAGAAUUUCCUCUCCUACCUUUGCAAAACCUAACAAAUGCAACUCCUGAAUGCCAAUGCAUCUACAUUUAACUUGUAAAAGUAAGGAAAGUAAAGAAAAAAAGUCAGAUGAUUUCAACUGAGAACACAUCAGUUGACACUAUAGCUUAAAAAGGUGCUUGUAACAAAUUGAAAUAGGUAAAGAGAGAUUAUUUACUUACUCUCACUAGGGUCAUCAACAUUAUAAUCCCUUUUCCACAAAUGAGUGUUCCUGUAUAAAGAACCAUCACGGUGUGUGCUUUUUGGAAGAAUUCCCAGGUCAAGUACAUCAUCAUCUUCUUCGGCAUCGCUUGCUACCAAUGCGCUCCUUCUAUUGGUUGCACUCCUUCCGUUUUCAUCACAACCAGAGAUGUCCACAAUAUUCGAAGAUGCAUCAUGUUUGCCGGCUAUAGUAUUCAUAUCUUGCAAGGUUGUCCCACUAGUCAUGCUCCGAGAUCCAGGUGGAAAUCUAUCACCAAAGAGAAUAAAGAGCAAAUCUGAGCACCCGACAGAAAAUUCAAUUCUUUUUCGGUUCCCCUUUUAUAAUCAUCGGAUUAACUAUAAGACCCCACACCCCCUGCCUUAUUUACAAAAAUCAACACAUAAGGAUAAUUAAAAGGGAUUUUUCUCGAAUACGCUCAGAUAAUUAAAAGGGGUAAAAAACCACAGUUGGUCAGAAUCCAGAUCCAAAACUAUAAUAAGAAACUAAAGGCGAAAAUUUUGGCAUCAGAUGAUGAGAGCAUACCGGGAAACACGACGGACAGGUAGAUCUGGAACCAUCAUGAGAGGGAAACCUCGCCGUGCAAGCGGUGGUGGCGACCAGUAAGGCGGGGCAGAGGCCAUGAAAGAGAGGAGAGGUCGCGAGGUAGAGGAGAGGCGGCGCAGUGGGUCAUGAGAGAUGGCGACGCCAGGUCGCCGGAGGAGACGAAAAAUCUGACGGAGGAUUGGCAUCUGAGCGCGCGGCGGCGGGAGAGGUGGGGUGUGCCGGUGUGGAGAAUGGGGAGGGGAAAGGGCUGAACGCACGGGGCCGGUCUUCUUUACUCUCUUAUAUCAGAUUUUCGCUUUUGCAGAAAACCCCAGAUAAUUAUUGAUAAUCAACCCACAGGACAAUUUCAAGUCAGAUUUUCGUUUUGUUAGGAAAUUCCAUGAUAGUUGGGUUAAUCAACAUGCGGUACAUAUCAAAUGCUUUUUUAAAAGUAUCCGUACCUUUUAAACCAUGAUUUCAAAUUUAAUAUGUUAUAUACAAUUUAAUUAGAAAAACUAAUCAUCAACCCGUGCACCAGCACGGGCUAGAACGUUUGUUGUCACUGUAUUUUGUGUUGUUGGUCAAGGAUAUUUGUACUUGCUACUUUUGUACCAAAUAAUGUCUAAAUUUAUUUUUCACAUAUUAGUUACGUAUAGGGAUACAUAUUUUUUUGAUGAUGUUUUAAUUGUUAGACAAAAUGAUAAAUCCUCAAAGUCUUGCAAAUCCAAAAUGCAAUCAUAGUCUUAUAAUUUUUUGAACAAACAUGCAAUUUUAUCUACUAAGAUCGGAAUAUACAAUUCAUAUAAAUAGACGCGUGUAUAUGGAAAGCUUAAAACCAAAUUCAAUAAUUGAUAUUUCUCUUUAAAAAAUACAAUAAUGCAACCGCAAGUUCGGGGACCCAUAAAAGCAAAAUACUGCUUCACCGUAUUUUAGAACAAUAAUGAACAUGUAAAAAACAGAAUGGAGUUGAAUAUCCCAUGUUGAUUCCUAUACAUAACAAAAAGUAAGUAGUAAAACAUUAUCGUCCAAACAAAAUGUUAAUUUACAAUGCUUUGGCUUUCAAGGUUAAUCAUCCAGUGCAUUGCACAUUUCAGAAUUAACAUCCUCUACAAAGCAACAUAGCUUGGCAAAUAUGAAUGCAAAUAUCAAGGAUUACCGCAAUGCAGAAUUAUGGAACAAAAAUUGUACGCCAGAAUAUGAAACUUAACACCGAAAAAUCCCCCAACUAAGAGACAGUUAACCCCAUAUUAUAGUACAUCUUGGAAUGUAAUAUUAGUACCCCUGCCCAGGUAUUCUGUAGUACUACCCAGCAUAACCAAGAUAAAUAUGAAGGAUGGUUGGACACCAAAGAUAAUGCCUUCAAUAUUUUGUUUAGAAUGCUAGUGACUUGUUUUCUGGAAAUAACGCUACAGGCUAACUGCAAUAGAAAAAAACAGGAUUGUCACUGGGCCUAUUUCAAUUUAAUAUAUUAUCACACCAUCGUCACCAAAAGAAAUUAGAAAGUCAUAUAUUCAAAGGCAUGCUUCUAACCACAUUAUCAAGAGAAACUAAUUCAUAGUACACAUAUUUACGGUUUACGACUUUUUCCAAGAAAUAAUAAGACAAUGAUUUGAAAGGUCGUAACAUUCACGGUGUAUAAAAUUAUGGAAAACGUAUUUCAACACGAAAGUUCCAUCAAACAUAUUGUUUAGACAUUAUGUAUGAUUUCUAAUAUAUGGGGCACAAUCGAGUUAAUCACACAACAUCUAAGCAUUGGUAUGCCAUAGGACUGAAACUUCAGCAAUUUGAAGAAAACAAAGCAAGGAAUCUUUGGACAAUAACUUGGAAGUAAUUAAGGGAACACAAAAAUAUAUUUUUGGACACAUAGCGAUGUUCUUUCACACAAAAAAAAAAUGCUGAAGCUCGUUGAUAAAAUGAACACAUGGUUGGAUACUCGUCAAUCCUCCAUCCUACCUUUUUUUGUUUCCCAAACGGAAUUAAUAUUUAGUACCACAUAAUAGUAGGACUUUUAAAAAAAACUCAUGGUAAGUUCGGUGAUCCAUCUUCAAAAUUUUAAUCAUAUUUGAUAUAUCAGUAGGUGACGGGUUAUCUAUAAUCUCUAAAUAGUUCAUCCCCACUAUCCUAUUUCUCUUAACAUGCAGUCUAUCCACCCCAUCUAAACAUGCAACCAUUCCAUGUAAGCACCGAUGCCACAUCAGCAACUUUUAUGAAACGCACACGCAUACAUGUACAGAAUAGCAGCUUUAUCUCCAUUAUUUCAUGAAGCAGGCGGAGAGGUCCCACAUGUGAAAUGAUCUUCCAUGUGAUAGAACAACUCUUCCUCUCCCAAUAACCUCCCUAUAUUCAAUUGGAGCUUACAUACCUAUUAGAGCAACUCCACUCGUUCGGCCCCCAAGCGCAGCGGCCGGCGCUAUUUCGGGCCAUCGCCCGACACUUUUUAGGCACUGGGGGCGAUCUAGGUCCCAGUCACGACCCCAGGGGCCGGCCCCAAGCCAUUUAAAUUCAAACAUGACAUUUUUCGCUACCAAAAAAUGACACAAGUCCGGCGAUCACCAUGCCACAGGUCGGCGACCAAGUAACUUGAAAGUUUGGUGUUCAAAAAGAAGGACGCGUAGGCAAUGCAUCAAACAUGGGCGACCUGUGCGUUCCUGACAUGUUUGGCUCGUGAAAUCUUAAUAGUGGUGGGGUUGGUAGGCGUGGUGGCGAUCACCCAACUCGUCCAUUUUUCUUUUGCAUGCCUCCUCAUUUGGUGGAUGUGUGACGACCAUCGGGACACGGUUGCUUCGACCACUCUCCUACGACAGUGUAACUGGAUGAAUUACUAAUUAUAGCGCAUAAAUCCUCUUACACAAGUAUAAUCAGGCAUGAAUGUCCCUUUAUUACGAAGUUUAUUCCCUUUGAUUAUUUUAGCACUUAUGUUAAAAAAAUUGAAAGCCUGGACAGUUAAAAAAAUGUGAACAUUUAUUUCCAUAUAAUUAAAAAAACGAAAAAAACUUAGAAACGCGAAUAGUUAUUUAAGUUCGAAAAAAUAUGUUUAAACGAUGAACAUUUUAUAAAAACAUAAAAUUAUUAAUUUUUUUAAAAGGGGGACAUUCAGAAAAAUAUUAAAAAUGUUUUCUUAGACGCAAACAUUAUUUUGUUUUUGUGAACUUUUCAAUAAAAAGAAAUAUUUUUUUGAAUAUGGAACAUUUUAUAAAAUAUUAACUUUAUAAAAAAAUCUCGAAAAAUUCUAAAACAGAAUCUUUUUUAAAUGGCAACAUUUUUGAAAUGUUGAAGAAAUUCCGAAACUAGUUUUUUUUAAGUUUCUAAUAUUUUUCAAAACAAGAAUAAAAUUUUAUAAUGCUGAUUUUUUGAAUAUUUGAACAAAAAAUUAAAUUGUGAAUAUAUUUUGUAUAUUUUUAUUUCACGGUAAAAUAAAAAAAGUGAAAAGGAAAACGAAACACAGGUAUAAAAAUUUAGUUUAAAUGGCCCGGCCCAGUCAUGGGCGACCUGUGCGUUCCUUGAACUAUUUGUUGGUGUGUGCGACAAAUAAGGUCUUUUUAACGCCUGGGCAGGAUAAUUACUAGGUUGGCUUUGUUGGGCUGGGGUGCGCCCGGCCCAAUUGCGGAAUUCUGGAGAAACUUUUUUGUCUUUUCUAGUAGAUGCACAAAAAUUUAGUACCACCUCGGAUAAAAAAAAAUUUCAACGGUGAAUGGAUGAAAAUAUUGGAGAAACGCACCUUGUUUUAUUAGUAGGUAUAGAUUUUCACUUUUGCAGAAAACCCCAAGUAAUUAUUGAUAAUCAACCCACAUGACAGUUUUAAGUCAGAUUUUCGUUUUGUUAGGAAACUAGCGGUGUGACCCGCGCAUUUGCGCGGCUAGAUUAGUUACACAUUGUUAUGAUUAUUUCUUUAUUUGUAUUUUAUUUAUUUUUCUAAUUGCAAAAUGUUUAUUUUUAUUUAUUUAUAAUAGAAUUUCUAAAUGUUAUAAAAUUAUAUAGCCAUAUUACCACACGACUAUGAAUUAUUUGUCCCACAUAUAUUAGCACAUGACUAUACAAUUUUUGUUUUACAUGAUUUACUGUUUUAUCUUAUUCAGGUACACAACUGAACAAUCUAUUAAGUCAUCAAUAGUGAUGUUUCUGUUUAAGAAUGGAAGUUAAAGAUCCCGUGGGUUGCCAUGCAAAAACAACACUUUCAUACUAAUAUGUAAGUUCCAGUUUACACUCUAGCUCCCAUCGUUAGCUAGGAUUAAGUAGAGUUCUUUUCUUUAAUCUAUCUCAUCAUUAGACAUANNNNNNNNNNGGGGGCAUUAUUUAUUUUAAUUGUUUGUCACUUGUGCAUAUGAGGUAAUACCAUCCCUCCAUUGUACAUUUUUGCACAAAAAAACAUAAAAUGGCACAAUAUGUGGCUUCCCUAUUGUUUUGGCUAUUAAAAACAUAUUGUCAUACUUUCCUUUGUGCUCACUCUUGGAGUGCCUUGUUCUUUCUAGUCAUUUUCAUGUCUGUUUUAGGUCGAUUUAUGCCGUUAGAAUAUUAGCAUGAUUUCAAUUUGCGAGGACACCGUUUUUUGUGUCAUGUAAUUAAUACACUUAUUGAGCGCACGCAUAGUAUAUUGUCAUUGUUUUUAAUCACCCAAUUUCAUCUAUCUCAUAUACUAAGUGAUUUUUGUCCAUUUAAUACUUGAGGUAUAAGAUGUCGCCUCUCCACCACCUGAAUUGUGUGAAGCCUCGGAGUAACCAAUGGUUCACACACGUAUAGUGUUGUCCAUACAAUGUGUACUCAACAACUAUUUUAACCUUACCUCUAUGCAUUUAUCCAUUUUUAAGAAACCCAUGCAUGUUGAUAGAUAUCACCCGAGAGAUGUUCCCCUAUUGUUGGUCCAAUAACUAUAUAUAUUGCAUGCUGCCAAAUCCAGAUUAGACUGUCAAAUUUAUUUCAGUUUCACCCAAGACACUAAAACUUGGGAUCGCUAUUUCUCUAACAAACCCGUACUGCUCCUUUAUUAACUGUUGUUCUGAUCCGACUCAAAUUUUCUAACUAACUUGUACUACUCUUUAUUUACUAUUGUUCAGAUCCGACUCAUAUUUUCUUUUCUUCGUGCUUUAACAACCAUACAUAAUCUAAAGCGUUAAAAUUAUUAAAUCAAUGAUAAAGUAACGAUGCAAUCUAUUUGUUCGUUGUUUUAAUUACGAAAUAAAUUAGAUAUAUAUUCUGGGCUUUUUUUGCGGGAAUAUAUAUCAAACGUUAGCUUCAUUUAUGUGGGUCGCAUGUAUAUUAAGUUGCUUUUUUCCUUAUCCCAAAUUUCAUAACGUAUAAUGUAUAUUAAAAAUUUAAAUGACGCAAGAGGUUCAUAUAUAAAUUUGAUUGUAUUGUUUGUCCACCUAAUAGUAUAUGUAUCUAGUAUGUUUAUUUUGAACAAUCUGACUCAAAACCUCGAUCAUCUGUGAUGAACCACAUUCUUGUAGAUUCCAACUUAAAAUGAUAAAUUCAGUGGCUUUGUUUGUACAGGUUGAAUGUUUGUUUGCUUGGCCCGAAUAUUAUUUCGGCGGCGUUGAUCACCAAUUCCUUUUUUGGGAAUUGUAUGUAUAUUUUUAGAUGAAUUGCAUGCAUAUUCUUUCUGAAAGACUUGCACCUAUAUUUUCUUGGAAAGACCCACCUGUACAUUUUUUAUAUGUUCAUGACGGAUUCGGCUUGCCUGCUUCCUUUCCAUGCUCCCAUCCGUGCUCCCACCUCAUCCAACGGUUGUAUUUUUUCCUUUUUUCUUUCUAAUCUAAUCAUCUCCCCCCCUUGAUUUUAAGGGGGUGGGGCCGGGCUUUAUUUUGUUCCAAUCAAAUCAAGUCACGUAUGCGGGAGCACGGAUGGGCACAUGGAAGGGGAGCAGGCAAGUCUCGUCCGUUCAUGACUGUUUUUUUAAUAUCUACGCAUGACUCAAGUUGUCUGAUGUUGGAUGCAUGUUUUUGUAAAGACUUGCACGUAGUUUUUUCACAUUGGUACAGGACCUAGAUGGGCAAGUGCGCUUGUUGUAGAUUGCUUGGACUCACCCAAGCGGCAUGUACGUAGAUGUCCUAUGCUUGUGCGUGUCAUGGCCGACGUAGGCCCCCCUUCUUUUCUCUUUGUUUCAGGAAACUAACCUAGUCGUUUGUGUCCGACGAUAAAUUAACUUUGUAUACGUGAUAGGUUGUACAUGCAAGGUAUCGGAAUUGCUUUUUUAUUUUUGACCGACCCGUACAGCUUCUUCAUUAAAUAUUGCUUUGAUCAGACUGAUAUUUCCUUUUCCUUGUUCUUUACGCCCGAACAUAUUAUCUCCAGCGUGACACAACGUACAUAACAAUAUUGUACAUUCCAUGAUAGUUGGGUUAAUCAACCUGCAGUACAUAUAAAAUGUUUUUUUUAGCAUCAGUACAAACACAAGCGCUCAUAUACACGUGUAUACACUCAUCCCUAUGAACGCACACACGCACACCCUACCCCUAUGAGCACCUCCGAGAGACUGAGCCGCCAUAUCAUCUUGAGAUUUACGAAGUCACCGUAGGCGCCUAGUCGUCGACGGGAACGUCUCCUCCCACUGAAAGCGCAUUGCCGGAAAUCCUGAAAUAAAUCCAGGAUUAAUGCGAGCACCAGGCUUUGAACCCUGGUGGGUUGGGGAUACCACUGUCCACCUAACCAACUCAACCACAGGUGUUUUCUUAAAAGUAUCCGUAUCUUUUAAACUGUGACUUCAAAUUUAAUAACAACAACAACAACAACAAAGCCUUUAGUCCCAAGCAAGUUGGGGUAGGCUAGAGGUGAAACCCAUAAGAUCUCGCAACCAACUCAUGGCUCUGGCACAUGGAUAGCAAGCUUCCACGCACCUCUGUCCAUAGCUAGCUCUUUGUCGAUACUCCAAUCCUUCAGGUCUCUCUUAACGGACUCCUCCCAUGUCAAAAUCGGUCGACCCCGCCCUCUCUUGACAUUCUCCGCACGCUUUAGCCGUCCGCUAUGCACUGGAGCUUCUGGAGGCCUGCGCUGAAUAUGCCCAAACCAUCUCAAACGAUGUUGGACAAGCUUCUCCUCAAUUGGUGCUACCCCAACUCUAUCUCGUAUAUCAUCAUUCCGGACUCAAUCCUUCCUCGUGUGGCCACACAUCCAUCUCAACAUACGCAUCUCCGCCACACCUAACUGUUGAACAUGUCGCCUUUUAGUCGGCCAACACUCCGCGCCAUACAACAUUGCGGGUCGAACCGCCGUCCUGUAGAACUUGCCUUUUAGCUUUUGUGGCACUCUCUUGUCACAGAGAAUGCCAGAAGCUUGGCGCCACUUCAUCCAUCCGGCUUUGAUUCGAUGGUUCACAUCUUCAUCAAUACCCCCAUCCUCCUGCAACAUUGACCCCAAAUACCGAAAGGUGUCCUUCCGAGGUACCACCUGGCCAUCAAGGCUAACCUCCUCCUCCUCACAGCUAGUAGUACUAAAACCGCACAUCAUGUACUCGGUUUUAGUUCUACUAAGCCUAAACCCUUUCGAUUCCAAGGUUUGUCUCCAUAACUCUAACUUCCUAUUUAUCCCCGUCCGACUAUCGUCAACUAGCACCACAUCAUCCGCAAAGAGCAUACACCAUGGGAUAUCUCCUUGUAUACCCCUUGUGACCUCAUCCAUCACCAAUGCAAAAAGAUAAGGGCUCAAAGCUGACCCCUGAUGCAGUCCUAUCUUAAUCGGGAAGUCAUCGGUGUCGACAUCACUUGUUCGAACACUUGUCAAAACAUUAUUGUACAUGUCCUUGAUGAGGGUAAUGUACUUUGCUGGGACUUUGUGUUUCUCCAAGGCCCACCACAUGACAUUCCGCGGUAUCUUAUCAUAGGCCUUCUCCAAGUCAAUGAACACCAUAUGCAAGUCCUUCUUAUGCUCCCUAUAUCUCUCCAUAAGUUGUCGUACCAAGAAAAUGGCUUCCAUGGUCGACCUCCCAGGCAUGAAACCAAACUGAUUUUUGGUCACGCUUGUCAUUCUUCUUAAGCGGUGCUCAAUGACUCUCUCCCAUAGCUUCAUUGUAUGGCUCAUCAGCUUAAUUCCACGGUAAUUAGUACAACUCUGAACAUCUCCCUUGUUCUUGAAGAUUGGUACUAAUAUACUCCGUCUCCAUUCUUCUGGCAUCUUGUUUGCCCGAAAAAUGAGGUUGAAAAGCUUGGUUAGCCAUACUAUCGCUAUGUCCCCGAGACCUUUCCACACCUCAAUGGGGAUACAAUCAGGGCCCAUCGCCUUGCCUCCUUUCAUCCUUUUUAAAGCCUCCUUCACCUCAGACUCCUGGAUGCGCCGCACAAAACGCAUGCUGGUCUCAUCAAAGGAGUCAUUCAGUUCAAUGGUAGAACUCUCAUUCUCCCCAUUGAACAACUUGUCGAAGUACUCCCGCCAUCUAUGCUUAAUCUCUUCGUCCUUCACCAAGAGUUGGCCUGCUCCGUCCUUGAUGCAUUUGACUUGGCCAAUAUCCCUCGUCUUCCUCUCCCGGAUCUUAGCCAUCUUAUAGAUGUCCCUUUCACCUUCCUUCGUGCCUAACCGUUGGUAGAGGUCCUCAUAUGCCCGACCCCUUGCUUCACCAACAGCUCGCUUUGCGGCCUUCUUCGCCAUCUUGUACUUCUCUAUGUUGUCUGCACUCCUAUCCAGGUAUAGGCGUCUGAAGCAAUCUUUCUUCUCUUUAAGCGCCUUCUGGACAUCAUCAUUCCACCACCAGGUAUCCUUAUCUUCGCUUCUCCUUCCCCUGGACACUCCAAACUCCUCCGAGGCCACCUUACGAAUGCAAGUCGCCAUCUUCAUCCACACAUUGUCCGCAUCCCCUCCUUCCUCCCAAGGGCCCUCCUUAAAUACCCUCUCCUUGAACACCUGAGCUACCUCCCCCUUGAGCUUCCAUCACUUCGUUCUAGCGACCUUGGCACCCUUAUCCCGCUGGACACGAAUCCGAAAGCGGAAGUCAGCAACCACCAGCUUAUGCUGGGGUACAACACUCUCCCCAGGUAUCACCUUACAGUCUAGGCACGCACGCCUAUCUUCUCUUCUCGAGAGGAUGAAAUCAAUCUGGCUAGAGUGUUGGCCACUACUAAAAGUCACCAGAUGUGAUUCUCUCUUUCUAAAGAGGGUGUUAGCUACAAUCAUGUUGUAGGCUAGAGCAAAGCUUAAGACAUCUUCUCCUUCUUGAUUCCUGAUGCCAUAGCCAAAGCCCCCAUGCGCCCCUUCAAAACCUGUGUUAGAUGUACCCACGUGGCCAUUGAGGUCUCCUCCUAUGAAGAGCUUCUCACCAAUCGGUACACUCCUAACCAUGUCUUCCAAGCCUUCCCAGAACUCCCUCUUGGUGUUCUCAUUGUGGCCUACUUGCGGGGCAUAUGCGCUGAUAACAUUGAGAACCAAGUCCUCAGCUACCAGCUUGACCAGGAUAAUCUGGUCCCCACGUCUCCUGACGUCUACCACUCCAUACUUGAGGCUCUUGUUGAUCAAGAUGCCUACGCCAUUUCUGUUUGCAGCCGUCCCCGUGUACCACAGCUUGAAGCCGGUAUCCUCCACCUCCUUCGCCUUCUGUCCUCUCCAUUUGGUUUCUUGGACGCAAAGGAUAUCAACACCUCUCCUCACUGCUGCAUCAACUAGCUCCCGAAGCUUCCCUGUCAGAGACCCUACGUUCCAGCUACCUAAGCGAAUCCUCCUAGGCUCGGCUAGCUUCCUUACCCUUCGCACUCGUCGAGUCAAAUGCGAAGACCCUUGCUCAUUUUCCACUACAUCCGGGCGCCGAUGUAGCGCGCCACUAAGGAUGCGACGACCCGAUCCUCGCUCACUUGCCACCGUAUCCGGAUCAAGAUACGGCGCGCCACUUGGGGGGUGACGGCCCGGCCCUUGCCCAUUUUCCACCACACCCGGGUUUCGAUGUGGCGCGUCGCUGAGAGGGUUACGCCCCAACGAAAAUCUUUUGGGUUUCAUCUCCAUAAGAGUGGCUGAGUUUUUACGUUGGCUCGCCAAGCCUAUCACAACCCUCCUCCUUUACCCGGGAUUGGGACCGGCUAUGUUGAGACAACAUAGGCGGAGUUGUGACUUCAAAUUUAAUAUGUUAUAUAAAAUUUGAUUAGAAAAACUAAUCAUCAACCCGUGCACCAGCACAGGCUAGAACGUUUGUUGUCACUGUACUUGCUACUUUUGUACAAAAUAGUGUCUAAAUUUAUUUUUCACAUAUUAGUUACAUAUAGGGACACAUAUUUUUUUGAUGAUGUUUUAAUUUUCAGACAAAAUGAUAAAUCCUCAAAGUCUUGCAAAGCCAAAAUGCAAUCAUAGUCUUAUAAUAUUUUGAACGAACAUGCAAUUUUAUCUACUAAGAUCGCAAUAUACAAUUCGUAUAAAUAGACGCAUGUAUAUUGAAAGCUUAAAACCAAAUUCAAUAAUUGAUAUUUCUCUUUAAAAAAUACAAUAAUGCAACCGCAAGUUCGGGGACCCAUAAAAGCAAAAUACUGCUUCACCAUAUUUUAGAACAAUAUAAUGAAUAUGUAAAAAAACAGAAUGGAGUUGAAUAUUCCAUGUUGAUUCCUAUACAUAACAAAAAGUAAGUAGUAAAACAUUAUCGUCCAAACAAAAUGUUAAUUUACAAUACUUUGGCUUUCAAGGUUAAUCAUCUAGUGCAUUGCACAUUUCAGAAUGAACAUCCUUUACAAAGCAACAUAGCUUGGCAAAUAUGCAUGCAAAUAUCAAGGAUUUCUGCAACGCGGAAUUAUGAAAAAAAACUGUACGCCAGAAUAUGAAACUUAACACCGAAAAAUCCCCCAACUAAGAGACAGUCUAACACUAAUAGAAAACAGGGUUUUGAUCCAGGCCUGAAGAGGGCAUUAAUCCCGGUUCUCAUACGAACCAGGACCAAUAGGAGCAUUAGUCCCAGUUCAUGAGGCCAGGGGGCGGCCGAGCCUCGGGGGCCAAUGGUCCCGGUUCGUGUGACCCCUUUGGUCCCGGUUCCAGACACGAACGGGGACCAAUGGGCCUUGCUCCUGGCCCACAACCUUUAGUCCCAGUUUGUGUCUGGAACCGGGACCAAAUAGAGGCCUAUAUAUACCUUGCCCGCGAGCAGAGCAGUGCACUCUUUGUUUUUUUAGCUAGCCGUGCGAGAGCUUUGUGGUGCUCUAGCUCACCUCCUAUGCACAUGAGGUGUUCGAUGAAAUACCCGAGCUACACUUUAUAAGCUUUCUCCUCUCGAAAUUCCUUGUCCCAACUCCAUUUUCCUCAAGAUUUGUCUAGGUUUGUGAUACGUCUCCAACGUAUCUAUAAUUUUUGAUUAUUCCAUGCUAUUAUAUUAUCCAUCUAGGAUGUUUUAUAUGCAUUUAUAUGCUAUUUUAUAUGAUUUUUGGGACUAACCUAUUAACCUAGAGCCUAGUGCCAGUUUCUGUUUUUUCCUUGUUUUUGAGUAUCACAGAAAAGGAAUACCAAAUGGAGUCCAAUUGACGUGCCAAUUUUUGAUGAUUUUUUAUGGACGAAAAGAAGCCCCCGGAGUAAAAGAGUUGGGCCAGAAGAGUGCCGGGCUGUCCACGAGGGUGGGGGGUGCGCCCUACCCCCCCUGGGCAUGGGCCCUAUCUCGUGGACGACUUGGAGACCCCCCUAACGUGAGACCGACGCCAAAAAUUCAUAUAAAUACAGAAACCUCCAGAACAUAACCUAGAUCGGGAGUUCCGCCGCCGCAAAGUCUCUGUAGCCACCAAAAAACCAAUCGGGACCCUGUUUCGGCACCCUGCCGGAGGGGGGAUCCCUCACCGAUAGACAUCUUCAUCAUCCCGGCGCUCUCCAUGACGAGGAGGGAGUAGUUCACCCUCGAGGCUGAGGGUAUGUACCAGUAGCUAUGUGUUUGAUCUCUCUCUCUCUCUCUCUCUCUCGUGUUCUUGAUUUGACACGAUCUUGAUGUAUCGCGAGCUUUGCUAUUAUAGUUGGAUCUUAUGAUGUUUCUCCCCCUCUACUCUCUUGUAAUGGAUUGAGUUUUCCCUUUGAAGUUAUCUUAUCGGAUUGAGUCUUUAAGGAUUUGAGAACACUUGAUGUAUGUCUUGCGUGGGAUACCCGUGGUGACAAUGGGGUAUUCUAUUGAUCUACUUGAUGUAUGUUUUGGUGAUCAACUUGCGGGUUCAGUGACCUUGGGAAUCUAUGCAUAGGGAUUGGCACACGUUUUCGUCUUGACUCUCCGGUAGAAACUUUGGGGCACUCUUUGAAGUACUUUGUGUUGGUUUGAAUAGAUGAAUCUGAGAUUGUGUGAUGCAUAUCGUAUAAUCAUACCCACGGAUACUUGAGGCGACAUUGGAGUAUCUAGGUGACAUUAGGGUUUUGGUUGAUUUGUGUCUUAAGGUGUUAUUCUAGUAUGAACUCUAGGAUAGAUCGAACGGAAAGAAUAACUUCGUGUUAUUUUACUAUGGACUCUUGAAUAGAUCGAUAAGAAAGGAUAACUUUGAGGUGGUUUCGUACCCUACAAUAAUCUCUUCGUUUGUUCUCCACUAUUAGUGACUUUGGAGUGACUCUUUGUUGCAUGUUGAGGGAUAGUUAUAUGAUCCAAUUGUGUUAUUAUUGUUGAGAGAACUUGCACUAUUGAAAGUAUGAACCCUAGGCCUUGUUUCAACGCAUUGCAAUACCGUUUUCGCUCACUUUUAUCAUUAGUUACCUUGCUGUUUUUAUAUUUUUAGAUUACAAAAACCUAUAUCUACCAUCCAUAUUGCACUUGUAUCACCAUCUCUUCGCCGAACUAGUGCACCUAUACAAUUUACCAUUGUAUUGGGUGUGUUGGGGACACAAAAGACUCUUUGUUAUUUGGUUGCAGGGUUGUUUGAGAGAGACCGUAUUCAUCCUAUGCCUCCCACGGAUUGAUAAACCUUAGGUCAUGCACUUGAGGGAAAUUUGCUACUGUCUUACAAACCUCUGCACUUGGAGGCCCAACAACGUCUACAAGAAGAAGGUUAUGUAGUAGACAUCAGUUUGGUGGUCCUUCCUGUCCCGUCCACGUCCUCACUACCGUCGAUCGCCCGCGCCGAUCUCGUCGCCGGCGCCACUGUGGUGAGCCUCUUGUUCUUAUCUUCUUUCUAAAAGAAAAAAAACUCUUACUUAUAUGAUUUAGAUUGCUACUUGUAUAAUUUUCUUACUUUUAUUAUUGUUUGAAUGUUUGUUAUUAUAUAGUGCGAUGGUUUUGGUAUUCGCCCCCGUCGGCCCUCGUCCUGUCUAUGAUUCGGAUGUGGUAUAUACUAUCUUUUAUAACUAUUUCUUUCAUUUAGUGUUUAUGACAAUUAUGCCGACCAACAUGACAUAGAUGUUUUAUGUAGGAGGUAUAUGGACCGAAAAUUCCAACUGACCCUCUUGUCGAGAGGUUAAAAUUUAGUUGAAAAGAAAACGAUUACUUGAAGAAAAAAUUGAAAAUAAUUGAGGAGGAGAAGAUGGCAUUGGAGUUGCAUGUUGCGGAUAUCAUCGAUGAUCACAAGAUCAAGAUGGAUAAAAUGCGCUUGAAGAUUAGAAAGAUUAAAAAAUAUGCCAUUCAUACUGAGGCUUGGUAUCAUUAUGCCGUUGGAUCAAUUGUUACCUUAGUUGCGAUUAUGAUCGCAUAUGUUGUUGCAUUGAAAUGUUUUACAUAGUUUCAAUGUAUGGUUUAAUUAGAUGCUCUCGAGAGCUAUAUGUUGUUCAAUGAGAACUAUGUAUUAACUUUAUGUAUUUAUUUUUUCAGUAAUAAUAUUUGAUCACUAUUGUACUUUGGUUUUAAUGUGAUGAUGAAAUCCCUUUGUAACAGACGAGUGUUUGUCCGAAGCCCUGAUACUUCGAAAGAGAUUGUCCGUUUUGCACACGAAGUGCAUCCAGUUUUUGCUGUAACUCUCUCAGCUUUUUAGAACAUGCUAUGUGGGUGAAAUGAUGAUACCAUGCCAACUUUCAACCUUUUCAGAGUUCAUUUUAAGUGCUUUUCAAUUUCAGGGUCAUUUAGCUCAAAAAAUCAAUAAAUGCAUGAAAAAUAGCAAAUGAAGUCAGAAAUGGUUGAAAAUUGAUGAUGUGGCUUUGAAUGGUGCAUUUUGAACACACAAAAAGUCUAGAGUUCAAAUAAGUUCAAAUAAAUGAAAUCCCUUUGUAACAGAUGAGUUUUCGUCCGAACCCCUGAUACUUCAAAAGAGAUUGUCCAUUUUGCACACGAAGUGCACCCAAUUUUUGCCUUAACUCUCUCAACUUUUUAGAACAUGAUAUGUGGCUGAAAUGAUGAUACCAUGCCAACUUUCAACCUUUUCAGAGUUCAUUUGAAGUGCUUUUCAAUUUCAGGGUCAUUUAGCUCCAAAAAAAAUCAGUAAAUGCAUGAAAAUAGCAAAUGAAGUCAGAAAUGGUUGAAAAUGGAUGAUGUGGCUUUGAAUGGUGCAUUUUGAACACACAAAAAGUCUAGAGUUCAAAUAAGUUCAAAUAAAUGAAAUCCCUUUGUAACAGAUGAGUUUUCGUCCAAACCCCUGAUACUUCAAAAGAGAUUGUCCAUUUUGCACACGAAGUGCACCCAGUUUUUGCCUUAACCCUCUCAACUUUUUAGAAGAUGAUAUGUGGCUGAAAUGAUGAUACCAUGCCAACUUUCAACCUUUUCAGAGUUCAUUUGAAGUGCUUUUCAAUUUCAGGGUCAUUUAGCUCCAAAAAAAAUCAGUAAAUGCAUGAAAAUAGCAAAUGAAGUCAGAAAUGGUUGAAAAUGGAUGAUGUGGCUUUGAAUGGUGCAUUUUGAACACACAAAAAGUCUGGAGUUCAAAUAAGUUCAAAUAAAUGAAAUCCCUUUGUAACAGAUGAGUUUUUGUCUGAAACCCUGAUACUUCGAAAGAGAUUGUCCAUUUUGCACACAAAGUGUAUCCAGUUUUUGUCGUAACCCUCUCAACCUUUUAGAACAUGCUAUGUGGGUGAAAUGAUGAUACCAUGCCAACUUUCAACCUUUUCAGAGUUAAUUUAUAGUGCUUUUCAAUUUCAGGGUCAUUUAGCUCAAAAAAUCAGUAAAUGCAUGAAAAAUAGCAAAUGAAGUCAGAAAGGGUUGAAAAUUGAUGAUGUGGCUUUGAAUGGUGCAUUUUUAACACACAAAAAGUUUGGAGUUCAAAUAAGUUCAAGUAAAUGAAAUCCCUUUGUAACAGAUGAGUUUUCGUCCAAAACCCAGAUACUUCGAAAGAGAUUGUCCAUUUUGCACACGAAGUGCAUCCAGUUUUUGCCUUAACCCUCUCAACUUCUUAGAACAUGCUAUGUGGCUGAAAUGAUGAUACCAUGCCAACUUUCAACCUUUUCAGAGUUCAUUUGAAGCGCUUUUCAAUUUCAGAGUUCAUUUGAAGUGUUUUUCAACUCUAAUAGCAAAAAGAAUGAACUAAAAAUAAUCAAUUAAAAUAUUCUGUUAUGAUCAACUAAAACAAAACUAUAUUAUUCUUCAAUAGCAAAAAUAAUCAACUAAAAAUAUUUUAUAAAACUCUAAUAGCAAAAGGAAUAAACUAAAAAGAUUUUAUAAACCUCUAGUAUUUUUGAAACAAAAAAUAUAUAAAAUUUAUGCAACUAAAAUUAUCAAAGUAUUUUUUGUUCAAAACAUUAAUAGCAAAAAGAAUUUUCAUAAAGAAUUUUUUUGUUAGCAAACUAGAAUAACAAAAUCUGUUUUGGAUUAAAACAUACAUUUAAAAUAACCUAAAAAUUACCAAAUUGAAUAUAAUGAUAAAACACAGUAAUAUUAAAUAGCAGGAAAAAGAAUCAGAAAAAAAUCUAUUUGUAUAGUAAAGUUAUUUAGAAACUAGUGAUUCACACAAAUUUCAAAGAAUUCAAAUUUAAACUAUUCAAGUUUGAAAGCUAAUGGCACUAACAGAAAGUUUAUAAUUUUUGUGACCUAAAAGCAAAAAAGAAUCACAGGAAAACAGAAAGUACAAACAAAAUAAAAUAAAUAAAGCAAAAAAAACUGGAAAAAGAUUAAAAAAUGCCACCUAGUGGGCCACCACGGCCUGAAUACGACUAGAAACCCAACCAACUUGUUGGGCCAGGAUUCAGGCCCAUAGAAGCCCGGUAGGCCCACAGGCAGAAGUGUCAGAUUAGGCCCGCAAGCCUGCAGUUGAGAGGAGCUCAGCGCUUAUAAACCACUCUCGAGCUCUCUUAGCUAGCGAGGUGGGACUAAACAUUUGGCCCCGGGGGGCACCAACCGGGACCAAUGCCCCCCUUUGGUCCCGGUUUGUGCUACCAACCGGAACCAAAGGGUGUCAUUGGUCCCGGUUUGUGCCACCAACCGGUACCAAAGGUAUCUGCUUCCCGCCCUUUGGGCUGCUGAAAAGAGACCUUUGGUCCCGGUUGGUGGUACGAACCGGAACUAAAGGGGGGCAUUGGUCUCGGUUGGUACCAUGAACCGGUACCAAUGCUUCGUGUAUAUAAGAAACACUUGUGAAAAUUUCCAUUCAGUUCUUUGAUCCCGCGCUCUCUCCCCAUCGUCGAUGAACACCUCGACGCCGCCAGGCUGCCGGACCGCGUCGUCGCCUCCCCGAGCCCGUUGUCUUCGUCGCCGGCAUCCCCGAGCCCGUCGUCCUCGUCCCCGUCCCCGUCGCCUCCCCAAGCCAGCCGUCCUCAUCCCCUUCACCGCGUGGCGCCCCGAGCCGGCCAUCCUCCUCGUCCCCGUCACCGCGUGCUGCCCCGAGCCCGCCGUCCUCGUCGCUGGCCUCCAGCCAUCACCCCCCAAUGAGCCCCCCCUUUCCCAUUGUCCCCUGCUCCCCGUCUCCGCGUGCCCCCGAGCCCGGCCUUGCUCUGCCACUGCUCCAUGGUCGCUGCCGGCCCCGACGCAUUGAAGAGCAGCAGCAACACCGUGAAUGAGAAGAGGAGUGGACAAUGAAGAGCAGCUGCAACAGCAGCAGUCCCCCCUUUUUGAAUUUUUUUACAGUGAUGAAUAGUGCAUAGAAGGUGUUUGAUGAAAUUCUAGAUGGCUUUGGGCAUUUUUGAAAUUUCUGAUUUUUUUUGUGGUGAGGUACUGAUGCAAGACAAAGGUGAUGGCAAAAUUUCAGAAUUUUGGAGUGGUUUAGAAUAGGUUUUCAGCAAGGAAUUUGAACUUGGUUCAAAUUUCAUUUGAACAAAAUUUGAAAAAUUUGAACUAUGGAUUAGAAGGUUUUUGGUGAAAUGGAGUGUGGGUACUGUCAUGCAGUUGGAGUAACUUUUUCAGGAUUUUUUAGCAAGGAAAAAUAGGGUUGUAGUUCAAUGCCAAGAUUGGACCAAAAUUGAAAAAUGGAAGUUGUGCUCAAAAUUUUCAAAUGACCAAAGUGGGGUUUUGCCUAAAAAUGAUCUAUAGGCAUCAGAGGACUUCUCAAAAAAUUGUGGCAUUUGAAAAGAAUUAUUUUUGAAAUAGUUCUACUGCAACAGGGUCAUUCUAGAGUUUGAAAAUACUAAUAAAAGAUUUUUUGAGGCCAAAUCAUUAUAAAAAUAAUUACUAAUGAUUUUUUUCAUAGCAUUUUUUUGUCCAUGUAUGUAUGUAUGUAUGUAUAGAUAUAGAAAAUGUUCAUAUAUGAUGUUUUUUUGUUCAUAACAAUUUUUUUCCAUGUAUGUAUGUAUGUAUGUAUGUAUUUUUUUAGAUGUGCUCUGUUUUUUCAGAUGAGAUGAAAUGAUAUGAGAUGAGAUGUAUGAGAUGUCCAUUUGUUGUAUAAACAUAAACCCGAUAACUUCAAUUCCCCUCGGGCUUAUAUUUUUGUGAGCAUAGAAGUUUUUUUAACUUGUAUGUAUUUGAUCACCGCGGAUAGUUGCGACAUGAGUUUUCCCUUUGAUUUUGAGGCAUAUGAUCUAGAUAAUGUCCAAUGCCUCAUAUCGCGAACAUAGUUAUAUUGGACAAUUGAUCUUCAUAUAAACGAAGCAUAAAAGUUUAGCAACCAGUUUAGCAAUCACUUAGAAACAGCGUUGUCGAGGCCACCCCAAACCCUAGACGAAGAAAGAGCGUUGUUGAUCUACCCCAUCCCGCCCCUACCCGUAAUUGUUAUGUUCAUUGUUGUCAUUAGCUAUGUAUAUGUUUGUGCUUAUGAUUCCUUGUUGUGAUAUUAGCUAGGUUAUGUUUGCCACUAAUAUAUCCAUCUCAUGUUUGUAUAUUAAUUGCCAUGUUGUAAUAUUUGCAGAAACUAUGGAUCAAAGAGACUUGGAACAAGAAGAGUUGUUGGGGGACAUAAUCCGCGACAGACGUGAUGUAUUGUCGUAUCUCAACGACACCGAUGGUCAGAAAGGAGAGGAUGACUGCUCCGGUGACCGAACGGAGGAGGUAGCUGUUGCAAAGUCUGGCGAGGUAUAUAUAUUAAUUAAGCCUGUGCUGACUAAUUGACGCAUUAAUUGUUUUGGUAUGUACAUAUAUUAACGCUUCUUUCUUCUUUUAUAGCCCUCCAGAUCAAGCCAAACUUCCGUAACGAGACGAGGCCUGAAGAAAAGGUUGUGCCAGGAUGAAAGGUUCACGAUCACAGAAAUCGCGGGCAAUGGCCAACCGAUUGAACCCAAGCGAACCAAGGACGCCAUUUGUUGCUCAGUGCAGAGCUAUUGUUAGGGACACCAUCCCAAUCAACAUCCAACAAUGGAAUAAGCCGGCUAAGGCCGGCGACCCUGAAGUUUCUUAUGUCAAUGAUAGACAGAAAGUUGAUCUUUGGACCUGCUGAAGGCAAAUUUCACCCUACCGCCAGAGGAGGAUCUGGAUAAGCAAGUUAUAGAGACAAAGGUCAAGUCAUAUGCUCUUAAGAAGAUGGCAGAUCUAUUCAGGAGGUGGAAGAAAGAGUUGAACACAAACUUUGUUGACAAAGGGAAGACUCCAGAAUUCACGGCCGAUUUGAGAAGAUAAGAGAUCACUGGCCCGCAUUUGUGGCCUACAAGACAUCAGAGAAGGGUAAGAAAAUGUCAGAGACAACACAAGAAAAAUGCUGCAAAGAAGUUGUAUCACCAUCACACGGGGUUAGGUGGCUACCUCAAAGCUCGGCCGUUGUGGGACAAAGCUGAGAAAGACCUGAUUGCUAAGGGGGUCCAACCAGCGACACUGAACUGGCCAGACUAUUCAAGGACUUGGUUCUUCCGGGUUGGGGGAACUUUGGACCCAGAAACAGGGGAGUGUUGUUGGACGGACGAGCAACUUGCAAUACCGGUCAAGAAGCUUAAGAAUUAUAUUGCUGCAACGCAGAAAGGGACGUUCAUUCCCGACAAAGUGAAGGACGAGAUGUCUGAGGCCCUCGGGAAUCCUGAGCACCCUAGACGAACACGAGGCACACCAGGCUCUGUUGCAUGGGUGCAUGGGUUCCCCGAUGCAAGCGGUUACAAAAAGCGAGAGAGAAAGAGGAAAGUGGAGCAGAGCGAAAUGGAGACAAUCAAAGCAAGAUUAGCGAAGCUAGAGGAAUUUGCAACUGCCGACCAACCAUCUCAGUGGCUCGAAGCUACCCCAGAAGCUACCCCGCCAUCUCAGCGGAGAAGCAACGUGGCUUCCAUGGAGCUAGCCCAGCCUGAUUUGACGGCUCCUCGCUACCCCGUGGAUACUAUCACGGAGGCUGAUAACCCACAAGUAUAGGGGAUCGCAACAAUUUUCGAGGGUAGAGUAUUCAACCCAAAUUUAUUGAUUCGACACAAGGGGAGCCAAAGAAUAUUCUCAAGUAUUAGCAGCUGAGUUGUUAAUUCAACCACACCUGAAAUACUUAAUAUCUGCAGCAAAGUAUUUAGUAGCAAAGUAGUAUGGAAGUAAUGGUAACAGUGGCAAAAGCAAUAGUAGCAGUUUUGUAGCAAUUGUAACACUGGCAACGGUAAAGUAACUUAGCAAAGAUCAAUAUGAAACGAGCUCGUAGGCAAUGGAUCAAUGAUGGAUAAUUAUGUCGGAUGACAUUUAUCAUGCAACAGUUAUAACAUAGGGUGACACAAAACUAGCUCCAGUUCAUCAAUAUAAUGUAGGCAUGUAUUCCGAAUAUAGUCAUACGUGCUUAUGGAAAAGAACUUGCAUGACAUCUAUUGUCCUAUCCUCUCGUGGCAGCAGGGUCCUAAGGGAUAUUAAGGCCCCCUUUUAAUAGAGUACCGGACCAAAGCAUUAGCACUUAGUGAAUACAUGAACUCCUCAAACCACGGUCAUCACCGGGAAGUAUCCCGACUAUUGUCACUCCGAGGUUGCCGGAUCAUAACACGUAGUAGGUGACUAUAACUUGCAAGAUAUGAUCAAGAACACUCAUAUAUUCAUGAAAACAUAAGAGGUUCAGAUAUGAAAUCAUGGCACUCGGGCCCUAGUGACAAGCAUUAAGCAUGGCAAAGUCACAACAACAUCAAUCUUAGAACAUAAUGGAUACUAGGGAUCAAACCCUAACAAAACUAACUCAUUACAUGGUAAAUCUCAUCCAACCCAUCACUGUCCAGCAAGCCUACGAUGGGAUUACUCACGCACAACGGUGAGCAUCAUGAAAUUGGUGAUGGAGGAUGGUUGAUGAUGACGAUGGCGAUGAAUUCCCCUCUCCGGAGCCCCGAACGGACUCCAGAUCAGCCUUCCCAAGGAAGAACAGGGCUUGGCGGUGGCUCCGUAUCAUAAAACGCGAUGAAUCCUUCUCUCUGUUUUUUCUCCCUAAUCAUGAAUAUAUGGAGUUGGAGUUGAGGUCGGUGAAGGUCCAGGGGGCCCAUGAGAUAGGGCGGCACGACCAGGGGGGUAGGGCGCGCCUCCCACCCUCGUGGCCAGGGUGUGGGCCCCCUUCAGCUGAUUCUUUCGCCAGUAUUUUUUAUUAAUUCCAAAAAAUAUCUCCGAGAAGUUUCAGGUCAUUCUGAGAACUUUUAUUUCUACACAAAAGUAACACCAUGGCAGUUCUGCUGAAAACAACGCCAGUCCAGGUUAGUUCCAUUCAAAUCAUGCAAAUUAGAGUCCAAAACAAGGGCAAAAGAGUUUGGAUAAGUAGAUACGUUGGAGACGUGUCAACUCCCCCAAGCUUAACCCAUUGCUUGUCCUCAAGCAAUUCAGUUGACAAAGUGAAAGUGAUAAAGAAAAACUUGUACAAACUUUGUUUGAUCUUGUUGUUGCAAAUAUGUAAAGCCAACAUUCAAGUUUUCAGCAAAGAUCAUGAACUAACCAUAUUCACAAUAACAUUUAGGUCUCACGUUUACUCAUAUCUUUGGCAUAAUCAACUAGUGAGUAAUAAUAAUAAAUUUCGGAUGACGACACUUUCUCAAAACAAUCAUGAUAUGAUAUAACAAGAUGGUAUCUCGAUAGCCCUUUCUGAGACCGCAUAACAUAAAUGCAGAGCACCGCUGAAGAUCAAGGACUGACUAGACAUUGUAAUUCAUGACACAAGAGAUCCAGUCACAGUCAUACUCAAUGUAAAUUAAUAACAAUGCAUACAAAUGAAAGUGGUGCUCUCUAACUGGUGCUUUUUAUAAGAGGAUGAUGACUCAAUAGAAAAGUAAAUUGAUAGGCCCUUCGCGGAGGGAAGCAGGGAUUUACAGAGGUGCCAGAGCUCGAGUUUUGAAACAUAGAUAAAUAAUAUUUUGAGCAGUAUACUUUCAUUGUCAACACAAGAACCAAGAGAUCUCGGUAUCUUCCAUGCUACAUACAUUAUAGGCGGUUCCCAAAUAGAAUGCUAAAGUUUAUACUCCCCCAUCACCAACAAGCACAUUCCAUGACUAGUCCGAAACUACGGGUACCGUCCAACUAACAACAAUCCCGGGGGAGUUUUGUUUGCAAUUAUUUUUAUUUGAUCUGAGCAUGGGACUGGGCAUCCCGGUUACUGGCCAUUUUCUCGUGAAUGAUGAGCGGAGUCCACUCAUCGUGAGAAUAACCCACCUAGAAUGGAAAAUAUAGACAACCCUAGUUGACGCAUAAGCGAUUCGAGCAUACAAAACCAAAUGGCCCGGCCCAGUCUUGGGCGACCUGUGCGUUCCUUGAACUAUUUGUCGGUUUGUGCGACAAAUAAGGUCUUUUUAACGCCUGGGCAGGAUAAUUACUGGGUUGGCUUUGUUGGGCUGGAGUGCGCCCCGCCCAAUUGUGGAAUUCUGGAGAAACUUUUUGUCUUUUCUAGUAGAUGCACAAAAAUUUAGUACCACCUCGGAUAGAAAAAAUAUUUUCGACGAUGAACGGAUGAAAAUAUUGGAGAAACACACUUUGCUUUAUUAGUAGGUAUAGAUUUUCACUUUUGCAGAAAACCCCAGAUAAUUAUUGAUAAUCAACCCACAUGACAGUUUUAAGUCAGAUUUUUGUUUUGUUAGGAAACUAGCGGUGUGACCCGCGCAUUUGCGCGGCUAGAUUAGUUACACAUUGUUAUGAUUAUUUCUUUAUUUGUAUUUUAUUUAUUUUUCUAAUUGCAAAAUGUUUAUUUUUAUUUAUUUAUAAUAGAAUUUCUAAAUGUUAUAAAAUUAUAUAGCCAUAUUACCACAUGACUAUGAAUUAUUUGUCCCACAUAUAUUAGCACAUGACUAUACAAUUUUUGUUUUACAUGAUCUACUGUCUUAUCUUAUUCAGGUGCACAACUGAACAAUCUAUUAAGUCAUCAAUAGUGAUGUUUCUGUUUAAGAAUGGAAGUUAAAGAUCCCGUGGGUUGCCAUGCAAAAACAACACUUUCAUACUAAUAUGUAAGUUCUAGUUUACACUCUAGCGAUCCCGCAAAAAAAAAGUUUACACUCUAGCUCCCAUCGUUAGCUAGGAUUAAGUAGAGUUCUUUUCUUUAAUCUAUCUCAUCAUUAGACAUAAUUUAUUUGUGUCAUCCUUCGAUAUGUUUUCUUCCACUUCUUUUUUUUGGGGGUGGGAGGGGGGCGGGAUUAUUUAUUUUAAUUGUUUGUCACUUCUGCAUAUGAGGUAAUACCAUCCCUCCAUUGUACAUUUUUGCACAAAAAAUAUAUAAAAUGGCACAAUAUGUGUCUUCCCUACUAUUUUUGCUAUUAAAAACAUAUUGUCAUACUUUCCUUUGUGCUCACUCUUAGAGUGCCUUGUUCUUUCUGGUCAUUUUCAUGUCUGUUUUAGGUCGAUUUAUGCCGUUAGAAUAUUAGCAUGAUUUCAAUUUGCGAGGACACUGUUUUUUGUGUCAUGCAAUUAAUACACUUAUUGGCCGCACACAUAGUAUAUUGUCAUUGUUUUUAAUCACCCAAUUUCAUCUAUCUCAUAUACUAAGUGAUUCUUGUCCAUUUAAGGGCAUCUCCAGCCGCGCCCCCAAGAAGGCCCCCCGGGCGCCUUUUCGUCCGCCGGCGCCAAAAAAUUGGUCUAGUCACGCCCCAAGAGCCCAGUUUUCACCGGCUCGGGCCGAAAUUGGCGACGGCGGACUCAACCCGAACCCGACGUGCUGGGGGUCGCUCGGGUGCGCCGGGCGAAUCGUUUUUGGCGCGAAGAGCCGCGGGCCCGCCGCGUCAGCGACCCUAUCCUCUUCUCGCCCCUUCGUUGUCCUCAUCGCCUCGUUUCCCGCGACGAAUCAAUGCCAAAGCUGCCACGCGCUGCCGCGCCGGUCAGCCUCCAUUGAUGCCUCACGGGCGGCGCAGUGAAGGCUGGGCGGCGCGUCCCUCGGCCGCCACGCAAUGACGCCACGCGUAACGCGUCGGCCAAGCCUACCACGCGGCGUCUCCGCCUAUAAAAGCCGUCUGCAAGCGCGCCGGAGAGACUCACCUCGAUCAUCCACCGACGACGCGCUCAUUUCUCCCCCUUUCCUCCUCUCGCCGCCAGUUGAAAAAGCAUGGCCGAGCAUUUCCCAGGCGAUGGCGCGGCGGUGAAUGGAUUUGGGCGCCGUCAUCUGCACAAGGGCGAGGCUCGCCUCCUUUUCGAGGCCGAGUACCCGGUCCCGCCGGACAUGCGGGUGCCCGGGGCUUGGAGGAUCAGCGCCGGCGGCGUGCCGGUGCCACCACCACCCACCGGGGCGACGCGGCGUGCGGAGAUCGCAUGCAUCCGCGCGUCCCUGCCGCGGGCGGCGAGGGAGGGGCCACAGUACGUCCCCGACAGCCCGCUCUGGGAGCCCUACUUUCGCCGCCAUGACGCCGAGCAGCUCGAGGCCACCAACGGCGUCGUGCCCUCCGGCAGGCUCAACUCCGAUGGCCGGCGCCGGUGGUGGGGCGUGCCCGGCCGCACGUUGGAGGCCGUUCUCGAGUACAUCGAGGGCGGCAACACGCCGCGCCUCGAGUACCCCGCUCCCCCGUCAUCCUCACGUCGCCGGGGAAGCUCCGGGACACAGAGGCGCAUGGAGACCGGGGCGUCCUCCUCCUCGUCCGGCGGCUCUCCCUGCCUCCACCUCCGCCCCGUCAAGCCGGAGCCCCAGGACACGCCUGUCAGCGCGCGUACCCGCAGCUCCGGCGGCUCUACCUGCCUCCACCUCCGCCCCGUCAAGCCGGAGCCCCAGGACACGCCUGUCCGCGCGCGUACCCACAGCUCCGGCGCCCUCGUCGAGCCCAAGGUGGAGUCCAGCCUCCCCCCGGAGUACGAGGAGAUAGCCCGGCGCGGCUUCUCCGAUGAGGACGCCAUGCGGUGGUCGCGCGAGGACUACGUGCGCGAGGAGAUGGUCCGGCAGUGCCGGGCCCUGGAGGAGAUCGCCGCCCGCAAACGUGGGCGCAAGGGCGAGGACGGUGUCAUCGUCCUCGAUAGCUCCGACGACGACGCCCCCGGACCGUCCAACCCGCCGCGCCAACCGGGGGAGGGAUGUAGCAGGGACGACGGAGGCGUAGGCGGGGGCGACGACGACGACGACGACGACGGCGGCGGCGGUGACUACACGCGGUUCUACAGCCUCCUCGGCAUGUAGAACCGCGUGGGGCGGGCGGCGAGGCGGGCGGCAAGGGAGACGGCGGGGGUAACCCGCGGUAGUUUUUUUUUCUUUUUUUUGUAAAAUAUGUUUAAAUUCGAACGAACUCGCCCGUGUUUGCGUUGUGUUUGCACCGAAUUUGGAUAUUUUAAAAACCCGUGGGGGGCCGUGACUGGGGGGCAUCACGCCCCUAGUGCGCGGUUUAGCGCCGGUGCGCCCCCAUGGGGCGAUUUUUUGCCCCUCCUGGGGGGCCAACGGCUGGAGAUGCCCUAAUACUUGAGGUAUAAGGCCCUGUUUGGUUCCAAAUAAAUCACCAACUUAUAAGUCGAAAAGUACAAAAAGUGACUUAUUUUGCCAAACGAACCCAACUUAUAAGUCACCCCAACUUAUAAGUCAUAAGUUGCUCCAAUCCAACUUAAAACUUAUAAGUCACUCCCUUUUGCGUGGGUCCCAUCACCUUUAUAUUAAAAAAACAAGGUGGGAAGAUGUGCUCAGAUGACUUAUAAAUCAGGUGAUAACCAAACAAACGUGACUUAUAAAUCACUGAUUUUAAGUCACCUAACUUAUAAGUCAGGUGACUUAUUGAAACCAAACAGGGCCUAAGAUGUCGCCUCUCCACCACCUGAAUUGUGUGAAGCCUCGGAGUAACCAAUGGUUCACACACGCAUAGUGUUGUCCAUACAAUGUGUACUCAACAACUAUUUUAACCUUACCUCUAUGCAUUUAUCCAUUUUUAAGAAACCCAUGCAUGUUGAUAGAUAUCACCCGAGAGAUGUUCCCCUAUUGUUGGUCCAAAACUAUAUAUAUUGCAUGCUGCCAAAUCCAGAUUAGACUGUCAAAUUUAUUUCAGUUUCACCCAAGACACUAAAACCUGGGAUCGCUAUUUCUCUAACAAACCCGUACUGCUCCUUUAUUAACUGUUGUUCUGAUCCGACUCAAAUUUUCUAACUAACUUGUACUACUCUUUAUUUACUAUUGUUCAGAUCCGACUCAUAUUUUCUUUUCUUCGUGCUUUAACAACCAUACAUAAUCUAAAGCGUUAAAAUUAUUAAAUCAAUGAUAAAGUAACGAUGCAAUCUAUUUGUUCGUUGUUUUAAUUACGAAAUAAAUUAGAUAUAUAUUCUGGGCUUUUUUUGCGGGAAUAUAUAUCAAACGUUAGCUUCAUUUAUGUGGGUCGCAUGUAUAUUAAGUUGCUUUUUUCCUUAUCCCAAAUUUCAUAACGUAUAAUGUAUAUUAAAAAUUUAAAUGACGCAAAAGGUUCAUAUAUAAAUUUGAUUGUAUUGUUUGUCCACCUAAUAGUAUAUGUAUCUAGUAUGUUUAUUUUGAACAAUCUGACUCAAAACCUCGAUCAUCUGUGAUGAACCACAUUCUUGUAGAUUCCAACUUAAAAUGAUAAAUUCAGUGGCUUUGUUUGUACAGGUUGAAUGCUUGUUUGCUUGGCCCGAAUAUUAUUUCGGCGGCGUUGAUCACCAAUUCCUUUUUUGGGAAUUGUAUGUAUAUUUUUAGAUGAAUUGUAUGCAUGUUCUUUCUGAAAGAUUUGCACCUAUAUUUUCUUGGAAAGACCCACCUGUACAUUUUUUAUAUGUUCAUGACGGAUUCGGCUUGCCUGCUUCCUUUCCAUGCUCUCAUCCGUGCUCCCACCUCAUCCAAUGGUUGUAUUUUUUCCUUUUUUCUUUCUAAUCUAAUCAUCUCCCCCCCUGAUUUUAAGGGGGUGGGGCCGGACUUUAUUUUGUUCCAAUCAAAUCAAGCCACGUAUGCGGGAGCACGGAUGGGCACACGGAAGGGGAGCAGGCAAGUCUCGUCCGUUCAUGACUUUUUUUUUAAUAUCUACGCAUGACUCAAGUUGUCUGAUGUUGGAUGCAUGUUUUUGUAAAGACUUGCACGUAGUUUUUUCACAUUGGUACAUGACCUAGAUGGGCAAGGGCGCUUGUUGUAGAUUUCUUGGACUCACCCAAGCGGCAUGUACGUAGAUGUCCUAUGCUUGUGCGUGUCAUGGCCGACGUAGGCCCCCCUUCUUUUCUCUUUGUUUCAGGAAACUAACCUAGUCGUUUGUGUCCGACGAUAAAUUAACUUUGUAUACGUGAUAGGUUGUACAUGCAAGGUAUCGGAAUUGCUUUUUUAUUUUUCACCGACCCGUACAGCUUCUUCAUUAAAUAUUGCUUUGAUCAGACUGAUAUUUCCUUUUCCUUGUUCUUUACGCCCGAACAUAUUAUCUCCAGCGUGACACAACGUACAUAACAAUAUUGUACAUUCCAUGAUAGUUGGGUUAAUCAACCUGCAGUACAUAUAAAAUGUUUUUUUGAGCAUCAGUACAAACACAAGCGCUCAUAUACACGCGCAUACACUCAUCCCUAUGAACGCACACACGCACACCCUACCCCUAUAAGCACCUCCGAGAGACUGAGCCGCCAUAUCAUCUUGAGAUUUACGAGGUCACCGUAGGCGCCUCGUCGUCGACGGGAAUGUCUCCUCCCACUGAAAGCGCAUUGCCGGAAAUCCUGAAAUAAAUCCAGGAUUAAUGCGAGCACCAGGCUUUGAACCCUGGUGGGUUGGGGAUACCAUUGUCCACCUAACCAACUCAACCACAAGUGUUUUCUUAAAAGUAUCCGUAUCUUUUAAACUGUGACUUCAAAUUUAAUAUGUUAUAUAAAAUUUGAUUAGAAAAACUAAUCAUCAACCCGUGCACCAGCACAGGCUAGAACAUUUGUUGUCACUGUACUUGCUACUUUUGUACAAAAUAGUGUCUAAAUUUAUUUUUCACAUAUUAGUUACAUAUAGGGACACAUAUUUUUUUGAUGAUGUUUUAAUUUUCAGACAAAAUGAUAAAUCCUCAAAGUCUUGCAAAGCCAAAAUGCAAUCAUAGUCUUAUAAUAUUUUGAACGAACAUGCAAUUUUAUCUACUAAGAUCGCAAUAUACAAUUCGUAUAAAUAGACGCAUGUAUAUUGAAAGCUUAAAACCAAAUUCAAUAAUUGAUAUUUCUCUUUAAAAAAUACAAUAAUGCAACCGCAAGUUCGGGGACCCAUAAAAGCAAAAUACUGCUUCACCAUAUUUUAGAACAAUAUAAUGAAUAUGUAAAAAAACAGAAUGGAGUUGAAUAUCCCAUGUUGAUUCCUAUACAUAACAAAAAGUAAGUAGUAAAACAUUAUCGUCCAAACAAAAUGUUAAUUUACAAUACUUUGGCUUUCAAGGUUAAUCAUCUAGUGCAUUGCAUAUUUCAGAAUGAACAUCCUCUACAAAGCAACAUAGCUUGGCAAAUAUGCAUGCAAAUAUCAAGGAUUUCUGCAACGCGGAAUUAUGAAAAAAAAACUAUACGCCAGAAUAUGAAACUUAACACCGAAAAAUCCCCAAACUAAGAGACAGUCUAACACUAAUAGAAAUCAGGGUUUUGAUCCAGGCCUAAAGAGGGCAUUAAUCCCGGUUCUCAUACGAACCGGGACCAAUAGGAGCAUUAGUCCCAGUUCAUGAGGCCAGGGGACGGCCGGGCCUCGGGGGCCAAUGGUCCCGGUUCGUGUGACCCCUUUGGUCCCGGUUCCAGACACGAACAGGGACCAAUGGGCCUUGCUCCUGGCCCACAACCUUUAGUCCCAGUUUGUGUCUGGAACCGGGAACAAAUAGAGGCCUAUAUAUACCUUGCCCGCGAGCAGAGCAGUGCACUCUUUGUUUUUUUAGCUAGUCGUGGGAGAGCUUUGUGGUGCUCUAGCUCACCUCCUAUGCACAUGAGGUGUUCGAUGAAAUACCCGAGCUACACUUUAUAAGCUUUCUCCUCUCGAAAUUCCUUGUCCCAACUCCAUUUUCCUCAAGAUUUGUCUAGGUUUGUGAUACGUCUCCAACGUAUCUAUAAUUUUUGAUUGUUCCAUGCUAUUAUAUUAUCCAUCUAGGAUGUUUUAUAUGCAUUUAUAUGCUAUUUUAUAUGAUUUUUGGGACUAACCUAUUAACCUAGAGCCUAGUGCCAGUUUCUGUUUUUUCCUUGUUUUUGAGUAUCACAGAAAAGGAAUACCAAAUGGAGUCCAAUUGACGUGCCAAUUUUUGAUGAUUUUUUAUGGACGAAAAGAAGCCCCCGGAGUAAAAGAGUUGGGCCAGAAGAGUGCUGGGCUGUCCACGAGGGUGGGGGGUGCGCCCUACCCCCCCUGGGCAUGGGCCCUAUCUCGUGGACGACUUGGAGACCCCCCUAACGUGAGACCGACGCAAAAAAUUCAUAUAAAUACAGAAACCUCCAGAACAUAACCUAGAUCGGGAGUUCCGCCGCCGCAAAGUCUCUGUAGCCACCAAAAACCAAUCGGGACCCUGUUCCGGCACCCUGCCGGAGGGGGGAUCCCUCAUCGAUAGACAUCUUCAUCAUCCCGGCGCUCUCCAUGACGAGGAGGGAGUAGUUCACCCUCGAGGCUGAGGGUAUGUACCAGUAGCUAUGUGUUUGAUCUCUCUCUCUCUCUCUCUCUCUCUCUCUCUCUCUCGCUCGUUCUUGAUUUGACACGAUCUUGAUGUAUCGCGAGCUUUGCUAUUAUAGUUGGAUCUUAUGAUGUUUCUCCCCCUCUACUCUCUUGUAAUGGAUUGAGUUUUCCCUUUGAAGUUAUCUUAUCGGAUUGAGUCUUUAAGGAUUUGAGAACACUUGAUGUAUGUCUUGCGUGGGAUACCCGUGGUGACAAUGGGGUAUUCUAUUGAUCUACUUGAUGUAUGUUUUGGUGAUCAACUUGCGGGUUCAGUGACCUUGGGAAUCUAUGCAUAGGGAUUGGCACACGUUUUCGUCUUGACUCUCCGGUAGAAACUUUGGGGCACUCUUUGAAGUACUUUGUGUUGGUUUGAAUAGAUGAAUAUGAGAUUGUGUGAUGCAUAUCGUAUAAUCAUACCCACGGAUACUUGAGGCGACAUUGGAGUAUCUAGGUGACAUUAGGGUUUUGGUUGAUUUGUGUCUUAAGGUGUUAUUCUAGUACGAACUCUAGGAUAGAUCGAACGGAAAGAAUAGCUUCGUGUUAUUUUACUACGGACUCUUGAAUAGAUCGAUAAGAAAGGAUAACUUUGAGGUGGUUUCGUACCCUACAAUAAUCUCUUCGUUUGUUCUCCACUAUUAGUGACUUUGGAGUGACUCUUUGUUGCAUGUUGAGGGAUAGUUAUAUGAUCCAAUUAUGUUAUUAUUGUUGAGAGAACUUGCACUAUUGAAAGUAUGAACCCUAGGCCUUGUUUCAACGCAUUGCAAUACCGUUUUCGCUCACUUUUAUCAUUAGUUACCUUGCUGUUUUUAUAUUUUCAGAUUACAAAAACCUAUAUCUACCAUCCAUAUUGCACUUGUAUCACCAUCUCUUCGCCGAACUAGUGCACCUAUACAAUUUACCAUUGUAUUGGGUGUGUUGGGGACACAAAAGACUCUUUGUUAUUUGGUUGCAGGGUUGUUUGAGAGAGACCGUCUUCAUCCUAUGCCUCCCACGGAUUGAUAAACCUUAGGUCAUGCACUUGAGGGAAAUUUGCUACUGUCCUACAAACCUCUGCACUUGGAGGCCCAACAACGUCUACAAGAAGAAGGUUAUGUAGUAGACAUCAGUUUGGUGGUCCUUCCUGUCCCGUCCACGUCCUCACUACCGUCGAUCGCCCGCGCCGAUCUCGUCGCCGGCGCCACUGUGGUGAGCCUCUUGUUCUUAUCUUCUUUCUAAAAGAAAAAAACUCCUACUUAUAUGAUUUAGAUUGCUACUUGUAUAAUUUUCUUACUUUUAUUAUUGUUUGAAUGUUUGUUAUUAUAUAGUGCGAUGGUUUUGGUAUUCGCCCCCGUCGGCCCUCGUCUUGUCUAUGAUUCGGAUGUGGUAUAUACUAUCUUUUAUAACUAUUUCUUUCAUUUAGUGUUUAUGACAAUUAUGCCGACCAACAUGACAUAGAUGUUUUAUGUAGGAGGUAUAUGGACCGAAAAUUCCAACUGACCCUCUUGUCGAGAGGUUAAAAUUUAGUUGAAAAGAAAACGAUUACUUGAAGAAAAAAUUGAAAAGAAUUGAGGAGGAGAAGAUGGCAUUGGAGUUGCAUGUUGCGGAUAUCAUCAAUGAUUACAAGAUCAAGAUGGAUAAAAUGCACUUGAAGAUUAGAAAGAUUAAAAAAUAUGCCAUUCAUACCGAGGCUUGGUAUCAUUAUGCCGUUGGAUCAAUUGUUACCUUAGUUGCGAUUAUGAUCGCAUAUGUUGUUGCAUUGAAAUGUUUUACAUAGUUUCAAUGUAUGGUUUAAUUAUGCUCUCGAGAGCUAUAUGUUGUUCAAUGAGAACUAUGUAUUAACUUUAUGUAUUUAUUUUUUCAGUAAUAAUAUUUGAUCACUAUUGCACUUUGGUUUUAAUGUGAUGAUGAAAUCCCUUUGUAACAGAUGAGUUUUCGUCCGAAGCCCUGAUACUUCGAAAGAGAUUGUCCGUUUUGCACACGAAGUGCAUCCAGUUUUUGCUGUAACCCUCUCAGCUUUUUAGAACAUGCUAUGUGGGUGAAAUGAUGAUACCAUGCCAACUUUCAACCUUUUCAGAGUUCAUUUUAAGUGCUUUUCAAUUUCAGGGUCAUUUAGCUCAAAAUAUCAAUAAAUGCAUGAAAAAUAGCAAAUGAAGUCAGAAAUGGUUGAAAAUUGAUGAUGUGGCUUUGAAUGGUGCAUUUUGAACACACAAAAAGUCUAGAGUUCAAAUAAGUUCAAAUAAAUGAAAUCCCUUUGUAACAGAUGAGUUUUCGUCCGAACCCCUGAUACUUCAAAAGAGAUUGUCCAUUUUGCACACGAAGUGCACCCAGUUUUGGCCUUAACCCUCUCAACUUUUUAGAACAUGAUAUGUGGCUGAAAUGAUGAUACCAUGUCAACUUUCAACCUUUUCAGAGUUCAUUUGAAGUGCUUUUCAAUUUCAGGGUCAUUUAGCUCCAAAAAAAAUCAAUAAAUGCAUGAAAAUAGCAAAUGAAGUCAGAAAUGGUUGAAAAUGGAUGAUGUGUCUUUGAAUGGUGCAUUUUGAACACACAAAUAGUCUGGAGUUCAAAUAAGUUCAAAUAAAUGAAAUCCCUUUGUAACAGAUGAGUUUUCGUCUGAAACCCUGAUACUUCAAAAGAGAUUGUCCAUUUUGCACACAAAGUGUAUCCAGUUUUUGUCGUAACCCUCUCAACCUUUUAGAACAUGCUAUGUGGGUGAAAUGAUGAUACCAUGCCAACUUUCAACCUUUUCAGAGUUAAUUUAUAGUGCUUUUCAAUUUCAGGGUCAUUUAGCUCAAAAAAUCAAUAAAUGCAUGAAAAAUAGCAAAUGAAGUCAGAAAGGGUUGAAAAUUGAUGAUGUGGCUUUGAAUGGUGCAUUUUUAACACACAAAAAGUUUGGAGUUCAAAUAAGUUCAAGUAAAUGAAAUCCCUUUGUAACAGAUGAGUUUUCGUCCAAAACCCAGAUACUUCGAAAGAGAUUGUCCAUUUUGCACACGAAGUGCAUCCAGUUUUUGCCUUAACCCUCUCAACUUCUUAGAACAUGCUAUGUGGCUGAAAUGAUGAUACCAUGCCAACUUUCAACCUUUUCAGAGUUCAUUUGAAGCGCUUUUCAAUUUCAGAGUUCAUUUGAAGUGUUUUUCAACUCUAAUAGCAAAAAGAAUGAACUAAAAAUAAUCAUUUAAAAUAUUCUGUUAUGAUCAACUAAAACAAAACUAUAUUAUUCUUCAAUAGCAAAAAUAAUCAACUAAAAAUAUUUUAUAAAACUCUAAUAGCAAAAGGAAUAAACUAAAAAGAUUUUAUAAACCUCUAGUAUUUUUGAAACAAAAAAUAUAUAAAAUUUAUGCAACUAAAAUUAUCAAAGUAUUUUUUGUUCAAAACAUUAAUAGCAAAAAGAAUUUUCAUAAAGAAUUUUUUUGUUAGCAAACUAGAAUAACAAAAUCUGUUUUUGAUUAAAACAUACAUUUCAAAUAACCUAAAAAUUACCAAAUUGAAUAUAAUGAUAAAACACAGUAAUAUUAAAUAGCAGGAAAAAGAAUCACAAAAAAAAUCUAUUUGUAUAGUAAAGUUAUUUAGAAACUAGUGAUUCACACAAAUUUGAAAGAAUUCAAAUUUAAACUAUUCAAAUUUGAAAGCUAAUGGCACUAACAGAAAGUUUAUAAUUUUUGUGACCUAAAAGCAAAAAGAAUCACAGGAAAACAGAAAGUACAAACAAAAUAAAAUAAAUAAAGCAAAAAAAACUGGAAAAAGAUUAAAAAAUGCCACCUAGUGGGCCACCACGGCCUGAAUACGACUAGAAACCCAACCAACUUGUUGGGCCAGGAUUCAGGCCCAUAGAAGCCCGGUAGGCCCACAGGCAGAAGUGUCAGAUUAGGCCCGCAAGCCUGCAGUUGAGAGGAGCUCAGCGCUUAUAAACCACUCUCGAGCUCUCUUAGCUAGCGAGGUGGGACUAAACAUUUGGCCCCGGGGGGCACCAACCGGGACCAAUGCCCCCUUUGGUCCCGGUUUGUGCCACCAACCGGAACCAAAGGGUGUCAUUGGUCCCGGUUUGUGCCACCAACCGGUACCAAAGGUAUCUGCUUCCCGCCCUUUGGGCUGCUGAAAAGAGACCUUUGGUCCCGGUUGGUGGUACGAACCGGGACUAAAGGGGGGCAUUGGUCUCGGUUGGUACCAUGAACCGGUACCAAUGCUUCGUGUAUAUAAGAAACACUUGUGAAAAUUUCCAUUCAGUUCUUUGAUCCUGCGCUCUCUCCCCAUCAUCGAUGAACACCUCGACGCCGCCAGGCUACCGGACCGCGUCGUCGCCUCCCCGAGCCCGUUGUCUUCAUCGCCGGCAUCCCCGAGCCCGUCGUCCUCGUCCUCGUCCCCGUCGCCUCCCCAAGCCAGCCGUCCUCAUCCCCGUCACCGCGUGCCGCCCCGAGCCGGCCACCCUCCUCGUCCCCGUCGCCGCGUGCUGCCCCGAGCCCACCGUCCUCGUCGCUGGCCUCCAGCCAUCACCCCCCAAUGAGCCCCCCUUUCCCAUUGUCCCCUGCUCCCCGUCUCCGCGUGCCCCCGAGCCCGGCCUUGCUCUGCCACUGCUCCAUGGUCGCUGCCGGCCCCGACGCAUUGAAGAGCAGCAGCAACACCGUGAAUGAGAAGAGGAGUGGACAAUGAAGAGCAGCUGCAGCAGCAGCAGUCCCCCCUUUUUGAAUUUUUUAAAGUGAUGAAUAGUGCAUAGAAGGUGUUUGAUGAAAUUCUAGAUGGCUUUGGGCAUUUUUGAAAUUUCUGAUUUUUUUGUGGUGAGGUACUGAUGCAAGACAAAGGUGAUGGCAAAAUUUCAGAAUUUUGGAGUGGUUUAGAAUAGGUUUUUAGCAAGGAAUUUGAACUUGGUUCAAAUUUCAUUUGAACGAAAUUUGAAAAAUUUGAACUAUGGAUUAGAAGGUUUUUGGUGAAAUGGAGUGUGGGUACUGUCAUGCAGUUGGAGUAACUUUUUCAGGAUUUUUUAGCAAGGAAAAAUAGGGUUGUAGUUCAAUGCCAAGAUUGGACCAAAAUUGAAAAAUGGAAGUUGUGCUCAAAAUUUUCAAAUGACCAAAGUGGGGUUUUGCCUAAAAAUGAUCUAUAGGCAUCAGAGGACUUCUCAAAAAAUUGUGGCAUUUGAAAAGAAUUAUUUGAAAUAGUUCUACUGCAACAGGGUCAUUCUAGAGUUUGAAAAUACUAAUAAAAUAUUUUUUGAGGCCAAAUCAUUAUAAAAAUAAUUACUAAUGAUUUUUUUCAUAGCAUUUUUUUGUCCAUGUAUGUAUGUAUGUAUGUAUAGAUAUAGAAAAUGUUCAUAUAUGAUGUUUUUUUGUUCAUAACAAUUUUUUUCCAUGUAUGUAUGUAUGUAUGUAUGUAUUUUUUUAGAUGUGCUCUGUUUUUUCAGAUGAGAUGAAAUGAUAUGAGAUGAGAUGUAUGAGAUGUCCAUUUGUUGUAUAAACAUAAUCCCGAUAACUUCAAUUCCCCUCGGGCUUAUAUUUUUGUGAGCAUAGAAGUUUUUUAACUUGUAUGUAUUUGAUCACCGCGGAUAGUUGCGACAGGAGUUUUCCCUUUGAUUUUGAGGCAUAUGAUCUAGAUAAUGUCCAAUGCCUCAUAUCACGAACAUAGUUAUAUUGGACAAUUGAUCUUCAUAUAAACGAAGCAUAAAAGUUUAGCAACCAGUUUAGCAAUCACUUAGAAACAACGUUGUUGAGGCCACCCCAAACCCUAGACGAAGAAAGAGCGUUGUUGAUCUACCCCAUCCCGCCCCUACCCGUAAUUGUUAUGUUCAUUGUUGUCAUUAGCUAUGUAUAUGUUUGUGCUUAUGAUUCCUUGUUGUGAUAUUAUCUAGGUUAUGUUUGCCACUAAUAUAUCCAUCUCAUGUUUGUAUAUUAAUUGCCAUGUUGUAAUAUUUGCAGAAACUAUGGAUCAAAGAGACUUGGAACAAGAAGAGUUGUUGGGGGACAUAAUCCGCGACAGACGUGAUGUAUUGUCGUAUCUCAACGACACCGAUGGUCAGAAAGGAGAGGAUGACUGCUCCGGUGACCGAACGGAGGAGGUAGCUGUUGCAAAGUCCGGCGAGGUAUAUAUAUUAAUUAAGCCUGUGCUGACUAAUUGACGCAUUAAUUGUUUUGGUAUGUACAUAUAUUAACGCUUCUUUCUUAUUUUAUAGCCCUCCAGAUCAAGCCAAACUUCCAUAACGAGACGAGGCCUGAAGAAAAGGUUGCGCCAGGAUGAAAGGUUCAUGAUCACAGAAAUCGCGGGCAAUGGCCAACCAAUUGAACCCAAGCGGACCAAGGACGCCAUUUGUUGCUCAGUGCGGAGCUAUUGUUGGGGACACCAUCCCAAUCAACAUCCAGCAAUGGAAUAAGCCGGCUAAGGCCGGCGACCCUGAAGUUUCUUAUGUCAAUGAUAGACAGAAAGUUGAUCUUUGGACCUGCUGAAGGCAAAUUUCACCCUACCGCCAGAGGAGGAUCUGGAUAAGCAAGUUAUAGAGACAAAGGUCAAGUCAUAUGCUCUUAAGAAGAUGGCAGAUCUAUUCAGGAGGUGGAAGAAAGAGUUGAACACAAACUUUGUUGACAAAGGGAAGACUCCAGAAUUCACGGCCGAUUUGAGAAGAUAAGAGAUCACUGGCCCGCAUUUGUGGCCUACAAGACAUCAGAGAAGGGUAAGAAAAUGUCAGAGAUAACACAAGAAAAAUGCUGCAAAGAAGUUGUAUCACCAACGCACGGGGUUAGGUGGCUACCUCAAAGCUCGGCCGUUGUGGGACAAAGCUGAGAAAGACCUGAUUGCUAAGGGGGUCCAACCAGCGACACUGAACUGGCCAGACUAUUCAAGGACUUGGUACUUCCGGGUUGGGGGAACUUUGGACCCAGAAACAGGGGAGUGUUGUUGGACGGACGAGUAACUUGUAAUACCAGUCAAGAAGCUUAAGAAUUAUAUCGCUGCAACGCAGAAAGGGACGUUCAUUCCCGACAAAGUGAAGGACGAGAUGUCUGAGGCCCUCGGGAAUCCUAAGCACCCUAGACAAACACGAGGCACACCAGGCUCUGUUGCAUGGGUGCAUGGGUUCCCCGAUGCAAGCGGUUACAAAAAGCGAGAGAGAAAGAGGAAAGUGGAGCAGAGCAAAAUGGAGACAAUCAAAGCAAGAUUAGCGAAGCUAGAGGAAUUUGCAACUGCCGGCCAACCAUCUCAGUGGCUCGAAGCUACCCCAGAAGCUACCCCGCCAUCUCAGCGGAGAAGCAGCGUGGCUUCCAUGGAGCUAGCCCAGCCUGAUUUGACGGCUCCUCGCUACCCCGUGGAUACUAUCACGGAGGCUGAUAACCCACAAGUAUAGGGGAUCGCAACAGUUUUCGAGGGUAGAGUAUUCAACCCAAAUUUAUUGAUUCGACACAAGGGGAGCCAAAGAAUAUUCUCAAGUAUUAGCAGCUGAGUUGUCAAUUCAACCACACCUGAAAUACUUAAUAUCUGCAGCAAAGUAUUUAGUAGCAAAGUAGUAUGGAAGUAAUGGUAACAGUGGCAAAAGCAAUAGUAGCAGUUUUGUAGCAAUUGUAACAGUGGCAACGGUAAAGUAACUUAGCAAAGAUCAAUAUGAAACGAGCUCGUAGGCAAUGGAUCAAUGAUGGAUAAUUAUGUCGGAUGACAUUUAUCAUGCAACAAUUAUAACAUAGGGUGACACAGAACUAGCUCCAGUUCAUCAAUAUAAUGUAGGCAUGUAUUCCGAAUAUAGUCAUACGUGCUUAUGGAAAAGAACUUGCAUGACAUCUAUUGUCCUAUCCUCUCGUGGCAACAGGGUCCUAAGGGAUAUUAAGGCCUCCUUUUAAUAGAGUACCGGACCAAAGCAUUAGCACUUAGUGAAUACAUGAACUCCUCAAACCACGGUCAUCACCGGGAAGUAUCCCGACUAUUGUCACUCCGAGGUUGCCGGAUCAUAACACGUAGUAGGUGACUAUAACUUGCAAGAUAUGAUCAAGAACACUCAUAUAUUCAUGAAAACAUAAGAGGUUCAGAUAUGAAAUCAUGGCACUCGGGCCCUAGUGACAAGCAUUAAGCAUGGCAAAGUCACAACAACAUCAAUCUUAGAACAUAAUGGAUACUAGGGAUCAAACCCUAACAAAACUAACUCAUUACAUGGUAAAUCUCAUCCAACCCAUCACUGUCCAGCAAGCCUACGAUGGGAUUACUCACGCACAACGGUGAGCAUCAUGAAAUUGGUGAUGGAGGAUGGUUGAUGAUGACGAUGGCGAUGAAUUCCCCUCUCCGGAGCCCCGAACGGACUCCAGAUCAGCCUUCCCAAGGAAGAACAGGGCUUGGCGGUGGCUCCGUAUCAUAAAACGCGAUGAAUCCUUCUCUCUGUUUUUUCUCCCUAAUCAUGAAUAUAUGGAGUUGGAGUUGAGGUCGGUGAAGGUCCAGGGGGCCCAUGAGAUAGGGCGACACGACCAGGGGGGUAGGGCGCGCCUCCCACCCUCGUGGCCAGGGUGUGGGCCCCCUUCAGCUGAUUCUUUCGCCAGUAUUUUUUAUUAAUUCCAAAAAAUAUCUCCGAGAAGUUUCAGGUCAUUCUGAGAACUUUUAUUUCUACACAAAAGUAACACCAUGGCAGUUCUGCUGAAAACAACGCCAGUCCAGGUUAGUUCCAUUCAAAUCAUGCAAAUUAGAGUCCAAAACAAGGGCAAAAGAGUUUGGAUAAGUAGAUACGUUGGAGACGUGUCAACUCCCCCAAGCUUAACCCAUUGCUUGUCCUCAAGCAAUUCAGUUGACAAAGUGAAAGUGAUAAAGAAAAACUUGUACAAACUUUGUUUGAUCUUGUUGUUGCAAAUAUGUAAAGCCAACAUUCAAGUUUUCAGCAAAGAUCAUGAACUAACCAUAUUCACAAUAACAUUUAGGUCUCACGUUUACUCAUAUCUUUGGCAUAAUCAACUAGUGAGUAAUAAUAAUAAAUUUCGGAUGACAACACUUUCUCAAAACAAUCAUGAUAUGAUAUAACAAGAUGGUAUCUCGAUAGCCCUUUCUGAGACCGCAUAACAUAAAUGCAGAGCACCGCUGAAGAUCAAGGACUGACUAGACAUUGUAAUUCAUGACACAAGAGAUCCAGUCACAGUCAUACUCAAUGUAAAUUAAUAACAAUGCAUACAAAUGAAAGUGGUGCUCUCUAACUGGUGCUUUUUAUAAGAGGAUGAUGACUCAACAGAAAAGUAAAUUGAUAGGCCCUUCGCGGAGGGAAGCAGGGAUUUACAGAGGUGCCAGAGCUCGAGUUUUGAAACAUAGAUAAAUAAUAUUUUGAGCAGUAUACUUUCAUUGUCAACACAAGAACCAAGAGAUCUCGGUAUCUUCCAUGCUACAUACAUUAUAGGCGGUUCCCAAAUAGAAUGCUAAAGUUUAUACUCCCCCAUCACCAACAAGCACAUUCCAUGACUAGUCCGAAACUACGGGUACCGUCCAACUAACAACAAUCCCGGGGGAGUUUUGUUUGCAAUUAUUUUUAUUUGAUCUGAGCAUGGGACUGGGCAUCCCGGUUACUGGCCAUUUUCUCGUGAAUGAUGAGCGGAGUCCACUCAUCGUGAGAAUAACCCACCUAGAAUGGAAAAUAUAGACAACCCUAGUUGACGCAUAAGCGAUUCGAGCAUACAAAACCAAAUGGCCCGGCCCAGUCUUGGGCGACCUGUGCGUUCCUUGAACUAUUUGUCGGUUUGUGCGACAAAUAAGGUCUUUUUAACGCCUGGGCAGGAUAAUUACUGGGUUGGCUUUGUUGGGCUGGAGUGCGCCCGGCCCAAUUGCGGAAUUCUGGAGAAACUUUUUGUCUUUUCUAGUAGAUGCACAAAAAUUUAGUACCACCUCGGAUAGAAAAAAUAUUUUCGAUGAUGAACGGAUGAAAAUAUUCGAGAAACACACUUUGCUUUAUUAGUAGGUAUAGAUUUUCACUUUUGCAGAAAACCCCAGAUAAUUAUUGAUAAUCAACCCACAUGAUAGUUUUAAGUCAGAUUUUUGUUUUGUUAGGAAACUAGCGGUGUGACCCGCGCAUUUGCGCGGCUAGAUUAGUUACACAUUGUUAUGAUUAUUUCUUUAUUUGUAUUUUAUUUAUUUUUCUAAUUGCAAAAUGUUUAUUUUUAUUUAUUUAUAAUAGAAUUUCCAAAUGUUAUAAAAUUAUAUAGCCAUAUUACCACAUGACUAUGAAUUAUUUGUCCCACAUAUAUUAGCACAUGACUAUACAAUUUUUGUUUUACAUGAUCUACUGUCUUAUCUUAUUCAGGUGCACAACUGAACAAUCUAUUAAGUCAUCAAUAGUGAUGUUUCUGUUUAAGAAUGGAAGUUAAAGAUCCCGUGGGUUGCCAUGCAAAAACAACACUUUCAUACUAAUAUGUAAGUUCCAGUUUACACCCUAGCGAUCCCGCAAAAAAAAAGUUUACACUCUAGCUCCCAUCGUUAGCUAGGAUUAAGUAGAGUUCUUUUCUUUAAUCUAUCUCAUCAUUAGACAUAAUUUAUUUGUGUCAUCCUUCGAUAUGUUUUCUUCCACUUCUUUUUUUGGGGGGGUGGGAGGGGGGAUUAUUUAUUUUAAUUGUUUGUCACUUCUACAUAUGAGGUAAUACCAUCCCUCCAUUGUACAUUUUUGCACAAAAAAUAUAUAAAAUGGCACAAUAUGUGUCUUCCCUACUAUUUUUGCUAUUAAAAACAUAUUGUCAUACUUUCCUUUGUGCUCACUCUUAGAGUGCCUUGUUCUUUCUGGUCAUUUUCAUGUCUGUUUUAGGUCGAUUUAUGCCGUUAGAAUAUUAGCAUGAUUUCAAUUUGCGAGGACACUGUUUUUUGUGUCAUGCAAUUAAUACACUUAUUGGCCGCACACAUAGUAUAUUGUCAUUGUUUUUAAUCACCCAAUUUCAUCUAUCUCAUAUACUAAGUGAUUCUUGUCCAUUUAAGGGCAUCUCCAGCCGCGCCCCCAAGAAGGCCCCCCGGGCGCCUUUUCGUCCGCCGGCGCCAAAAAAUUGGUCCAGUCACGCCCCCAAGAGCCCAUUUUUCACCGGCUCGGGCCGAAAUUGGCGACGGCGGACUCAACCUGAACCCGAUGUGCUGGGGGUCGCUCGGGUGCGCCGGGCGAAUCGUUUUUGGCGCGAAGAGCCGCGGGCCCACCGCGUCAGCGACUCUAUCCUCUUCUCGCCCCUUCGUUGUCCUCAUCGCCUCGUUUCCCGCGACGAAUCAAUGCCAAAGCUGCCGCGCGCUGCCGCGCCGGUCAGCCUCCAUUGAUGCCUCACGGGUGGCGCAGUGAAGGCUGGGCGGCGCGUCCCUCGGCCGCCACGCAAUGACGCCACGCGUAACGCGCCGGCCAAGCCUACCACGCGGCGUCUCCGCCUAUAAAAGCCGUCUGCAAGCGCGCCGGAGAGACUCACCUCGAUCAUCCACCGACGACGCGCUCAUUUCUCCCCCUUUCCACCUCUCGCCGCCAGUUGAAAAAGAAUGGCCGAGCAUUUCCCAGGCGAUGGCGCGACGGCGAAUGGAUUCGGGCGCCGUCAUCUGCACAAGGGCGAGGCUCGCCUCCUUUUCGAGGCCGAGUACCCGGUCCCGCCGGACAUGCGGGUGCCCGGGGCUUGGAGGAUCAGCGCCGGCGGCGUGCCGGUGCCACCACCACCCACCGGGGCGACGCGGCGUGCGGAGAUCGCAUGCAUCCGCGCGUCCCUGCCGCGGGCGGCGAGGGAGGGGCCACGGUACGUCCCCGACAGCCCGCUCUGGGAGCCCUACUUCCGCCACCAUCACGCCGAGCAGCUCGAGGCCACCAACGGCGUCGUGCCCUCCGGCAGGCUCAACUCCGAUGGCCGGCGCCGGUGGUGGGGCGUGCCCAGCCGCACGUUGGAGGCCGUUCUCGAGUACAUCGAGGGCGGCAACACGUCGCGCCUCGAGUACCCCGCUCCCCCGUCAUCCUCACGCCGCCGGGGAAGCUCCUGGACGCCGAGGCGCAUGGAGACCGGGGCGUCCUCCUCCUCGUCCGGCGGCUCUCCCUGCCUCCACCUCCGCCCCGUCAAGCCGGAGCCCCAGGACACGCCUGUCAGCGCGCAUACCUGCAGCUCCGGCGGCUCUACCUGCCUCCACCUCCGCCCCGUCAAGCCGGAGCCCCAGGACACGCCUGUUCGCGCGCAUACCCAUAGCUCUGGCGCCCUCGUUGAGCCCAAGGUGGAGUCCAGCCUCCCCCCGGAGUACGAGGAGAUAGCCCGGCGCGGCUUCUCCGACGAGGACGCCAUGCGGUGGUCGCGCGAGGACUACGUGCGCGAGGAGAUGGUCCGGCAGCGCCGGGCCCUGGAGGAGAUCGCCGCCCGCAAACGUGGGCGCGAGGGCGAGGACGGUGUCAUCGUCCUCGAUAGCUCCGACGACGACGCCCCCGGACCGUCCAACCCGCCGCGCCAACCGGGGGAGGGAUGUAGCAGGGACGGCGGAGGCGUAGGCGGGGGUGACGACGACGACGACGACGGCGGCGGCGGCGGCGGCGGUGACUACACGCGGUUCUACAGCCUCCUCGGCAUGUAGAACCGCGUGGGGCGAGCGGCGAGGGAGACGGCGGGGGUAGCCCACGGUAGUUUUUUUUUCUUUUUUUUGUAAAAUAUGUUUAAAUUCGAACGAACUCGCCCGUGUUUGCGUUGUGUUUGCGCCGAAUUUGGAUAUUUUAAAAACCCGUGGGGGGCCGUGACUGGGGGGCAUCACGCCCCCAGUGCGCGGUUUAGCGCCGGUGCGCCCCCAGGGGGCGAUUUUUUGCCCCUCCUGGAGGGCCAACGGCUGGAGAUGCCCUAAUACUUGAGGUAUAAGGCCCUGUUUGGUUCCAAAUAAAUCACCAACUUAUAAGUCGAAAAGUACAAAAAGUGACUUAUUUUGCCAAACGAACCCAACUUAUAAGUCACCCCAACUUAUAAGUCAUAAGUUGCUCCAAUCCAACUUAAAACUUAUAAGUCACUCCCUUUUGCGUGGGUCCCAUCACCUUUAUAUUAAAAAACAAGGUGGGAAGAUGUGCUCAGAUGACUUAUAAAUCAGGUGAUAAUCAAACAAACGUGACUUAUAAAUCACUGAUUUUAAGUCACCUAACUUAUAAGUCAGGUGACUUAUUGAAACCAAACAGGGCCUAAGAUGUCGCCUCUCCACCACCUGAAUUGUGUGAAGCCUCGGAGUAACCAAUGGUUCACACACGCAUAGUGUUGUCCAUACAGUGUGUACUCAACAACUAUUUUAACCUUACCUCUAUGCAUUUAUCCAUUUUUAAGAAACCCAUGCAUGUUGAUAGAUAUCACCCGAGAGAUGUUCCCUUAUUGUUGGUCCAAUAACUAUAUAUAUUGCAUGCUGCCAAAUCCAGAUUAGACUGUCAAAUUUAUUUCAGUUUCACCCAAGACACUAAAACUUGGGAUCGCUAUUUCUCUAACAAACCCGUACUGCUCCUUUAUUAACUAUUGUUCUGAUCCGACUCAAAUUUUCUAACUAACUUGUACUACUCUUUAUUUACUAUUGUUCAGAUCCGACUCAUAUUUUCUUUUCUUCGUGCUUUAACAGCUAUACAUAAUCUAAAGCGUUAAAUUUUUUAAAUGAAUGAUAAAGUAACGAUGCAAUCUAUUUGUUCGUUGUUUUAAUUACAAAAUAAAUUAGAUAUAUAUUCUGGGCUUUUUUUGCGGGAAUAUAUAUCAAACGUUAGCUUCAUUUAUGUGGGUCGCAUGUAUAUUAAGUUGCUUUUUUCCUUAUCCCAAAUUUCAUAACGUAUAAUGUAUAUUAAAAAUUUAAAUGACGCAAGAGGUUCAUAUAUAAAUUUGAUUGUAUUGUUUGUCCACCUAAUAGUAUAUGUAUCUAGUAUGUUUAUUUUGAACAAUCUGACUCAAAACCUCGAUCAUGUGUGAUGAACCACAUUCUUGUAGAUUCCAACUUAAAAUGAUAAAUUCAGUGGCUUUGUUUGUACAGGUUGAAUGCUUGUUUGCUUGGCCCGAAUAUUAUUUCGUCGGCGUUGAUCACCAAUUCCUUUUUUGGGAAUUGUAUGUAUAUUUUUAGAUGAAUUGCAUGCAUGUUCUUUCUGAAAGACUUGCACCUAUAUUUUCUUGGAAAGACCCACCUGUACAUUUUUUAUAUGUUCAUGAUGGAUUCGGCUUGCCUGCUUCCUUUCCAUGCUCCCAUCCGUGCUCCCACCUCAUCCAACGGUUGUAUUUUUUCCUUUUUUCUUUCUAAUCUAAUCAUCUCCCCCCCUGAUUUUAAGGGGGUGGGGCCGGGCUUUAUUUUGUUCCAAUCAAAUCAAGCCACGUAUGCGGGAGCACGGAUGGGCACACGGAAGGGGAGCAGGCAAGUCUCGUCCGUUCAUGACUGUUUUUUUAAUAUCUACGCAUGACUCAAGUUGUCUGAUGUUGGAUGCAUGUUUUUGUAAAGACUUGCACGUAGUUUUUUCACAUUGGUACAGGACCUAGAUGGGCAAGUGCGCUUGUUGUAGAUUGCUUGGACUCACCCAAGCGGCAUGUACGUAGAUGUCCUAUGCUUGUGCGUGUCAUGGCCGACGUAGGCCCCCCUUCUUUUCUCUUUGUUUCAGGAAACUAACCUAAUCGUUUGUGUCCGACGAUAAAUUAACUUUGUAUACGUGAUAGGUUGUACAUGCAAGGUAUCGGAAUUGCUUUUUUAUUUUUGACCGACCCGUACAGCUUUUUCAUUAAAUAUUGCUUUGAUCAGACUGAAAUUUCCUUUUCCUUGUUCUUUACGCCCGAACAUAUUAUCUCCAGCGUGACACAACGUACAUAACAAUAUUGUACAUUCCAUGAUAGUUGGGUUAAUCAACCUGCAGUACAUAUAAAAUAUUUUUUUGAGCAUCAGUACAAACACAAGCGCUCAUAUACACGCGCAUACACUCAUCCCUAUGAACGCACACACGCACACCCUACCCCUAUGAGCACCUCCGAGAGACUGAGCCGCCAUAUCAUCUUGAGAUUUACGAAGUCACCGUAGGCGCCUAGUCGUCGACGGGAACGUCUCCUCCCACUGAAAGCGCAUCGCCGGAAAUCCUGAAAUAAAUCCAGGAUUAAUGCGAGCACCAGGAUUUGAACCCUGGUGGGUUGGGGAUAGCACUGUCCAUCUAACCAACUCAACCACAGGUGUUUUCUUAAAAGUAUCCGUAUCUUUUAAACUGUGACUUCAAAUUUAAUAUGUUAUAUAAAAUUUGAUUAGAAAAACUAAUCAUCAACCCAUGCACCAGCACAGGCUAGAACGUUUGUUGUCACUGUACUUGCUACUUUUGUACAAAAUAGUGUCUAAAUUUAUUUUUCACAUAUUAGUUACAUAUAGGGACACAUAUUUUUUUGAUGAUGUUUUAAUUUUCAGACAAAAUGAUAAAUCCUCAAAGUCUUGCAAAGCCAAAAUGCAAUCAUAGUCUUAUAAUAUUUUGAGCGAACAUGCAAUUUUAUCUACUAAGAUCGCAAUAUACAAUUCGUAUAAAUAGACGCAUGUAUAUUGAAAGCUUAAAACCAAAUUCAAUAAUUGAUAUUUCUCUUUAAAAAAUACGAUAAUGCAACCGCAAGUUCGGGGACCCAUAAAAGCAAAAUACUGCUUCACCAUAUUUUAGAACAAUAUAAUGAAUAUGUAAAAAAACAGAAUGGAGUUGAAUAUCCCAUGUUGAUUCCUAUACAUAACAAAAAGUAAGUAGUAAAACAUUAUCGUCCAAACAAAAUGUUAAUUUACAAUACUUUGGCUUUCAAGGUUAAUCAUCUAGCGCAUUGCACAUUUCAGAAUGAACAUCCUCUACAAAGCAACAUAGCUUGGCAAAUAUGCAUGCAAAUAUCAAGGAUUUCUGCAACGCGGAAUUAUGAAAAAAAAACUGUACGCCAGAAUAUGAAACUUAACACCGAAGAAUCCCCCAACUAAGAGACAGUCUAACACUAAUAGAAAACAGGGUUUUGAUCCAGGCCUGAAGAGGGCAUUAAUCCCGGUUCUCAUACGAACCGAGACCAAUAGGAGCAUUAGUCCCAGUUCAUGAGGCCAGGGGGCGGCCGGGCCUCGGGGGCCAAUGGUCCCGGUUCGUGUGACCCCUUUGGUCCCGGUUCCAGACACGAACAGGGACCAAUGGGCCUUGAUCCUGGCCCACAACCUUUAGUCCCAGUUUGUGUCUGGAACCGGGACCAAAUAGAGGCCUAUAUAUACCUUGCCCGCGAGCAGAGCAGUGCACUCUUUGUUUUUUUAGCUAGCCGUGGGAGAGCUUUGUGGUGCUCUAGCUCACCUCCUAUGCACAUGAGGUGUUCGAUGAAAUACCCGAGCUACACUUUAUAAGCUUUCUCCUCUCGAAAUUCCUUGUCCCAACUCCAUUUUCCUCAAGAUUUGUCUAGGUUUGUGAUACGUCUCCAACAUAUCUAUAAUUUUUGAUUGUUCCAUGAUAUUAUAUUAUCCAUCUAGGAUGUUUUAUAUGCAUUUAUAUGCUAUUUUAUAUGAUUUUUGGGACUAACCUAUUAACCUAGAGCCUAGUGCCAGUUUCUGUUUUUUCCUUGUUUUUGAGUAUCACAGAAAAGGAAUACCAAAUGGAGUCCAAUUGACGUGCCAAUUUUUGAUGAUUUUUUAUGGACAAAAAGAAGCCCCCAGAGUAAAAGAGUUGGGCCAGAAGAGUGCCGGGCUGUCCAUGAGGGUGGGGGGUGCGCCCUACCCCCCUGGGCAUGGGCCCUAUCUCGUGGACGACUUGGAGACCCCCCUAACGUGAGACCGACGCCAAAAAUUCAUAUAAAUACCGAAACCUCCAGAACAUAACCUAGAUCGGGAGUUCCGCCGCCGCAAAGUCUCUGUAGCCACCAAAAACCAAUCGGGACCCUGUUCCGGCACCCUGCCGGAGGGGGGAUCCCUCAUCGAUAGACAUCUUCAUCAUCCCGGCGCUCUCCAUGACAAGGAGGGAGUAGUUCACCCUCGAGGCUGAGGGUAUGUACCAGUAGCUAUGUGUUUGAUCUCUCUCUCUCUCUCGUGUUCUUGAUUUGACACGAUCUUGAUGUAUCGCGAGCUUUGCUAUUAUAGUUGGAUCUUAUGAUGUUUCUCCCCCUCUACUCUCUUGUAAUGGAUUGAGUUUUCCCUUUGAAGUUAUCUUAUUGGAUUGAGUCUUUAAGGAUUUGAGAACACUUGAUGUAUGUCUUGCGUGGGAUACCCGUGGUGACAAUGGGGUAUUCUAUUGAUCUACUUGAUGUAUGUUUUGGUGAUCAACUUGCGGGUUCAGUGACCUUGGGAAUCUAUGCAUAGGGAUUGGCACACGUUUUCGUCUUGACUCUCCGGUAGAAACUUUGGGGCACUCUUUGAAGUACUUUGUGUUGGUUUGAAUAGAUGAAUAUGAGAUUGUGUGGUGCAUAUCGUAUAAUCAUACCCACGGAUACUUGAGGUGACAUUGGAGUAUCUAGGUGACAUUAGGGUUUUGGUUGAUUUGUGUCUUAAGGUGUUAUUCUAGUACGAACUCUAGGAUAGAUCGAACGGAAAGAAUAGCUUCGUGUUAUUUUACUACGGACUCUUGAAUAGAUCGAUAAGAAAGGAUAACUUUGAGGUGGUUUCGUACCCUACAAUAAUCUCUUCGUUUGUUCUCCACUAUUAGUGACUUUGGAGUGACUCUUUGUUGCAUGUUGAGGGAUAGUUAUAUGAUCCAAUUAUGUUAUUAUUGUUGAGAGAACUUGCACUAUUGAAAGUAUGAACCCUAGGCCUUGUUUCAACGCAUUGGAAUACCGUUUUCGCUCACUUUUAUCAUUAGUUACCUUGCUGUUUUUAUGUUUUCAGAUUACAAAAACCUAUAUCUACCAUCCAUAUUGCACUUGUAUCACCAUCUCUUCGCCGAACUAGUGCACCUAUACAAUUUACCAUUGUAUUGGGUGUGUUGGGGACACAAAAGACUCUUUGUUAUUUGGUUGCAGGGUUGUUUGAGAGAGACCGUCUUCAUCCUAUGCCUCCCACGGAUUGAUAAACCUUAGGUCAUGCACUUGAGGGAAAUUUGCUACUAUCCUACAAACCUCUGCACUUGGAGGCCCAACAACGUCUACAAGAAGAAGGUUAUGUAGUAGACAUCAGUUUGGUGGUCCUUCCUGUCCCGUCCACGUCCUCACUACCGUCGAUCGCCCGCGCCGAUCUCGUCGCCGGCGCCACUGUGGUGAGCCUCUUGUUCUUAUCUUCUUUCUAAAAGAAAAAAAACUCUUACUUAUAUGAUUUAGAUUGCUACUUGUAUAAUUUUCUUACUUUUAUUAUUGUUUGAAUGUUUGUUAUUAUAUAGUGCGAUGGUUUUGGUAUUCGCCCCCGUCGGCCCUCGUCCUGUCUAUGAUUCGGAUGUGGUAUAUACUAUCUUUUAUAACUAUUUCUUUCAUUUAGUGUUUAUGACAAUUAUGCCGACCAACAUGACAUAGAUGUUUUAUGUAGGAGGUAUAUGGACCGAAAAUUCCAACUGACCCUCUUGUCGAGAGGUUAAAAUUUAGUUGAAAAGAAAACGAUUACUUGAAGAAAAAAUUGAAAAUAAUUGAGGAGGAGAAGAUGGCAUUGGAGUUGCAUGUUGCGGAUAUCAUCGAUGAUCACAAGAUCAAGAUGGAUAAAAUGCGCUUGAAGAUUAGAAAGAUUAAAAAAUAUGCCAUUCAUACUGAGGCUUGGUAUCAUUAUGCCGUUGGAUCAAUUGUUACCUUAGUUGCGAUUAUGAUCGCAUAUGUUGUUGCAUUGAAAUGUUUUACAUAGUUUCAAUGUAUGGUUUAAUUAUGCUCUCGAGAGCUAUAUGAAAACAUAUCGGAGGUGGAGGCAGGUAGAGCCGCCGGAGCUGCGGGUACGCGCGCUGACAGGCGUGUCCUGGGGCUCCGGCUUGACAGGGCGGAGGUGGAGGCAGGGAGAGCCGCCGGACGAGGAGGAGGACGCCCCGGUCUCCAUGCGCCUCGGCGUCCAGGAGCUUCCCCGGCGGCGUGAGGAUGACGGGGGAGCAGGGUACUCGAGGCGCGACGUGUUGCCGCCCUCGAUGUACUCGAGAACGGCCUCCAACGUGCGGCCGGGCACGCCCCACCACCGGCGCCGGCCAUCAGAGUUGAGCCUGCCGGAGGGCACGACGCCGUUGGUGGCCUCGAGCUGCUCGGCGUGAUGGCGGCGGAAGUAGGGCUCCCAGAGCGGCCUGUCGGGGACGUACCGUGGCCCCUCCCUCGCCGCCCGCGGCAGGGACGCGCGGAUGCAUGCGAUCUCCGCACGCCGCUCUGACCAUCUCAUCAUUAGACAUAAUUUAUUUGUGUCAUCCUUCGAUAUGUUUUCUUCCACUUCUUUUUUUUUGGGGGUGGGAGGGGGGGAUUAUUUAUUUUAAUUGAUUGUCACUUCUGCAUAUGAGGUAAUACCAUCCCUCCAUUGUACAUUUUUGCACAAAAAAUAUAUAAAAUGGCACAAUAUGUGUCUUCCCUACUAUUUUUGCUAUUAAAAACAUAUUGUCAUACUUUCCUUUGUGCUCACUCUUAGAGUGCCUUGUUCUUUCUGGUCAUUUUCAUGUCUGUUUUAGGUCGAUUUAUGCCGUUAGAAUAUUAGCAUGAUUUCAAUUUGCGAGGACACUGUUUUUUGUGUCAUGCAAUUAAUACACUUAUUGGCCGCACACAUAGUAUAUUGUCAUUGUUUUUAAUCACCCAAUUUCAUCUAUCUCAUAUACUAAGUGAUUCUUGUCCAUUUAAGGGCAUCUCCAGCCGCGCCCCCAAGAAGGCCCCCCGGGCGCCUUUUCGUCCGCCGGCGCCAAAAAAUUGGUCCAGUCACGCCCCCAAGAGCCCAGUUUUCACCGGCUCGGGCCGAAAUUGGCGACGGCGGACUCAACCCGAACCCGAUGUGCUGGGGGUCGCUCGGGUGCGCCGGGCGAAUCGUUUUUGGCGCGAAGAGCCGCGGGCCCGCCGCGUCAGCAACUCUAUCCUCUUCUCGCCCCUUCGUCGUCCUCAUCGCCUCGUUUCCCGCGACGAAUCAAUGCCAAAGCUGCCGCGCGCUGCCGCGCCGGUCAGCCUCCAUUGAUGCCUCACGGGCGACGCAGUGAAGGCUGGGCGGCGCGUCCCUCGGCCGCCACGCAAUGAUGCCACGCGUAACGCGCCGGCCAAGCCUACCACGCGGCGUCUCCGCCUAUAAAAGCCGUUUGCAAGCGUGCCGGAGAGACUCACCUCGAUCAUCCACCGACGACGCGCUCAUUUCUCCCCCUUUCCUCCUCUCGCCGCCAGUUGAAAAAGCAUGGCCGAGCAUUUCCCAGGCGAUGGCGCGGCGGCGAAUGGAUUCGGGCUCCGUCAUCUGCACAAGGGCGAGGCUCGCCUCCUUUUCGAGGCCGAGUACCCGGUCCCGCCGGACAUGCGGGUGCCCGGGGCUUGGAGGAUCAGCGCCGGCGGCGUGCCGGUGCCACCACCACCCACCGGGGCGACGCGGCGUGCGGAGAUCGCAUGCAUCCGCGCGUCCCUGCCGUGGGCGGCGAGGGAGGAGCCACGGUACGUCCCCGACAGCCCGCUCUGGGAGCCCUACUUCCGCCGCCAUCACGCCGAGCAGCUCGAGGCCACCAACGGCGUCGUGCCCUCCGGCAGGCUCAACUCCGAUGGCCGGCGCCGGUGGUGGGGCGUGCCCGGCCGCACAUUGGAGGCCGUUCUCGAGUACAUCGAGGGCGGCAACACGCCGCGCCUCGAGUACCCCGCUCCCCCGUCAUCCUCACGCCGCUGGGGAAGCUCCUGGACACCGAGGCGCAUGGAGACCGGGGCGUCCUCCUCCUCGUCCGGCGGCUCUCCCUGCCUCCACCUCCGUCCUGUCAAGCCGGAGCCCCAGGACACGCCUGUCAGCGUGCGUACCCGCAGCUCCGGCGGCUCUACCUGCCUCCACCUCCGCCCCGUCAAGCCGGAGCCCCAGGACACGCCUGUCCGGGCGCGUACCCACAGCUCCGGUGCCCUCGUCGAGCCCAAGGUGGAGUCCAGCCUCCCCGGCGCGGCUUCUCCGACGAGGACGCCAUGCGGUGGUCGCGCGAGGACUACGUGCGCGAGGAGAUGGUCCGGCAGCGCCGGGCCCUGGAGGAGAUCGCCGCCCGCAAACGUGGGCGCGAGGGCGAGGACGGUGUCGUCGUCCCCGAUAGCUCCGACGACGACGCCCCCGGACCGUCCAACCCGCCGCGCCAACUGGGGGAGGGAUGUAGCAGGGACGGCGGAGGCGUAGGCGGGGGCGACGACGACGACGACGACGACGGCGGCAGUGGUGACUACACGCGGUUCUACAGCCUCCUCGGCCUGUAGAACCGCGUGGGGCGGGCGGCGAGGCGGGCGGCGAGGGAGACGGCGGGGGUAGCCCGCGGUAGUUUUUUUCUUUUUUCUUUGUAAAAUAUGUUUAAAUUCGAACGAACUCGCCCGUGUUUGCGUUGUGUUUGCGCCGAAUUUGGAUAUCUUAAAAACCCGUGGGGGGCCGUGACUGGGGGGCAUCACGCCCCAGUGCGCGGUUUAGCGCCGGUGCGCCCCCAGGGGGCGAUUUUUUGCCCCUCCUGGGGGACCAACGGCUGGAGAUGCCCUAAUACUUGAGGUAUAAGGCCCUGUUUGGUUUCAAAUAAAUCACCAACUUAUAAGUCGAAAAGUACAAAAAGUGACUUAUUUUGCCAAACGAACCCAACUUAUAAGUCACCCCAACUUAUAAGUCAUAAGUUGCUUCAAUCCAACUUAAAACUUAUAAGUCACUCCCUUUUGCGUGGGUCCCAUCACCUUUAUAUUAAAAAAACAAGGUGGGAAGAUGUGCUCAGAUGACUUAUAAAUCAGGCGAUAACCAAACAAACGUGACUUAUAAAUCACUGAUUUUAAGUCACCUAACUUAUAAGUCAGGUGACUUAUUGAAACGAAACAGGGCCUAAGAUGUCGCCUCUCCACCACCUGAAUUGUGUGAAGCCUCGGAGUAACCAAUGGUUCACACACGCAUAUUGUUGUCCAUACAAUGUGUACUCAACAACUAUUUUAACCUUACCUCUAUGCAUUUAUCCAUUUUUAAGAAACCCAUGCAUGUUGAUAGAUAUCACCCGAGAGAUGUUCCCCUAUUGUUGGUCCAAUAACUAUAUAUAUUGCAUGCUGCCAAAUCCAGAUUAGACUGUCAAAUUUAUUUCAGUUUCACCCAAGACACUAAAACUUAGGAUCGCUAUUUCUCUAACAAACCCGUACUGCUCUUUAUUUACUAUUGUUCAGAUCCGACUCAUAUUUUCUUUUCUUCGUGCUUUAACAGCCAUACAUAAUCUAAAGCGUUAAAAUUAUUAAAUCAAUGAUAAAGUAACGAUGCAAUCUAUUUGUUCGUUGUUUUAAUUACGAAAUAAAUUAGAUAUAUAUUCUGGGCUUUUUUUGCGGGAAUAUAUAUCAAACGUUAGCUUCAUUUAUGUGGGUCGCAUGUAUAUUAAGUUGCUUUUUUCCUUAUCCCAAAUUUCAUAACGUAUAAUGUAUAUUAAAAAUUUAAAUGACGCAAGAGGUUCAUAUAUAAAUUUGAUUGUAUUGUUUGUCCACCUAAUAGUAUAUGUAUCUAGUAUGUUUAUUUUGAACAAUCUGACUCAAAACCUCGAUCAUCUGUGAUGAACCACAUUCUUGUAGAUUCCAACUUAAAAUGAUAAAUUCAGUGGCUUUGUUUGUACAGGUUGAAUGCUUGUUUGCUUGGCCCGAAUAUUAUUUCGGCGGCGUUGAUCACCAAUUCCUUUUUUGGGAAUUGUAUGUAUAUUUUUAGAUGAAUUGCAUGCAUGUUCUUUCUGAAAGAUUUGCACCUAUAUUUUCUUGGAAAGACCCACCUGUACAUUUUUUAUAUGUUCAUGACGGAUUCGGCUUGCCUGCUUCCUUUCCAUGCUCCCAUCCGUGCUCCCACCUCAUCCAAUGGUUGUAUUUUUUCCUUUUUUCUUUCUAAUCUAAUCAUCCCCCCCUGAUUUUAAGGGGGUGGGGCCGGACUUUAUUUUGUUCCAAUCAAAUCAAGCCACGUAUGCGGGAGCACGGAUGGGCACACGGAAGGGGAGCAGGCAAGUCUCGUCCGUUCAUGACUGUUUUUUUAAUAUCUACGCAUGACUCAAGUUGUCUGAUGUUGGAUGCAUGUUUUUGUAAAGACUUGCACGUAGUUUUUUCACAUUGGUACAGGACCUAGAUGGGUAAGUGCGCUUGUUGUAGAUUGCUUGGACUCACCCAAGCGGCAUGUACGUAGAUGUCCUAUGCUUGUGCGUGUCAUGGCCGACGUAGGCCCCCCUUCUUUUCUCUUUGUUUCAGGAAACUAACCUAGUCGUUUGUGUCCGACGAUAAAUUAACUUUGUAUACGUGAUAGGUUGUACAUGCAAGGUAUCGGAAUUGCUUUUUUAUUUUUGACCGACCCGUACAGCUUCUUCAUUAAAUAUGGCUUUGAUCAGACUGAUAUUUCCUUUUCCUUGUUCUUUACGCCCGAACAUAUUAUCUCCAGCGUGACACAACGUACAUAACAAUAUUGUACAUUCCAUGAUAGUUGGGUUAAUCAACCAGCAGUACAUAUAAAAUGUUUUUUUUGAGCAUCAGUACAAACACAAGCGCUCAUAUACACGCGCAUACACUCAUCCCUAUGAACGCACACACGCACACCCUACCCCUAUGAGCACCUCCGAGAGACUGAGCCGCCAUAUCAUCUUGAGAUUUACGAAGUCACCGUAGGCGCCUCGUCGUCGACGGGAACGUCUCCUCCCACUGAAAGCGCAUUGCCGGAAAUCCUGAAAUAAAUCCAGGAUUAAUGCGAGCACCAGGCUUUGAACCCUGAUGGGUUGGGGAUACCACUGUCCACCUAACCAACUCAACCACAUGUGUUUUCUUAAAAGUAUCCGUAUCUUUUAAACUGUGACUUCAAAUUUAAUAUGUUAUAUAAAAUUUGAUUAGAAAAACUAAUCAUCAACCCGUGCACCAGCACAGGCUAGAACAUUUGUUGUCACUGUACUUGCUACUUUUGUACAAAAUAGUGUCUAAAUUUAUUUUUCACAUAUUAGUUACAUAUAGGGACACAUAUUUUUUUGAUGAUGUUUUAAUUUUCAGACAAAAUGAUAAAUCCUCAAAGUCUUGCAAAGCCAAAAUGCAAUCAUAGUCUUAUAAUAUUUUGAACGAACAUGCAAUUUUAUCUACUAAGAUCGCAAUAUACAAUUCGUAUAAAUAGACGCAUGUAUAUUGAAAGCUUAAAACCAAAUUCAAUAAUUGAUAUUUCUCUUUAAAAAAUACAAUAAUGCAACCGCAAGUUCGGGGAUCCAUAAAAGCAAAAUACUGCUUCACCAUAUUUUAGAACAAUAUAAUGAAUAUGUAAAAAAACAGAAUGGAGUUGAAUAUCCCAUGUUGAUUCCUAUACAUAACAAAAAGUAAGUAGUAAAACAUUAUCGUCCAAACAAAAUGUUAAUUUACAAUACUUUGGCUUUCAAGGUUAAUCAUCUAGUGCAUUGCACAUUUCAGAAUGAACAUCCUCUACAAAGCAACAUAGCUUGGCAAAUAUGCAUGCAAAUAUCAAGGAUUUCUGCAAUGCGGAAUUAUGAAAAAAAAACUGUACGCCAGAAUAUGAAACUUAACACCGAAAAAUCCCCCAACUAAGAGACAGUCUAACACUAAUAGAAAACAGGGUUUUGAUCCAUGCCUGAAGAGGGCAUUAACCCGGUUCUCAUACGAACCGGGACCAAUAGGAGCAUUAGUCCCAGUUCAUGAGGCCAGGGGGCGGCCGGGCCUCGGGGGCCAAUGGUCCCGGUUCGUGUGACCCCUUUGGUCCCGGUUCCAGACACGAACAGGGACCAAUGGGCCUUGAUCCUGGCCCACAACCUUUAGUCCCAGUUUGUGUCUGGAACCGGGACCAAAUAGAGGCCUAUAUAUACCUUGCCCGCGAGCAGAGCAGUGCACUCUUUGUUUUUUUAGCUAGCCGUGGGAGAGCUUUGUGGUGCUCUAGCUCACCUCCUAUGCACAUGAGGUGUUCGAUGAAAUACCCGAGCUACACUUUAUAAGCUUUCUCCUCUCGAAAUUCCUUGUCCCAACUCCAUUUUCCUCAAGAUUUGUCUAGGUUUGUGAUACGUCUCCAACGUAUCUAUAAUUUUUGAUUGUUCCAUGCUAUUAUAUUAUCCAUCUAGGAUGUUUUAUAUGCAUUUAUAUGCUAUUUUAUAUGAUUUUUGGGACUAACCUAUUAACCUAGAGCCUAGUGCCAGUUUCUGUUUUUUCCCUGUUUUUGAGUAUCACAGAAAAGGAAUACCAAAUGGAGUCCAAUUGACGUGCCAAUUUUUGAUGAUUUUUUAUGGACGAAAAGAAGCCCCCGGAGUAAAAGAGUUGGGCCAGAAGAGUGUCGGGCUGUCCCCGAGGGUGGGGGGUGCGCCCUACCCCCCCUGGGCAUGGGCCCUAUCUCGUGGACGACUUGGAGACCCCCCUAACGUGAGACCGACGCCAAAAAUUCAUAUAAAUACAGAAACCUCCAGAACAUAACCUAGAUCGGGAGUUCCGCCGCCGCAAAGUCUCUGUAGCCACCAAAAACCAAUCGGGACCCUGUUCCGGCACCCUGCCGGAGGGGGGAUCCCUCAUCGAUAGACAUCUUCAUCAUCCCGGCGCUCUCCAUGACAAGGAGGGAGUAGUUCACCCUCGAGGCUGAGGGUAUGUACCAGUAGCUAUGUGUUUGAUCUCUCUCUCUCUCUCGUGUUCUUGAUUUGACACGAUCUUGAUGUAUCGCGAGCUUUGCUAUUAUAGUUGGAUCUUAUGAUGUUUCUCCCCCUCUACUCUCUUGUAAUGGAUUGAGUUUUCCCUUUGAAGUUAUCUUAUUGGAUUGAGUCUUUAAGGAUUUGAGAACACUUGAUGUAUGUCUUGCGUGGGAUACCCGUGGUGACAAUGGGGUAUUCUAUUGAUCUACUUGAUGUAUGUUUUGGUGAUCAACUUGCGGGUUCAGUGACCUUGGGAAUCUAUGCAUAGGGAUUGGCACACGUUUUCGUCUUGACUCUCCGGUAGAAACUUUGGGGCACUCUUUGAAGUACUUUGUGUUGGUUUGAAUAGAUGAAUAUGAGAUUAUGUGAUGCAUAUCGUAUAAUCAUACCCACGGAUACUUGAGGCGACAUUGGAGUAUCUAGGUGACAUUAGGGUUUUGGUUGAUUUGUGUCUUAAGGUGUUAUUCUAGUACGAACUCUAGGAUAGAUCGAACGGAAAGAAUAGCUUCGUGUUAUUUUACUACGGACUCUUGAAUAGAUCGAUAAGAAAGGAUAACUUUGAGGUGGUUUCGUACCCUACAAUAAUCUCUUCGUUUGUUCUCCACUAUUAGUGACUUUGGAGUGACUCUUUGUUGCAUGUUGAGGGAUAGUUAUAUGAUCCAAUUAUGUUAUUAUUGUUGAGAGAACUUGCACUAUUGAAAGUAUGAACCCUAGGCCUUGUUUCAACGCAUUGCAAUACCGUUUUCGCUCACUUUUAUCAUUAGUUACCUUGCUGUUUUUAUAUUUUCAGAUUACAAAAACCUAUAUCUACCAUCCAUAUUGCACUUGUAUCACCAUCUCUUCGCCGAACUAGUGCACCUAUACAAUUUACCAUUGUAUUGGGUGUGUUGGGGACACAAAAGACUCUUUGUUAUUUGGUUGCAGGGUUGUUUGAGAGAGACCGUCUUCAUCCUAUGCCUCCCACGGAUUGAUAAACCUUAGGCCAUGCACUUGAGGGAAAUUUGCUACUGUCCUACAAACCUCUGCACUUGGAGGCCCAACAACGUCUACAAGAAGAAGGUUAUGUAGUAGACAUCAGUUUGGUGGUCCUUCCUGUCCCGUCCACGUCCUCACUACCGUCGAUCGCCCGCGCCGAUCUCGUCGCCGGCGCCACUGUGGUGAGCCUCUUGUUCUUAUCUUCUUUCUAAAAGAAAAAAACUCUUACUUACAUGAUUUAGAUUGCUACUUGUAUAAUUUUCUUACUUUUAUUAUUGUUUGAAUGUUUGUUAUUAUAUAGUGCGAUGGUUUUGGUAUUCGCCCCCGUCGGCCCUCGUCCUGUCUAUGAUUCGGAUGUGGUAUAUACUAUCUUUUAUAACUAUUUCUUUCAUUUAGUGUUUAUGACAAUUAUGCCGACCAACAUGACAUAGAUGUUUUAUGUAGGAGGUAUAUGGACCGAAAAUUCCAACUGACCCUCUUGUCGAGAGGUUAAAAUUUAGUUGAAAAGAAAACGAUUACUUGAAGAAAAAAUUGAAAAUAAUUGAGGAGGAGAAGAUGGCAUUGGAGUUGCAUGUUGCGGAUAUCAUCGAUGAUCACAAGAUCAAGAUGGAUAAAAUGCGCUUGAAGAUUAGAAAGAUUAAAAAAUAUGCCAUUCAUACUGAGGCUUGGUAUCAUUAUGCCGUUGGAUCAAUUGUUACCUUAGUUGCGAUUAUGAUCGCAUAUGUUGUUGCAUUGAAAUGUUUUACAUAGUUUCAAUGUAUGAUUUAAUUAUGCUCUCGAGAGCUAUAUGUUGUUCAAUGAGAACUAUGUAUUAACUUUAUGUAUUUAUUUUUUCAGUAAUAAUAUUUGAUCACUACUGUACUUUGGUUUUAAUGUGAUGAUGAAAUCCCUUUGUAACAGAUGAGUUUUCGUCCGAAGCCCUGAUACUUCGAAAGAGAUUGUCCGUUUUGCACACGAAGUGCAUCCAGUUUUUGCUGUAACCCUCUCAGCUUUUUAGAACAUGCUAUGUGGGUGAAAUGAUGAUACCAUGCCAACUUUCAACCUUUUCAGAGUUCAUUUUAAGUGCUUUUCAAUUUCAGGGUCAUUUAGCUCAAAAAAUCAAUAAAUGCAUGAAAAAUAGCAAAUGAAGUCAGAAAUGGUUGAAAAUUGAUGAUGUGGCUUUGAAUGGUGCAUUUUGAACACACAAAAAGUCUAGAGUUCAAAUAAGUUCAAAUAAAUGAAAUCCCUUUGUAACAGAUGAGUUUUCGUCCGAACCCCUGAUACUUCAAAAGNNNNNNNNNNNNNNNNNNNNNNNNNNNNNNNNNNNNNNNNNNNNNNNNNNNNNNNNNNNNNNNNNNNNNNNNNNNNNNNNNNNNNNNNNNNNNNNNNNNNNNNNNNNNNNNNNNNNNNNNNNNNNNNNNNNNNNNNNNNNNNNNNNNNNNNNNNNNNNNNNNNNNNNNNNNNNNNNNNNNNNNNNNNNNNNNNNNNNNNNNNNNNNNNNNNNNNNNNNNNNNNNNNNNNNNNNNNNNNNNNNNNNNNNNNNNNNNNNNNNNNNNNNNNNNNUUUCAGAGUUCAUUUGAAGUGCUUUUCAAUUUCAGGGUCAUUUAGCUCCAAAAAAAAUCAGUAAAUGCAUGAAAAUAGCAAAUGAAGUGAGAAAUGGUUGAAAAUGGAUGAUGUGGCUUUGAAUGGUUGAAAAUGGAGAUAAUUUAUUUGUGUCAUCCUUCGAUAUGUUUUCUUCCACUUCUUUUUUUGGGGGGUGGGAGGGGGGGGAUUAUUUAUUUUAAUUGUUUGUCACUUCUACAUAUGAGGUAAUACCAUCCCUCCAUUGUACAUUUUUGCACAAAAAAUAUAUAAAAUGGCACAAUAUGUGUCUUCCCUACUAUUUUUGCUAUUAAAAACAUAUUGUCAUACUUUCCUUUGUGCUCACUCUUAGAGUGCCUUGUUCUUUCUGGUCAUUUUCAUGUCUGUUUUAGGUCGAUUUAUGCCGUUAGAAUAUUAGCAUGAUUUCAAUUUGCGAGGACACUGUUUUUUGUGUCAUGCAAUUAAUACACUUAUUGGCCACACACAUAGUAUAUUGUCAUUGUUUUUAAUCACCCAAUUUCAUAUAUCUCAUAUACUAAGUGAUUCUUGUCCAUUUAAGGGCAUCUCCAGCCGCGCCCCCAAGAAGGCCCCCCGGGCGCCUUUUCGUCCGCCGGCGCCAAAAAAUUGGUCCAGUCACGCCCCCAAGAGCCCAGUUUUCACCGGCUCGGGCCGAAAUUGGCGACGGCGGACUCAACCCGAACCCGAUGUGCUGGGGGUCGCUCGGGUGCGCCGGGCGAAUCGUGUUUGGCGCAAAGAGCCGCGGGCCCGCCGCGUCAGCGACUCUAUCCUCUUCUCGCCCCUUCGUUGUCCUCAUCGCCUCGUUUCCCGCGACGAAUCAAUGCCAAAGCUGCCGCGCGCUGCCGCGCCGGUCAGCCUCCAUUGAUGCCUCACGGGCGGCGCAGUGAAGGCUGGGCGGCGCGUACCUCGGCCGCCACGCAAUGACGCCACGCGUAACGCGCCGGCCAAGCCUACCACGUGGCGUCUCCGCCUAUAAAAGCCGUCUGCAAGCGCGCCGGAGAGACUCACCUCGAUCAUCCACCGACGACGCGCUCAUUUCUCCCCCUUUCCUCCUCUCGCCGCCAGUUGAAAAAGCAUGGCCGAGCAUUUCCCAGGCGAUGGCGCGGCGCCGAAUGGAUUCGGGCGCCGUCAUCUGCACAAGGGCGAGGCUCGCCUCCUUUUCGAGGCCGAGUACCCGGUCCCGCCGAACAUGCGGGUGCCCGGGGCUUGGAGGAUCAGCGUCGGCGGCGUGCCGGUGCCACCACCACCCACCGGGGCGACGCGGCGUGCGGAGAUCGCAUGCAUCCGCGCGUCCCUGCCGCGGGCGGCGAGGGAGGGGCCACGGUACGUCCCCGACAACCCGCUCUGGGAGCCCUACUUCCGCCGCCAUCACGCCGAGCAGCUCGAGGCCACCAACGGCGUCGUGCCCUCCGGCAGGCUCAACUCCGAUGGCCGGCGCCGGUGGUGGGGCGUGCCCGGCCGCACGUUGGAGGCCGUUCUCGAGUACAUCGAGGGCGGCAAGACGUCGCGCCUCGAGUACCCUGCUCCCCCGUCAUCCUCACGCCGCCGGGGAAGCUCCUGGACGCCGAGGCGCAUGGAGACCGGGGCGUCCUCCUCCUCGUCCGGCGGCUCUCCCUGCCUCCACCUCCGCCCCGUCAAGCCGGAGCCCUAGGACACGCCUGUCAGCGCGCAUACCUGCAGCUCUGAAGGCUCUACCUGCCUCCACCUCCGCCCCGUCAAGCCGGAGCCCCAGGACAUGCUUGUCCGCGCGCGUACCCACAGCUCCGGCGCCCUCAUCGAGCCCAAGGUGGAGUCCAGCCUCCCCCCGGAGUAUGAGGAGAUAGCCCGGCGCGGCUUCUCCGACGAGGACGCCAUGCGGUGGUCGCGCGAGGACUACGUGCGCGAGGAGAUGGUCCGACAGCGCCGGGCCCUGGAGGAGAUCGCCGCCCGCAAACGUGGGCGCGAGGGCGAGGACGGUGUCAUCGUCCUCGAUAGCUCCGACGACGACGCCCCCGGACCGUCCAACCCGCCGCGCCAACCAGGGGAGGGAUGUAGCAGGGACGGCGGAGGCGUAGGCGGGGACGACGACGACGGCGGCGGCGGCGGCGGUGACUACACGCGGUUCUACAGCCUCCUCGGCAUGUAGAACCGCGUGGGGCGGGCGGCGAGGGAGACGGCGGGGGUAGCCCGCGGUAGUUUUUUUUCUUUUUUUUUGUAAAAUAUGUUUAAAUUCGAACAAACUCGCCCGUGUUUGCGUUGUGUUUGCGCCGAAUUUGGAUAUUUUAAAAACCCGUGGGGGGCCAUGACUGGGGGGCAUCACGCCCCCAGUACGCGGUUUAGCGCCGGUGCGCCCCCAGGGGGCGAUUUUUUGCCCCUCCUGAAGGGCCAACGGCUGGAGAUGCCCUAAUACUUGAGGUAUAAGGCCCUGUUUGGUUCCAAAUAAUAUCACCAACUUAUAAGUCGAAAAGUACAAAAAGUGACUUAUUUUGCCAAACGAACCCAACUUAUAAGUCACCCCAACUUAUAAGUCAUAAGUUGCUCCAAUCCAACUUAAAACUUAUAAGUCACUCCCUUUUGCGUGGGUCCCAUCACCUUUAUAUUAAAAAAACAAGGUGGGAAGAUGUGCUGAGAUGACUUAUAAAUCAGGUGAUAACCAAAUAAACGUGACUUAUAAAUCACUGAUUUUAAGUCACCUAACUUAUAAGUCAGGUGACUUAUUGAAACCAAACAGGGCCUAAGAUGUCGCCUCUCCACCACCUGAAUUGUGUGAAGCCUCGGAGUAACCAAUGGUUCACACACGCAUAGUGUUGUCCAUACAAUGUGUACUCAACAACUAUUUUAACCUUACCUCUAUGCAUUUAUCCAUUUUUAAGAAACCCAUGCAUGUUGAUAGAUAUCACCCGAGAGAUGUUCCCCUAUUGUUGGUCCAAAACUAUAUAUAUUGCAUGCUGCCAAAUCCAGAUUAGACUGUUAAAUUUAUUUCAGUUUCACCCAAGACAUUAAAACUUGGGAUCGCUAUUUCUCUAACAAACCCGUACUGCUCCUUUAUUAACUGUUGUUCUGAUCCGACUCAAAUUUUCUAACUAACUUGUACUACUCUUUAUUUACUAUUGUUCAGAUCCGACUCAUAUUUUCUUUUCUUCGUGCUUUAACAGCCAUACAUAAUCUAAAGCGUUAAAUUUUUUAAAUCAAUGAUAAAGUAACGAUGCAAUCUAUUUGUUCGUUGUUUUAAUUACAAAAUAAAUUAGAUAUAUAUUCUGGGCUUUUUUUGCGGGAAUAUAUAUCAAACGUUAGCUUCAUUUAUGUGGGUCGCAUGUAUAUUAAGUUGCUAUUUUCCUUAUCCCAAAUUUCAUAACGUAUAAUGUAUAUUAAAAAUUUAAAUGACGCAAGAGGUUCAUAUAUAAAUUUGAUUGUAUUGUUUGUCCACCUAAUAGUAUAUGUAUCUAGUAUGUUUAUUUUGAACAAUCUGACUCAAAACCUCGAUCAUCUGUGAUGAACCACAUUCUUGUAGAUUCCAACUUAAAAUGAUAAAUUCAGUGGCUUUGUUUGUACAGGUUGAAUGCUUGUUUGCUUGGCCCGAAUAUUAUUUCGUCGGCGUUGAUCACCAAUUCCUUUUUUGGGAAUUGUAUGUAUAUUUUUAGAUGAAUUGCAUGCAUGUUCUUUCUGAAAGACUUGCACCUAUAUUUUCUUGGAAAGACCCACCUGUACAUUUUUUAUAUGUUCAUGACGGAUUCGGCUUGCCUGCUUCCUUUCCAUGCUCCCAUCCGUGCUCCCACCUCAUCCAACGGUUGUAUUUUUUCCUUUUUUCUUUCUAAUCUAAUCAUCUCCCCCCUGAUUUUAAGGAGGUGGGGCCGGGCUUUAUUUUGUUCCAAUCAAAUCAAGCCACGUAUGCGGAAGCAUGGAUGGGCACACGGAAGGGGAGCAGGCAAGUCUCGUCCGUUCAUGACUGUUUUUUUAAUAUCUACGCAUGACUCAAGUUGUCUGAUGUUGGAUGCAUGUUUUUGUAAAGACUUGCACGUAGUUUUUUCACAUUGGUACAAGACCUAGAUGGGCAAGUGCCCUUGUUGUAGAUUGCUUGGACUCACCCAAGCGGCAUGUACGUAGAUGUCCUAUGCUUGUGCGUGUCAUGGCCGACGUAGGCCCCCCUUCUUUUCUCUUUGUUUCAGGAAACUAACCUAAUCGUUUGUGUCCGACGAUAAAUUAACUUUGUAUACGUGAUAGGUUGUACAUGCAAGGUAUCAGAAUUGCUUUUUUAUUUUUGACCGACCCGUACAACUUCUUCAUUAAAUAUUGCUUUGAUCAGACUGAAAUUUCCUUUUCCUUGUUUUUUACGCCCGAACAUAUUAUCUCCAGCGUGACACAACGUACAUAACAAUAUUGUACAUUCCAUGAUAGUUGGGUUAAUCAACCUGCAGUACAUAUAAAAUAUUUUUUUGAGCAUCAGUACAAACACAAGCGCUCAUAUACACGCGCAUACACUCAUCCCUAUGAACGCACACACGCACACCCUACCCCUAUGAGCACCUCCGAGAGACUGAGCCGCCAUAUCAUCUUGAGAUUUACGAAGUCACCGUAGGCGCCUCGUCGUCGACGGGAACGUCUCCUCCCACUGAAAGCGCAUCGCCGGAAAUCCUGAAAUAAAUCCAGGAUUAAUGCGAGCACCAGGAUUUGAACCCUGGUGGGUUGGGGAUAGCACUGUCCAUCUAACCAACUCAACCACAGGUGUUUUCUUAAAAGUAUCCAUAUCUUUUAAACUGUGACUUCAAAUUUAAUAUGUUAUAUAAAAUUUGAUUAGAAAAACUAAUCAUCAACCCGUGCACCAGCACAGGCUAGAACGUUUGUUGUCACUGUACUUGCUACUUUUGUACAAAAUAGUGUCUAAAUUUAUUUUUCACAUAUUAGUUACAUAUAGGGACACAUAUUUUUUUGAUGAUGUUUUAAUUUUCAGACAAAAUGAUAAAUCCUCAAAGUCUUGCAAAGCCAAAAUGCAAUCAUAGUCUUAUAAUAUUUUGAGCGAACAUGCAAUUUUAUCUACUAAGAUCGCAAUAUACAAUUCGUAUAAAUAGACGCAUGUAUAUUGAAAGCUUAAAACCAAAUUCAAUAAUUGAUAUUUCUCUUUAAAAAAUACAAUAAUGCAACCGCAAGUUCGGGGACCCAUAAAAGCAAAAUACUGCUUCACCAUAUUUUAGAACAAUAUAAUGAAUAUGUAAAAAAACAGAAUGGAGUUGAAUAUCCCAUGUUGAUUCCUAUACAUAACAAAAAGUAAGUAGUAAAACAUUAUCGUCCAAACAAAUGUUAAUUUACAAUACUUUGGCUUUCAAGGUUAAUCAUCUAGUGCAUUGCACAUUUCAGAAUGAACAUCCUCUACAAAGCAACAUAGCUUGGCAAAUAUGCAUGCAAAUAUCAAGGAUUUCUACAACGCGGAAUUAUGAAAAAAAAACUGUACGCCAGAAUAUGAAACUUAACACCGAAAAAUCCCCCAACUAAGAGACAGUCUAACACUAAUAGAAAACAGGGUUUUGAUCCAGGCCUGAAGAGGGCAUUAAUCCCGGUUCUCAUACGAACCGGGACCAAUAGGAGCAUUAGUCCCAGUUCAUGAGGCCAGGGGGCGGCCGGGCCUCGGGGGCCAAUGGUCCCGGUUCGUGUGACCCCUUUGGUCCCGGUUCCAGACACUAACAGGGACCAAUGGGCCUUGCUCCUGGCCCACAACCUUUAGUCCCAGUUUGUGUCUGGAACCGGGACCAAAUAGAGGCCUAUAUAUACCUUGCCCGCGAGCAGAGCAGUGCACUCUUUGUUUUUUUAGCUAGCCGUGGGAGAGCUUUGUGGUGCUCUAGCUCACCUCCUAUGCACAUGAGGUGUUCGAUGAAAUACCCGAGCUACACUUUAUAAGCUUUCUCCUCUCGAAAUUCCUUGUCCCAACUCCAUUUUCCUCAAGAUUUGUCUAGGUUUGUGAUACGUCUCCAAUGUAUCUAUAAUUUUUGAUUGUUCCAUGCUAUUAUAUUAUCCAUCUAGGAUGUUUUAUAUGCAUUUAUAUGCUAUUUUAUAUGAUUUUUGGGACUAACCUAUUAACCUAGAGGCUAGUGCCAGUUUCUGUUUUUUCCUUGUUUUUGAGUAUCACAGAAAAGGAAUACCAAAUGGAGUCCAAUUGACGUGCCAAUUUUUAAUGAUUUUUUAUGGACGAAAAGAAGCCCCCGGAGUAAAAGAGUUGGGCCAGAAGAGUGCCGGGCUGUCCACGAGGGUGGGGGGUGCGCCCUACCCCCCCUGGGCAUGGGCCCUAUCUCGUGGACGACUUGGAGACCCCCCUAACGUGAGACCGACGCCAAAAAUUCAUAUAAAUACAGAAACCUCCAGAACAUAACCUAGAUCGGGAGUUCCGCCGCCGCAAAGUCUCUGUAGCCACCAAAAACCAAUCGGGACCCUGUUCCGGCACCCUGCCGGAGGGGGGAUCCCUCAUCGAUAGACAUCUUCAUCAUCCCGGCGCUCUCCAUGACGAGGAGGGAGUAGUUCACCCUCGAGGCUGAGGGUAUGUACCAGUAGCUAUGUGUUUGAUCUCUCUCUCUCUCUCUCUCGCUCUCUCUCUCUCUCGUGUUCUUGAUUUGACACGAUCUUGAUGUAUCGCGAGCUUUGCUAUUAUAGUUGGAUCUUAUGAUGUUUCUCCCCCUCUACUCUCUUGUAAUGGAUUGAGUUUUCCCUUUGAAGUUAUCUUAUUGGAUUGAGUCUUUAAGGAUUUGAGAACACUUGAUGUAUGUCUUGCGUGGGAUACCCGUGGUGACAAUGGGGUAUUCUAUUGAUCUACUUGAUGUAUGGUUUGGUGAUCAACUUGCGGGUUCAGUGACCUUGGGAAUCUAUGCAUAGGGAUUGGCACACGUUUUCGUCUUGACUCUCCGGUAGAAACUUUGGGGCACUCUUUGAAGUACUUUGUGUUGGUUUGAAUAGAUGAAUCUGAGAUUGUGUGAUGCAUAUCGUAUAAUCAUACCCACGGAUACUUGAGGCGACAUUGGAGUAUCUAGGUGACAUUAGGGUUUUGGUUGAUUUGUGUCUUAAGGUGUUAUUCUAGUACAAACUCUAGGAUAGAUCAAACGGAAAGAAUAGCUUCGUGUUAUUUUACUACGGACUCUUGAAUAGAUCGAUAAGAAAGGAUAACUUUGAGGUGGUUUCGUACCCUACAAUAAUCUCUUCGUUUGUUCUCCACUAUUAGUGACUUUGGAGUGACUCUUUGUUGCAUGUUGAGGGAUAGUUAUAUGAUCCAAUUAUGUUAUUAUUGUUGAGAGAACUUGCACUAUUGAAAGUAUGAACCCUAGGCCUUGUUUCAACGCAUUGCAAUACCGUUUUCGCUCACUUUUAUCAUUAGUUACCUUGCUGUUUUUAUAUUUUCAGAUUACAAAAACCUAUAUCUACCAUCCAUAUUGCACUUGUAUCACCAUCUCUUCACCGAACUAGUGCACCUAUACAAUUUACCAUUGUAUUGGGUGUGUUGGGGACACAAAAGACUCUUUGUUAUUUGGUUGCAGGGUUGUUUGAGAGAGACCGUCUUCAUCCUAUGCCUCCCACGGAUUGAUAAACCUUAGGUCAUGCACUUGAGGGAAAUUUGCUACUGUCCUACAAACCUCUGCACUUGGAGGCCCAACAACGUCUACAAGAAGAAGGUUAUGUAGUAGACAUCAGUUUGGUGGUCCUUCCUGUCCCGUCCACGUCCUCACUACCGUCGAUCGCCCGCGCCGAUCUCAUCGCCGGCGCCACUGUGGUGAGCCUCUUGUUCUUAUCUUCUUUCUAAAAGAAAAAAACUCUUACUUAUAUGAUUUAGAUUGCUACUUGUAUAAUUUUCUUACUUUUAUUAUUGUUUGAAUGUUUGUUAUUAUAUAGUGCGAUGGUUUUGGUAUUCGCCCCCGCCGGCCCUCGUCCUGUCUAUGAUUCGGAUGUGGUAUAUACUAUCUUUUAUAACUAUUUCUUUCAUUUAGUGUUUAUGACAAUUAUGCCGACCAACAUGACAUAGAUGUUUUAUGUAGGAGGUAUAUGGACCGAAAAUUCCAACUGACCCUCUUGUCGAGAGGUUAAAAUUUAGUUGAAAAGAAAAUGAUUACUUGAAGAAAAAAUUGAAAAGAAUUGAGGAGGAGAAGAUGGCAUUGGAGUUGCAUGUUGCGGAUAUCAUCGAUGAUCACAAGAUCAAGAUGGAUAAAAUGCGCUUGAAGAUUAGAAAGAUUAAAAAAUAUGCCAUUCAUACCGAGGCUUGGUAUCAUUAUGCCGUUGGAUCAAUUGUUACCUUAGUUGCGAUUAUGAUCGCAUAUGUUGUUGCAUUGAAAUGUUUUACAUAGUUUCAAUGUAUGGUUUAAUUAUGCUCUCGAGAGCUAUAUGUUGUUCAAUGAGAACUAUGUAUUAACUUUAUGUAUUUAUUUUUUCAGUAAUAAUAUUUGAUCACUACUGUACUUUGGUUUUAAUGUGAUGAUGAAAUCCCUUUGUAACAGAUGAGUUUUCGUCCGAAGCCCUGAUACUUCGAAAGAGAUUGUCCGUUUUGCACACGAAGUGCAUCCAGUUUUUGUUGUAACCCACUCAGCUUUUUAGAACAUGCUAUGUGGGUGAAAUGAUGAUACCAUGCCAACUUUCAACCUUUUCAGAGUUCAUUUUAAGUGCUUUUCAAUUUCAGGGUCAUUUAGCUUAAAAAAUCAAUAAAUGCAUGAAAAAUAGCAAAUGAAGUCAGAAAUGGUUGAAAAUUUAUGAUGUGGCUUUGAAUGGUGCAUUUUGAACACACAAAAAGUCUAGAGUUCAAAUAAGUUCAAAUAAAUGAAAUCCCUUUGUAACAGAUGAGUUUUCGUCCAAACCCCUGAUACUUCAAAAGAGAUUGUCCAUUUUGCACACGAAGUGCACCCAGUUUUUGCCUUAACCCUCUCAACUUUUUAGAAGAUGAUAUGUGGCUGAAAUGAUGAUACCAUGCCAACUUUCAACCUUUUCAGAGUUCAUUUGAAGUGCUUUUCAAUUUCAGGGUCAUUUAGCUCCAAAAAAAAUCAGUAAAUGCAUGAAAAUAGCAAAUGAAGUCAGAAAUGGUUGAAAAUGGAUGAUGUGGCUUUGAAUGGUGCAUUUUGAACACACAAAAAGUCUGGAGUUCAAAUAAGUUCAAAUAAAUGAAAUCCCUUUGUAACAGAUGAGUUUUCGUCUGAAACCCUGAUACUUCGAAAGAGAUUGUCCAUUUUGCACACAAAGUGUAUCCAGUUUUUGUCGUAACCCUCUCAACCUUUUAGAACAUGCUAUGUGGGUGAAAUGAUGAUACCAUGCCAACUUUCAACCUUUUCAGAGUUAAUUUAUAGUGCUUUUCAAUUUCAGGGUCAUUUAGCUCAAAAGAUCAGUAAAUGCAUGAAAAAUAGCAAAUGAAGUCAGAAAAGGUUGAAAAUUGAUGAUGUGGCUUUGAAUGGUGCAUUUUUAACACACAAAAAGUUUGGAGUUCAAAUAAGUUCAAGUAAAUGAAAUCCCUUUGUAACAGAUGAGUUUUCGUCCAAAACCCAGAUACUUCGAAAGAGAUUGUCCAUUUUGCACACGAAGUGCAUCCAGUUUUUUCCUUAACCCUCUUAACUUCUUAGAACAUGCUAUGUGGCUGAAAUGAUGAUACCAUGCCAACUUUCAACCUUUUCAGAGUUCAUUUGAAGCGCUUUUCAAUUUCAGAGUUCAUUUGAAGUGUUUUUCAACUCUAAUAGCAAAAAGAAUGAACUAAAAAUAAUCAAUUAAAAUAUUCUGUUAUGAUCAACUAAAACAAAACUAUAUUAUUCUUCAAUAGCAAAAAUAAUCAACUAAAAAUAUUUUAUAAAACUCUAAUAGCAAAAGGAAUAAACUAAAAAGAUUUUAUAAACCUCUAGUAUUUUUGAAACAAAAAAUAUAUAAAAUGUAUGCAACUAAAAUUAUCAAAGUAUUUUUUGUUCAAAACAUUAAUAGCAAGAAGAAUUUUCAUAAAGAAUUUUUUUGUUAGCAAACUAGAAUAACAAAAUCUGUUUUGGAUUAAAACAUACAUUUAAAAUAACCUAAAAAUUACCAAACUGAAUAUAAUGAUAAAACACAGUAAUAUUAAAUAGCAGGAAAAAGAAUCACAAAAAAAAUCUAUUUGUAUAGUAAAGUUAUUUAGAAACUAGUGAUUCACACAAAUUUCAAAGAAUUCAAAUUUAAACUAUUCAAAUUUGAAAGCUAAUGGCACUAACAGAAAGUUUAUAAUUUUUGUGACCUAAAAGCAAAAAGAAUCACAGGAAAACAGAAAGUACAAACAAAAUAAAAUAAAUAAAGCAAAAAAACUGGAAAAAGAUUAAAAAAUGCCACCUAGUGGGCCACCACAGCCUGAAUACGACUAGAAACCCAACCAACUUGUUGGGCCAGGAUUCAGGCCCAUAGAAGCCCGGUAGGCCCACAGGCAGAAGUGUCAGAUUAGGCCCGCAAGCCUGCAGUUGAGAGGAGCUCAGCGCUUAUAAACCACUCUCGAGCUCUCUUAGCUAGCGAGGUGGGACUAAACAUUUGGCCCCGGGGGGCACCAACCGGGACCAAUGCCCCCCUUUGGUCCCGGUUUGUGCCACCAACCGGAACCAAAGGGUGUCAUUGGUCCCGGUUUGUGCCACCAACCGGUACCAAAGGUAUCUGCUUCCCGCCCUUUGGGCUGCUGAAAAGAGACCUUUGGUCCCGGUUGGUGGUACGAACCGGGACUAAAGGGGGGCAUUGGUCUCGGUUGGUACCAUGAACCGGUACCAAUGCUUCGUGUAUAUAAGAAACACUGUAAAAAUUUCCAUUUAGUUCUUUGAUCCCGCGCUCUCUCCCCAUCAUCGAUGAACACCUCGACGCCGCCAGGCUGCCGGACCGCGUCGUCGCCUCCCCGAGCCCGUUGUCUUCAUCGCCGGCAUCCCCGAGCCCGUCGUCCUCGUCCCCGUCCCCGUCACCUCCCCAAGCCAGCCGUCCUCAUCCCCAUCACCGCGUGCCGCCCCGAGCCGGCCACCCUCCUCGUCCCCGUCGCCGCGUGCUGCCCCGAGCCCGCCGUCNNNNNNNNNNNNNNNNNNNNNNNNNNNNNNNNNNNNNNNNNNNNNNNNNNNNNNNNNNNNNNNNNNNNNNNNNNNNNNNNNNNNNNNNNNNNNNNNNNNNNNNNNNNNNNNNNNNNNNNNNNNNNNNNNNNNNNNNNNNNNNNNNNNNNNNNNNNNNNNNNNNNNNNNNNNNNNNNNNNNNNNNNNNNNNNNNNNNNNNNNNNNNNNNNNNNNNNNNNNNNNNNNNNNNNNNNNNNNNNNNNNNNNNNNNNNNNNNNNNNNNNNNNNNNNNNNNNNNNNNNNNNNNNNNNNNNNNNNNNNNNNNNNNNNNNNNNNNNNNNNNNNNNNNNNNNNNNNNNNNNNNNNNNNNNNNAGUGGACAGUGAAGAGCAGCUGCAGCAGCAGCAGUCCCCCCUUUUUGAAUUUUUUUACAGUGAUGAAUAGUGCAUAGAAGGUGUUUGAUGAAAUUCUAGAUGGCUUUGGGCAUUUUUGAAAUUUCUGAUUUUUUUGUGGUGAGGUACUGAUGCAAGACAAAGGUGAUGGCAAAAUUUCAGAAUUUUGGAGUUGUUUAGAAUAGGUUUUCAGCAAGGAAUUUGAACUUGGUUCAAAUUUCAUUUGAACGAAAUUUGAAAAAUUUGAACUAUGGAUUAGAAGGUUUUUGGUGAAAUGGAGUGUGGGUACUGUCAUGCAGUUGGAGUAACUUUUUCAGGAUUUUUUAGCAAGGAAAAAUAGGGUUGUAGUUCAAUGCCAAGAUUGGACCAAAAUUGAAAAAUGGAAGUUGUGCUCAAAAUUUUCAAAUGACCAAAGUGGGGUUUUGCCUAAAAAUGAUCUAUAGGCAUCAGAGGACUUCUCAAAAAAUUGUGGCAUUUGAAAAGAAUUAUUUGAAAUAGUUCUACUGCAACAGGGUCAUUCUAGAGUUUGAAAAUACUAAUAAAAGAUUUUUUGAGGGCAAAUCAUUAUAAAAAUAAUUACUAAUGAUUUUUUUCAUAGCAUUUUUUUGUCCAUGUAUGUAUGUAUGUAUGUAUGUAUAGAUAUAGAAAAUGUUCAUAUAUGAUGUUUUUUUGUUCAUAACAAUUUUUUCCAUGUAUGUAUGUAUGUAUGUAUGUAUGUAUUUUUUUAGAUGUGCUCUGUUUUUUCAGAUGAGAUGAAAUGAUAUGAGAUGAGAUGUAUGAGAUGUCCAUUUGUUGUAUAAACAUAAACCCGAUAACUUCAAUUCCCCUCGGGCUUAUAUUUUUGUGAGCAUAGAAGUUUUUUUAACUUGUAUGUAUUUGAUCACCGCGGAUAGUUGCGACAGGAGUUUUCCCUUUGAUUUUGAGGCAUAUGAUCUAGAUAAUGUCCAAUGCCUCAUAUCGCGAACAUAGUUAUAUUGGACAAUUGAUCUUCAUAUAAACGAAGCAUAAAAGUUUAGCAACCAGUUUAGCAAUCACUUAGAAACAGCGUUGUCGAGGCCACCCCAAACCCUAGACGAAGAAAGAGCGUUGUUGAUCUACCCCAUCCCGCCCCUACCCGUAAUUGUUAUGUUCAUUGUUGUCAUUAGCUAUGUAUAUGUUUGUGCUUAUGAUUCCUUGUUGUGAUAUUAGCUAGGUUAUGUUUGCCACUAAUAUAUCCAUCUCAUGUUUGUAUAUUAAUUGCCAUGUUGUAAUAUUUGCAGAAACUAUGGAUCAAAGAGACUUGGAACAAGAAGAGUUGUUGGGGGACAUAAUCCGCGACAGACGUGAUGUAUUGUCGUAUCUCAACGACACCGAUGGUCAGAAAGGAGAGGAUGACUGCUCCGGUGACCGAACGGAGGAGGUAGCUGUUGCAAAGUCCGGCGAGGUAUAUAUAUCAAUUAAGCCUGUGCUGACUAAUUGACGCAUUAAUUGUUUUGGUAUGUACAUAUAUUAACGCUUCUUUCUUCUUUUAUAGCCCUUCAUAUCAAGCCAAACUUCCGUAACGAGACGAGGCUUGAAGAAAAGGUUGCGCCAGGAUGAAAGGUUCACGAUCACAGAAAUCGCGGGCAAUGGCCAACCGAUUGAACCCAAGCGGACCAAGGAUGCCAUUUGUUUCUCAGUGCGGAGCUAUUGUUAGGGACACCAUCCCAAUCAACAUCCAGCAAUGGAAUAAGCCGGCUAAGGCCGGCGACCCUGAAGUUUCUUAUGUCAAUGAUAGACAGAAAGUUGAUCUUUGGACCUGCUGAAGGCAAAUUUCACCCUACCGCCAGAGGAGGAUCUGGAUAAGCAAGUUAUAGAGACAAAGGUCAAGUCAUAUGCUCUUAAGAAGAUGGCAGAUCUAUUCAGGAGGUGGAAGAAAGAGUUGAACACAAACUUUGUUGACAAAGGGAAGACUCCAGAAUUCACCGGCCGAUUUGAGAAGAUAAGAGAUCACUGGCCCGCAUUUGUGGCCUACAAGACAUCAGAGAAGGGUAAGAAAAUGUCAGAGACAACACAAGAAAAAUGCUGCAAAGAAGUUGUAUCACCAUCACACGGGGUUAGGUGGCUACCUCAAAGCUCGGCCGUUGUGGGACAAAGCUGAGAAAGACCUGAUUGCUAAGGGGGUCCAACCAGCGACACUGAACUGGCCAGACUAUUCAAGGACUUGGUUCUUCCGGGUUGGGGGAACUUUGGACCCAGAAACAGGGGAGUGUUGUUGGACGGACAAGCAACUUGCAAUACCGGUCAAGAAGCUUAAGAAUUAUAUCGGUGCAACGCAGAAAGGGACGUUCAUUCCCGACAAAGUGAAGGACGAGAUGUCUGAGGCCCUCGGGAAUCCUGAGCACCCUAGACGAACACGAGGCACACCAGGCUCUGUUGCAUGGGUGCAUGGGUUCCCCGAUGCAAGCGGUUACAAAGAGCGAGAGAGAAAGAGGAAAGUGGAGCAGAGCGAAAUGGAGACAAUCAAAGCAAGAUUAGCGAAGCUAGAGGAAUUUGCAACUGCCGGCCAACCAUCUCAGUGGCUCGAAGCUACCCAGAAGCUACCCUGCCAUCUCAGCGGAGAAGCAGCGUGGCUUCCAUGGAGCUAGCCCAGCCUGAUUUGACAGCUCCUCGCUACCCCGUGGAUACUAUCACGGAGGCUGAUAACCCACAAGUAUAGGGGAUCGCAACAGUUUUCGAGGGUAGAGUAUUCAACCCAAAUUUAUUGAUUCGACACAAGGGGAGCCAAAGAAUAUUCUCAAGUAUUAGCAGUUGAGUUGUCAAUUCAACCACACCUGAAAUACUUAAUAUCUGCAGCAAAGUAUUUAGUAGCAAAGUAGUAUGGAAGUAAUGGUAACAGUGGCAAAAGCAAUAGUAGCAGUUUUGUAGCAAUUGUAACAGUGGCAACGGUAAAGUAACUUAGCAAAGAUCAAUAUGAAACGAGCUCGUAGGCAAUGGAUCAAUGAUGGAUAAUUAUGUCGGAUGACAUUUAUCAUGCAAUAGUUAUAACACAGGGUGACACCGAACUAGCUCCAGUUCAUCAAUAUAAUGUAGGCAUGUAUUCCGAAUAUAGUCAUACGUGCUUAUGGAAAAGAACUUGCAUGACAUCUAUUGUCCUAUCCUCUCGUGGCAGCAGGGUCCUAAGGGAUAUUAAGGCCUCCUUUUAAUAGAGUACCGGACCAAAGCAUUAGCACUUAGUGAAUACAUGAACUCCUCAAACCACGGUCAUCACCGGGAAGUAUCCCGACUAUUGUCACUCCGAGGUUGCCGGAUCAUAACACGUAGUAGGUGACUAUAACUUGCAAGAUAUGAUCAAGAACACUCAUAUAUUCAUGAAAACAUAAGAGGUUCAGAUAUGAAAUCAUGGCACUCGGGCCCUAGUGACAAGCAUUAAGCAUGGCAAAGUCACAACAACAUCAAUCUUAGAACAUAAUGGAUACUAGGGAUCAAACCCUAACAAAACUAACUCAUUACAUGGUAAAUCUCAUCCAACCCAUCACUGUCCAGCAAGCCUACGAUGGGAUUACUCACGCACGACGGUGAGCAUCAUGAAAUUGGUGAUGGAGGAUGGUUGAUGAUGACGAUGGCGAUGAAUUCCCCUCUCCGGAGCCCCGAACGGACUCCAGAUCAGCCUUCCCAAGGAAGAACAGGGCUUGGCGGUGGCUCCGUAUCAUAAAACACGAUGAAUCCUUCUCUCUAUUUUUUCUCCCUAAUCAUGAAUAUAUGGAGUUGGAGUUGAGGUCGGUGAAGGUCCAGGGGGCCCAUGAGAUAGGGCGGCACGACCAGGGGGGUAGGGCGCGCCUCCCACCCUCGUGGCCAGGGUGUGGGCCCCCUUCAGCUGAUUCUUUCGCCAGUAUUUUUUAUUAAUUCCAAAAAUAUCUCCGAGAAGUUUCAGGUCAUUCUGAGAACUUUUAUUUCUACACAAAAGUAACACCAUGACAGUUCUGCUGAAAACAACGCUAGUCCAGGUUAGUUCCAUUCAAAUCAUGCAAAUUAGAGUCCAAAACAAGGGCAAAAGAGUUUGGAUAAGUAGAUACGUUGGAGACGUGUCAACUCCCCCAAGCUUAACCCAUUGCUUUUCCUCAAGCAAUUCAGUUGACAAAGUGAAAGUGAUAAAGAAAAACUUGUACAAACUUUGUUUGAUCUUGUUGUUGCAAAUAUGUAAAGCCAACAUUCAAGUUUUCAGCAAAGAUCAUGAACUAACCAUAUUCACAAUAACAUUUAGGUCUCACGUUUACUCAUAUCUUUGGCAUAAUCAACUAGUGAGUAAUAAUAAUAAAUUUUGGAUGACAACACUUUCUCAAAACAAUCAUGAUAUGAUAUAACAAGAUGGUAUCUCGAUAGCCCUUUCUGAGACCGCAUAACAUAAAUGCAGAGCACCGCUGAAGAUCAAGGACUGACUAGACAUUGUAAUUCAUGACACAAGAGAUCCAGUCACAGUCAUACUUAAUGUAAAUUAAUAACAAUGCAUACAAAUGAAAGUGGUGCUCUCUAACUGGUGCUUUUUAUAAGAGGAUGAUGACUCAACAGAAAAGUAAAUUGAUAGGCCCUUCACGGAGGGAAGCAGGGAUUUGCAGAGGUGCCAGAGCUCGAGUUUUGAAACAUAGAUAAAUAAUAUUUUGAGCAGUAUACUUUCAUUGUCAACAUAACAACCAAGAGAUCUCGGUAUCUUCCAUGCUACAUACAUUAUAGGCGGUUCCCAAAUAGAAUGGUAAAGUUUAUACUCCCCCAUCACCAACAAGCACAUUCCAUGACUGGUCCGAAACUACGGGUACCGUCCAACUAACAACAAUCCCGGGGGAGUUUUGUUUGCAAUUAUUUUUAUUUGAUCUGAGCAUGGGACUGGGCAUCCCAGUUACUGGCCAUUUUCUCGUGAAUGAUGAGCGGAGUCUACUCAUCGUGAGAAUAACCCACCUAGAAUGGAAAAUAUAGACAACCCUAGUUGAUGCAUAAGCGAUUCGAGCAUACAAAACCAAAUGGCCCGGCCCAGUCUUGGGCGACCUGUGCGUUCCUUGAACUAUUUGUCGGUUUGUGCGACAAAUAAGGUCUUUUUAACGCCUGGGCAGGAUAAUUACUGGGUUGGCUUUGUUGGGCUGGAGUGCGCCCGGCCCAAUUGCGGAAUUCUGGAGAAACUUUUUGUCUUUUCUAGUAGAUGCACAAAACUUUAGUACCACCUCGGAUAGAAAAAAUAUUUUCGACGAUGAACGGAUGAAAAUAUUGGAGAAACACACUUUGCUUUAUUAGUAGGUAUAGAUUUUCACUUUUGCAGAAAACCCCAGAUAAUUAUUGAUAAUCAACCCACAUGACAGUUUUAAGUCAGAUUUUUGUUUUGUUAGGAAACUAGCGGUGUGACCCGCGCAUUUGCGCGGCUAGAUUAGUUACACAUUGUUAUGAUUAUUUCUUUAUUUGUAUUUUAUUUAUUUUUCUAAUUGCAAAAUGUUUAUUUUUAUUUAUUUAUAAUAGAAUUUCUAAAUGUUAUAAAAUUAUAUAGCCAUAUUACCACAUGACUAUGAAUUAUUUGUCCCACAUAUAUUAGCACAUGACUAUACCAUUUUUGUUUUACAUGAUCUACUGUCUUAUCUUAUUUAGGUGCACAACUGAACAAUCUAUUAAGUCAUCAAUAGUGAUGUUUCUGUUUAAGAAUGGAAGUUAAAGAUCCCGUGGGUUGCCAUGCAAAAACAACACUUUCAUACUAAUAUGUAAGUUCCAGUUUACACUCUAGCGAUCCCGCAAAAAAAAAGUUUACACUCUAGCUCCCAUCGUUAGCUAGGAUUAAGUAGAGUUCUUUUCUUUAAUCUAUCUCAUCAUUAGACAUAAUUUAUUUGUGUCAUCCUUCGAUAUGUUUUCUUCCACUUCUUUUUUUUGGGGGGUGGGAGGGGGGGAUUAUUUAUUUUAAUUGUUUGUCACUUCUGCAUAUGAGGUAAUACCAUCCCUCCAUUGUACAUUUUUGCACAAAAAAUAUAUAAAAUGGCACAAUAUGUGUCUUCCCUACUAUUUUUGCUAUUAAAACCAUAUUGUCAUACUUUCCUUUGUGCUCACUCUUAGAGUGCCUUGUUCUUUCUGGUCAUUUUCAUGUCUGUUUUAGGUCGAUUUAUGCCGUUAGAAUAUUAGCAUGAUUUCAAUUUGCGAGGACACUGUUUUUGUGUCAUGCAAUUAAUACACUUAUUGGCCGCACACAUAGUAUAUUGUCAUUGUUUUUAAUCACCCAAUUUCAUCUAUCUCAUAUACUAAGUGAUUCUUGUCCAUUUAAGGGCAUCUCCAGCCGCGCCCCCAAGAAGGCCCCCCAGGCGCCUUUUCGUCCGCCGGCGCCAAAAAAUUGGUCCAGUCACGCCCCCAAGAGCCCAGUUUUCACCGGCUCGGGCCGAAAUUGGCGACAGCGGACUCAACCCGAACCCGACGUGCUGGGGGUCGCUCGGGUGCGCCGGGCGAAUCGUUUUUGGCGCGAAGAUCCGCGGGCCCGCCGCGUCAGCGACUCUAUCCUCUUCUCGCCCCUUUGUCGUCCUCAUCGCCUCGUUUCCCGCGACGAAUCAAUGCCAAAGCUGCCGCGUGCUGCCGCGCCGGUCAGCCUCCAUUGAUGCCUCACGGGCGGCGCAGUGAAGGCUGGGCGGCGCGUCCCUCGGCCGCCACGCAAUGACGCCACGCGUAACGCGCCGGCCAAGCCUACCACGCGGCGUCUCCGCCUAUAAAAGCCGUCUGCAAGCGCGCCGGAGAGACUCACCUCGAUCAUCCACCGACGACGCGCUCAUUUCUCCCCCUUUCCUCCUCUCACCGCCAGUUGAAAAGGCAUGGCCGAGCAUUUCCCAGGCGAUGGCGCGGCGGCGAAUGGAUUCGGGCACCGUCAUCUGCACAAGGGCGAGGCUCGCCUCCUUUUCGAGGCCGAGUACCCGGUCCCGCCGGACAUGCGGGUGCCUGGGGCUUGGAGGAUCAGCGCCGGCGGCGUGCCGGUGCCACCACCACCCACCGGGGCGACGCGGCGUGCGGAGAUCGCAUGCAUCCGCGCGUCCCUGCCGCGGGCGGCGAGGGAGGGGCCACGGUACAUCCCCGACAGCCCGCUCUGGGAGCCCUACUUCCGCCGCCAUCACGCCGAGCAGCUCGAGGCCACCAACGGCGUCGUGCCCUCCGGCAGGCUCAACUCCGAUGGUCGGCGCCAGUGGUGGGGCGUGCCCGGCCGCACGUUGGAGGCCGUUCUCGAGUACAUCGAGGGCGGCAACACGCCGCGCCUCGAGUACCCGCUCCCCCGUCAUCCUCACGCCGCCGGGGAAGCUCCUGGAUACCGAGGCGCAUGGAGACCGGGGCGUCCUCCUCCUCGUCCGGCGGCUCUCCCUGCCUCCACCUCCGCCCCGUCAAGCCGGAGCCCCAGGACACGCCUAUCAGCGCGCGUACCCGCAGCUCCGGCGGCUCUACCUGCCUCCACCUCCGCCCCGUCAAGCCGGAGCCCCAGGACACGCCUGUCCGCGCGCGUACCCACAGCUCCGGCGCCCUCGUCGAGCCCAAGGUGGAGUCCAGCCUCCCCCCGGAGUACGAGGAGAUAGCCCGGCGCGGCUUCUCCGACGAGGACGCCAUGCGGUGGUCGCGCGAGGACUACGUGCGCGAGGAGAUGGUCCGGCAGCGCCGGGCCCUGGAGGAGAUCGCCGCCCGCAAACGUGGGCGCGAGGGCGAGGACGGUGUCGUCGUCCUCGAUAGCUCCGACGACGACGCCCCCGGACCGUCCAACCCGCCGCGCCAACCGGGGGAGGGAUGUAGCAGGGACGGCGGAGGCGUAGGCGGGGGCGACGACGACGACGACGGCGGCGGCGGUGACUACACGCGGUUCUACAGCCUCCUCGGCAUGUAGAACCACGUGGGGCGGGCGGCGAGGCGGGCGGCGAGGGAGACGGCGGGGGUAGCCCGCGGUAGUUUUUUUUCUUUUUUUGUAAAAUAUGUUUAAAUUCGAACGAACUCGCCCGUGUUUGCGUUGUGUUUGUGCCAAAUUUGGAUAUUUUAAAAACCCGUGGGGGGCCGUGACUGGGGGGCAUCACGCCCCCAGUGCACGGUUUAGCGCCGGUGCGCCCCCAGGGGGCGAUUUUUUGCCCCUCUUGGGGGGCCAACGGCUGGAGAUGCCCUAAUACUUGAGGUAUAAGGCCCUGUUUGGUUCCAAAUAAAUCACCAACUUAUAAGUCGAAAAGUACAAAAAGUGACUUAUUUUGUCAAACGAACCCAACUUAUAAGUCACCCCAACUUAUAAGUCAUAAGUUGCUCCAAUCCAACUUAAAACUUAUAAGUCACUCCCUUUUGCGUGGGUCCCAUCACCUUUAUAUUAAAAAAACAAGGUGGGAAGAUGUGCUCAGAUGACUUAUAAAUCAGGUGAUAACCAAACAAACGUGACUUAUAAAUCACUGAUUUUAAGUCACCUAACUUAUAAGUCAGGUGACUUAUUGAAACGAAACAGGGCCUAAGAUGUCGCCUCUCCACCACCUGAAUUGUGUGAAGCCUCGGAGUAACCAAUGGUUCACACACGCAUAGUGUUGUCCAUACAAUGUGUACUCAACAACUAUUUUAACCUUACCUCUAUGCAUUUAUCCAUUUUUAAGAAACCCAUGCAUGUUGAUAGAUAUCACCCGAGAGAUGUUCCCCUAUUGUUGGUCCAAUAACUAUAUAUAUUGCAUGCUGCCAAAUCCAGAUUAGACUGUCAAAUUUAUUUCAGUUUCACCCAAGACACUAAAACUUGGGAUCGCUAUUUCUCUAACAAACCUGUACUGCUCCUUUAUUAACUGUUGUUCUGAUCCGACUCAAAUUUUCUAACUAACUAGUACUACUCUUUAUUUACUAUUGUUCAGACUCAUAUUUUCUUUUCUUCGUGCUUUAACAGCCAUACAUAAUCUAAAGCGUUAAAAUUAUUAAAUCAACGAUAAAGUAAUGAUGCAAUCUAUUUGUUCGUUGUUUUAAUUACAAAAUAAAUUAGAUAUAUAUUCUGGGCUUUUUUAGCGGGAAUAUAUAUCAAAAGUUAGCUUCAUUUAUGUGGGUCGCAUGUAUAUUAAGUUGCUUUUUUCCUUAUCCCAAAUUUCAUAACGUAUAAUAUAUAUUAAAAAUUUAAAUGACGCAAGAGGUUCAUAUAUAAAUCUGACUCAAAACCUCGAUCAUCUGUGAUGAACCACAUUCUUGUAGAUUCCAACUUAAAAUGAUAAAUUCAGUGGCUUUGUUUGUACAGGUUGAAUGCUUGUUUGCUUGGCCCGAAUAUUAUCUCGGCGGCGUUGAUCACCAAUUCCUUUUUUGGGAAUUGCAUGUAUAUUUUUAGAUGAAUUGCAUGCAUGUUCUUUCUGAAAGACUUGCACCUAUAUUUUCCUGGAAAGACCCACCUGUACAUUUUUUAUAUGUUCAUGACUGUUUUUUUAAUAUCUACGCAUGACUCAAGUUGUCUGAUGUUGGAUGCAUGUUUUUGUAAAGACUUGCACGUAGUUUUUUCACAUUGGUACAGGACCUAGAUGGGCAAGUGCGCUUGUUGUAGAUUGCUUGGACUCACCCAAGCGGCAUGUACGUAGAUGUCCUAUGCUUGUGCGUGUCAUGGCCGACGUAGGCCCCCCUUCUUUUCUCUUUGUUUCAGGAAACUAACCUAAUCGUUUGUGUCCGACGAUAACUUAACUUUGUAUACGUGAUAGGUUGUACAUGCAAGGUAUCAGAAUUGCUUUUUUAUUUUUGACCGACCCGUACAACUUCUUCAUUAAAUAUUGCUUUGAUCAGACUGAUAUUUCCUUUUUCUUGUUCUUUACGCCCGAACAUAUUAUCUCCAGCGUGACACAACGUACAUAACAAUAUUGUACAUUUCAUGAUAGUUGGGUUAAUCAACCUGCAGUACAUAUAAAAUGUUUUUUUUGAGCAUCAGUACAAAUACAAGCGCUCAUAUACACGCGCAUACACUCAUCCCUAUGAAUGCAUACACACACACCCUACCCCUAUGAACACCUCCGAGAGACUGAGCCGCCAUAUCAUCUUGAGAUUUACGAAGUCACCGUAGGCGCCUCGUCGUCGACGGGAACGUCUCCUCCCACUGAAAGCGCAUCGCCGGAAAUCCUGAAAUAAAUCCAGGAUUAAUGCGAGCACCAGGAUUUGAACCCUGGUGGGUUGGGAAUACCACUGUCCACCUAACCAACUCAACCACAUGUGUUUUCUUAAAAGUAUCCAUAUCUUUUAAACUGUGACUUCAAAUUUAAUAUGUUAUAUAAAAUUUGAUUAGAAAAACUAAUCAUCAACCCGUGCACCAGCACAGGCUAGAAUGUUUGUUGUCACUGUACUUGCUACUUUUUUACAAAAUAGUGUCUAAAUUUAUUUUUCACAUAUUAGUUACAUAUAGGGACACAUAUUUUUUUUGAUGAUGUUUUAAUUUUCAGACAAAAUGAUAAAUCCUCAAAGUCUUGCAAAGCCAAAAUGCAAUCAUAGUCUUAUAAUAUUUUGAACGAACAUGCAAUUUUAUCUACUAAGAUCGCAAUAUACAAUUCGUAUAAAUAGACACAUGUAUAUUGAAAGCUUAAAACCAAAUUCAAUAAUUGAUAUUUCUCUUUAAAAAAUACAAUAAUGCAACCGCAAGUUCGGGGACCCAUAAAAGCAAAAUACUGCUUCACCAUAUUUUAGAACAAUAUAAUGAAUAUGUAAAAAAAAUAGAAUGGAGUUGAAUAUCCCAUGUUGAUUCCUAUACAUAACAAAAAGUAAGUAGUAAAACAUUAUCAUCCAAACAAAAUGUUAAUUUACAAUACUUUGGCUUUCAAGGUUAAUCAUCUAGUGCAUUGCACAUUUCAGAAUGAACAUCCUCUACAAAGCAACAUAGCUUGGCAAAUAUUCAUGCAAAUAUCAAGGAUUUCUGCAACGCGGAAUUAUGAAAAAAAAACUGUACGCCAGAAUAUGAAACUUAACACCGAAAAAUCCCCCAACUAAGAGACAGUCUAACACUAAUAGAAAACAGGGUUUUGAUCCAGGCCUGAAGAGGGCAUUAAUCCCGGUUCUCAUACGAACCGGGACCAAUAGGAGCAUUAGUCCCAGUUCAUGAGGCCAGGGGGGCGGCCGGGCCUCGGGGGCCAAUGGUCCCGGUUCGUGUGACCCCUUUGGUCCCGGUUCCAGACACGAACCGGGACCAAUGGGCCUUGCUCCUGGCCCACAACCUUUAGUCCCAGUUUGUGUCUGGAACCGGGACCAAAUAGAGGCCUAUAUAUACCUUGCCCGUGAGCAGAGCAGUGCACUCUUUGUUCUUUUAGCUAGUCGUGGGAGAGCUUUGUGGUGCUCUAGCUCACCUCCUAUGCACAUGAGGUGUUCGAUGAAAUACCCGAGCCACACUUUAUAAGCUUUCUCCUCUCGAAAUUCCUUGUCCCAACUCCAUUUUCCUCAAGAUUUGUCUAGGUUUGUGAUACGUCUCCAACGUAUCUAUAAUUUUUGAUUGUUCCAUGCUAUUAUAUUAUCCAUCUAGGAUGUUUUAUAUGCAUUUAUAUGCUAUUUUAUAUGAUUUUUGGGACUAACCUAUUAACCUAGAGCCUAGUGCCAGUUUCUGUUUUUUCCUUGUUUUUGAGUAUCACAGAAAAGGAAUACCAAAUGGAGUCCAAUUGACGUGCCAAUUUUUGAUGACUUUUUAUGGACGAAAAGAAGCCCCCGGAGUAAAAGAGUUGGGCCAGAAGAGUGCCGGGCUGUCCACGAGGGUGGGGGGUGCGCCCUACCCCCCUGGGCAUGGGCCCUAUCUCGUGGACGACUCGGAGACCCCCCUAACGUGAGACCGACGCCAAAAAUUCAUAUAAAUACAGAAACCUCCAGAACAUAACCUAGAUCGGGAGUUCCGCCGCCGCAAGUCUCUGUAGCCACCAAAAACCAAUCAGGACCCUGUUCCGGCACCCUGCCGGAGGGGGGAUCCCUCACCGGUAGACAUCUUCGUCAUCCCGGCGCUCUCCAUGACGAGGAGGGAGUAGUUCACCCUCGAGGCUGAGGGUAUGUACCAGUAGCUAUGUUUUUGAUCUCUCUCUCUCUCUCUCUCUCUCUCUCUCUCGUGUUCUUGAUUUGACACGAUCUUGAUGUAUCGCGAGCUUUGCUAUUAUAGUUGGAUCUUAUGAUGUUUCUCCCCCUCUACUCUCUUGUAAUGGAUUGAGUUUUCCCUUUGAAGUUAUCUUAUCGGAUUGAGUCUUUAAGGAUUUGAGAACACUUGAUGUAUGUCUUGCGUGGGAUACCCGUGGUGACAAUGGGGUAUUCUAUUGAUCUACUUGAUGUAUGUUUUGGUGAUCAACUUGCGGGUUCAGUGACCUUGGGAAUCUAUGCAUAGGGAUUGGCACACGUUUUCGUCUUGACUCUCCGGUAGAAACUUUGGGGCACUCUUUGAAGUACUUUGUGUUGGUUUGAAUAGAUGAAUCUGAGAUUGUGUGAUGCAUAUCGUAUAAUCAUACCCAUGGAUACUUGAGGCGACAUUGGAGUAUCUAGGUGACAUUAGGGUUUUGGUUGAUUUGUGUCUUAAGGUGUUAUUCUAGUAUGAACUCUAGGAUAGAUCGAACGGAAAGAAUAGCUUUGAGGUGGUUUCGUACCCUACAAUAAUCUCUUCGUUUGUUCUCCACUAUUAGUGAGUUUGGAGUGACUCUUUGUUGCAUGUUGAGGGAUAGUUAUAUGAUCCAAUUAUGUUAUUAUUGUUGAGAGAACUUGCACUAUUGAAAGUAUGAACCCUAGGCCUUGUUUCAACGCAUUGCAAUACCCUUUUCGCUCACUUUUAUCAUUAGUUACCUUGCUGUUUUUAUAUUUUCAGAUUACAAAAACCUAUAUCUACCAUCCAUAUUGCACUUGUAUCACCAUCUCUUCGCCGAACUAGUGCACCUAUACAAUUUACCAUUGUAUUGGGUGUGUUGGGGACACAAAAGACUCUUUGUUAUUUGGUUGCAGGGUUGUUUGAGAGAGACCGUCUUCAUCCUAUGCCUCCCACGGAUUGAUAAACCUUAGGUCAUGCACUUGAGGGAAAUUUGCUACUGUCCUACAAACCUCUGCACUUGGAGGCCCAACAACGUCUACAAGAAGAAGGUUAUGUAGUAGACAUCAGUUUGGUGGUCCUUCCUGUCCCGUCCACAUCCUCACUACCGUCGAUCGCCCGCGCCGAUCUCGUCGCCGGCGCCACUGUGGUGAGCCUCUUGUUCUUAUCUUCUUUCUAAAAGAAAAAAACUCUUACUUAUAUGAUUUAGAUUGCUACUUGCAUAAUUUUCUUACUUUUAUUAUUGUUUGAAUGUUUGUUAUUAUAUAGUGUGAUGGUUUUGGUAUUCGCCCCCGUCGGCCCUCGUCCUGUCUAUGAUUCGGAUGUGGUAUAUACUAUCUUUUAUAACUAUUUCUUUCAUUUAGUGUUUAUGACAAUUAUGCCGACCAACAUGACAUAGAUGUUUUAUGUAGGAGGUAUAUGGACCGAAAAUUCCAACUGACCCUCUUGUCGAGAGGUUAAAAUUUAGUUGAAAAGAAAACGAUUACUUGAAGAAAAAAUUGAAAAGAAUUGAGGAGGAGAAGAUGGCAUUGGAGUUGCAUGUUGCGGAUAUCAUCGAUGAUCACAAGAUCAAGAUGGAUAAAAUGCGCUUGAAGAUUAGAAAGAUUAAAAAAUAUGCCAUUCAUACCGAGUCUUGGUAUCAUUAUGCCGUUGGAUCAAUUGUUACCUUAGUUGCGAUUAUGAUCGCAUAUGUUGUUGCAUUGAAAUGUUUUACAUAGUUUCAAUGUAUGGUUUAAUUAGAUGCUCUCGAGAGCUAUAUGUUGUUCAAUGAGAACUAUGUAUUAACUUUAUGUAUUUAUUUUUUCAGUAAUAAUAUUUGAUCACUACUGUACUUUGGUUUUAAUGUGAUGAUGAAAUCCCUUUGUAACAGAUGAGUUUUCGUCCAAAGCCCUGAUACUUCGAAAGAGAUUGUCCGUUUUGCACACGAAGUGCAUCCAGUUUUUGCUGUAACCCUCUCAUCUUUUUAGAACAUGCUAUGUGGGUGAAAUGAUGAUACCAUGCCAACUUUUAACCUUUUCAGAGUUCAUUUUAAGUGCUUUUCAAUUUCAGGGUCAUUUAGCUCAAAAAAUCAAUAAAUGCAUGAAAAAUAGCAAAUGAAGUCAGAAAUGGUUGAAACUUGAUGAUGUGGCUUUGAAUGGUGCAUUUUGAACACACAAAAAGUCUAGAGUUCAAAUAAGUUCAAAUAAAUGAAAUCCCUUUGUAACAGAUGAGUUUUCGUCCAAACCCCUGAUACUUCAAAAGAGAUUGUCCAUUUUGCACACGAAGUGCACCCAGUUUUUGCCUUAACCCUCUCAACUUUUUAGAAGAUGAUAUGUGGCUGAAAUGAUGAUACCAUGCCAACUUUCAACCUUUUCAGAGUUCAUUUGAAGUGCUUUUCAAUUUCAGGGUCAUUUAGCUCCAAAAAAAAUCAGUAAAUGCAUGAAAAUAGCAAAUGAAGUCAGAAAUGGUUGAAAAUGGAUGAUGUGGCUUUGAAUGGUGCAUUUUGAACACACAAAAAGUCUGGAGUUCAAAUAAGUUCAAAUAAAUGAAAUCCCUUUGUAACAGAUGAGUUUUNNNNNNNNNNNNNNNNNNNNNNNNNNNNNNNNNNNNNNNNNNNNNNNNNNNNNNNNNNNNNNNNNNNNNNNNNNNNNNNNNNNNNNNNNNNNNNNNNNNNNNNNNNNNNNNNNNNNNNNNNNNNNNNNNNNNNNNNNNNNNNNNNNNNNNNNNNNNNNNNNGAAAUGAUGAUACCAUGCCAACUUUCAACCUUUUCAGAGUUAAUUUAUAGUGCUUUUCAAUUUCAGGGUCAUUUAGCUCAAAAAAUCAGUAGAUGCAUGAAAAAUAGCAAAUGAAGUCAGAAAGGGUUGAAAAUUGAUGAUGUGGCUUUGAAUGGUGCAUUUUUAACACACAAAAAGUUUGGAGUUCAAAUAAGUUCAAGUAAAUGAAAUCCCUUUGUAACAGAUGAGUUUUCGUCCAAAACCCAGAUACUUCGAAAGAGAUUGUCCAUUUUGCACACGAAGUGCAUCCAGUUUUUGCCUUAACCCUCUCAACUUCUUAGAACAUGCUAUGUGGCUGAAAUGAUGAUACCAUGCCAACUUUCAACCUUUUCAGAGUUCAUUUGAAGCGCUUUUCAAUUUCAGAGUUCAUUUGAAGUGUUUUUCAACUCUAAUAGCAAAAAGAAUGAACUAAAAAUAAUAAUUAAAAUAUUCUGUUAUGAUCAACUAAAACAAAACAAUAUUAUUCUUCAAUAGCAAAAAUAAUCAACUAAAAAUAUUUUAUAAAACUCUAAUAGCAAAAGGAAUAAACUAAAAAGAUUUUAUAAACCUCUAGUAUUUUUGAAACAAAAAAUAUAUAAAAUUUAUGCAACUAAAAUUAUCAAAGUAUUUUUUGUUCAAAACAUUAAUAGCAAAAAGAAUUUUCAUAAAGAAUUUUUUGUUAGCAAACUAGAAUAACAAAAUCUGUUUUUGAUUAAAACAUACAUUUAAAAUAACCUAAAAAUUACCAAAUUGAAUAUAAUGAUAAAACAUAGUAAUAUUAAAUAGCAGGAAAAAGAAUCACAAAAAAAAUCUAUUUGUAUAGUAAAGUUAUUUAGAAACUAGUGAUUCACACAAAUUUCAAAGAAUUCAAAUUUAAACUAUUCAAAUUUGAAAGCUAAUGGCACUAACAGAAAGUUUAUAAUUUUUGUGACCUAAAAGCAAAAAGAAUCACAGGAAAACAGAAAGUACAAACAAAAUAAAAUAAAUAAAGCAAAAAAAACUGGAAAAAUAUUAAAAAAAUGCCACCUAGUGGGCCACCACGGCCUGAAUACGACUAGAAACCCAACCAACUUGUUGGGCCAGGAUUCAGGCCCAUAGAAGCCCAGUAGGCCCACAGGCAGAAGUGUCAGAUUAGGCCCGCAAGCCUGCAGUUGAGAGGAGCUCAGCGCUUAUAAACCACUCUCGAGCUCUCUUAGCUAGCGAGGUGGGACUAAACAUUUGGCCCCGGGGGGCACCAACCGGGACCAAUGCCCCCCUUUGGUCCCGGUUCGUGCCACCAACCGGAACCAAAGGGUGUCAUUGGUCCCAGUUUGUGCCACCAACCGGUACCAAAGGUAUCUGCUUCCCGCCCUUUGGGCUACUGAAAAGAGACCUUUGGUCCCGGUUGGUGGUACGAAUCGGGACUAAAGGGGGGCAUUGGUCUCGGUUGGUACCAUGAACCGGUACCAAUGCUUCGUGUAUAUAAGAAACACUUGUGAAAAUUUCCAUUUAGUUCUUUGAUCCCGCGCUCUCUCCCCAUCGUCGAUGAACACCUCAACGCCGCCAGGCUGCCGGACCGCGUCGUCGCCUCCCCGAUCCCGUUGUCUUCGUCACCGGCAUCCCCAAGCCCGUCGUCCUCGUCCCCGUCCCCGUCGCCUCCCCAAGCCAGCCGUCCUCAUCCCCAUCACCGCGUGCCGCCCCGAGCCGGCCACCCUCCUCGUCCCCGUUGCCGCGUGCUGCCCCGAGCCCGCCGUCCUCGUCGCUGGCCUCCAGCCAUCACCCCCCAAUGAGCCCCCCUUUCCCAUUGUCCCCUGCUCCCCGUCUCCGCGUGCCCCCGAGCCCGGCCUUGCUCUGCCACUGCUCCAUGGUCGCUGCCGGCCCCGACGCAUUGAAGAGCAGCAGCAACACCGUGAAUGAGAAGAGGAGUGGACAGUGAAGAGCAGCUGCAGCAGCAGCAGUCCCCCCUUUUUUGAAUUUUUUACAGUGAUGAAUAGUGCAUAGAAGGUGUUUGAUGAAAUUCUAGAUGGCUUUGGGCAUUUUUGAAAUUUCUGAUUUUUUUGUGGUGAGGUACUGAUGCAAGACAAAGGUGAUGGCAAAAUUUCAGAAUUUUGGAGUGGUUUAGAAUAGGUUUUCAGCAAGGAAUUUGAACUUGGUUCAAAUUUCAUUUGAACGAAAUUUGAAAAAUAUGAACUAUGGAUUAGAAGGUUUUUGGUGAAAUGGAGUGUGGGUACUGUCAUGCAGUUGGAGUAAUUUUUUUCAGGAUCUUUUAGCAAGGAAAAAUAGGGUUGUAGUUCAAUGCCAAGAUUGGACCAAAAUUGAAAAAUGGAAGUUGUGCUCAAAAUUUUCAAAUGACCAAAGUGGGGUUUUGCCUAAAAAUGAUCUAUAGGCAUUAGAGGACUUCUCAAAAAAUUGUGGCAUUUGAAAAGAAUUAUUUGAAAUAGUUCUACUGCAACAGGGUCAUUCUAGAGUUUGAAAAUACUAAUAAACUAUUUUUUGAGGCCAAAUCAUUAUAAAAAUAAUUACUAAUGAUUUUUUUCAUAGCAUUUUUUUGUCCAUGUAUGUAUGUAUGUAUGUAUAGAUAUAGAAAAUGUUCAUAUAUGAUGUUUUUUGUUCAUAACAAUUUUUUCCAUGUAUGUAUGUAUGUAUGUAUUUUUUUAGAUGUGCUCUGUUUUUUCAGAUGAGAUGAAAUGAUAUGAGAUGAGAUGUAUGAGAUGUCCAUUUGUUGUAUAAACAUAAACCCGAUAACUUCAAUUCCCCUCGGGCUUAUAUUUUUGUGAGCAUAGAAGUUUUUUUAACUUGUAUGUAUUUGAUCACCGCGGAUAGUUGCCACAUGAGUUUUCCCUUUGAUUUUGAGGCAUAUGAUCUAGAUAAUGUCCAAUGCCUCAUAUCGCGAACAUAGUUAUAUUGGACAAUUGAUCUUCAUAUAAACAAAGCAUAAAAGUUUAGCAACCAGUUUAGCAAUUACUUAGAAACAGCGUUGUCGAGGCCACCCCAAACCCUAGACGAAGAAAGAGCAUUGUUGAUCUACCCCAUCCCGCCCCUACCCGUAAUUGUUAUGUUCAUUGUUGUCAUUAGCUAUGUAUAUGUUUGUGCUUAUGAUUUCUUGUUGUGAUAUUAGCUAGGUUAUGUUUGCCACUAAUAUAUCCAUCUCAUGUUUGUAUAUUAAUUGCCAUGUUGUAAUAUUUGCAGAAACUAUGGAUCAAAGAGACUUGGAACAAGAAGAGUUGUUGGGGGACAUAAUCCGCGACAAACGUGAUGUAUUGUCGUAUCUCAACAACACCGAUGGUCAGAAAGGAGAGGAUGACUGCUCCGGUGACCGAACGGAGGAGGUAGCUGUUGCAAAGUCCAGCGAGGUAUAUAUAUUAAUUAAGCCUGUGCUGACUAAUUGACGCAUUAAUUGUUUUGGUAUGUACAUAUAUUAACGCUUCUUUCUUCUUUUAUAGCCCUCCAGAUCAAGCCAAACUUCCGUAACGAGACGAGGCCUGAAGAAAAGGUUGCGCCAGGAUGAAAGGUUCACGAUCACAGAAAUCGCGGGCAAUGGCCAACCGAUUGAACCCAAGCGGACCAAGGACGCCAUUUGUUGCUCAGUGCGGAGCUAUUGUUAGGGACACCAUCCCAAUCAACAUCCAGCAAUGGAAUAAGCCGGCUAAGGCCGGCGACCCUGAAGUUUCUUAUGUCAAUGAUAGACAGAAAGUUGAUCUUUGGACCUGCUGAAGGCAAAUUUCACCCUACCGCCAGAGGAGGAUCUGGAUAAGCAAGUUAUAGAGACAAAGGUCAAGUCAUAUGCUCUUAAGAAGAUGGCAGAUCUAUUCAGGAGGUGGAAGAAAGAGUUGAACACAAACUUUGUUGACAAAGGGAAGACUCCAGAAUUCACUCGCCGAUUUGAGAAGAUAAGAGAUCACUGGCCCGCAUUUGUGGCCUACAAGACAUCAGAGAAGGGUAAGAAAAUGUCAGAGACAACACAAGAAAAAUGCUGCAAAGAAGUUGUAUCACCAUCACACGGGGUUAGGUGGCUACCUCAAAGCUCGGCUGUUGUGGGACAAAGCUGAGAAAGACCUGAUUGCUAAGGGGGUCCAACCAGCGACACUGAACUGGCCAGACUAUUCAAGGACUUGGUUCUUCCGGGUUGGGGGAACUUUGGACCCAGAAACAGGGGAGUGUUGUUGGACGGACGAGCAACUUGCAAUACCGGUCAAGAAGCUUAAGAAUUAUAUCGCUGCAACGCAGAAAGGGACGUUCAUUCCCGACAAAGUGAAGGACGAGAUGUCUGAGGCCCUCGGGAAUCCUGAGCACCCUAGACGAACACGAGGCACACCAGGCUCUGUUGCAUGGGUGCAUGGGUUCCCCGAUGCAAGCGGUUACAAAAAGCGAGAGAGAAAGAGGAAAGUGGAGCAGAGCGAAAUGGAGACAAUCAAAGCAAGAUUAGCGAAGCUAGAGGAAUUUGCAACUGCCGGCCAACCAUCUCAGUGGCUCAAAGCUACCCCAGAAGCUACCCCGCCAUCUCAGUGGAGAAGCAGCAUGGCUUCCAUGGAGCUAGCCCAGCCUGAUUUGACGGCUCCUCGCUACCCCGUGGAUACUAUCACGGAGGCUGAUAACCCACAAGUAUAGGGGAUCGCAACAGUUUUCGAGGGUAGAGUAUUCAACCCAAAUUUAUUGAUUCGACACAAGGGGAGCCAAAGAAUAUUCUCAAGUAUUAGCAGCUGAGUUGUCAAUUCAACCACACCUGAAAUACUUAAUAUCUGCAGCAAAGUAUUUAGUAGCAAAGUAGUAUGGAAGUAAUGGUAACAGUGGCAAAAGCAAUAGUAGCAGUUUUGUAGCAAUCGUAACAGUGGCAACGGUAAAGUAACUUAGCAAAGAUCAAUAUGAAACGAGCUCGUAGGCAAUGGAUCAAUGAUGGAUAAUUAUGUCGGAUGACAUUUAUCAUGCAACAGUUAUAACAUAGGGUGACACAGAACUAGCUCCACUUCAUCAAUAUAAUGUAGGCAUGUAUUCCGAAUAUAGUCAUACGUGCUUAUGGAAAAGAACUUGCAUGACAUCUAUUGUCCUAUCCUCUCGUGGCAGCAGGGUCCUAAGGGAUAUUAAGGCCUCCUUUUAAUAGAGUACCAGACCAAAGCAUUAGCACUUAGUGAAUACAUGAACUCCUCAAACUACGGUCAUCACCUGGAAGUAUCCCGACUAUUGUCACUCCGAGGUUGCCGGAUCAUAACACGUAGUAGGUGAUAACUUGCAAGAUAUGAUCAAGAACACUCAUAUAUUCAUGAAAACAUAAGAGGUUCAGAUAUGAAAUCAUGGCACUCGGGCCCUAGUGACAAGCAUUAAGCAUGGCAAAGUCACAACAACAUCAAUCUUAGAACAUAAUGGAUACUAGGGAUCAAACCCUAACAAAACUAACUCGAUUACAUGGUAAAUCUCAUCCAACCCAUCACUGUCCAGCAAGCCUACGAUGGGAUUACUCACGCACGAUGGUGAGCAUCAUGAAAUUGGUGAUGGAGGAUGGUUGAUGAUGACGAUGGCGAUGAAUUCCCCUCUCCGGAGCCCCGAACGGACUCCAGAUCAGCCUUCCCAAGGAAGAACAGGGCUUGGCGGUGGCUCCGUAUCAUAAAACGCGAUGAAUCCUUCUCUCUGUUUUUUCUCCCUAAUCAUGAAUAUGUGGAGUUGGAGUUGAGGUCGGUGAAGGUCCUGGGGGCCCAUGAGAUAGGGCGGCACGACCAGGGGGGUAGGGCGCGCCUCCCACCCUCGUGGCCAGGGUGUGGGCCCCCUUCAGCUGAUUCUUUCGCCAGUAUUUUUUAUUAAUUCCAAAAAAUAUCUCCGAGAAGUUUCAGGUCAUUCUGAGAACUUUUAUUUCUACACAAAAGUAACACCAUGGUAGUUCUGCUGAAAACAACGCCAAUCCAGGUUAGUUCCAUUCAAAUCAUGCAAAUUAGAGUCCAAAACAAGGGCAAAAGAGUUUGGAUAAGUAGAUACAUUGGAGACGUGUCAACUCCCCCAAGCUUAACCCAUUGCUUGUCCUCAAGCAAUUCAGUUGACAAACUGAAAGUGAUAAAGAAAAACUUUUACAAACUUUGUUUGAUCUUGUUGUUGCAAAUAUGUAAAGCCAACAUUCAAGUUUUCAGCAAAGAUCAUGAACUAACCAUAUUCACAAUAACAUUUAGGUCUCAUGUUUACUCAUAUCUUUGGCAUAAUCAACUAGUGAGUAAUAAUAAUAAAUUUCGGAUGACAACACUUUCUCAAAACAAUCAUGAUAUGAUAUAACAAGAUGGUAUCUCGAUAGCCCUUUCUGAGACCGCAUAACAUAAAUGCAGAGCACCGCUGAAGAUCAAGGACUGACUAGACAUUGUAAUUCAUGACACAAGAGAUCCAGUCACAGUCAUACUCAAUGUAAAUUAAUAACAAUGCAUACAAAUGAAAGUGGUGCUCUCUAACUGGUGCUUUUUAUAAGAGGAUGAUGACUCAACAGAAAAGUAAAUUGAUAGGCCCUUCGCGGAGGGAAGCAGGGAUUUACAGAGGUGCCAGAGCUCGAGUUUUGAAACAUAGAUAAAUAAUAUUUUGAGCAGUAUACUUUCAUUGUCAACAUAACAACCAAGAGAUCUCGGUAUCUUCCAUGCUACAUACAUUAUAGGCGGUUCCCAAAUAGAAUGGUAAAGUUUAUACUCCCCCAUCACCAACAAGCACAUUCCAUGGCUGGUCCAAAACUACGGGUACCGUCCAACUAACAACAAUCCCGGGGGAGUUUUGUUUGCAAUUAUUUUUAUUUGAUCUGAGCAUGGGACUGGGCAUCCCGGUUACUGGCCAUUUUCUCGUGAAUGAUGAGCGGAGUCCACUCAUCGUGAGAAUAACCCACCUAGAAUGGAAAAUAUAGACAACCCUAGUUGAUGCAUAAGCGAUUCGAGCAUACAAAACCGAAUUUCAUUUGAAGGUUUAGAGUUUGGCACAUGCAAAUUUACAUGGAACGGCAGGUAAAUACCGCAUAUAGGUAGGUAUCGUGGACUCAUAUGGAACAACUUUGGGGUUUAUGGAAGUGGAUGCACAAGCAGUAUUCCCGCUUAUUACAGGAGAAGGCUAGAAAGAGACUCGGACACUACUGCAGGAUGCUGCUAACGCGACACUACGAUCAGAGACCCUUCGACGAAACUAUGUGCGAUGCAAUAAUCGCAAACGGUGGUGUAAGAAACCCGUCAAAAAGGUGCAAAACGUUUGCAAUGACGGAUGCAUCAAACACGGCUCAAAUUUUGGUUGUGUGUGCGAUGCAGGGCAUACGGUUCAGUUAAAUCAACUGUUUGCAACGAGGAGGAACAAAAGAAACGGGCUGCUGAUACGUCUCCAACGUAUCUAUAAUUUUUGGUUGUUCCAUGCUAUUAUAUUAUCUGUUUUGGAUGUUUAAUGGGCUUUAAUAUACCCUUUUAUAUUAUUUUUGGGACUAGCCUACUAACCGGAGGCCCAGUGCAAAUUGCUGUUUUUUUGCCUAUUUCAGUGUUUUGCAGAAAAGGAAUAUCAAACGGAAUCCAAACAGAAUGAAACCUUUGGGAGAGUUAUUUUUGGAACAAACGUUGUGGUGAAAUUUUCACGGCAGAUGUCCUAGUGAAAGGACUUAGUCGUGGAGCCAUCGCAACUAGGAAGCAAGAAGGGGUUAAUCGGGACAAAGGACACGAGGUUUAUACUAGUUCGGCCCCUUACGGUGAAGGUAAAAGCCUACGAUCCAGUUUUGAGUGGGAUUGUAUAUGUCUCGAUAACCAGGGAGCGAAUCUGCUUGACCUAGCUCUCGAUUUGAUGUUACUUGCCCUAAGCCGCUGCUGGGUCGUCCCCUUAUAUACACGGGUUGACGCCCUGCGGCCUACAGAGUCCCGUCCGGCUCAUAAACGGUGUCCGGCUUAGUGACUAGUUAAUCUUCCAUUAUAAUACAAGUCAUACCAUUAUGGCGGUUUAUCAUUACGGGCCUAGAGUUGCCUUUGGGCUUUGGGCCCUUAACUGAACCGCCAUCUUCAAGCUUGGUCUUGGGCUUCGAGAGUCUUCGUAGGUAUAACCCGGCCCCUCCUGGGCGGAUCAUACCUAAUAGUUAUAUCCCCAACAUUAGGCCCCAGAUUGAUUUGAACUGGUUCAUGUCAAUCUUCAAUACUUAAGCAAAAUCUUCUACUCUUCUUUUGUAUAAAAUUUUUGUGACCCGCCAUGAUGUCAUCCUUUGGAUUUAUGGUGACCCGCCAUGACGUCAUCUGCCAUUAAUGCACAUUUUGCCCAACUUAUCUCAACAGAUCCUUAUCUUAAUGACCAUCCCGAGAAUCGAGGCGCCUUUGUAGUUGGAUAAUCAUGUUUUUGGCCUCCUCGUUUUUUGCACCCACUUAUCAGUGUUCCCUUAUAAAUAGGCACAACCAGGUCUUUCCUCAUUCUCCCCUUUCCUCGUCUUCUUCCUCUCGCAAUCCUACUACCACUCGAGCUCCGCCACCGCCACAGAGCACCUCGUCUUCCUCGACCUCGGCCGCUGCAUCAACCUGAAUCAGUCCAGAGAACAGCGGCGACCCUCCGUAGUAGAUCUGCAGCUGUAAGUCUUUGACUUCCCGCACCUCAGAUCCGCAUUAGGGUUUUCAAGUUCCUCUGUGUUCUUCAUAGUUCAUCGCAGUUUCUUCGUAGUUCCUCCACCGCAGCCUCUUUUGAGCCAAAAAGUAACAUAUAACUCAUGCGGUAGUUGUUUUGCGUCCAUUUUUGAUCAUAGCAGAUCCCUUUUUCUUGUACAGAGGCCUCAUUAGAACUCACGAACUCAUAUGUACUAGAUUUUUAGGUCUAGAAUAUUUUCUUUUCUGAACAACCAUUUGAUCCAAAAUAAUAGCUGCAACCUGUGAAACUUGUUUGUGCAACACUUAGGCAAAAACUGUAUUUGUUAGAUCCACCUAGCCAUGACGACUCUUAUCACCGGUUUAAAAAAGGCAAUGCUCAAUCGAUAAUCCUGACCACCCAUGGUGGUUUAAAUAACUUAACUGCUUAUGACUCUCGUGGCGGCUUAAAUAACCUGACAUAAUUAGCCAUAUACCAUUAGGCCCCUUUGUAAGCCGCCACUUUGAAUAUGUAUUGUAAUACUUGUUCUCUGGCUUAAGUGUAAAUCGACAAUUUCACUCUUUGUUAGGCUUCCGUCUUCACAAUGCCACCCAAAGCACCCAAAGCACCUGUUACAUGCAAUUCAUCGUCACAGAAAGCACACUUGCUGAUUUUGUGAAGACUGGCUAUCUGCCAAAGAAGGAAGUCAUGUCCUACCGUGCUCCUGAUCCAAUAGAGGAAAAACCUCAACCCAAAGAAGGGGAAGUCAUCGUCUUUACUGAUCACAUGAACCGGGGUUUUUAUCCACCCGGCUCAAAGUUUUUUAGAGAUGUCCUGCAUUUUUUUGACCUUCGACCUCAAGACAUCGGGCCCAACUCUGUGUCUAACAUCUGCAACUUACAAGUGUUCUGUGAGGUGUACCUUGGAGAAGAACCCAAUUUGCUGCUCUUCAGAGAAUUAUUUUACUUGAACUGCCAGAAUGAACGUGCCAACUGGCCUAGCUUGGAACUUGGUGGGAUCUCAAUCCAACGACAGAGAGACUGCAUUUUUCCGUAUGCCGAUCCACCGAGUCACCCCAAAGACUGGAACCAGACAUGGUUCUAUUGUCAAGAUACUUCUCCGGCUGGUGAGAACCCUCUGCCUGGUUUUCGCGCCCUGCGCCUUGAGUCCACUCAUCCUCUACCAGAUAAGCUGUCUCCUGUUGAACGCCAGAAGCUUGCCCCCACCAUGAGUAAAUUCAAGGCUCUUUUGGGGAAUGGCUUAAAUGGCAUCGAUUUGGUCCGAGUUUGGCCGGCCUGGCGGGUUAUUCCAUCGAGCCGUCGCCCUGGUUUGAUGUGCGACUAUACAGGCCAGAAGAAUGAUCCUCUGCGGCACAGUCCUGAUGAUUUACCUGAUGACGUCAUUGAUGAUAUGACAAAGUCACUCCUGAAUGAGAGCCUAGCAGACUGUGGCAAAGUAGGUUUGAGUCCUUUCUGCAAAGCCAACUCGGCUCCAGUGGUAAGCUAGUAAUUUAAGCAUUUUACUCUCGUCUUUGAGGUUUUACCUUUACUCAAAACUCUUUGUUGAAAUUCAUAGGCCACUGACGAAUUUUGAAAGCCAAAUAUGACCAUGAAGCUGCAAAGAAGGCCAGAAAAGCUAAGAAAGCCGCCAGGAAAGUCGGCGCCAAGAAGAAAUGACAUAAACCCAGCGCCUCAGACAUGCUUUGACUAGAGGACACCUCUGAGUCAGAGGUAGCUCUUGAUUCUCUAGGCUCCUUAUUUAACUAUCUUAUUGACACUGAUUAUCAUCAAGAGGAUACAGGAGCGAGUCAUGCAGUGGUUUAAGAGGUAAGUAUUAUUUCCUCCGACUCCGAGCCUUUGCCAAGACAGAAAGUCCGAAGAGUAACCUGGAAAGUAAGAUUUUCACAUCCUUUAGCUUACCAAGAUCCUCAAUUUCUUUUGAAGCAACAGAUGCAUGAGAGCCGGAGGCAGACCCGGACCAGUAAAGAUGCAGAACUCUACUCCGGCUUACCCACUAUAACAAGAAAAUGCCGGAACGAGGUCAUCUCCGAUUUAUAUUCCUUUUAUCCUUUGGCGGGUCUCACUCAUCAAUCGCUCAAUUCUUCUGACUCAAAUUAUCAGGAAACUUCACCUUCCUCUGGCAAGUCAAUGCAGUCCAAUUUGCUGGCUUUUAAAACUGCUCCAGGGUAAUGAUAACCUGCUUAAUUUGUGCUCAGUUUGAUUUGUUGUAUUUUUACUAACCUUUUGAUUUUAUGCAGCGGUCAAGCCAAGCCCAGCAAAAGGGCGAAGAAGAACAAGCCGGCCGAAGAACCGAUCCUGAAUGAGCCGGAACUUGGAACAGCCACUCCUGAAGCCUCCACUCAUGAGCCGCCGCCUAAGCCAUCCCAUGAUAUACCAAAGCCCACUGCUGAUCCGCCUGUCGAGCAAACCAUCGAUGGUUCUGGAAACCCGGAAUCCCCUAGCCCGACCAAAAUGAAUGAUCGUCAAGAUCUUGACGUCGAAAUCACCAAGACCAGCUUUGUUGAGCAGGGGAGGCCAACCGUGCUAGCCAAGUGUUCUGCCAAGGAGGAACUUCUGGAACGCCGCAAAACUAGACUUGAUGUCGCUGAUUAUACUCAUAUGAGUAUCGAAGAAAUCUUUUCUGGCUAUAUGAGCCAAGUGCAUAGCAGCCGUGAUAUAGAAAUUGACAUGGUGAAGCAAAUGCACCAGAAGUUUGAGGUACAAUCCUUUCUCUGUACUUAAUUAUCCUUACUAUGCCAGCUCCCAAGUCUAGUGCUUAUGAUGAAAUAUGUUGUAGACUUAAAACCCAGCUUAACAAUAGAUGUAAGAAAUCCGGCUUAUCUGUAGCUCCUAAGGGCCGGCUUAAGCAACAUGUUUGAACCGGUCCUUCUUGUUGGAAAUAUGCCCUAGAGGCAAUAAUAAAUUGGUUAAUAUUAUAUUUCCUUGUUCAUGAUAAUCAUUUAUUAUCCAUGCUAGAAUUGUAUUGAUAGGAAACUCAGAUACAUGUGCGGAUACAUAGACAACACCAUGUCCCUAGUAAGCCUCUAGUUGACUAGCUCGUUGAUCAAUAGAUGGUUACGGUUUCCUGACCAUGGACAUUGGAUGUCGUUGAUAACGGGAUCACAUCAUUAGGAGAAUGAUGUGAUGGACAAGACCCAAUCCUAAGCCUAGCACAAAGAACGUGUAGUCCGUAUGCUAAAGCUUUUCUAAUGUCAAGUAUCAUUUCCUUAGACCAUGAGAUUGUGCAACUCCCGGAUACCGUAGGAGUGCUUUGGGUGUGCUAAACAUCACAACAUAACUGGGUGGCUAUAAAGGUACACUACAGGUAUCUCCGAAAGUGUCUGUUGGGUUGGCACGAAUCGAGACUGGGAUUUGUCACUCCGUGUAAACGGAGAGGUAUCUCUGGGCCCACUCGGUAUGACAUCAUCAUAAUGUGCACAAUGUGACCAAGGAGUUGAUCACGGGAUGAUGUGUUACGGAACGAGUAAAAGAGACUUGCCGGUAACGAGAUUGAACCAGGUAUCGGGAUACCGACGAUCGAAUCUCGGGCAAGUAUCGUACCGCUAGACAAAGGGAAUUGUAUACGGGAUUGAUUGAAUCCUUGACAUCAUGGUUCAUCCGAUGAAAUCAUCGCGGAGCAUGUGGGAGCCAACAUGGGUAUCCAGAUCCCGCUGUUGGUUAUUGACCAGAGAGUUGUCUCGGCCAUGUCUGCAUGACUCCCGAGCCCGUAGGGUCUACACACUUAAGGUUCGAUGAUGCUAGGGUUAUAGGGAAUAGAUGUAUGUGGUUACCGAAUGUUGUUCGGAGUCCCGGAUGAGAUCCCGGACGUCACGAGGAGUUCCGAAAUGGUCCGGAGGUAAAUAAUUAUAUAUGGGAAGUCCUGCUUUGGUCGCCGAAAAAGUUUCGAGUUUAUCGGUAAUGUACCGGGACCACCGGGAGGGUCCCGGUGGUCCACAAAGUGGGGCCACCAGCCCCGGAGGGCUGCAUGGGCUAAGUGUGGGAGGGGACCAGCCCUAGGUGGGCUGGUGCGCCCCCCCACAAGGGCCCAAGGUGCCUAGGGUUUGGGGAGGGGGCGCCUCCACCUAGCUUGGGGGGCAAGUUUCCCCCUCUCCCCCCCUUUGGCCGCCACCCUAGAUGGGUUUGGGGCUGCCGCACCCCUUGGGGUGGAAACCCUAAAGGGGGUGUACCCCCUCCCUCUCCCCUAUAUAUACUUGAGGACUUUGGGGCUGCCAACACAUGAGUUUUGACCUCUCCCUGGCGCAGCCCUACCUCUCUCCCUCCUCGUCUCUUGCGGUGCUUGGCGAAGCCCUGCUGGAGUACCACGCUCCUCCACCACCACCACGCCGUCGUGAUGCUGCUGGACGGAGUCUUCCUCAACCUCCCCCUCUCUCCUUGCUGGAUCAAGGCAUGGGAGACGUCACCGGGCUGCAUGUGUGUUGAACGCGGAGGUGCCGUCCGUUCGACACUAGGAUCAUCGGUGAUUUGGAUCACGGCGAGUACGACCCCAUCAACCCCGUUCUCUUGAAUGCUUCCGCUGAGCGAUCUACAAGGGUAUGUAGAUGCACUCUCCUUCCCCUCGUUGCUAGAUUACUCCAUAGAUUGAUCUUGGUGAUGCGUAGAAAAUUUCGAAUUUCUGCUACGAUCCCCAACAGUGGCAUCAUGUGUUGGGAACGUAGUAAUUUCAAAAAAUUUCCUACGCACACGCAAGAUCAUGAUGAUGCAUAGCAACGAGAGGGGAGAGUGUUGUCUACGUACCCUCGUAGACCGUUCCCGGAAGCGUUAUAUCAACGCGGUUGAUGUAGUCGUAUGUCUUCACGUCCGACCGAUCCAAGUACCGAAAGCACGACACCUCCAAGUUCUGCACACGUUCGGCUCGGUGACGUCCUUGCCUUCUCGAUCCAGCAAGAGGGGCGAAGUAGUAGAUGAGUUCCGGCAGCACGACGGCGUGGUGACGGUGUUGGUGAAGAACAAUCUCCGCAGGGCUUCGCCUAAGCACUACGAAAACUAUGACGGAGGAUAAACUAGAGGGGACGGGGUUGCCGGCACAUGGCUUGGUGUUUAUUUAUGUGUCUUUGGUGCUAGCCCUGCCCCUCUAUUUAUAUGUUGAGCCCUGGGGUCAAAACUUGGAGUAAAAGCCUCCACAAAGUCGGUUUCACUCGAAAGGCAAGAGUCCUUCUCGGACUCCAGGGACAGAUGCCAGGGUUCCCGGCGUGUGGACCCAGACGCCAGGGACCCUGGCGUCUGGCCCCUGGACUCCGCAAAACUUCCUUUUUUGCGCUUUCCAAAAACCUUGUGGGCUUUCCCCUUUCGCCCAAAUAAAGUGUUCUCGUACCCAAACAUUUCGGGAAACAUCCGGAACCCCUUCCAGUGAUUUCCGGAACCCUUCCGGUGACCAAACACUAUUAUCCCAUAUAUCAAACUUUGUCUCCAGACCAUUCCGGAGUUCCUCGUCAUGUCCGUGAUCUCAUCCCGGAUUCUGAACAACAUUCGGUCACCAACAUACAUAACUCACAUAGUACUAUAUCGUCAACGAACGUUAAGCGUGCGGACCCUAUGGGUUCGAGAACUAUGUAGACAUGACCGAGACACCUCUUUGGUCAAUAACCAAUAGCGGGACCUGGAUGCCCAUAUUGGCUCCUACAUAUUCUACGAAGAUCUUUAUCGGUCAGACCACAUAACAACAUACGUUGUUCCCUUUGUCAUCGGUAUGUUACUUGCCCGAGAUUCGAUCGUCGGUAUCUCAAUACCUAGUUCAAUAUCGUUACCGGCAAGUCUCUUUACUCGUUCCGUAAUACAUCAUCUCGCAACUAACUCAUUAGUUGCAAUGCUUGCAAGGCUUAUGUGAUGUGCAUUACCGAGAGGGCCCAGAGAUACCUCUCCGACACUCGGAGUGACAAAUCCUAAUCUCGAAAUACGCCAACCCAACAUGUACCUUUGGAGACACCUGUAGAGCUCCUUUAUAAUCACCCAGUUACAUUGUGACGUUUGGUAGCACACAAAGUGUUCCUCCGGUAAACGGGAGUUGCAUAAUCUCAUAGUCAUAGGAACAUGUAUAAGUCAUGAAGAAAGCAAUAGAAACAUACUAAACGAUCGAGUGCUAAGCUAACAGAAUGGGUCAAGUCAAUCACAUCAUUCUCCUAAUGAUGUGAUCCCGUUAAUCAAAUAACAACUCUUUGUCUAUGGUUAGGAAACAUAACCAUCUUUGAUUAACGAGCUAGUCAAGUAGAGGCAUACUAGUGACACUCUGUUUGUCUAUGUAUUCACACAUGUAUUAUGUUUCCGGUUAAUACAAUUCUAGCAUGAAUAAUAAACAUUUAUCAUGAAAUAAGGAAAUAAAUAAUAACUUUAUUAUUGCCUCUAGGGAAUAUUUCCUUCAUCAUGAGCUAGGUCUAUGCGUAGUUUCUAUGCACGAGUAGAACACAAAGCAGUUGUGGGCGUCGAUACUGUCAAUUUACUUGCCGUUACUAGUCUUAUCUUGAUUCAGCGGCAUCGUGGGAUGAAGCGGCCCGGACCGACCUUACACGUACUCUUACGUGAGACUGGUUCCACCGACUGACAUGCACUAGUUGCAUAAGGUGGCUAGCGGGUGUCUGUCUCUCCCACUUUAGUCGGAUCAGAUUCGAUGAAAAGGGUCCUUAUGAAGGGUAAAUAGAAAUUGGCAUAUCACGUUGUGGUUUUGGCGUAGGUAAGAAACGUUGUUGCUAGAAACCUAUAGCAGCCACGUAAAAACUUGCAACAACAAUUAGAGGAUGUCUAACUUGUUUUUGCAGCAUGUGCCUUGUGAUGUGAUAUGGCCAAAAGGAUGUGAUGAAUGAUAUAUGUGAUGUAUGAGAUUGAUCAUGUUCUUGUAAUAGGAAUCACGACUUGCAUGUCGAUGAGUAUGACAACCGGCAGGAGCCAUAGGAGUUGUCUUAAUUUAUUUAUGACCUGCGUGUCAACAUAAACGUCAUGUAAUUACUUUACUUUAUUUCUAAAGCGUUAGCCAUAGUAGUAGAAGUAAUAGAUGACGAGACAACUUCAAGAAGACACGAUGAUGGAGAUCAUGAUGAUGGAGAUCAUGGUGUCAUGCCGGUGACAACGAUGAUCAUGGAGCCCCAAAGAUGGAGAUCAAAAGGAGCAAAAUGAUAUUGGCCAUAUCAUGUCACUAUUUGAUUGCAUGUGAUGUUUAUCAUGUUUUACAUCUUAUUUGCUUAGAACGACGGUAGCUUAAAUAAGAUGAUCCCUCACUAAAAUUUCAAGAAAAGUGUUCCCCCUAACUGUGCACCGUUGCGAAGGUUCGUUGUUUCGAAGCACCACGUGAUGAUCGGGUGUGAUAGAUUCUAACGUUCGAAUACAACGGGUGUUGACGAGCCUAGCAUGUACAGACAUGGCCUCGGGACACACGCAAUACACUUAGGUUGACUUGACGAACCUAGCAUGUACAGACAUGGCCUCGGAACACGGAAGACCGAAAGGUCGAGCAUGAGUCGUAUAGAAGAUAUGAUCAACAUGUAGAUGUUCACCGAUGUUGACUAGUCCGUCUCACGUGAUGAUCGGACACGGCCUAGUUGACUCGGAUCAUGUUUCACUUAGAUGACUAGAGGGAUGUCUAUCUGAGUGGGAGUUCAUUAAAUAAUUUGAUUAGAUGAACUCAAUUAUCAUGAACAUAGUUUGAAUUGUGUUCACAAAUAUGUUGUAGAUAAAUAGCUCACGUUGUAUCUCCCUGUUUCAAUAUAUUCCUAGAGAAAGAUUAAGUUGAAAGAUAUUGUAAGCAAUGAUGCGGACUAGGUCCGUAGUCCGAGGAGUGUCCUCACUGCUACACAGAAGACUUACGUCUUUGAUGCACUGCUCGAUGUGCAAACCCCUACAACGUCGUCUGUGGAUGUUGUGAACACCUGACAGACACAUCCUGAUGACUACUUGAUAGUUUAGUGCACCAUACUUUAUGCUUAGAAUCGGGAUUCCAAUGACAUUUUGAACACCAUAGAACAUAUGAGAUGUUCCAAGAGCUGAAGUUGGGAUUUCAGGCUCAUGCCCGUGUUGAGAGGUGUGAGAUCUCUGACAAGUUCUUUUGCCAACAAGAUGGAGGAGAAUAGCUCAACUAGUGAGCAUGUGCUAAGAAUGUCUGGGUGCUACAAUCACUUAAAUCAAGUGGGAGUUAAACUUCCAGAUAAGAUAGUGAUUGAUAGAGUUCUCUAGCCACUAUCACUAAGCUACUACAUCUUCGUGAUGAACUAUGACAUGCAAGGGAUGAAGUUGAUCCCGGAGCUGUUCGCGGUGCUUAAGACCGCAAAAGGUAGAAAUCAAGAAGGAGCAUCAAGUGUUGAUGGUUUAACAAGACCACUGGUUUCAAGAAGGGCAAGGGCUAGAAGGGAAACUUCAUAUGGAUGGCAAACCAGUUGCCGCUCCAGUGAAGGAACCCAAGGUUGAACCCAAACCCGAGACUAAGUGCUUCUAUUGUAAGGGGAACAGUCACUGGUAGCGGAAUUACCCCAAAUGCAUGGUAGAUAAAAGGCUGGCAACUUCAACAAAGUAUAUACGUGUUAUUAAUUUGUACCUCACUAGUACUCCUGGUAGCACCUGGGUAUUGGAUACCGGUUCAGUUACUAUUAUUGGUGACUUGAAGCAAAAGCUACGGACUAAACGGAGACUGGCUGAGGGCGAGGUGAUGAUGUGUGUUGGAAGUGUUUCCAAAAUUGAUGAGAUCACCAUCGCACGCUCCAUCUGCCUUCAGGAUUAGUAUUGAACCUAGAUAAAUGUUAUCAGGUGUCUACGUUGAGCAUGAAUAUGAUUAGAUCAUAUUCAUUGCAAUACGGUCAUUCAUUUAAGUUAGAGAAUAAUGGUUAUUCUGUUUACAUGAAUGAUACCUUUCAUGGUCAUGCACCCUAUGUGAAUGGUUCAUUGAAUCUCGGUCGUGGUAAUACACAUGUUCACGCCAAAAGAUGUAGAGUUAAUAAUGAUAGUACCACUUUCUUGUGGCACUGCCGCUUAGGUCAUAUUGGCGUAAGAUGCAUGAAGAAACUCCAUAUCGAUGGAUGUUUGUAGUCACUUGAUUUUGAAUCACUUGACACAUGCGAGCCAUGCCUCAUGGACAGGAUGACUAAGACCCCGUUUUUAGGUACAAUGAAACGGGCAAGUGACUUGUUGGAAAUCAUACAUGUAGAUGUGUGUGAUCCAAUGAGAAUUGGAGCGUGCGGUGGAUAUCGCUAUUUUCUCAUCUUCACUGACGAUUUGAGUAGAUAUAGGUAUAUUUACUUAAUGAAGCACAAGUCUGAAACAUUUGAAAAGUUCAAGCGAUUUCAGGGUGAAGUUAAGAAUCAUCAUAACAAUAUGAUCAUGUUCCUACGAUCUGAUCAAAAGGGGAUUUUCGGAGUUAUGAGUUUGGCAAUCACUUAAGACAUUGUGGAAUUGUUUCACAGUUGAAGCCACCUGGAACACCACAAGGUAAUGGUGUGUCCGGACGUCGGAAUCGAACCCUGUGAGAUAUGGUGCGAUCUAUGAUGUCUCUUACCAAUCUACCGUUUUUGUUUUGAGGUUAUGCGAUAGAGACAAUUGCAUACACUUUAGAUAGGACACCAUCUAAGUCCGUUGAGACGACGUCAUAUGAACAUUGGUUUGGCAAGAAACCAAAGUUGUCGUUUCUUAAAUGUUUGGGGCUGCGAUGCUUAAGGCUUCAGCCAGAGAAGCUCAAACCCAAAACGAACAAACACAUCUUCAUAGGGUACCCAAAGGUGACAGUUGGGUAUACCUUCUAUCUCAGAUCCGAGGGCAAAUUGUUUGUCGCUAAGAAUGGGUCCUUUCUCGAGAAGGAGUUUAUCUCAAAAGAAUUGAGUGGGAGGAAGAUAGAACUUGAUGAGGUUGUCGAACCUUUACUUCAACCAGAGAGUGAUGCAACACAGACAGAUGUUUUCUGUGGCGCCUAUGUCUGUUGAAUAGGAAGUUAAUGAUAGUGAUCAUAAAGCUUCGGAUCAAGUUGCUAUCGAACCUCGUAGGUCGACAAGGAUAUGUACUACUCCUAAGUGGUACGGUAAUCCUGUCUUAGAUAUCAUGUUGUUAGACAACAAUAAACCUAUGAGCUAUGGAGAAGCGAUGGUGGGCCCGUAUUCCGACAAAUGGUUAGAAGCCAUGAAAUCUAAGAUAGGACCCAUAUAUCAGAACAAAGUAUGGACUUUGGUGGACUUGCCCUAUGAUCGGCAAGCCAUUGAGAUAAAUGGAUCUUUAAGAAGAAGACGGACGUGGGCGGUAAUGUUACCGUCUAUGAAGCUCGACUUGUGGGAAAGAGUCUUUUCACAAGUUCAAGGAGUUAACUACGAUGAGAAUUUAUCACCCGUAGCGAUGCUUAAGUCCGUCGGAAUCAUGUUAGCAUUAGCUGUAUUUUUCGAUUAUGAAAUCUUACAGAUGGAUGUCAAAACAAGUUUUCUUACCAGUUUUCGUAAGAAAAGUUGUAUGUGAUACAAUAGAAGGUUUUGACGAUCCUAAGGAUGCUAAAAAGUAUGCUGGCUCCAGCAAUCCUUCUAUGGACUAGAGCAAGCAUCUCGGAAUCGGAAUAUAUGUUUUGAUGGAGUGAUCAAAGCUUUUAAGUUUAUACAAUGUUUGCUAGAAACUUGUAUUUACAAGAAAGUGAGUGGGAGCACUACAAAAUUUCUGAUAAGUAUAUGUGGAUGACAUAUUGUUGAUCCGAAAUAAUGAAGAAUUUCUGGAAAGCAUAAAUGGUUGUUUGAAGAGUGCUUUUUCAAAGGAAGACCUGGAUAAAGCUGCUUACAUAUUGGGCAUCAAGAUCUAUAGAGAUAGAUCAAGACGCCUGAUGGUACUUUCAAAGAACGCACACCUUGACAUGUUUUUGAAGGAGUUCAAAAUAUAUCAGUCAAAGAAGGGGUUCUUACCUGAGUUGUAAGGUGUGAAGUUGAGUAAGACUCAAAGCUUGACCACGGCAGAAGAAAGAGGAAGGACGAAGGUCGUCCCCUAUGCUUUUGUCAUAGGCUCUAUACGGUAUGCCAUGCUGAAGUACCGCACCUGAUGUGUGCCUUGCCACAAGUCUGGCAAGAGGGUACAAAGGUGAUCUAGGAGUAGAUCACCAGAUAGCGGUCAAAAUCAUCCUUAGAGGAAUAAGGAAAUGUUUCUCGGUUAUGGAGGUGAUAAAGAGUUUGACAUAAAGAGUUACGUCGAUGCAAGCUUAACUCCUAUCCGGAUAGCUCUGAGUAGAGAUACCGGAUACGUAUAAUGGAGCAAUAAUUUGGAAUAGCUCCAAGUGGGACGUGGUAGCAGCAUCUACGAUGUAAAGUUUUGCGAAAUACAUAGGGAUCUGAAUAUGGCAAGACCUGUUGACUACAACCUCUCUCACAAGCAUAACAUGAUCAAACCCAGAACUCUUUGAGUGUUUAUCACAUAGUGAUGUGAACUAGAUCAUUGAGUCUAGUAGACUCUUGGAUGUUGGUCACAUGGCGAUGUGACCUGUGAGUGUUAAUCACAUGGCGAUGUGAACUAGAUUAUUGACUCUAGUGCAAGUGGGAGACUGUUGGAAAUAUGCCCUAGAGGCAAUAAUAAAUUGGUUAUUAUUAUAUUUCCUUGUUCAUGAUAAUCGUUUAUUAUCCAUGCUAGAAUUGUAUUGAUAGGAAACUCAGAUACAUGUGUGGAUACAUAGACAACACCAUGUCCCUAGUAAGCCUCUAGUUGACUAGCUCGUUGAUCAAUAGAUGGUUACGGUUUCAUGACCAUGGACAUUGGAUGUCAUUGAUAACGGGAUCAAAUCAUUAGGAGAAUGAUGUGAUGGACAAGACCCAAUCCUAAGCCUAGCACAAAGAUCGUGUAGUUCGUAUGCUAAAGCUUUUCUAAUGUCAAGUAUCAUUUCCUUAGACCAUGAGAUUGUGCAAGUCCCGGAUACCGUAGGAGUGCUUUGGGUGUGCCAAACAUCACAACGUAACUAGGUGUCUAUAGAGGUACACUACAGGUAUCUCCGAAAGUGUCUGUUGGGUUGGCACAAAUCGAGACUGGGAUUUGUCACUCCGUGUAAACGGAGAGGUAUCUCUGGGCCCACUCGGUAUGACAUCAUCAUAAUGUGCACAAUGUGACCAAGGAGUUGAUCACGUGAUGAUGUGUUACGGAACGAGUAAAAGAGACUUGCCGGUAACGAGAUUGAACCAGGUAUCGGGAUACCAACGAUCGAAUCUCGGGCAAGUAUCGUACCACUAGACAAAGGGAAUUGUAUACGGGAUUGAUUGAAUCCUUGACAUCGUGGUUCAUCCGAUGAAAUCAUCGUGGAGCAUGUGGGAGACAACAUGGGUAUCCAGAUCCCGCUGUUGGUUAUUGACCGGAGAGUUGUCUCGGCCAUGUCUGCAUGACUCCUGAGCCCGUAGGGUCUACACACUUAAGGUUUGAUGAUGCUAGGGUUAUAGGGAAUAGAUGUACGUGGUUACUGAAUGUUGUUUGCAGUCCCGGAUGAGAUCCCGGACGUCACGAGGAGUUCCGGAAUGGUCCGGAGGUAAAUAAUUAUAUAUGGGAAGUCCUGUUUUGGUCGCCGGAAAAGUUUCGGGUUUAUCGGUAAUGUACCGGGACCACCGGGAGGGUCCGGUGGUCCACCAAGUGGGGCCACCAGCCCCGGAGGGCUGCAUGGGCCAAGUGUGGGAAGGGAACAGCCCCAGGUGGGCUGGUGAGCCCCCCCACAAGGGCCCAAGGCGCCUAGGGUUUGGGGAGGGGGAGCCUCCACCUAGCUUGGGGGGCAAGUUUCCCCCUCUCCCCCUUUGGCUGCCACCCUAGAUGGGUUUGGGGCUGCCGCACCCCAUGGGGUGGAAACCCUAAAGGGGGCGCACCCCCCUCCCUCUCCCCUAUAUAUACUUGAGGACUUUGGGGCUGCCAACACAUGAGUUUUGACCUCUCCCUGGCGCAGCCCUACCUCUCUCCAUCCUCGUCUCUUGCGGUGCUUGGUGAAGCCCUGCUGGAGUACCACGCUCCUCCACCACCACCACGCCGUCGUGCUGCUGCUGGACGGAGUCUUCCUCAACCUUUCCCUCUUUCCUUGCUGGAUCAAGGCAUGGGAGACGUCACCGGGCUGCAUGUGUGUUGAACGCGGAGGUGCCGUCCGUUCGGCACUAGGAUCAUCGGUGAUUUGGAUCACGACAAGUACGACUCCAUCAACCCCGUUCACUUGAACGCUUCCGCUUAGCGAUCUACAAGGGUAUGUAGAUGCACUCUCCUUCCCCUCGUUGCUAGAUUACUCCAUAGAUUGAUCUUGGUGAUGCGUAGAAAUUUUUGAAUUUUUGCUACGAUCCCCAACACUUCUCAUGUUUGAAUCAGAAAAAAAUACUUGUAACAGCAACAUGCAUUAGUCCCCAAGUGCCAAGUAUCUUUGCUUGCAAAGUGCUUGUGACUUACUGUCAUGAACCGCCACUGUAAGCAAAAUUCUUCAGCAUACAUUAGCCCCCAAGUGCCAAGUAUCUUUGCUGGCAAAAUGCUUUGGGACUUAAUAAUGCAUCAUGAUAAUCCUGAUUUUGACCCGGUAUUUGUACAGGCCACCAAUAGUCAAUUUGAAUCGGAAAUAUCUGACUUGAAGAAUCGCCUGGAAGCAUAGGAGACUGAAACCCAAAAAGCCAACUCCAAAUUGGAGUUCAACGUAUCUGAACAAGAAAAACUGAAAAAGGCUUUGAAGUGGAGAAGAAGGCCUGGGCUGAUGAAAAGAUCGCCUUGAUCAACCGGGCUGAGAAGGCAGAGGCGACUCUUGCAGAAGCAACCGCCGAAUUAUCUGGUUUAAAACGCCAUAUAUCUCAGAUGGUCUCAACAAUCUUUGGUAAGUCACUCUGCAAGUGUUAGAUAUUUGAAUCUUUCUAAUAAGCAUAUCAAUUGUCAUCAACUCACCUGACAUUGGAAUGCAAUCCCCCGGAGCUCAAAUCUUAACCAGAGCAUGUUGAUAAAGCUAAAUGCGGUUUACACGCUGGUGGGGCAACUCUACACCGGGUCUUAGCGUGCCUUAGCCGCAGUGGCCCUGUCGAAUGAAGUUCCCACCCUCCUGUUGGAUGUAUUAAAGUGGCUUGCUGUGCUACCUCAGCGGUUUAAUGAACUAAGGCGAUCUUCUGCGAGAGCCGGAGCCAUAGCUGCAUUAAGCCGAGCCAAGGCGUGGCUACCGGAGCUAGACCCGGCCGAUAUCGCCAUUGGGUAUCCAACCCUAAAGGAGGACGACACACCUUUUGGACAGGAGGACUUCACCAUUGUGUUAAGGAGAUAUGCCCUGUGGCCACCCUGAUUGCUGAUGACACGGAUCUUACCAAGUAUCAUCCGGGUUAUGAUGCCGAAAAUCAGAGGAUUCCAAUGCCGCAUUAUGAAGUGAUCAGUCUGAUCCCUCCAAUUCGUAAGCAUACCUUCGCCCCUGAAGUUGACUCGGCCGGAUUAAUUGAUGAUGAAGCUGAAUUUGAAGCUUUGAAUGGCAUUGACUGGUCAUCAUCAACCUUCUAGGAUAGGGAACAAGAUGGAGGAGUGGAAAGGGAUGAUCCGGAAGCUUCGGGACACCAACGCAAUUGAUCCGUCGGGCGGCUCAUAUUUAUGAUUUGUUGAAAAACAAUGUUAAUCAUUUGGACUCGGGGAGUCAUGUAAUAGGGUAGAAAAAACACUUGGUUUUAUCGUGCCAUCGUGCACGUGUUUGGUGCUCAACACUGUUUAAGCCGCCAUGUUAUAUUCACCCGUGUUAUACUUAUCAUCUGUUUUCCUUACGCUGAAGAACGCUUUUAAACUGUCCUGCAUAUAGGAAUAAAUCACAAGACCCUUGGCGGCUUACCGCAGGGCGGGUUAUAUAUCAUACAUAAAACCCGGAACAUGAAAAAGAAUCAUAGAUAAACUUGUUACCCAUUAUAACUUUGAAACAUAACUAUAAUAUCAUACCUGUGAUCCUUUAACUUGUACUGCCGGUUUAUAUAACCCGAACAAUAAGGGUGAUGACCCAAUCCUGCAGAAACCAGUGCUUCCACAUAGAUGAUUAUUGUCAUAAGUUGACGACUUAUCGUCUAAAGUCAAGCCAGCUUAAAUAUAAACCACUCAUAUAUACUGUAGAUAUGAUCAAAAAGGCCUUAAGUAAAAUCCAAAAUAUUGUUUGCAAAAAUACUUAAAAAAUUGGGCUUCUAAUUCGAAUAUGAUCAGAAAACCAUUCCAAAGGGGUUAAGCUAAGAUUCGAAUACGAUCAUAUAGCCGCCAGUGGCUUUGGCAUUGCGCCGAUCAAGAGGGUACCGGCAGCUAUGUUAUCUUUGGUUCAAAUACGACCUAUGUUUGAACAGGAAGCCCCCAAAUGACCUUGAGAGGUUUUUAACGACCCUGAUUCGAAUACGAUCCAAGUUGGACCCAAAGGGGUUGAGCUAUGAUUCAAAUACAAUCAAGAAGCCCCCUAGUGGGUUUGGCAGUGUGCCAAUCAAAAGGGUACCGACAACUAUGUUCUCUUUGGUUCGAAUACGACCUAUGUUUGAACAGGAAGCCCCCUAGUGAUCGUGAUGUUUUAACGGCUAGAUUCUAAUACGAUCAUGAGCCGGAUCAAAAGGAGAGCUAGAUUCAAAUAUGAUCAGCCCCCUGUUGGUCAUUUUUAAAGACAUAACAAUGAAGACAUAAUAACUUUGAGGAUGAAAAGGACAGAGGUCCUGCUUUAUUACUUAACAUAAUAUAUAUAUCGUCAAAAUAUGUACAUCAUGAGAGCCGGUGGCUCAAGUGUAGUAAGGCCGAAGAUGAGCAAUAUUCCACGGCAGACGGGUCUCCUCCUCCGACUUACGUGAGUCUUUGUGCUCUCGAACAUCGAUAAGAUAGUAUGACCCAUUGUUCAAGUUCUUGCUGACCACAAAGGGUCCUUCCCAAGGUGGGGAUAGCUUGUGCGCAUCAGACUGAUCCUGGAUGAGCUAGAGCACCAAGUCACCUUUCUGAAAGGUUCUGGACUUAACCCGGCGGCUGUGAUAACGGCGCAAGUCCUGUUGGUAAAUCGCCGAGCGGGCUGCUGCUAAGUCGCGCUUCUCAUCUAACAGAUUAAGUGCAUCCUGACGGGCUUGCUCAUUAUUAGCUUCAACGUAAGCCUCCACACGGGGCGAGUCAUGACGGAUGUCACUCGGUAGAACCGCCUCUGCUCCGUAAACCAUGAAGAAAGGUGUAUAACCCGUAUAUUUGUUAGGUGUAGUAUUGAUGCUCCAUAUCACAGAAGGCAACUCUUCUAUCCAACAACCCGACGUCCGCUGCAAAGGAACCAUAAGCCGGGGCCUGAUGCCUUUCAAGAUUUCCUGAUUGGCUCUUUCAUCCUGCCCAUUGGAUAGGGGGUGAGCUACUGAUAAAACAUCAAGCCGGAUAUGCUCAUGUUGACAGAACUCCUCCAUGGCACCCUUGGACAGAUUAGUACCGUUGUCAGUUAUAAUACUAUGUGAAAAACCAAAGCGAAAGAUCACCUUUUUCAUGAAUUGAACCGUUGUGGCUGCAUCACACUUACUGACUGGCUCUGCCUCAACCCACUUCGUGAAUUUGUCAACCGCCACCAAGAGGUGGGUCUUUUGUCUUUGGACCUUUUGAAAGGCCCAACCAUGUUGAGCCCCUAGACUGCAAACGGCCAAGUAAUUGGAAUCAUCCGCAAUUCUUGAGACGGUACAUGAGCCCGUCGUGAGAAUUUCUAACAACCGUCACAUUUACUGACCAGAUCUUCCGCGUCAGCAUGAGCCGUCAGCCAAUAAAAUCCAUGACGAAAAGCCUUGGCCACAAGGGAUUUUGAACCAGCAUGAUGGUCACAAUCUCCUUCAUGAAUCUCACGAAGAAUUUCUUGACCCUCCUCAGGAGAGACACAACGUUGAAACACCCCAGUGACACUGCGGUGAUGUAACUCACCAUUGGCAAUCGUCAUUGACUUAGAUCGCCUGGUUAUCUGCCUAGCCAAGGUUUCGUCCUCCGGCAACUCGCCUCGGGUCAUGUAAGCCAAAUAUGGCACUGUCCAAUCUGGGAUAACGUGAAGAGCCGCCACCAGUUGUGCUUCCGGGUCAGGAACAACCAAGUCUUCCUCUGUAGGCAACUUGACAGAAGGGUUAUGCAAUACAUCCAAAAAGGUGUUAGGUGGCACCGGCUUGCGCUGAGACCCCAGCCGGCUUAAAGCAUCGGCUGCCUCGUUCUUUCUGCGAUCAAUGUGUUCCACCUGGUAACCCUUAAAGUGUCCAGUAAUUGCGUCAACUUCAUGAUGAUAAGCCGCCAUGAGAGGAUCUUUAGAAACCCACUUGCCUGAGACUUGUUGAGCCACCAAAUCUGAGUCGCCAAAGCACCUUACCCAGCUUAAGUUCAUCUCCUUAGACAUCCGAAGACCAUGGAGCAAGGCCUCAUACUCAGCUGCAUUGUUAGUACAGGGAAACAUCAACCGGAGUACAUAACAUAAUUUAUCACCUCGAGGGGAAGCUAAAACAACUCUAGCCCCCGAGCCCUCCAAUUGCCUGGACCCAUCAAAGUGAAUAGUCCAAUAUGCGUUGUUCGGCUUCUCUUCAGGCAUCUGCAACUCUGUCCAAUCAUUCAUGAAGUCCACCAGUGCUUGGGAUUUAAUAGCAGUGUGUGGCACAUACUUUAAGCCAUGAGGCCCAAGUUCAAUGGCCCACUUGGCGACUCGUCCUGUGGCUUCUCUAUUCUGAAUGAUAUCUCCCAAAGGAGCAGAACUUACCACAGUGAUGGGGUGACCCUGGAAGUAUUGCUUAAGCUUCUGGCUUGCCAUGAACACCACGUAAACGAGCUUCUGCCAAUGUGGAUAUCUUUGCUUGGACUCAAUAAGCACCUCACUGAUGUAGUAAACCGACCAUUGAACCGGAUGCUCCUUGCCAGCCUCUUUGCACUCCACCACAAUUGCAACACUGACAACACGUGUGUUAGCAGCCACAUAUAGCAAUAAGGGCUCCUUACAAUGGGAGCAGCAAGGAUCGGCGGCUUAGAUAACUGUCUCUUCAAAUCUUCAAAGGCAGUGUUAGCAGCAUCACUCCAGACAAAGUUGUCUGUCUUCUUCAUCAUCUGAUACAGCGGUAUGGCCUUCUCACCUAACCGGCUUAAAGCAGCAAUACGGCCCGCCAGUCGUUGAACAUCAUUGACACACGCCGGCUUAGCCAAAGAGGUGAUUGCCUUGAUCUUCUCCGGGUUAGCCUCAAUACCUCUGUUAGAAACCAGAAAACCCAAAAGUUUACCUGCUGGCACUCCAAACACGCACUUUAUCGGGUUAAGCAUCAUCUUAUAAACCCGGAGAUUAUAAAAAGUUUCUUUCAGAUCAAAUAUCAAGGUCUCCUUCUCUCUGGACUUCACCACAAUGUCAUCCACAUAAGCAUGAACAUUACGCCGAAUCUAAUUAUGGAGACAAUUCUGCACACAUCGCUGAUAAGUCGCCUGGGCACUUUUAAGCCCAAAAGGCAUAGACACAUAACAGAAGGCUCCAAAUGUAGUGAUGAAAGCCGUCUUCUCCUGGUCCUUAACUGCCAUCUUGAUCUGAUGGUAACCAGAAUAAGCAUCCAAAAAGCUCAAAUGCUCACAACCCGCCGUAGCAUCAAUGAUCUGAUCAAUACGGGGGAGAGCAAAAGGAUCAGCCGGACAAGCCUUGUUUAAGUCCGUGUACUCCACACACAUAUGCCAGGCGCCGUUCUUUUUAAAUACAAGCACCGGGUUAGCCAAUCACUCCGGGUGAAAAACUUCAACAAUAAACCCGACCGCCAAGAGCCGGGCCACCUCCUCACCAAUAGCUUUACGCCUCUCCUCAUUAAACCGCCGAAGAAAUUGCCUGACUGGCUUAAACUUUGGAUCAAUAUUAAGAGUGUGCUCAACGAGUUCUCUCGGUACACCCGACAUGUUAGAAGGUUUCCAUGCAAAGAUGUCCCGGUUCUCAUGGAUGAACUCGAUGAGCGUGCUUUCCUAUUUGGGAUCCAGAUUGGCACUGAUACUGAACUGCUUAGAUGAGUCGCUGGAACAAAAUCAACAAGCUUGGUGUCAUUGGCCGGCUUAAAUUUCAUCACCGGCUCGUGCUCCGUGGUUGGCUUCUUCAGUGACGUCAUGUCCGCUGGGUCAACAUUGUCCUUAUAGAACUUCAACUCCUCUGCUACACAGACAGAUUCAGCAUAAGCAGCAUCACCUUCCUCACAUUCUAAAGCUAUCUUCCGACUCCCAUGGACUGUGAUAGUGCCCUUGUGACCCGGCAUCUUGAGCUGCAAGUAAACAUAACAUGGCCGCGCCAUGAAUUUGGCAUAAGCCGGCCGUCCAAACAGGGCGUGAUAUGGGCUCUUGAUGUUGACCACUUCAAAGGUUAAUUUCUCAGCCCUAGAAUCAUGCUCAUCUCCGAAGGCUACCUCCAGUUCAAUCUUACCAACUGGGUAUGCCGACUUACCAGGCACCACUCCAUGGAAAACAGUGUUAGCUGUCUUAAGAUUCUUAUCUGUCAACCCCAUACGACGAAAGGUCUCAUUAUAGAGGAUGUUGAUGCUGCUGCCUCCAUCCAUGAGUACCUUAGUGAAUUUAUAUCCACCAACCUGAGGUGCCACUACCAGAGCCAACUGACCCGGAUUGUCAACCCGAGGAGGGUGAUCUUCCCUACUCCACACAAUAGGUCCUACCUCUUGAGCACUGAGUUGGAUUUCCUUAAAGAGGAAAGGAUGAUGCAUCAAACUAGCGUAAGUAUUUCCCUUAGUUUUUGAGAAACAAGGUAUCAAUCUAGUAGGAGGCUACGCGCGAGUCCCUCGUACCUGCACAAAACAAAUAACUCCUCACAACCAAUGUGAUAAGGGGUUGUCAAUCCCUUCACGGUCACUUACGAGAGUGAGAUCUGAUAGAUAUGAUAAGAUAAUAUUUUUGGUAUUUUCGUGAUAAAGAUGCAAAGUAAAAUAAAAGCAAAGUAAAAAGAAAAGGAAAUAACUAAGUAUUGGAAGAUUAAUAUGAUGAAGAUAGACCCGGGGGCCAUAGGUUUCACUAGUGGCUUCUCUCAAGAGCAUAAGUUUUUUACGGUGGGUGAACGAAUUACUGUUGAGCAAUUGACAGAAUUGAGCAUAGUUAUAAGAAUAUCUAGGUAUGAUCAUGUAUAUAGGCAUCACGUCCGAGACAAGUAGACCGACUCCUGCCUGCAUCUACUACUAUUACUCCACUCAUCGACCGAUAUCCAACAUGCAUCUAGAGUAUUAAGUUCAUGAAAACAGAGUAACGCUUUAAGCAAGAUGACAUGAUGUAGAGGGAUAAAUUCAUGCAAUAUGGUAAAAAAACAUCUUGUUAUCCUCGAUGGAAACAAUACAAUACGUGCCUUGCUGCCCCUAUUAUCACUGGGAAAGGACACUGCAAGAUUGAACCCAAAGCUAAGCACUUCUCCCAUUGCAAGAAAGAUCAAUCUAGUAGGCCAAACCAAACUGAUAAUUCGAAGAGACUUGCAAAGAUAACCAAUAAUACAUAAAAAAAUUCAGAGAAGAUUCAAAUAUUGUUCAUAGAUAAUCUUGAUCAUAAACCCACAAUUCAUCGGUCUCAACAAACACACCGCAAAAAGAAGAUUACAUCGAAUAGAUCUCCACAAGAGAGGGGGAGAACAUUGUAUUGAGAUCCAAAAAGAGAGAAGAAGCCAUCUAGCUAAUAACUAUGGACCCGAAGGUCUGAGGUAAACUACUCACACUUCAUCGGAGAGGCUAUGGUGUUGAUGUAGAAGCCCUCCGUGAUGGAUGCCCCCUCCGGCGGAGCUCCGGAACAGGCCCCAAGAUGGGAUCUCGUGGAUACAGAAGGUUGCGGUAGUGGAAUUAGGUUUUUUGCUCCGUAUCUGAUCGUUUGGGGGUACGUAUGUAUAUAUAGGAGGAAGGAGUACGUCGGUGGAGCAACAAGGGGCCCACGAGGGUGGAGGGCGCNNNNNNNNNNNNNNNNNNNNNNNNNNNNNNNNNNNNNNNNNNNNNNNNNNNNNNNNNNNNNNNNNNNNNNNNNNNNNNNNNNNNNNNNNNNNNNNNNNNNNNNNNNNNNNNNNNNNNNNNNNNNNNNNNNNNNNNNNNNNNNNNNNNNNNNNNNNNNNNNNNNNNNNNNNNNNNNNNNNNNNNNNNNNNNNNNNNNNNNNNNNNNNNNNNNNNNNNNNNNNNNNNNNNNNNNNNNNNNNNNNNNNNNNNNNNNNNNNNNNNNNNNNNNNNNNNNNNNNNNNNNNNNNNNNNNNNNNNNNNNNNNNNNNNNNNNNNNNNNNNNNNNNNNNNNNNNNNNNNNNNNNNNNNNNNNNNNNNNNNNNNNNNNNNNCUCCUCCUUUGUUUCUUGAUGUAGGGUCCAAGUCUCCUGGAUCAUGUUCGUUCCGAAAAUCACGUUCUCGAAGGUUUCAUUCCGUUUGGACUCCGUUUGAUAUUCCUUUUCUGUGAAACCCUAAAAUAGGCAAAAAACAACAAUUCUGGGUUGGGCCUCCGGUUAAUAGGUUAGUCCCAAAAGUAAUAUAAAAGUGGAUAAUAAAGCCCAAUAAUGUCCAAAACAGUAGAUAAUAUAGCAUGGAGCAAUCAAAAAUUGUAGAUACAUUGGAGACGUAUUAAGCAUCCCCAAGCUUAAUUCCUGCUCAUCCUCGAGUAGGUAAAUGAUAAAAAAGAUAAUUUUUGAUGUGAAGUGCUACUUGGCAUAAUUUUAAUGUAAUUCUUCUUAAUUGUGGUAUGAAUAUUCAGAUUCGAAAGAUUCAAGAUAAAAGUUUAAUAUUGACAUAAAAAUAAUAAUACUUCAAUCAUACUAACAAAGCAAUCAUGUCUUCUCAAAAUAACAUGGCCAAAGAAAGCUAUCCCUACAAAAUCAUAUAGUCUGGCUAUGCUCUAUCUUCACCACACAAAGUAUUUAAAUCAUGAACAACCCCGAUGACAAGCCAAGCAAUUGUUUCAUACUUUUGACAUUCUCAAACUUUUUCAAUCUUCAUGCAAUACAUGACCGUGAGCCAUGGAUAUAGCACUAUAUGUGGAAUAGAAUGGUGGUUGUGGAGAAGACAAAAAAGGGAGAAGAUAGUCUCACAUCAACUAGGCAUAUCAACGGGCUAUGGAGAUGCCCAUCAAUAGAUAUCAAUGUGAGUGAGUAGGGAUUGCCAUGCAACGGAUGCACUAGAGCUAUAAGUGUAUGAAAGCUCAACAAAAGAAAAUAAGUGGGUGUGCAUCCAACUCGCUUGCUCAUGAAGACCUAGGGCAUUUUGAGGAAGCCCAUCAUUGGAAUAUACAAGCCAAGUUCUAUAAUGUAAAAUUCCCACUAGUAUAUGAAAGUGACAACAUAGGAGACUCUCUUAUCAUGAAGAUCAUGAUGCUACUUUGAAGCACAAGUGUGGUAAAAGGAUAGUAGCAUUAUCCCUUCUCUCUUUUUCUCUCAUUUUUUUAUUUGGGCUUCUUUGGCCUCUUUUAUUUAUUUAUUUAUUUAUUUUCGUACGGAGUCUCAUCCCGGCUUAUGGGGGAAUCAUAGUCUCCAUCAUCCUUUCCUCACUGGGACAAUGCUCUAAUAAUGAUGAUCAUCACACUUUUAUUUACUUACAACUCAAGAAUUACAACUCGAUACUUAGAACAAGAUAUGACUCUAUAUGAAUGCCUCAGGCGGUGUACCGGGAUGUGAAAUGACUCAUGAGUGACGUGUAUGAAAGAAUUAUGAAUGGUGGCUUUGCCACAAAUACAAUGUCAACUACAUGAUCAUGCAUAGCAAUAUGACAAUGAUGGAGCGUGUCAUAAUAAACGGAAUGGUGGAAAGUUUCAUGGCAAUAUAUCUCGGAAUGGAUAUGGAAAUGCCAUAAUAGGUAGGUAUGGUGGAUGUUUUGAGGAAGGUAUAUGGUGGUUGUAUGAUACCGGCGAAAGGUGCGCGGUAUUAGAGAGGCUAGCAAUGGUGGAAGGAAGAAAAGUGCAUAUAAUCCAUGGACUCAACAUUAGUCAUAAAGAACUCAUAUACUUAUUGCAAAAAUCUACAAGUUAUCAAAGCAAAGUAUUACACGCAUGCUCCUAGGGGGAUAGAUUGGUAGGAAAAGACCAUCGCUCGUCCCCGACCGCCACUCAUAAGGAAGACAAUCAAAAAAAUAAAUCAUGCUCCGACUUCAUCACAUAACGGUUCACCAUACGUGCAUGCUACGGGAAUCACAAACUUUAACGCAAGUAUUUCUCAAAUUCACAACUACUCAACUAGCACAACUUUAAUAUCACCAUCUUCAUAUCUCAAAACAAUUAUCAAGCAUCAAACUUCUCAUAGUAUUCAACACACUCAUAAGAAAGUUUUUACUAUUCAUGCAUACGAAGCAUAUUAUGAUUAUUUAAGCAAAUUACCAUGCUAUUUAAGACUCUCAAAAUAAUCUAAGUGAAGCAUGAGAGAUCAAUAGUUUCUAUAAAACAAAUCCACCACCUUGCUCUAAAAAAUAUAAGUGAAGUACUAGAGCAAAACUAUAUAACUCAAAAGAUAUAAGCGAAGCACAUAGAGUAUUCUAACAAAUUCCGAAUCAUGUAUGGCUCUCUCGAAAGAUGUGUACAUCAAGGAUGAUUGUGGUAAACUAAAAAGCAAAGACUCAAAUCAUACAAGACCCUCCAAGCAAAACACAUAUCAUGUGAUGAAUAAAAAUAUAGCUCCAAGUAAAGUUACCGAUGAAAGUAGACGAAAGAGGGGAUGCCUUCCGGGGCAUCCCCAAGCUUUGGCUUUUAGGUGUCCUUAUAUUAUCUUGGGGGUGACAUGGGCAUCCCCAAGCUUAGGCUCUUACCACUCCUUGUUCCAUAAUCCAUCAAAUCUUUACCCAAAACUUGAAAACUUCACAACACAAAACUUAAAGUAGAAAAUCUCGUGAGCUCCGUUAGCGAAAGAAAGCAAAAAGACCACUUCAAGGUACUGUAAAGAACUCAUUCUUUAUUUAUGUUAGUGUUAAACCUACUGUAUUCCAACUUCUCUAUGGUUUAUAAACUAUUUUACUAGCCAUGGAUUCAUUGAAGUAAGCAAUAAGCACACGGAAAACAGAAUCUGUCAAAAACAGAACAGUCUGUAGUAAUCUGUAUCUAGCGCAAGAUCUGGAACCCCAAAAAUUCUAAAAUAAAUUGAUGGACUUGAGUAAUUUAUCUAUUAAUCAUAUGCAAAAAUAAUUAACUAAAUAUCACUUUUCAAAUAAAAAUGGCAGAAGUUCUUGUGAGCGCUAAAGUUUCUGUUUUUUACAGCAAGAUAACAAGACUUUCCCCAAGUCUUCCCAACGGUUCUACUUGGCAUAAACACUAAUUAAACACAAAAAACACAACCAAAACAGAGGAUAGAUAAAUUAUUUAUUACUAAACAGGAGCAAAAAGCAAGGAAUAAAAAUAAAAUUGGGUUGCCUCCCAACAAGCGCUAUCGUUUAACGCCCCUAGCUAGGCAUAAAAAGCAAGGAUAGAUCUAGGUAUUGCCAUCUUUGGUAGGCAAUCCAUAAGUGGCUCUCAUAAUAGAUUCAUAAGGUAAUUUAAUUUUCUUUCUAGGAAAGUGUUCCAUGACUCUCCUUAACGGAAGUUAGAAUCUAAUAUUUCCUUCCUUCAUAUCAAUAAUUGCACCAAUCUUUCUAAGGAAAGGUCUACCAAGAAUAAUAGGACAUGAAGGAUUGCAAUCUAUGUCAAGAACAAUAAAAUCUACGGGCACAUAAUUCCUAUUUGCAAAAAUAGGAACAUCAUUGCUUCUUCCCAUAGGUUUCCUAAUAGUGGAAUCCGCAAGGUGCAAGUUCAAAGAGCAAUCAUCAAAAUCACGGAAACCUAACAAAUCACACAAAGUCUUUGGAAUCGUGGAAACACUAGCACCCAAAUCACAUAAAGCAUAGAACUCAUGAUCUUUAAUCUUAAUUUUAAUAGUUGGUUCCCACUCAUCAUAAAGUUUUCUAGGGAUAGAAACUUCCAACUCAAGUUUUUCUUCAUAAGAUUGCAUCAAGGCAUCAACGAUAUGUUUAGUAAAUGCUUUAUUUUGGCUAUAAGCAUGAGGAGAAUUUAGCACGGAUUGCAACAAGGAAAUACAAUAUAUCAAAGAGCAAUUUUCAUACUUAAAUUCCUUGAAAUCCAAAAUAGUGGGUUUAGCAACAUCUAGGGUUUUGAUCUCUUCAAUCCCACUUUCAUCAAAUUUAGCAUCAAGAUCUAAAAACUCCGAAUUUUUGGAACGCCUUCUAGGUAAAGGUGGAUCAUAUCCAGUCCCAUCAUUAUCAAGAUUAAUAUUGCAAAACAAAUAUUUAAUAGGGGACACAUCAAUAACUUUUAGAUCUUCAUCUUUAUUUUCAUAGGAACUAGAAGAACAUGCUCUUAUAAAGGCAUCUUUCUUAGCACGCAUCCUAGCGGUUCUUUCUUUGCACUCAUCAAUGGAAAUUCUCAUGGCUUUGAGAGACUCAUUGAUAUCAUGCUUAGGAGGAAUAGAUCUAAGCUUUAAAGAAUCAACAUCAAGAGAAAUUCUAUCAAUGUUCCUAGCCAAAUCAUCAACUUUAAGCAAUUUCUCUUUAAGCAAAGCAUUGGAAUUCUUUUGCAAAUUCAUAAAUUCCUUAACACUAUUCUCAAAUUCAGAGGGCAUCUUAUUGAAAUUUCCAUAAGAGUUGUUGUAGGAAUUUCCAUAAUUAUUAGAGGAAUUACUAGGAUAAGGCCUAGGAUUAAAGUUUCCUCUAUACGCGUUGUUACCAAAAUUAUUCCUACCAACAAAAUUCACAUCCAAAGAUUCAUUAUUAUUCUCAAUCAAAGUAGACAAGGGCAUAUCAUUAGGAUCAGAAGAAACACUCUUACUAGCAAAUAAUUUCAUAAGUUCAUCCAUCUUUCCACUCAAAACAUUAAUUUCUUCUAUCGCAUGCACUUUUUUAUUAGUAGAUCUUUCAGUAUGCCAUUGAGAAUAAUUAACCAUAAUAUUAUCUAGGAGUUUAGUAGCUUCUCCUAAAGUGAUUUCCAUCAAAGUGCCUCCCGCGGCUGAAUCUAAAAGAUUUCUAGAAGCAAAAUUCAAUCCGGCAUAAAAUUUUUGUAUAAUAAUCCACAAAUUCAAACCAUGAGUAGGGCAAUUAUGUAUCAUUAAUUUCAUCAUCCCCCAAGCUUGUGCAACAUGUUCAUGAUCAAGUUGCUUAAAAUUCAUAAUAUCAUUUCUUAGAGAGAUGAUCUUAGCGGGAGGAAAAUACUUAGAGAUAAAAGCAUCUUUGCACUUGUUCCAAGAAUCAAUACUAUUUUUAGGCAAAGAUGAAAACCAAGCUUUGGCAUGAUCUCUAAGCAAAAAAGGAAAUAGCUUCAAUUUAACAAUAUCAUUGUCCACAUCUUUCUUCUUUUGCAUAUCACACAAAUCAACGAAGCUAUUUAAAUGGGCAGCGGCAUCUUCAUUAGGAAGGCCGGAAAACGGAUCUUUCAUGACAAGAUUCAGCAAAGCGGCAUUAAUUUCACAAGAUUCAGCAUCGGUAAGAGGAGCAAUCGGAGUGCUAAUAAAAUCAUUGUUGUUGGUAUUGGUAAAGUCACACAAUUUAGUGUUAUCUUGAGCCAUCAUGACAAGCAAGCAAUCCAACACACAAGCAAACAAGAAACGGGCAAAAAGAGGCAAAUAGAGAAAGAAAGAGAGGAUAGAGAGAGAGAGGGCGAAUAAAACGGCAAGGGUGAAGUGGGGGAGAGGAAAACAAGAGGCAAAUGGCAAAUAAUGUAAUGCGGGAAAUAAGGGUUGUGAUGGGUACUUGGUAUGUUGACUUUUGCAUAGACUCCCCGGCAACGGCGCCAGAAAUCUUCUUGCUACCUCUUGAGCACUGCGCUGGAUUUCCUUGAAGAGGAAAGGAUGAUGCAGCAAAGUAGCGUAAGUAUUUCCCUCAGUUUUUGAGAACCAAGGUAUCAAUCCAGUAGGAGGCUACGCGCGAGUCCCUCGUACCUGCACAAAACAAAUAACCCCUCGCAACCAACGCGAUAAGGGGUUGUCAAUCCCUUCACGGUCACUUACGAGAGUGAGAUCUGACAGAUAUGAUAAAAUAAUAUUUUUGGUAUUUUUGUGAUAAAGAUGCAAAGUAAAAUAAAAGCAAAGUAAAAAAGCAAAUGAAAUAACUAAGUAUUGGAAGAUUAAUAUGAUGAAGAUAGACCCGGGGGCCAUAGGUUUCACUAGUGGCUUCUCUCAAGAGCAUAAGUAUUUUACGGUGGGUGAACGAAUUACUGUUGAGCAAUUGACAGAAUUGAGCAUAGUUAUGAGAAUAUCUAGGUAUGAUCAUGUAUAUAGGCAUCACGUCCGAGACAAGUAGACCGACCCCUGCCUGCAUCUACUACUAUUACUCCACUCAUCGACCGCUAUCCAGCAUGCAUCUAGAGUAUUAAGUUCAUGAAAACAGAGUAACGCUUUAAGCAAGAUGACAUGAUGUAGAGGGAUAAAUUCAUGCAAUAUGAUAAAAGCCCCAUCUUGUUAUCCUCGAUGGCAGCAAUAUAGUACAUGCCUUGCUGCCCCUGCUGUCACUGGCAAAGGACACCGCAAGAUUGAACCCAAAGCUAAGCACUUCUCCCAUUGCAAGAAAGAUCAAUCUAGUAGGCCAAACCAAACUGAUAAUUUGAAGAGACUUGCAAAGAUAACCAAUCAUACAUAAAAGAAUUCAGAGAAGAUUCAAAUAUUGUUCAUAAAUAAUCUUGAUCAUAAACCCACAAUUCAUCGGUCUCAACAAACACACCGAAAAAAAAGAUUACAUCGAAUAGAUCUCCACAAGAGAGGAGGAGAACAUUGUAUUGGGAUCCAAAAAAGAGAGAAGAAGCCAUCUAGCUAAUAACUAUGGACCCGAAGGUCUGAGGUAAACUACUCACACUUCAUCGGAGAGGCUAUGGUGUUGAUGUAGAAGCCCUCCAUGAUGGAUGCCCCCUCCGGCGGAGCUCCGGAACAGGCCCCAAGAUGGGAUCUCGUGGAUACAGAAGGUUGCGGCGGUGGAAUUAGAUUUUUUGCUCCGUAUCUGAUCGUUUGGGGGUAUGUAGGUAUAUAUAGGAGGAAGGAGUACGUCUUUGGAGCAACAUGGGGCCCACGAGGGUGGAGGGCGCGCCUGGGGGGUAGGCGCGCCCCCUACCUCGCGGGCUCCUCCUUUGUUUCUUGACGUAGGGUCCAAGUCUUCAGGAUCAUGUUUGUUCCGAAAAUCACGUUCCCGAAGGUUUCAUUCCGUUUGGACUCCAUUUGAUAUUCCUUUUUUGUGAAACCCUAAAAUAGGCAAAAAACAACAAUUCUGGGUUGGGCUUCCGGUUAAUAGGUUAGUCCCAAAAAUAAUAUAAAAGUGGAUAAUAAAGCCCAAUAAUGUCCAAAACAGUAGAUAAUAUAGCAUGGAGCAAUCAAAAAUUAUAGAUACAUUGGAGACGUAUCAAUAGGCUGCUCUGACCACCUCAGAUAACGGGGGACUGCCGGCUCAACAGCGCUCACAUCCCUUUUGUGAAGCUUCUUGCCCAGUUUGCACAAACUGGUGGUGAACACAUGAUACUGUCCACUAUUCAGCUGCUUUGGAUUACUCUGAUAACCAGAUUGCUGCUGUUGCUGACCUCCCUGGCGAGACUGUUGAUUAUAACCACCCUGAUUUCUUUGAAAGCCGGAAUUUGAGCCGCCGCCCGGGCCAUGAAACCGCCUCCACCUGAGCCGCCACCCAGCCCAUGGUUGCCGUCAAACAUAUUAGAAUUUUUGAAAGCUUUCAUGAUCGUGCAAUCCUUCCAUAGGUGAGUGGCUGGCUUCUCCCGAGUGUCAUGCCUUGGACAGGGCUCAUUGAGCAACUACUCAAGAGUAGGACCUAACCCACCAGGCCGAGGGGGCGGCCUCCCAUUGCGUCGUUGAUUGUUGCCCUAUGAAUUGGUGUUAGCCACAAACUCCGGGUUACCGUCAGCCUUACGUCUAUUGCCUCCCUGAUUCGCCGGGUUAUGCUGAUGACCCUUUCCGUUGCCGUUCUUCUUUCCCUUCCCUGUCUUAUCCUCAUCAGACUCGGGAUCCUUGGUACUAUCAGAAUUGGCGUACUUGACCAGAGCCGCCAUGAGCUGAAUGAUGUCGUUACAAUCACGCUUGAGCCGCCCCAACUUCUGUUUCAGAGGUAUAAAACGGCAAUUUUUCUCCAACAUUAAAACUGCAGAGCCGACAUCCAUUGUCGAACACAUUACAGACUAAUGUCACUGCACCACUGAUCAAACAGUUUCGGAAUAUUAGAACCAUGAUGCCAACGCAAAUAGGUUUCUUAUUAUACUGUCUGGAGAACAAACCAAGUUUAGCUAGUAGAAACACAACAACUGCUUGGUUUUCCUGAACCCAUAUCUCAGUGGAAGGAACUGGGUUCUAAUGUGCCACAGUCAUACCCAAAAUAUACAAUACUUGUGCCCUGUUUUAGGGUAACCCAAAAUAAAAUUCAGCAACUUUUGGUUUUUGGGUAACUGUUUUGGCCGAAGAGGGACUUCAUCAAAUUCAUAUUGACACAGAUUUUGUUAGAUCUGGUAUAGGAGGCACUGCGGUGGCUGUAUGCAUGGACUCUUCUGGAAAUUACUUGCGAUCAUGUAUGCUAGUAAUUCAUGGUAUGAGAGAAGUUUCAACUCUAGAGGUAUCGCUUGCAGGGAAGCUCUAUCUUUGCGGAUGAUCUUCUACUUCACAAUUUUCUAGUGGCUACUAAUUCUAAGCAGGUGGCUAAUGAUAUCAACAUGGGCUGCACUGGUAUUCAUGGUCUGAUUGUAGCUGAGAUUAAGUUAAGGACAACCAAAUUUAAUUGUAGUUUUUGUUUCUGAGGGUCAGGCCUUGAAUAGAGAAGCCCAUUUACUAGCCAAGCUUUUUGAUUCUUUAGAUUGUGGUAGACAUGUCUGGUUGGGACAGCCUCAUGAUCACAUUUAUUUUCCCACUUUUGUGAACUAUGAGUAACAAAGUUUGGUGGUUCUUAAAAAAUGAAGUUGCUGGAGCCAUUUUUUGCGCUCCAAGUAGUCAAAAAGCGACUGAGAUGCUCUUACUGAGCACGAACAACACUUUGUACAGAUACCAGAACCAGUGUACCCAAAUGGCUAGGAUUGUCAGGUAAUAGUACUAAAACAUGUUAAUCAGAAACAUGUAAAGAUACCCUAAACAGUUCAACAGUGUCCACGUACAACUCACUCUAGACUGUUGACUGGGUCUUGGCCCAUUCCUUGGACACAACUUUUCGACAAACUUUAUUCAAGCCCUACAAUAAGCCUGGUACGCAGAGUCGACCAAGUCACCUUCACUGAGAUCCGCCAGUUUUGGCACCAACAUUGGUGCUUUCAUUGAGAGUUCCGCUGCAUCAUCACCAAAAGGUUCGAUGGCUCCUUCAGACAUCUGUAACAAUGCAGUCCAUGGGGAGGUUUUCCUCCCCGGACAGAUUUUCGUAUUCGGCGGCUUCGCACUGAGGCCAACUCGCUUGGCCAUCUAGAGCAGAUCGACAGCUACGCCCCUGGCCAUCAGGUCAUAUUUGGAAGCUUGAACUACGUCGCUGAUAUCCACGGAGACUUGAUCUUUGACGGAUUCGAGACCACGGCAGCCGCUCCCUGCCACCGCGAUGAACAUGACUUAUAUCUGUCAUCGGACCAUACCCAGGAGAUAGCACCUGUAACUGCUCUGGCCUUAGAUCCAGAGCAGAUUGCGCCAUCCGAGGACUGGAAGCUCAACCCUGCCACGGAAGUCAUAGACAUAGCAGCAUGGGAGCCGCACACAGACCCAACCUCGAGUGGAAUCUGUGUCACCAAAACCUCGAACUCGUUUCUAACUACAGGUUCCGAACCAUGUGCGUCCGCGUACGUCGAGCUUGAUCAGGCAUCGAUCGUCGAAUUCAGCUAUGCGGACAUCUUUCGGCACUCGCCUUUAGGCGACGUGCUAAGCUCAUUAAAAACACUCUCUUUAGCGGGGGACUCACAGCCGAAUUAUAUCCAGUUUGAAUUGGAGGCUGAUGACGGGGAAUUUCGCUUCCCACCCACCGCCCACUUCAUAGCCACUGUUGAAAACUUAACCGACAUGCUCGAUUACGGCUCUGAAGACAUCGACGGUAUGGAUGACGAUGCCGAAGAGGAGCAGGGCCAAAACCCGCCGUUUACCGGGCGCGGCACGACCACGUCUUCCUGUGACGUGUACAUGGUGGACACGCCCAAAGAGAACAAUGGCGAUAACGAGAAGGAUCCAGUCGAGGAUAAACCUCCUGAGAUACAGCCAAAACGCCAACAUCAGCAGCGUCGCUCUAAAUCACGUCAUGGAAAAGAUAGCGAUACUGGCACGAGAGAAAACAAUACUCCGGACGACGCCGAAGACAAGGAAUACCCCAUUGAGCCAACCUCCGAACAUGACGAAUGGGAGGACGGGCAAGUCAGCCCUGAUGACCAGGCCAUAAACAAAGACUCGGAGGACAGUAAUUAUCUUCCACUCUCCGAGGAUGAGGUGAGCCUUGGCAACGAGGAUUUCAUCGUGCCUGAGGAACCUCUCGAGCAGGAGCGCUUCAAGCACCGGCUAAUAGCCACUGCAAGGAGCCUGAAAAAGAAGCAGCAGCAGUUUCAAGCUGAUCAAGACCUUCUCAACGACAUAUGGACUAAUGUCCUGGCAGCCGAAGAACACGGCCUCGAUCGCCCAACUAAAAGUUACCCGAAGCGCAAAUUGUUACCCCAAUUCGAUGACGAGGCGUUGGAGUCCGUACCAUUAGCGCGUAAAGUGGCUGAUCGACCACCACGCGGCCGGGAUAAAGCGGCACCUCAAGCCGAACACCAGCCCAUCCUACCUUACUGUAAAGGCAGAGAUAAAACAGCUCGGGGUUAUACAUAUGACCUUCGGCAGGACCUGGACAGUAGAGCAGGACAUACCAGAUCGAUCUACGGAUGGCGAGGUGAAAGUGCAACUAUCCCUAGGUGGUUUUGGUAAUUCAUAACAACAUAUAGCUCAUUGAGCUAAUGCUAUUCCAAGAUGAUUAUUUCAGGAAAGCUCAAUGAUUGGCAUGGCAUGGAUGUGAAAGUGGAACCCUCAAAAUGCUAAGGACAAAGGAUUGGCUCAAGCUCAAAAGCUCAAGACUCUUCAUUUUAUAUUUUAGUGAUCCAAGACCACAUUGAGUCCAUAGGAAAAGCCAAUACUAUCAAGGAGGGAUGAGGUGUUGCUUAAUGAGCCUCUUGCUUCAUGUGCUUAAUGAUAUGCUCCAAAACCCUCAACUACUUUCCCAUAUCCACAUAUGACCUAAACUCUAAGCCAAACUCGGUCCUACCGAUUUUUCCUAUCCGGCGCCACCGAGUUUCACUUGUCACUAACCACUGCCAAACCCUAGCACUUCGGUUCUACCGAUAAGGAUCUCGGUCCCACCGAGAUGGGGUUGCAAACUCUCUGUUUCCCUUUCGUAACUUUUCGGUCCCACCAAAAGAGAGAAUCGGUCCCACCGAGAUUGCAAUGUAAACUCAGUGUUUCCCCUUUGUAACUUUUCGGUCUCACCGAGUUCCACUCGGUCCCACCGAAAGAGCAAAUCGGUCCCACUGAGUUUGCCUGACCAACUCUCUGGUUAGCUAAUUACCAAACUCGGUCUCACCGAGUUUGUGUAAUUGGUCUCACCGAGAUUACGUUAUGCCCAAACCCUAACCGAAUCGGUCCUACCGAGUUGCAUGUCAGUCCCACCGAAAUUCCUAACGGUCACUAGGUUUACAUUUUCGGUCAGACCGAGUUUAUUUAUUCGGUCCCACCGAGAUUGGAAAACUGUGUAAUGGUUGGAUUUUGUGUGGAGGCUAUAUAUACCCCUCCACCUCCUUCUCAUUCGAUGAGAGAGCCAUCAGAACACACACAUCAUUCCUACUCAUAUGUUCUGAGAGAAAACCACCUACUCAUGUGUUGAGACCAAGACAUUCCAUUCCUACCAUAUGAAUCUUGAUCUCUAGCCUUCCCAAGUUGCUUUCCACUCAAAUCUUCUUUCCACCAAAUCCAAAUCCUAUGAGAGAGAGUUGAGUGUUGGGGAGACUAUCAUUUGAAGCACAAGAGCAAGGAGUUCAUUACCUACACACCAUUUGUUACUUCUUGGAGAGUGGUGUCUCCUAGAUUGGCUAGGUGUCACUUGGGAGCCUCCGACAAGAUUGUGGAGUUGAACCAAGGAGUUUGUAAGGGCAAGGAGAUCGCCUACUUCGUGAAGAUCUACCGCUAGUGAGGCAAGUCCUUCGUGGGCGAUGGCCAUGGUGGGAUAGACAAGGUUGCUUCUUCGUGGACCCUUUGUGGGUGGUUGCUUCUCCAUGGACCCUUCGUGGGUGGAGCCCUUCGUGGACUCGCGCAACCGUUGCCCUUGGGUGGAGCCAUGUGUGGACUCGCGCAACCGUUACCCUUCGUGGGUUGAAGUCUCCAUCAACGUGGAUGUAGGAUAGCACCACCUAUCCGAACCACGGGAAAAACAUCCGUGUCACCAAUAGCAUUUGAAUUCUCCAAACCCUUCCCUUUAUAUUCUUGCAAGUUGCAUGCUUUACUUUCCGCUGCCAAUAUACCCUUUGCAUGCUUGCUUGAAUUAUGUGAUGAUUGCUUGACUUGUCCUAAAAUAGCUAAAAUCUACCAAGAACUAAAAUUGGAAAAAGGUUAAGUUUUUAUUUGGUCAAGUAGUCUAAUCACCCCCCCCCUCUAGACAUACUUUCGAUCCUACAAGUGGUAUCAGAGCUGUGGUCUCCAUUUGCUUGAUCUCCAUAGCUUUUGGUGGUCAUAGCCUUGGUUUCACAACCUAGGAGAGUAUGGCGUCUAGCGAGGGAAAUUAUCACCGUAGAGGUCCUUACUUUGAUGGUACUAAUUUUGCUAGUUGGAAGCAUAAAAUGAAAAUGCAUAUUCUUGGACAUAACCCCGCCGUUUGGGCUAUUGUGUGUGUUGGUUUGCAAGGUGACUUCUUUGAUGGGAAAGAACCAAACCAUGAAGCUACCGCGGAUGAGUUGAAGAUGUUGCAAUACAAUGCUCAAGCUUGUGAUAUUCUCUUCAACGGAUUGUGCCCCGAAGAAUUCAACAAAAUCAGCCGCCUUGAGAAUGCAAAGGAAAUUUGGGACACUUUGAUUGAUAUGCACGAAGGUACCGACUCCGUCAAGGAAUCCAAGUUGGAUGUGCUUCAAAGUCAACUUGACAAGUUCAAGAUGAAGGAUGGUGAAGGUGUCGCUGAAAUGUACUCUAGGCUUGCUCUCAUCACAAAUGAGAUUGCCGGCUUAGGAAGUGAAGAGAUGACCGAUAAAUUCAUCAUCAAGAAGAUCCUAAGAGCCUUGGAUGGAAAAUAUGAUACCGUGUGCACAUUAAUCCAAAUGAUGCCCAAUUACAAAGAUCUCAAGCCAACGGAGGUGAUUGGAAGAAUUGUUGCUCAUGAGAUGUCACUUAAGGAUAAAGAGGAACUUCACAACAAGUCAAGUGGUGCUUAUAAAGCCUCAUGUGAAGCCCCUACAUCAUCAAGUGAGAAACAAGACUUCAAUGAAGAAUUGAGCUUAAUGGUGAAGAACUUCAACAAGUUCUACAAGAGUAGAAGCAAAGAUAGAAGCUCCAAGUCAAGGUCCUACAAUGACAAAAGAUCUUCUAGUCGAGAGCGAAACUGUUACAAUUGUGGAAGACCCGGACACUAUUCCAAUGAGUGUACGGCUCCCUACAAGAGAAGAGAAGAUUCUCCAAAAAGAAGAAGCAAAGGAUCACCACCAAGAGAGAGAAGGAGUAGAGAUGAUCGUUAUGAACGAAGAUACUCACGGAGAAGCAAGGAUUGGAAAGGAAGGAAAAUCAUCAAGGAUCUAUACAAGACGAAGACAUCAAGCUCAUGUUGGUGAAUGGGUAUCCGGCUCCGACUCCGACAGCCACUCCGAGAGAAGUUAUCACUCCGACUCCGAAGAUACUCAAGAUGAAGGUGUUGCCGGUCUAGCACUUGUGUCAACCAACUCCUACGACAUAUUUGACUCACCAAAUGAAGGAAUUGGAAGAUGCUUCAUGGCCAAAGGUCCUAAGGUAACACACCCCGAGUAUGUUGAUUUCAAUAGUGAUGAAGAUGACUUGUUAGGUGAUGAUUUGCUUGGCGACAACUCUAGUGAUGAAUACUAUGAUGAAAGACCAAUUAAUCAUGCUAAUCAAGAUAAAACGAAUGACAAUGAUAAGGAGAAGAUUGAGGCUCUAACUAAAGAACUAAAAACUCUUAAGUUAGCUCAUGACACUAUCUUCGAAGAUCACCGAGAACUUUUAAGAGCUCAUGAGAAACUACGCUUUGAAAAGCUCAAUCUUGAGCAAGAGCAUGAGUUCUUAAAGGCAAUCAAUGAUGAUCUCCGCAAGAAAAGUUCUUCUUACAUUGCCAAGCGUUUACUCUUAUCCACUUACAUGCCUCAAGUCAAAUCUAACAAGAAAGAUUCCUCCUCUAGUAGUAACAAUGAUCAUGCUAAAUCCAAUAUUGUUGCUUCUAGUAGUUCUCUUGAUUCCACUAAUGAUUCUCUUAGCCAAGUUACACUUGAGCAAGAAAAUAGGUUAUUGAAGGGAAUUAUAGAGAAAGGAGUGUACAAAAGCCUUGCCGGGAGUAAGCAAUUCGAGGAAAUUGUGCGCAAGCAAGGAAUGCACCGGAAGAAUCAAGGUGUUGGUUUUGAACGAAAGUUCAAUGCCAAUGGAGUUGAAUGGGAAUAAGAUCAAUACCCCAAGACGAAGUUUGUCCCUCAACAAGAGAAGUAUACUUCUUUCAAGGGGACACAAGCUCAAGAUGAUCUUCCACCACAAGACUAUGAGCAAAAAGGCAAGGACAAGCUUCAAGAGGAAAUUGAUGCAUUUGAAGAAGCUCCAAAGACCUUAGUCAAGUGGAUUCCCAAGACUACUUCAAGUUCCACUUCAUCAAGUACGACUACAACUCCAAGGAUUCCCAUCAAGAUGAUGUGGAUCCAAAAGAAGAAGAACUAGAGAGUUCUUGAGGGUGACUCCGCCAACAUACUUCACUCUUAUCAUUUUGGCAAGAACAAGUGCAAUCAACUUUCACAUCUUGCACUAGUUCAAGGAGUCACAAACCCUCUUGUUGGUAAGACAAGGGACAAGGUAACCUAAAAAGCUUUCAUGGACAUCAUCUUUUGUGUGCAUCACUCUAUGUCUAUGGAUAUCCUUGUUUGUUCCUUGUGGGACUAACCCAUGUAGGUAUUGAAAGUGCAACUCACUCAAAUGGAUAGCUCCAAGAGAUCUACAUCAACAUUGAGCAUCCACAUCUUCAACAUCUACAUGAAGUCAUCAUCGACAAAACCCAAGGUUAGUUCAUCCCUCUUAGGGGGGAUAUCACAUCUAGGGGGAGCUUUACUCUAAGACUUGAGCUAAAGCAACUCUAAAGAUGUGAACAAAACAAUGCUUCAUGUAAAAGUGGUAACCCCACUUGAGCUUAAACGAUGAGUAUGACCUACGAUCAAGUGUUCUCACUUGACUCCUAAGUCAAUAUACUCAUAUAUAGAUGACCUAGUCAUCGCAAAUUGCUUGAUAGAUGCUAGAAUUGGUUGUGCAUGCUUUGCCACAUAUUUCAUUUGCUAUCUUAUUGUGUGAGCAUGCUGAUUGCAUAUUUUACUCAUUCGAGGACAUCCACUUGUUGCUUUGAUUGUUUGGCUUUAUCUUCUUUUGCCAAGUGGAUGGACAAGAAUGCCUAAGAACCUCCUCUAGCUAUCUAUGUUUUUCUCAUCUCAAACUCUAUUCAUGUUGCAUCACAAAAUUUGAUCAAGUCAGAUUCGAACCACUCUGUGUGAGGAGCGCUCGGAGUCCCUGAUUCGUCAUAGACUUAAACUUCCAAAACCUCUUUAUGAAUCUCGGUCUGACCGAUACUCCAUUUCGGUCCUACCGAGUUCAUUAAGUUGAUCUAGGUUUUCAAUCUCGGUGCAACCGAUUUGAACUUUUCGGUCACACCGAGUUGCAAUAACUGCACACAGUUUUGCAUCUCGGUGCCACCGAGUUGUUCCACUCGGUCACACCGACAAGGUCGGGCUAUAUAUAGUGACGGGCAGAAUUUUGGAAAUUUCUCCGAAACCACCUCGCCCGCACAAUAGCCUACUCUGCCCCCGAGGUCUCCGGAUCGUCUCCUCGCCGCCAGCAGCCUCCAGUCGCUGGUAUUCGCCGCCGUCAACGGAUUUCUGCCCCGCCGUUGCCGCCGUAGCAAGUCCACGCCAAACUAGGGUAUGGACUUGAUCAUUGUGCUAUUCCUCAAUCUGAUUCCUAGCACAUUGUGAUCAUCAUGAAUCUUGCCACGAUUGAUAAACUUCUAUCCAGUCAAAACACUCGUAGAUUAGGUUUAAUUCGAAAAUUUUAGGGUUAGGUUUCCGCUGAAACCAUCUUGGACCCACUGAGUUGAAAAACUCGGUCCCACCGAUCUGGCUUUUGCCAUUGCACAAGUUAAACUCGGUCUGACCGAGAAUAACUUAUCGGUGCGACCAAUUUUGGAAUUCUGUGAAACCCUAGCAGUCUUGGUGCCACCGAACUGUGACUCGGUCUGACCGAGUUCACCAGUUCUGGUGCCAAAACUGCUUCGGUGUCACCGAGUUUGAAAAUCAGUAGAUCCGAGAUGCUUUCUGUGGAAAACUAAAACUAAGUUUUUGAAUUAAUCUUUUGCAAAAAUCUCUGCUUUUUGUGAUGCUCAUCCACUCUAUCUCUUCUAUAAUCUAUUCACAGGGUCAGCAGUCAGUUUGCAACAUGUCUGAUCAAAGUGACAGCUAGAACCUCUCAGAGCAGCAAGUUGUGAUGAGUGAGGGCACUAGCCCCUCAAGUUCUUCUGAUGAUGGCAGCAGGAGCACACCCAGCAAUCUGCCUAAGGCUACCACACGUCAAAGGAAGAAGAGAACGUCUGAUUCUGAGGAUGAAGACUAUGUGGCAGAGGAAGAGGCCACUUCCAAGAGAGUUGAGCCAGCUCAAGGCUCAAAGCCAGGCCUGAAAAUCAAGAGGCCAGCAGGCAGGCAGCCAAUGUCAAAGGCUAGAGCCUCAACUGAGAAGCCUGCACCGGCUCCCAUUGAGCCCAUUGCUGCUGAGGGUAAGAAGAGGAAAGAGAGAGUAAAGAAGACUGUAGCCAAAGUGCUUGGGAGAGCCUCCAUCAUGGUAGAAGAGGAGGAGGAAGAAGAGGUUGCUGCACCAGCACCCAAGGCAGCCAAACUUAUGGGAGAUGCCAUAAGGUCAGGAAUAGCUGCAUCCAAGCCCAAGGAAGCUCCUAAGGCUGCAUCUAAGCCUAAGAGUGCACCAAAGAGGAACACAUGAAGCAUCCCAGCUGCAGAAAAGAACAAGGCCCCAGUGCCUGAAGCUAUCGAAGAAGAGGAAGAGAGUGUCCUUCGGAAGCUCAAGCCCAAGAUCCCAGACCACAACGAUGCUCAUCCUGUGGCUGAGGACAUGAAGCUCAGGAGAGACUCAGGGCUCAGGAAAUGGAGAUAAGCAGAUCCAUAUGCUUCUAGGAGAAGGACUGCCGUGGACUACAGAUUUCACACAAAGGAGCAACAAGAUUUUUAUGAGACUGUUUUGCUUGACAAGAAGCCAAUCGUUUGUGACAUGAGAUGGGUCGACUGGACAUACAUCAAGGAGAAUGAAGAGCACUACCCAGGAGUUCAGGACAGCUUCAGAGUGUGUGGAGUAGAGGACUUUGUUGGGCAGAAGCUCACAAAGUGGAACGAGGAACUCAUCAUGCAGUUCUACUCCACAGCUCACUUUUAUCCGGAUGGAAGGAUUACAUGGAUGUCAGAGGGUACAAGGUACCAAUCUACAGUGGCUGAGUGGGCACAGAUCAUCAAUGCCCCAGAAGAGCAAGAUGAGGACUCGGACAUCUAUGCCAAGAAGAAAAUGGACCAUAACUCCAUGUCCAACAUGUACAAGGAAAUUCCCAAUGAAGCUCUUGACACAUUCAAGUUUGGCUCAGUGCACUAUCUGCUCUCAGGAUUGCCUACUAUCAAUUGGAUACUAAGGCACACUCUGUUGCCUAAGUCUGGAGAUCACAAGAUGAUCAGAGGUCACGCGAUCAACCUGCUUCAUGUCUUUGACGUGCCUCAGAAAUUCAAGGUGAUGAGCCUCAUAGUUGAAACGAUCAAAAGGACCGCGGCAGAUCAAAAGAGGAGUUGUGGAUAUGCCCCUCAGAUUCAGGAGCUCAUCAACUCCAAGAUGGGCACGGGCGUAUAUCUGUUGGAUAAGGAACACCUGCCCAUCCAUCCAGAUUUUGAGAACAAUGAAGUUGUGAUGACAGAGAAUGAGCCAUCGUCUGCACAAGCUUAUGCAAAGAAGGAGAAGGCGAGGAAGGAGAAAGCUGCCAGGAUGCCUACUCAAGCAGAGGCAUCUGAAUACUUCUUGAAGACCAAACAAGAGCACCUUGGUUACUUGAUUGCGUCCACCCUGCGGAUUGAGCAGAGUCUAGCCACCCUGACUCAGAACCAGGCGAGUUUAGAGAGGAUCAUGGAACAGAGGUUCUAUGACUUGGACAUCAAGGUAACAGAAGUUCAGUCUGCAGUGGAGCAGCUCCAGGAGGACAUGAAUGAGAGGAGAGGCAGGACCACGACUCAUGCUUUUUCUAGAGUGCCACGAGGUCCGAGGUCGUCUGCACUGCCAGUUGCUGACACCAGAGCUACAACGUCUACACCACCACCUGAAGAUCAAGCCUGAGCGACGACUUAGCACUAUGCAUUUUCUAGGAACUUUUUGCUAACUUGUUGCCAAAUGGGGAGAAGAUGUAUAGAUCAUAGGCUUCGAGAGAGAGAGUGUGUUGCUUUUCUCUCUUGUUUUAUUUGGUGGUUUUUCGAACCUUUUCUCUUUUGAGUGCUUGAUACUACGUCAUUAUUUGUGAGACAUCGAUGAUCAUGUGUUUGAUCAUAAGCUACACUUAAUGUUUGCUUAAUGCUUGCUCAAAUAUUAUCAUGCUAUCUAUCGUUGUGAUCAUUCACUAUUCUUGGUGAUGAGUGCAUGUUUUUCAUUCUUAUCAUUUUGAGCGCUCCACCAAGAUGUAUGUGACAUGGAAGAGUAACCCAUGACUCUAACUCUUUGUGCAUUUGCAGUCCACAGCAAAUUUUAAAUAUGCACAAAUUUAGGGGGAGCUCUUACUUAUCACAUACUUCUCAAAGCGACGAUAUACUUCAUGCUUAUUAUCAUUUGUCGAAGCUUUUAUCUAUAUGUUGUCAUCAAUUACCAAAAAGGGGGAGAUUGAAAGUGCAACUAUCCCUAGGUGGUUUUGGUAAUUCAUAACAACAUAUAGCUCAUUGAGCUAAUGCUAUUCCAAGAUGAUUAUUUCAGGAAAGCUCAAUGAUUGGCAUGGCAUGGAUGUGAAAGUGGAACCCUCAAAAUGCUAAGGACAAAGGAUUGGCUCAAGCUCAAAAGCUCAAGACUCUUAAUUUUAUAUUUUAGUGAUCCAAGAUCACAUUGAGUCCAUAGGAAAAGCCAAUACUAUCAAGGAGGUAUGAGGUGUUGCUUAAUGAGCCUCUUGCUUCAUAUGCUUAAUGAUAUGCUCCAAAACCCUCAACUACUUCCCCAUAUCCACAUAUGACCUAAACUCUAAGCCAAACUCGGUCCUACCGAUUUUUCCUAUCUGGCGCCACUGAGUUUCACUUGUCACUAGCCAGUGCCAAACCCUAGCACUUUGAUUCUACCGAUAAGGAUCUCGGUCCCACCGAGAUGGGGUUGCAAACUCUCUGUUUCCCUUUUGUAACUUCUCGGUCCCACCAAAAGAGCGAAUUGGUCCCACCGAGAUUGCAAUGUAAACUCAGUGUUUCCCCUUUGUAACUUUUCGGUCUCACCGAGUUCCACUCGAUCCCACCGAAAGAGCAAAUCGGUCCCACCGAGUUUGCCUGACCAACUCUCUGGUUAGCUAAUUACCAAACUCGGUCUCACCGAGUUUGUGUAAUCGGUCUCAUCGAGAUUACGUUAUGCCCAAACCCUAACCGAAUCGGUCCUACCGAGUUGCAUGUCAGUCCCACCGAAAUUCCUAACGGUCACUAGGUUUACAUUUUCGGUCAGACCGAGUUUAUUUAUUCGGUCCCACCGAGAUUGGAAAACCGUGUAACGGUUGGAUUUUGUGUGGAGGCUAUAUAUACCCCUCCACCUCCUUCUCAUUCGAUGAGAGAGCCAUCAGAACACACACAUCAUUCCUACUCAUAUGUUCUGAGAGAAAACCACCUACUCAUGUGUUGAGACCAAGACAUUCCAUUCCUACCAUAUGAAUCUUGAUCUCUAGCCUUCCCAAGUUGCUUUCCACUCAAAUCUUCUUUCCACCAAAUCCAAAUCCUAUGAGAGAGAGUUGAGUGUUGGGGAGACUAUCAUUUGAAGCACAAGAGCAAGGAGUUCAUUACCUACACACCAUUUGUUACUUCUUGGAGAGUGGUGUCUCCUAGAUUGGCUAGGUGUCACUUGGGAGCCUCCGACAAGAUUGUGGAGUUGAACCAAGGAGUUUGUAAGGGCAAGGAGAUCGCCUACUUCGUGAAGAUCUACCGCUAGUGAGGCAAGUCCUUCAUGGGCGAUAGCCAUGGUGGGAUAGACAAGGUUGCUUCUUCGUGGACCCUUUGUGGGUGGUUGCUUCUCCAUGGACCCUUCGUGGGUGGUGCCCUUCAUGGACUCGUGCAAUCGUUGCCCUUGGGUGGAGCCCUGUGUGGACUCGCGCAACCGUUACCCUUUGUGGGUUGAAGUCUCCAUCAACGUGGAUGUAGGAUAGCACCACCUAUCCGAACCACAGGAAAAACAUCCGUGUCUCCAAUAGCGUUUGAAUUCUCCAAACCCUUCCCUUUAUAUUCUUGCAAGUUGCAUGCUUUACUUUCCGCUGCCAAUAUACUCUUUGCAUGCUUGCUUGAAUUAUGUGAUGAUUGCUUGACUUGUCCUAAAAUAGCUAAAAUCUGCCAAGAACUAAAAUUGGGAAAAGGUUAAGUUUUUAUUUGGUCAAGUAGUCUAAUCACCCCCCCCCUCUAGACAUACUUUCGAUCCUACACGAGGGCGUGCCCCGACAUGCGACGACGACUAUCUAUUCGGACGUGACAAGCCUAAUCACGCCCGGGCCGAAAGCCGCAGACGGACUCCAUUUGAGCUACGUCGCGAUGUGGCCCGAUAUAGAGGCACCACACACCCUCUUUGCUUCCCUGACGAAGUAAUGUAGCAUGAAUUCCCAAAAGGAUUUAAACCCGUGAAUUUCAUAUGGCCCGCGGUGAUGACCUUCACGCCAUCAAAUAUCUCCCGCUAAAACUCAAAGUGUCAGCUUGGCACUGGUUAAACAGCCCGCCUGAAAACUUCAUUGGUAGCUGGGAGGACUUGGAAGACGCCUUCCCCGACAACUUCCAAGGUACAUACGUACGACCUCCAGAUGCUGAUGACUUAAGUCACAUAGUUCAACAACCGGAGAGUCAGCCAGGAAAUUCUGGACUAGGUUCCUAACUAAAAAGAACCAGAUCAUCGACUGUCUGGAUGCCAAAGCCCUAGCGGCCUUUAAGCAUAGCAUCCGCGACUAAUGCUUGCCCGUCACCUCGGCCAAGAAAAGCCGAAGUCCAUGGCAGCCCUCAUGUCACUCAUGACCCAUUUUUGUGCGGGAGAGGAUAGUUGGCUAGCCCAUAGCAAUAACACUACAAGCGAAGCUGGCACCUAUGACCAAAAACAGCAACAGCAAGCCCCGACACAACAGGCACAAGCGUCCAAGCAAUGGUGACAAUACCGACGACACAGCAGUCAACGCCGGAUUUAGUGGCUCCAAGUCCGGCCAGCGGAAGAAGCCAUAUAAAAGAAACAAUCCGGGCCCAUCCAGCUUGGACCGCAUACUCGAUCGUCCAUGCCAGAUCCAUGGCAUCCCAGACAAACCAGCCAAUCAUACCAACAUAGACUGUUGGGUUUUUAAACAGGCCGACAAAUUAAAUGCCGAAAAUAAGGAGAAGGGGUCGCAAAGCGAGGAUGAUGACGAGGAGUCCCGUUCGCCGAACACAGGGGGACAGAAGAAGUCCCCCCUCCCAAGUUAAAACAAUGAACGUGAUAUAUGCUACCCAUAUCCCCAAGAGGGAGCGCAAACGCGCGCUCAGGGACGUCUACGCGAUGGAGCCAGUCGCCCCAAAGUUCAACCCAUGGUCUUCCUAUCCGAUCACCUUCGAUCGCAGGGACCAUCCGACCAGUAUCCGUCAUGGCGGUUCAGCCGCACUGGUCCUCGACCCAAUCAUUGAUGGAUUCCAUCUCACGCGAGGCCUCAUGGAUGGUGGCAGCAUCCUGAACCUGCUCUAUCAGGAUACAAUGCGUAAAAUGGGCAUUAAUCCCUCAAGGAUCAAGCCCACAAAUACUACCUUUAAAUGAGUCAUACCAGGUGUAGAGGCCCGCUGUAUGGGCUCAAUCGCACUAAAGGUCGUCUUCGGAUCUUCGGACAACUUCCCAAGCGAAGAGUUAAUCUUCGAUAUCGUCCCAUUCCGCAGUGGCUAUCACGCACUACUCGGACGAACCGCAUUUGCUCGAUUCAAUGCGGUGCCACACUAAUCUUAUCUCAAGCUCAAGAUGCCCGGACCACACGGUGUCAUAACAGUCAAUGGAAACACGGAACACUCCCUCCGUACCAAGGAGCACACCGCUGCUUUAGUAGGAGAAGUACAGAGCGGCCUUUUCAAGCAGAACCUUAAUUCAGCGGCCGAGCUACUGGACACUAUCAAACGAGUCUGGACUACUCUGCAGCAGGACAACCCAGCUCGUCAAGAGCUCAACUAGCAAUUUGGCCUCCGCCCCAGUCCCGGCCAAGUGGCGGUGUUCGUACCGCGCGUACAUAAUUACGCACUCAAAAUACCAUGGUCAUAGACGGAGGCAUACCUAGAUUGUGAUCCAUAAUAUGGCUCGACCGCCCUUGGACACACAUACUUUCACUUUUUCUUUUUCUUCCUUUUCAGGUUUCUUUUCCACAUGCCUUUCUUGAUGGCCUGAUCACCGGUCCUUUCGAAAGGAUAGAUACACCAAGAUGUCAAGAAGCACUGAUGUAUAAGGGAUUGCCUAGGUGGUCUAUUUAACGAUCACUCUACCUGUUUUCGGGACCCGCACGUAGCUCUCCCUUGGUUGUGGCAUAUUAAAUAGCCUGCUGCUUACUUCACUACUUGUACAAAUACGCUUUGACGUAUUAAUCAAACUAUAAUGGAAACAGUUUGCGGCCCAACUUCUGUGGCACUAGCUUGCUACUCUUCUUUUUGAUAAUCUUAUUACACCCGUACACUUUGGUACGCUUUAAUCCGCCAGGGGCUUCAUUGCGCCCCAUAAUACGACAACAAAGUCCAAACACGUUUUUACAGUAUAGUUCGGCACCCCAAAUUUAGCAUUAUAUGCAUCGGCUCCGAAUCAUGUUUUUGGUCAAUAGUUGGGUUGCCCGGCUCCUGUGCUUAAUACCUUACGUUCCGCUCUAUCGGCUAGGGUAGUAAAGGGAGAACUAUAGCGAUUGUGUCCCGGUUUAUCCGGAUGAGCACCUCAGCAGACAAAGCCGAAAACUGAUUGUCAUGAUGCAGCGUGAGCCGAUCAGCUCUUCGGAGGUUUCAAUUCUUUAGCGAUUUUUCCGCAUUAUGCGAUGGAUCGGUUCUUACCCGAUCAGGUGUUUACAACACCCCAGUUCGGAUACUAGGGGCUGCGCCUAAAUUUUUAUUGUCAAACUCCUAUGGCUAAGUGAGGGUGCUAAAGCCACAUAGUCUGAUUGCCUGGUUCAUUGCGCUAAACACCUCCUUCAAGGACCAAACAAUUGGAUCAAGAGUGUUUAGAUUCCAUUCCGAACACCCCCAUACUACCUACAUGGGGGCAGAAGCCGACGACUAGCCAACUCUCAGAUUUCAUAAAAACGGCCGCACAGGAGGUAAAAUUUUAACAAACAUUAUAUUACAUAAUCGACUUUGUUCCAUAAUACAGGGCGAGGUGAUAUGAAUGUACUCAUUCAAAAAUCACAUCUUUCGCACAUUACGCCGCCACAAUGCGGGAUCCCUCCAGGACAUUGUCAAAAUAUAGCUCGAGCGUGCUAUGCUCCUUGCCCUCGGUUGGUCCCUCGGUCGCGAGCUUGACGAUGUUCAUCUUCACCCACUGCAUCUUGACGUGGGCGAAGGCCAUCCACGCACCCUCGAUGCAGAUCGAUCGCUUGAUAAUGUCAAGCCGGGGGCAAGCAUCGACCAGCCGCUUCACGAGCCCGAAGUAGCUGCUGGGUAUAGCUUCUGCAGGCCACAGCCGGAUUAUUAAAUCCUUCAUGGCUAGUUCGGAAACCCUAUGCAGCUUGACCAACUGUUUUAGCUGGUCGCUAAAGGGCACUGGAUGUUCUGGCGCAAGGUAUUGCGACCAAAACAACUUCUCCGUUGAGCUCCCCUCUUCGGCUUAGAAGAAUUACGCAGCAUCAGAAACACUGCGCGGCAAAUCUGCAAACGCCCCUGGAGAACUCCAAAUCCGGGUCAGUAAGAGAUAUCUCUUCUUCACAUACUUGCUUUGCAUAAUAAAAGCCUUACCCGCCACAAUCUUCUUGGCCUCUUGGAUUUCCUGGAGGACGCCUUGGGCUUCGGCCCAGGCCUCUUGUGCGCGUUGGCGGGCCUUAGCGAGUUCGGACUCUUGGUCCGCAUUCUGGCGCUCCAAGGACUCAUAUUUCUUCAAGGCGUCCUGGAGCUCCUGUUGGACCUCAUCAACCCUGGCCUCAUGCUUUUCCCGGGUGGCUUGUUCCUUUGUCGCCCUCUCCUCGGCCUCGGCCAGCGCCUUCUUGAGGGCCUCAACCUCGGUCGCUUCCCCUAUGAAAAUAUCAUGGCACUAUGGUUAGCACAAAAACAUUCAUCCUUUCCGGACAUGCACAAAGUCAUUGAAUACCUUGAUUGUCCUCUAGCUACUUUUUUGCAUGGCCGAGCUCUUCCUCGGUCUGCUCCAGCCUCUGCUUCAGUCCGGAGACUUCAGCAACAUGAGAAGUCGCGGCCAACAGCGACGCCUGCUUAUUCACAUAGACAUAUAUGGUUAGUCUCCUGCGAAAAACUAUUUGAUUCUCUGUUCGGCUCUUCUUUCCAAACACCGGAUAGAGUCUCAGGGGCUACUAUCUACACUGUGACUUCCUUUUUACAUAGUUGUAUUGCUUACCUCAAAGCCUGUUAGAAGGCUUGCACAAGCUUUGAUCAGUCUGCUUUUCGCGGAUUGAACCCUCUCAACCACCGUACCCAUAAGGGUACGGUGUUCCUCAACAAUGGAAGCACUUCGCAGCGCUUCCAUUAAGAGUGUCCGGCGCCUCUAGCUAGACAGAAGACACCGGCGGAACAGGCACACCUCCUCCUUUCGAAGGAGGCUGUUGGCCGGGUUCCGGAGCCACAUAGGCCUCCGGGACUGUAUUCGGCUGGGGUCCGAACUGAAUGUGGCCCCCAUCGCCAGUCUCCAUGGGGAUUCGCUCCCCCAUGUGUUCGGCGGCUGAGGCUUCACCCUCUGGCGCCACCCUGGCGGCCUCCUGCGUCUCCCCCUGGCAUGGGAUCCUUCGGGACAACACCUCGGUGUCAUCCGUGGCCCUGAGAGAAGAGGCCGCCGGAAGGGACCCAUUGUCCAUCACCUUCAGGUCAGGGGCUUGUCUUGGAGGCGCGGCUCUAGACUGUUGUCGAUGUCCCACGCGGAGUUAUCCGCGAGGGAACCCUUCCCCCUCUUGGACGCCUCUGCCUCCAGAUCUGUGGAGGUCGCCCUCUUCUUCCUCCCCUCCUCAGGGGGAGAGUUGCUUUCUUCUUCCUCCUCGUCGUCGUCCUCGGCGGCAGAGGAGUAAGUUUUGGUGUCUCCGAACAUCGCGCCCUUGUGGCGGGGGCCACUUCUGGCCUCCUUGGCCUUCUUCUCUGGCACCUGGUAAGGCAUCAGAACCAGCAUCUUCGUCAGAAGCGGGAUGGCCGGUUCCUCUGGUAGCGGAGCCGGGCACUUAAUCCGCUCCGCCUUCUUUGUCCAGCCCUGAAAAAACAAAUGGUCAGGUGAUGUCUACUACACAACCUUCUUCUUGUAGAUGUUGUUGGGCCUCCAAGUGCAGAGGUUUGUAGGACAGUAGCAAAUUUCCCUCAAGUGGAUGACCUAAGGUUUAUCAAUCCGUGGGAGGCAUAGGAUGAAGAUGGUCUCUCUCAAGCAACCCUGCAACCAAAUAACAAAGAGUCUCUUGUGUCCCCAACACACCCAAUACAAUGGUAAAUUGUAUGGUUCACUAGUUCGGCGAAGAGAUGGUGAUACAAGUGCAAUAUGGAUAGUAGAUAAUAGUUUUUGUAAUCUGAAAAUAUAAAAACAGCAAGGUAACUAAUGAUAAAAGUGAGCGUAAACGGUAUUGCAAUGCUAGGAAACAAGGCCUAGGGUUCAUACUUUCACUAGUGCAAGUUCUCUCAACAAUAAUAACAUAAUUGGAUCACAUAACUAUCCCUCAACAUGCAACAAAGAGUCACUCCAAAGUCACUAAUAGCGGAGAACAAACGAAGAGAUUAUGGUAGGGUGCGAAACCACCUCAAAGUUAUUCUUUCCAAUCAAUCCGUUGGGCUAUUCCUAUAAGUGUCACAAACAGCCCUAGAGUUCGUACUAGAAUAACACCUUAAGACACAAAUCAACCAAAACCCUAAUGUCACCUAGAUACUCCAAUGUCACCUCAAGUAUCCGUGGGUAUGAUUAUAUGAUAUGCGUCACACAAUCUUAGAUUCAUCUAUUCAACCAACACAUAGAACCUCAAAGAGUGGCCUAAAGUUUCUACCGGAGAAUCAUGAUGAAAACAUGCGCCAACCCCUAUGCAUAGGUUCAUGGGCGGAACCCGCAAGUUUAUCACCAAAACAUACAUCAAGUGAAUCACGUGAUAUCCCAUUGUCACCACCGAUACGCAUGGCAAGACAUACAUCAAGUGCUCUCAAAUCUUUAAAGACUCAAUCCGAUAAGAUAACUUCAAAGGGGAAACUCAAUCCAUUACAAGAGAGUAGACGGGGAGAAGAAACAUAAGAUCCAACUAUAAUAACAAAGCUUGCGAUACAUCAAGAUCGUGCCAAAUCAAGAACACGAGUGAGAGAUCAAACACAUAGCUAUUGGUACAUACUCUCAGCCCCGAGGGAGAACUACUCCCUCCUCAUCAUGGAGAGCGCCGGGAUGAUGAAGAUGGCCACCGGAGAAGGAUUCACCCUCCUGCAGGGUGCCGGAACGGGUCUAGAUUGGCUUUCGGUGGCUACGGAGGCUUCUAGCGGUGGAACUCCUGAUCUAUUGUGUUCCCCAGUCGUUUUAGGGUAUAUGGAUAUAUAUAGGCGGAAGAAGUACGUCGGUGGACCUCCAGGCUGUCCACGAGGCAGGGGGCGCGCCCAGGGGGGUGGGCGCGCCCUCCAUCCUCGUGGGCAGCCCGGGACUCCCCUGGUUCAACUCCGAUACUCCGUGGGCUUCUUCUGGUCCAAAAAUAAGUUCCAUGAAGUUUUAGGUCAAUUGGACUCCGUUUGAUUUUCCUUUUCUGCGAUACUCUAAAACAAGGAAAAAACAGAAACUGGCACUGGGCUCUAGGUUAAUGGGUUAGUCCCAAAAAUCAUAUAAAAUAGCAUAUAAAUGCAUAUAAAACAUCCAAGGUUGAUAAUAUAAUAGCAUGAAACAAUCAAAAAUUAUAGAUACGUUGGAGAUGUAUCAGCAACCCCAAGCUUAAUCCCGCUCGUCCUCGAGUAGGUAAAUGAUAAAAAUAGAAUUUUUGAUGUGGAAUGCUACCUAACAUAUUCAUCAUGUAUUUCUCUUUAUUGUAGCAAGAAUAUCCAGAUCCAUAAGAUUCAAGACAAAAGUUUAAUAUUGACAUAAAAAUAAUAAUACUUCAAGCAUACUAACAAAGCAAUUAUGUCUUCUCAAAAUAACAUGGCAAAAGAAAGCUAUCCCUACAAAAUCAUAUAGUCUGGCUAUGCUCCAUCUUCACCACACAACGUAUUUAAAUCAUGCACAACCCCGAUGACAAGCCAAGCAAUUGUUUCAUACUUUUGAUGUUCUCAAACCUUUUCAAUCUUCACGCAAUAUAUGAGCGUGAGCCAUGGACAUAGCACUAUAGGUGGAAUAGAAUGGUGGUUGUGGAAAAGACAAAAAGGAGAAGAUAGUCUCACAUCAACUAGGCAUGUCAACGGGCUAUGGAGAUGUCCAUCAAUAGAUAUCAAUGUGAGUGAGUAGGGAUUGCCAUGCAACGGAUGCACUAGAGCUAUAAAUGUAUGAAAGCUCAACAUAAGAAACUAGUGGGUGUGCAUCUGCUACCUCUUGAGCACGGCGUUGGAUUUCCCCGAAGAGGAGAGGAUGAUGCAGCAAAGUAGCAUAAGUAUUUCCCUCAGUUUUUGAGAACCAAGGUAUCAAUCCAGUAGGAGGCUACGCUCAAGUCCCUCAUACCUGCACAAAACGAUGGCUACUCGCAAUCAACGCGAUUAGGGGUUGUCAAUCCCUUCACGGUCACUUACGAGAGUGAGAUCUGAUAGAGAUGAUAUUUUUGGUACUUUUGGUAUAGAGAUGCAAAGUGAAAAGUAAAAAGCAAAGUAAAAAAGAAAAGCAAGAUUAAAGUGAUGGAGAUUGAUAUGAUAAGAAUAGACCCGGGGGCCAUAGGUUUCACUAGUGGCUUCUCUCAAGAGCAUAAGUAUUCUACGGUGGGUGAACAAAUUACUGUUGAGCAAUUGACAGAAUUGAGCAUAGUUAUGAGAAUAUCUAGGUAUGAUCAUGUAUAUAGGCAUCACGUCCGAGACAAGUAGACCGACUCCUGCCUGCACCUACUACUAUUACUCCACUCAUCGACCGCUAUCUAGCAUGCAUCUAGAGUAUUAAGUUAAAAACAGAGUAAUGCUUUAAGCAAGAUGACAUGAUGUAGAGGGAUAGUUUCAUGCAAUAUGAUAAAAACCCCAUCUUGUUAUCCUCGAUGGCAACAAUACAAUACGUGCCUUGCUGCCCCUUCUGUCACUGGGAAAGGACACCGCAAGAUUGAACCCAAAGCUAAGCACUUCUCCCAUGGCAAGAAAAACCAAUCUAGUAGGCCAAACCAAACUGAUAAUUCGAAGAGACUUGAAAAGAUAACCAAUCAUACAUAAAAGAAUUCAGAGAAGAUUCAAAUAUUAUUCAUAGAUAGACUUGAUCAUAAACCCACAAUUCAUCGGUCUCAACAAACACACCGCAAAAAGAAGAUUACAUCGAAUAGAUCUCCACGAGAGAGGGGGAGAACAUUGUAUUGAGAUCCAAAGAGAGAGAAGAAGCCAACUAGCUAAUAACUAUGGACCCAUAGGUCUGAGGUGAACUACUCACACUUCAUCGGAGAGUCUAUGAUGAUGUAGAAGCCCUCCGUGAUGACGGCCCUCUUCGGCGGAGCUCCGGAACAGGCCCCAAGAUGGGAUCUCGUGGAUAAAGAAAGUUGCGGCGGUGGAAUUAGGUUUUUGGCUCCGUAUCUGAUCGUUUGGGGGGUACGUAGGUAUAUAUAGGAGGAAGGAGUACAUCGGUGGAGCAACAAGGGGCCCACGAGGCAGGGGGCACGCCCUAGGAGGGGGGCGCGCCCCCCACCCUCGUGACCGCCUCUCUUGUCCCUUGGAGUAGGGUCCAAGUCUCCUGGAUCACGUUCGGUCAGAAAAUCGUGUUCCCGAAGGUUUUAUUCCGUUUGGACUCCGUUUGAUAUUCUGUUUCUCCGAAACUCUGAAAUAGGCAAAAAACAACAAUUCUGGGCUGGGCCUCCGGUUAAUAGGUUAGUCCCAAAAAUAAUAUAAAAGUGGAAACUAAAGCCCAUUAUAGUCCAAAACAGUAGAUAAUAUAGCAUGGAGCAAUCAAAAAUUAUAGAUACGUUGGAGAUGUAUCAGGCAUCCCCAAGCUUAAUUCCUACUCGUCCUCGAGUAAGUAAAUGGUAAAAAGAGAAUUUUUGAUGCGGAGUGCUACUUGGCAUAAUUUCAAUGUAAAGCUUCUUAAUUGUGGUAUGAAUAUUCAGAUCCAAAAGAUUCAAGACAAAAGUUUAUGUUGACACAAAAAUAAUAAUACUUCAAGCAUACUAACAAAGCAAUCAUGUCUUCUCAAAAUAACAUGGCCAAAGAAAGUUAUCCCUACAAAAUCAUAUAGUCUGGCUAUGCUCUAUCUUCACCACACAAAAUAUUUAAAUCAUGCACAACGUCGAUGACAAGCCAAGCAAUUGUUUCAUACUUUAACAUUUUCAAAACUUUUUCAAUCUUCACGCAAUACAUGAUCGUGAGCCAUGGAUAUAUCACUAUAUGUGGAAUAGAAUGGUGGUUGUGGAGAAGACAAAAAGAGGGGAAGAUAGUCUCACAUCAACUAGGCGUAUCAACGGGCUAUGGAGAUGCCCAUUAAUAGAUAUCAAUGUGAGUGAGUAGGGAUUGCCAUGCAACGGAUGCACUAGAGCUAUAAGUAUAUGAAAGCUCAACAAAAGAAACUAAGUGGGUGUGCAUCCAACUCGCUUGCUCACGAAGACUUCGGGCAAUUUGAGGAAGCCCAUCGUUGGAAUAUACAAGCCAAGUUAUAUAAUGAAAAUUCCCACUAGUAUAUGAAAGUGAUAUCAUAGGAGACUCUCUAUCAUGAAGAUCAUGGUGCUACUUUGAAGCACAAGUGUGGUAAAAGGAUAGUAACAUUGUCCCUUCUCUCUUUUUCUCCCAUUUUUUAUUUUUUUAUUUGGGCCUUUUCCUUUUUUUAUGGCCUCUUUUUUUUCGUCCGGAGUCUCAUCCCGACUUGUGGGGGAAUCAUAGUAUCCAUCAUCCUUUCCUCACUUGGGACAAUGCUCUAAAAAUGAUGAUCAUCACACUUUUAUUUUUCUUACAACUCAACAAUUAUAACUCGAUACUUACAACAAAAUAUGACUCUAUAUGAAUGCCUCCAGCGGUGUACCGGGAUAUGCAAUGAAUCAAGAGUGACAUGUAUGAAAGAAUUAUGAAUGGUGGCUUUGCCACAAAUACGAUGUCAACUACAUGAUCAUGCUAGCAAUAUGACAAUGAUGGAGCGUGUCAUAAUAAACAGAAUGGUGGAAAGUUGCAUGGCAAUAUAUCUCGGAAUGGCUAUGGAAAUGCCAUGAUAGGUAGGUAUGGUGGCUGUUUUGAGGAAGGUAUAUGGUGGGUGUAUGAUACCGGCGAAAAGUGCGCGGUAUUAGAGAGGCUAGCAAUGGUGGAAGGAUGGGAAAAAGUGCAUAUAAUCCAUGGACUCAACAUUAGUCAUAAAGAACUCAUAUACUUAUUGCAAAAAUUUAGAAGUUAUCAAAGCAAAGUAUUACGCGCAUGCUCCUAGGGGGAUAGAUUGGUAGGAAAAGACCAUCGGUCCUCCCCGACCGCCACUCAUAAGGAAGACAAUCAAUAAAUAAAUUAUGCUCCGACUUCAUCACAUAACGGUUCACCAUACAUGCAUGCUACGGGAAUCACAAACUUCAACGCAAGUAUUCUUUAAACUCACAACUACUCAACUAGCAUGACUCUAAUAUCACCAUAUUCAUAUCUCAAAACAAUUAUCAUGCUUCAAUCUUUUCUUAGUAUUCAACGCACUCAAAAGAAAGUUUCACAAAUCUUGAAUACCAAGUAUAUUAUUAUUAAGCAAUUUACCAUGCUAUUAAGACUCUCAAAAUGAUCUAAGUGAAGCAUGGGAGAUCAAUAGUUUCUUUAAAACAAAUCCACCACCAUGCUCUAAAAGAUCUAAGUGAAGCACAUGGAGCAAAAUUAUAACGCUCAAAAGAUAUAAGUGAAGCACAUAGAGCAAAACUACAUAGCUCAAAAGAUAUAAGUGAAGCACAUAGAGUAUUCUAUCAAAUUUUAAUUCAUAUAUGGCUCUCUCAAAAGGUGUGUACAGCAAGGAUGAUUGUGGCACACUAACAAACAAAGACACAAACAAUACAAGACGCUCCAAGCAAAACACAUAUCAUGUGGUGAAUAAAAAUAUAGCUCCAAGUAAAAUUACCGAUGGAAGUAGACGAAAGAGGGGAUGCCUUCCGGGGCAUCCCCAAGCUUUGAAUUUUUGGUGUCCUUAGAUUAUCUUGGGGGUGCCAUGGGCAUCCCCAAUCUUAGGCUCUUGCCACUUCUUGUUCCAUAAUCCAUCAAAAGAAUUUACCCAAAACUUGAAAACUUCACAACACAAAACUCAAUAGAAAUCUCGUGAGCUUCCUUACAGAAAGAAAACAAAAAACCAUUUCAAGGCACUGUAAUGAACUCAUUCUUUAUUUAUAUUGGUAUUAAACAUACUGUAUUCAAACUUCUCUAUGGAUUAUAAACUAUUUUACUAGCCAUAGAUUCAUCAAAAUAAGCAAACAACGCAUGAAAAACAGAAUUUGUCAAAAACAGAACAGUCUGUAGUAAUCUGUAACUAACGCAAACUUCUAGAACUCCAAAAAAUCUACCAAAAUAGGAAGACCUAGACAAUUUGUUUAUUGAUCAGCAGCAAUUGGAAUCAGUAUUUUAUCACGUUCUGGUGAUUUUUAACAAUUGUUUUCAUGAACAGAAAGUUUCUGGAAAUUACAGCAAGAUCAAAUAACUAUCAUCCAAGAAAAUCCUAUAGGUUUAACUUGGCACAAACACUAAUUAAAGGCGAGCGCUAGGCGCCAUCCGGAUGUACCAACUGGAAACAACAUCCGUCUUGUUUACCGUCGGAUUGAUCCGUCUGGUAUGACUGGCAUGACUGAAUGUUUCGGUCCCUGUCACGGUCCCCGCAUAGUUUGCAUGUCCCGGUCGCUGUCCACCACCCUGUAGCACUUUCUUGCUCUUCGCCUAGCAGUUUCUUGUUUGCUACUUUUACUAGCUUUUUCACCCACAAAAAGUCAAUGGAAACACAAAAAAGAGACUUGCAUACACCUAUGCAGUGAGGUAUUGUUGCAACCAAAAACAUGGCAACACCACGCGGCUAAGCAUAGACAAAAAAUCAGUCGUGCACAUGUCAUUCGAUCACAUCAACCACAACAAUCUGAUCUCGUUUCCCUUGCAACAUCCUCCAUGUUGCGUAACAUCUCAAUGCAUCGAAACGCCGCUUGCUCGCAGCACCCCUCUCCCAUUUUGCUCAUAGCAAGAAUGUUGUCAAAAAAGCAUCGCCAGUCGUUGAAGCACGCAUCGCAGUGUCGAUGGUUGUCGACGCCAUGACCGUUGAAAUAUUCUGUUUAUGGCCUUCGAAGCAUGUGCAUCGGAGUAGACGGUUGUUGACCUUCACGGUCGUCGAAGCAAUGUUGUGGUGGUCAUCAAAGCAUCACCACGGCUAUGGACAUCGUCACAGCAAUUACGCCUCGUCAUCGUGGCCGUCGACGCCGUCGCGCCAUUGAAGCACGCAUCGCACCGUCGACGGUUGUUGAAGUCGUGUCCAUCGAAGUACGCAUCGCAACGUCGAUGGUUGUGGGCGUUGUGCAUCGUGGCCGUUGAAGCAUCGCCGCGACCGCUGAUGCAGUUGCAACACAUACACCGCUUCAUCGUGGCGGGUCGGAGCAUCACCGCGACCAUAGAAGCAUGCAUUCCAGCGUAGAUGGGUGUCGAUGUCGUAGCCAUCGAAGCACGCGACGCAGCGUUGACGGUUGCCGACGUCGUGUCGGUCGAAGCAAUGUUGUCAUGGCCGUUAACACCAUCUCGGCACAUACGCCUCGCUAUCAUGGUCGUCAUUCAACACUAUUGCAACACGUACGCCUCGCCGUCUUGGCGGUCAAUGCAUCACCGCGGCCAUCGAUGCCAUCGUGGCACGUACGUUGUCGUCGCCGUCAAAGCACGCGUCGCAACGUCGAUGGUUGUCGGCGUAGUGGCUGCCAAGCAUCACCGCUCACUGCCGAGGCACGUACACCUCGUUGUCAUGGUUGUCGAUGUCGUCAUGACACGUAUGUCGUUGAAGCAUGUGUCACAACAUCACCAGAGCAGCUGAGGCGCCAUCAGCGGCGGAGCCAACGUAUAAGCGUUGGGUUCACUUGAACCCAACAAAUUUUGCUUCGUACGUGCGCGUAGGGACAUGUUUGACUGACCUGAACCCAGUAAAAAAUUCUAGCUGACCCCAUCAAAUAUCGUGAGCAGCUAAGCAAAGGGCCCAAAAGCCCACAGGCACUUGAUGCCCAGGCGGCCAGCUGGCCAGGCCUAAACUGUGAUUACUCACGUACUCUGUACUCGUGUUUUGUUGUUUAUUAUACAUGCACACACACGUUUCCUUAAAAAAAUAUACACACGCACAUAGGCAAACACUUCGUCGAGUCGUCGUCUGUUAGUUUUCCGAUUCGCAUCUCUCCUCGUCUGUUUGUGUUCCUUGCGUCUAGAUCGACAGGGACAACAAUUUUCACCAAAAUUUGAGGUACUUAGGUUACAUUGCCACAUCUCAUCAUCUCCUGUCUGUUCUAUCUAGCCUAAUAGCCUAGUAUACCAUAGUGAUUUUUUUGCCCUAGUUUUUGCUAUAUAUUUUUCAAAUUUGUUAUGUGGGGAAAGAUAUAUUUUCUACAAUUAGUAAUGUGGCAGUGUUCAAUCUUUUUAAGGCGAUGAAAGAUUGGAAGGGGUCGCUCUAAAUGUGAGUGGGUUUACAAGCUUCGUUUGCUUGAUGGUAUUUAUUUUAAACUUGUCAAUCUAAGUUGUCAUUGUUUCAAUAUCUCGGGAAGAUGAGAAGCUAAAUCUGGAGCUUUAAAGUUAUUUGACACUACUCUAUUAUUUAUAAUAUGUAAACAUGUGCUUUUAUAAUUUUAUGGAACUGGUAUGCCUUGCACUCUUCAGUUUUUAAUGCAGCACCAAAUGUUCGUCAUAGUGUUUAUGGGUGUUAUAAUUUUGUUGCAACUAUACUUUAAUCUUCAUAAUUUAGUGUCAAGUUCUCAUAAAAAAGUGAAUGGGUGAACCCAAUGGCCAAAUUUUCUGGCUCCGCCCCUGGGCGCCAUCACAACAUCCAUUGAAACCACGCCGGAGCAGCCAGGCCAUCAUCACAACAUCGUUGGUGUCGUUGAAGCAUGCGAUAACAACAUUGCCAGAGCAGCGAGAUGCCGUCGCAGCAUCAGUUGGAAGCACGCUGUUGUAGCAACACAAGAAUGCUCCAAAAGCAUUUUUCGUGGCAGCAAGCCACUAAGUAGCAUGCCAUGCACGGGAGUCAAAAGACAGACAUGGCCAGGGAUAAGGUAGGGCCUAUGAGACCUGAUGGUUAGGCAUCCGGAUGCACGUACUACAAGGGAGAGUGUUAGGCUAGUACGCGCGCUGUAUCGAGAGUAGAAUGAAGAGGCUGGGACGGCAUGCUGCGCAAUGGACGACUUUUUUUUUGAAAGUUGCGCAAUGGACGACUAUUGUGGGAGCUGGGACCACAAACACAUAGCAAUUGGAACCGUGAAGAACCUAGGAGAUCGGGGACCACUCAAAUACGCAAUUGAGACAACAUGCACGACUGAGCGCUGUUUGGGACACCUUCACGCGCGGGACAGGAGGCGCCACACACCCUACGAUCAAGAAGGAUCAGACGGCGGACGAGGCGGUCGCUCGCGCGGAUGUUUACAUCCGGAUGUUUAGAAGCAGUUUCCCUAAUUAAAACACAAAACCACAUUUAAACAGAAGGUAGAUGGGUUACUUAUUCCUAAACAGAAACAAAAAUAAAAAACUUAAAAUAAAAUUGGUUUGCCUCCCAACAAGUGCUAUCGUUUAACGCCCCUAGCUAGGCAUAAAAGCGAGGAUAGAUUUAGCUAUUGCCAUCUUUGGUAGGCAACCCAUAAAUGGCUCUCAUGAUAGUUUCAUAUGGCAAUUUUAUUUUCUUUUUAGGGAAGUGUUCCAUGCCCUUUUUUAAUGGAAAUUAAAAUCUAAUAUUCCCUUCCUUCAUAUCAAUAAUUGCACCAACCGUUCUAAGGAAAGGUCUACCGAGAAUAAUAGGGCAAGUAGGAUUGCAAUCUAUACCAAAAACGAUAAAAUCUAUGGGCACAUAAUUCCUAUUUGCAACAAUAAGAACAUCAUUAAUUUUCCCAUAGGUUUCUUAAUAGUGGAAUCCGCAAGAUGCAACUUUAGAGAGCAAUCAUCAAAAUCAUGGAAAUCUAGCAAAUCACACAAAGUUUUGGGGAUAGUGGAGACACUAGCACCCAAAUCACACAAGGCAUAAAACUCAUGAUCUUUAAUUUUAAUUUUAAUAGUUGGUUCCCACUCAUCAUAGAGUUUUCUAGGGAUAGAAACUUUCAACUCAAGUUUUUCUUCAUAGGAUUGCAUCAAGGCAUCAACAAUAUGUUCGGUAAAGGCUUUAUUUUGACUAUAAGCAUGUGGAGAAUUUAUCAUGGAUUGCAACAAGGAAAUACAAUCAAUUAAAGAGCAACUUUCAUAAUUAAAUUCCUUAAAAUCCAAUAUAGUGGGUUUAGCAACAUCUAGAGUUUUAUUUCUUUCAAUCCCACUUUUAUCAAUUUCAUCAUCAAGAUCUAAAUACUCCGAAUUUUUGGAACGCCUUCUAGGUAAAGGAAGAUCAUAUUCAGUUUCAUCAAGAUUCAUAUUACAAAACAAAGAUUUGAUAGGGAACACAUCAAUAACUUUUAGAUCUUCAUCUUGAUUUUCAUAGGAACUAGCAAAGUGGCCCGCUCGAUGCACGGGCUAGAAGCUGUGAAGUUCAACGCUGAGAAAUUAUUAUUUGAUUUGCCAAUGAAAAACUGAACCCAAAUGUAAUGAUAUUUACAAAUAUUAGCAUUGCGAACCUAGUUUUGUCUUAGGUAUAUAUGGGAUUUUAUUUAUACAUAAAUAUAUGUGUUAUCCAUUAUCAUUUACAUGCUAAUUAUGCAUCUUAGACUACCUAUUUUUAUGAAAAAUCAUGCCAUCCAAAUAAUAUCAUUUUUGUGGCAUUUUAAUCAUGUUGCUUUAUUAUGUAUAUUUUUAAACACAAAUUUAAUAGUUCCCAUGGUUUUCGUGUAGGCCUAGAUAAAUUUCUAAUCUUUUGCAAGAUUUACAUAUUAAUUUUUAUUUUAGUGAAUUUUUACUGUAAGUGUUUUUUUAAGUUGGUACAUGAAGCUAUAGUGUAUUUUUAUACUAUACAUAUCCAUUAAAAUUGUCAUUGUAGGUCUUUGUUUUCAUGAUAAUUUAAUUCGGCCAAGUUAAGACAGAUGCACUAAGCAGGACCAAUGGUGGCUCAUAUUUCCUUGUAAUCAAAGUUUGAUCUCACAAUUUCCACACUUUCGAGAUAGAAACAAUAUUGACACUACUUUCCUACAAAAAUAUUGUCCACCCUACUAUGUACAGAAUAUUAUUAGUUUCAUGGGACCCGUCAGUCAGAUCCUUCACAUUCCCCUUUUGAAGUCUUCUCAUCUUCUCAGUAGCUCAUAGCCAUGAAUGCAGCCACCGAAACUCCCUCAAUUUUCCUUCUUGGUGGCUCCUUUUGCACACACUCUGUAGCUUGGGUUAGCUGUACGGGCGUACUACCACAGGUUGGCCUUCUAUGUCAACAUGUUUGCUCCUCGGGCGGCUCAUCAAUAUCCUUGGCCGGUCAACGACGGUUGAGGGGUAGCUGCUGUUAGAUUUGCAUGGGAAACAUCAUCGUAUAUUUUUGGAAAUGAUGUUAUGUCCUAACGUAAAUAUUCAAUCUUAUUUUUUUAGGAGUCAAAAUUAUUUCUGAUUCAUAAGUUAAUGGCACAUCAACCAUAUAUGAUCUUUGAGAAUAUCUCAUUGUGUCAUGAAACAUUUAGUAGAGAAGAUCUUUUACCUGUUAUCCAGAUAUAUUUAUUCUAGAAAACAUGAAGGAAAAUAACGUUUUCAUUGACAACUAAUAAGUAUAGACUGUUUAGAUUAGUCUUGUAUAUAGAAAUAGUAUAAUUAUGUUUAUUACGGAAAGUUGUUUACAAAAAUAUAUUUUGGUCACAUAUAUUUAUGUAAUGGCAAAUAGUAAAAGUUGCACAUUGAAGACAUGCAAAGUACAAUUCUAUCUUUAGCAUAACAGGAAGUAUACGGUGAAAUAACUUUUAUAUAUACUGCAUGAUAAAAUACAAUAAAUUGAAACUGCAAACAUUUUUGUUACACUAAAUAAACCGCAGCAAGGAUAAGUACAUGAUUUAAGUAGACUACUACAAGGAUCUAAAUAAGUACUAAUUUCUGAGCCCAUGCUCAUCUGCACCUGGUCAGGAAAAAAUCACAAAAAAUACAAAAAAAAUCAAAAAAAUUCUCUGUAAAAAAGUUUACUGUUCAUGUAUUGUUUGGACCCAUCGAGCAUAGUAAAUGGCACCCCGGUUUUGAAAUUAUAUAGUACACAAAUACUAUUGUACAAAUGAGAGCACAUUUUUACUACUCAUGCACUCGGCUGAUUCUGCCAGCUCAUAUAGAAAGACAACUAAUUGGUCAACUCAAACAGUAGUGGAUAAGCUCUUCAUGGGUGGUGGAUAAGCUUUUGGAAUAUUUAUCACAUGCUAAUCAUGUGCUUGAGAUUUUCACUGGAGAGGUUAAUGAUAGAACAAAGUUGAGAAGACUUAAUACAUGGAAGAUUUUACAUGUCUAAAACAUCACAAACAUUUUGGCUUUAUUAAUUGGUUGAGAAGGACAUGCGGGCAUAAUAGGCUAACAAAAACAAUUACUCAUUAUGAAAUACAUAUAUAACCUCUUCAAAUCUUUGAACAUAUUAAUAGUAUGAGUGAUAGGAUCAUGAAGCUAGAUUCAUGGAGGGCAAAUAUUUUCUUGGGCAAACAAUUCAUCUAUGAUAGUGUUGUAUUGUACCACUAACCUUGAGGGACGUUGGCUCGCCGUCUAUGAUUCGUUGGGGCGUUUGCUCAAUAGAACAAAAGACUUGUUAAUCUUGUUUCUAUUGCUGACUGAAGUGUGAAGUUCAAUAUCUGAUCCUGUCAAUAUCACGACCCAUAUUCAAGCAGUACUUUUGAAAAGCUUCAUAUUUAUUAUUUGCAGAAACACAUGGCAGAAAGAUUAUAGCUCGCUGCAGUCAUCUUUUUCUAAAUUUCCUAAAACCAAUAUAUGUAUGUUCGAAGAAACAUUAGUAAUUGGACAGGUCAAUUAACAAUAUGAUAUAUUUCGACAGCUUAUUUUAGGGUCAUUAUGGGAUUGCAGUUAUCUUUAAAAAUAUGCAAAGUUACAUUCAAGAUAGUAUUGUUUUCACUACAUUGUGACAUGAUAUAAGACGGCAAAAGGGCACUGCAUUUAUGAGAUGAGAUAAUUAGCAAGAUAUCAACCUGUUGGCUACAUGAAGCAACUAAAUAACUCAUGUGGUAUAAUUCUUUUCUUAUUUCACAUUUUCCAUAGCACUUCUCACGUAGUUAACAAAAAGUAUAUAUCAAAUAGAAUAUUUUGUUACUAUACUUGGUCAAGCUCAAUAGAAAAAUUACCAUCUUCCAUCGAGGCCUUUGCAACUUAAGGACAAAUGAGAUCACAUAUUUCACCAUUCCCAUCAAAUGUAAAAGAAAGGCCAAUCAAGAAAUAACUUGUAAGAUUUGCUGAUAGCCUUUAGCGCGAGUUGUUCUGGCUGUUUUCUGGAAUGGCCCAGCCACCUCUUGUCGUCCAGCAAGUUGACCAUGUCUAUCACUAUCCGCACGGACAUAGCUACAGCAUAAUCAUGUAUGAAAAGAGAAUGAAUUUUCAGGACCCGGGGGCCUAGACUCCCGCUUAUUAUCUGAGCGUCCACCAAGAAACUAAAUUUUGAGAUUUGUGCCCUGUCUUGGCCGCCAGUUGCAUUAGUAGGUCUGUGUGAGCCGUAAUUUUGCAAGCAGAAAUUCUCGUACAACGAGCCUUGCCCGGCCACUGCAGCUGCUGACACGAGAGAAAGACAAAGAUCGAAAUCCAAGAGAGAAGCUGCAUGUGAUAUUUAGAGAAAGAAAAAUGUUUCUUUGAAAAUCUAAAGAGAGAGAUAGGAUGUGACUGUGAGAGAGAACUCAUUUUUUUGAGAGAAGUGAGAGAAAGAAUGUUUUUACUCAAGUGGGAAAGAGAACCUGUGUGAGAGAGAGAGGCUAUUUCUUGGUAAAAUAUACUUUUGUCUGCAAGUGGGAGAUACUUUGUUCGCUCGUGCAUGCGCAGAGGUGCAUGCAGAAUCUGCAUGCGAGACAUGGGGUGGGGGAGAGAGAUGAAAAGAGAUGUGACUUGUCUUGUCAACAGACACCAGCCUGCACGGCUGUCAGAGCUGAGUACCUCUAUUAAAAUCGUGAAAUGACCUGGACACGCAUGCUUCCACUGCAAAUGCUCCGUGGUUUGUCAGAACAGAGCACGAAUCUUGACGAUGCUCGACGCACAGGAUAACCGAGGGUCUGGACUCCCGGGUGCUACCACACCUUUUCGGUAUGGAAAUUGUAUGUGGUACUACAGAAAAAUAGGGGGAGCAGUCAAUGGAAAAAUAUUCUACCUGUCAUAUACCUACCUAUGAGUUGCCUAGAUGAGGCAAGGGGCUGAUUAUUACUAUCAUGAGCACCUGCAAAUUUAUCAGAACUAAUCUCCCAAUAAAUUAUUGCUCCAAAGAAUGUCUGGAUAUAAUUUCCAAGAUGAGCAGCCCUUCUUUGUUUACUUUUGCUUGUUGCUGACAGAGUGAACGUGGUGUCUUGAUAGGAUAUGUGUGCACUUAACGAAACUAAUUUAAUUAAAUUAAUCUUUUGAUCAAUCUUGCCGAUCUGAUCAAUCUGCUAGCACCAUGCGGCCGUUUCCAUUGAGCGGUAUCCUUGAACGGAUGAUAGAUCAAAUCGUCGUGUUCUAGGCAAUCCACAGAACAUGGAACACCAUUGCUGCAUACCACGCUUAGUCCUCAAUCCAGCAGUCACCUUAGAUCUGAACCAAUCUACAGUCAAAAGCAGACAAGGAUUAGUAUUCACAUGCAUGCUCUGUACGUGUGUUUCUUUGGGGCAGAAAUCAAUCAGCCUGUGUGUAUGUACAGAUGGCAGCGGCAUGUCCAUGCGGCCGUUUCCAUUGAGCGGUAUCCUUGAACGGAUGAUAGAUCAAAUCGUCGUGUGUGCGGCGCAAUCCACACAACAUGGAACACCAUUGAUGCAUGCCACGCUUAGUCCUCAAUCCAGCAGUCUCCAUGGAUCUGAACCAACCUACGGUCAAAAGCAUAUAGGAUCUGUAUUCACAUGCAUUCUUUGUACGUGUGUUUCUUUGGGUAGAAAUCAAUCAGCCUGUAUGUAGUACUGAUGGCGGCGGCAUGAGGGAGAGAGAGAUCGAGGAGAGGGUUCUUUUUCUUGAGGCUAGGGCGUACUGUUUCUUUUUUUUUCUUUUUUAGGGACGGCCAUGUUGUUUUUUGGUGCGAUCCCAGCUUAUGUGUUAGCUAUCAGGAUUAAUGAAAUUGGUCGGUUGAGAUUUAUUGAUUAAAAAUUAUGGGAAAACAAUUAACGGCUAGAUGUUUCUAAUUAUUGUGGGAUUUUCUAUUAUAUUUUCUUUUUUCUGGUUACCCCGUCAAUUUUUUUAAUAUAUAAUAGAUUGGAAGAACACGCUUUAAUAAAGGCAUCUUUCGUAGCACGCAUCCUAGCGGUUCUUUCCUUGCACUCAUCAAUGGAAAUUCUCAUGGCUUUGAGAGACUCAUUGAUAUCAUGCUUAGGAGGAAUAGAUCUAAACUUUAAAAAGUCAACCUCAAGAGAAAUUCUAUCAACGUUCCUAGCCAAAUCAUCAACUUUAAGCAAUUUCUCUUUGUCGGUGGGAACGACACCUAUGGGAUCACAAGAAUCCCUACGACGGUUAGCGGGGCGCGGGGUCGUGAGAAGAGCGGAUCAAACAGAUAGUACACGGUUCGUUUAUCCAGGUUCGGGCCGCGAGGAUGCGUAAAACUCUACUCCUGCUUUGGUGGAUUGUAUAUCUGUGUUCUUGAGCUAGCUAUGGGGCGUGAGGAGCUCCAAAAAGCCGAAUCCUCCUCCUGGUCGCCUCGGGCCUCUUUUUAUAGAAAAAAGAGGUUGCCACAGUGGCACACAGGAGGUGGAAAGGGUACAGUGAUGCGAGGUUAUCCCUCGCAUUACAUGACAAGGCGCAUUUAAUGCGUCUUGCUUAGGUGUCCUUGCUUUAUCGGGGACGGGGGAGAGAUCUAUCUUGUCUGUCGCCGCUCCUUCUUGUGUCGACACGCGCCCUGGCCAGCGAUGCCUGAGAUGCCAUGUAGGUAGGCAGGCAGCUGAGGUGGCGCAAUCGUGGGUCUUCACGAAGAUCUGCAUGUCGCCACGCAUGCGCUUGCCCAGCUGGUUGGGUCGGCAGCUGCAUGCGUACGGCGGUGGAAGUUUAGUCGGUGUGGGCCUGGUGGUGGCCCUGCGGAUGUCCUUGGCAAGGGCCUUGCCGGGGCCCCGGCAAGGGUCUUGCCGCGGCGCCUGCUGGCAUCCCCGGCAAGGCGCUUGCCGGAGGUCUUGUGGUCUUCCUCGGCUGGGAUCCCGCCAAGGGUCGUCAUCUUCUUAGUGCGUAUUUGAUCUUGAAUGUCUUCACAAAGAUCUGCAUGCCACUACGGGGAUGUCUCCCAAAUCCUUGCCCCAUGGGGGCAGCGGACUCAAGGGUGAUUUGCUCCGUAGGUGUGGGGCGAGUUGCCGCGGCAAGGGUCUUGCCGGGGCUGCUAAAGCCAGCCCCGACAAGGAUCUUGCCGGGGGAGCCCGCCUCGUCCCUUGGUUCUUUGUGGUCUCGGCUUUGGUGUUGCUCCAGUUCCAUCGAGUUUCGGUCUUACCCUGGCCCACCUCCCUUGCCUUGCUUGGUGUGGUCGUGGGCGCGGCUCUGACCGCCCGUGCACAGUUAUAGGGGUACAAAAAGGUGUACCCCUCUUUUUGUACACCGUCAGGGCCUGGGCCACACAUAAGCGCAAUGUGUUGUUGGGCUAGGCCAAAAAAAUGGUGCGCGGGCAGGCGGGGCGGUUUUUACCGUGGUAACCUUUUUCGCGCGCUGCGCUUCCCACGACUCCCGUGCGUGGCGUAGUGUGGGGAAGUGCGUGUGACGUGGGCGGCAUGCAUGGGGUUGGUCUAUGCACACAUGCGUCACGUCGUAGUAAAGGGGCGGUUCGCGCCUUCCCCAUAAACGUAGGGAGGCGUGGAGGUGCAGCCCAUUUACUGAAUGGGGCCGAGGCGCGGUCCUCAAGGCGUCCACUCCCCAUGAUCACCGGGUGGGGAGAGGUCGCUUCACCCGUCCCCUCGGUUCUGCACAUCCACCACGUGUCUCCCAUGCGCUUGGGGUGGCAAACGGUGGAGGCGGGAAACCGGGCCGUCGCGGGCUGGGGCAGCGGGUCGGUCCUGGCUCCUUGCGCCUUCCGUGUCUUGAUCGGCCGAGCGGGGCGGCCGAGCCCCGACCCAGUUCCUUUAUAAAGAGCGGGAGGGGGGGAUGGCAUCCCAUAUUCUUCCAUCUUCUUCCUCCUUCAGCUUCUGCUCCCCUCUUCCAUUCGUUAUGGAGAGAGGAAAUCCCGGUCCUUCAACGGUGGCGGCGAGGGUCGCCGCUCGACAACGCGUCCCUCCUUCUCUUGCGCCUGUGGUGGCAGAGCCGGCCGCAAGGGGAAGGGGGAGGGGGCGAGGCCGUGGGCGAGGCCGGGGCACUCGGGGAAGAGGAGGACGGGGUGGCGCGCCGGCCUCGCCCCCGCCCGCAGCUCCUCCUCCAAUGGAGGGCCAUGUUGGGGAGGACCCUUGUGAGUUUUUCGUAAGGCUGCGUCGGCCUCCGCGCCGUCGCCUUCGUCUCCUGACUUCAUUUGCGCGGGAGAUGGAGCUGGAUCCGCCGGAGUCAUUGCGUCUGUACAUGAGGGGCUGUGGGAUCAGUGGCACGCGGGUCCGUGUCGACUUCCCUGCUCCUCAUGUGAUGUAUCUUCGCCGGGGAUGGAGACGUUUGCUCAUAUCCAGAGCUUGACGGAGGGGCUCACUCUUCAUUUUAAGCUGAUGGAGGGUGGCCUUCUCUCCGUCAAGGUCUUCUGGCACUUUGGGACUCGUACAAGGUGCUGUGUGGAGAGCUCUUCUGAUAGUGAAGAUUCCUCCUCGAGCGAUAGUGACGAGGAGGACAGCGGCAGCGACGAUGAGGGCGGUAGGCGACAGCAUUACAGGUCCGACUAGGUGUCGGGUGCCGCUCCGUAUCGCACCGACGACCCCAUCAUCCGUGUCGCCGGCUCCUUGAACUUCUCGGGGUCGUCUCCUUGGGCGGCUGGCGUUGGGAGGCUGCGGAAGAGGAAGAGGGCGGGCGGCAAGGCCGUCAAGUCGGAGUACGCGGGCACCGACGCCUUCGACGCGUACUGACGUCCUGCCACCUCGUCUUCGAGCUCUACUUCCGGCGCCGCCAUCACCAUCCAGCCUUUGGACGGCCACCAAGAUGUUCUCUCGGCGCCUUCUGCCACCCGUAGCUCGCCUAGGUGCUCCUUUUGUCCUUCUCGCCUCCUUGACCUGCCUCCUGAGGAGAGGGACAAGAAAGGGAUUACGGGCACCUUAUCUCUUUUUAGUUUGUAAGCCUUCGGGCCUUCAUUGAAUUUAAAACUUGUAAUCCUCUCAUUCAUGUUUUUCAUUCCCUAUGGGCUGUACCUGAGUGGAAUGUUUUUAAUGAAAAAGGGAUGUUUGCCAGGUCAUUUGUUUGUGGGUGAAACCCACGACAAGGAAAAAAAUCCUUGAUAUCUUUAAGAUAAACAUUUCCUUGCCCGGCAACAGGCCUCGCCAUCUCCCCACUUCGCUCGAUCUUCCUCACGCCUUUGGCGGAGGCCGGGAUGAAGUGGGUUUAGGCUCCUUGUUCUAUCCUUUUGUUGCCGCGACUACGACCAAAACUCAGUCCCAGGAACGGGCCCUAGGGCCUAGAGUUAGGGGAGCACAGUUGUUUGAGGAUAAAACGAGGUUUCACAUACCUCAGUCCGUAAGGAAAUGCAUGAUAAGGGAUGAAAAACUUAUCUGAAUCUGCAGCUCCCGGCAACCCUGGUUUGCCGUGGGUGAAUCUUUGCUCUUGCAGCCCCCGGCAAUACUGGCUUGCCGGGGCCUAGAUGCUGGUCUGUUCCUCCUCUUUUUUUCAAGUGGUUUGGCAAGGAUAUCUGUGUGUCCUGCGAACCAAAGAAGACAAAAGAAAGACAAAGAGACGCAAACUCGACCUCUAAGCUAGGGGUUAGCCGCUGCUAAGCACUAUCAACCCUAACCAAGGACGAGACUCGACCUAGCAUGCAUGCUAUAACUUAGGGCGCCAGCGCUUUAUUUAUUUAUGCUCAGGGUCUGCGCCUGGCUUUGUACAAAGGGUUACAUGCCUUGUCGGCAUGGCUUGUACAAAAGGUGGCUUGCCGGGGGGCCCGGCAAGCUGCGCCUCACGGGUAAAACUUGUGAAGAUUCUCAAUGUUCUAGGAGUUGCUCACCAGAACGGCAUCUUCGGUCUCGAGGCGGACUGCACCAGGCCUGGUGACUCGUAUUACCCGAUAAGGGCCUUCCCACUUCGGCGUCAACUUGUUGGUAUUCUUGGCCGAUUGAACGCGCCGAAGAACAAGGUUGCCUUCCUCAAAGCUUCGGGCACGGACCUUGCGGCUAUGGUAGCGGCGCAAGGCUUGCUGGUAGCGUGCUGCUCUCACAACCGCCCGAAGACGAUCUUCCUCAAGGAGCAUUGUGUCAUCUUGCCGCAGUUGCUCUUGCUCAAGCUCAUCAUGAGCGAGCACUCGAGGUGACCCAUAUAUGAGUUCAGUGGGGAGAACUACUUCUGCCCCGUAUACUAGGGCAAAGGGUGUCUGGCCGGUGGCUCGAUUUGGCAUCGUUCUGAUCGACCAAAGAACUGUCGGCAACUCAUCAAUCCAGCGCCUUCCACUCUUGCGCAGCCUGUCAAAGUCUUUGUCCUUAAGCCUCACAGUACUUCAGUGUUUGCUCUCUCAGCUUGACCAUUGCUUCAUGGGUGAGUAACGGAAGCGAAACAGACUUUGCUGCCGAGGUCUUGGGUAUAUUGCAUGAAGGUGCGACUUGUGAACUGCGCGCCGUUGUCGGUGAUGACCCUGUUGGGUACACCAAAACGGCACGCUAGUCCCUUGAAGAAUUUGACGGCUGACUGAGCUGUGACCUUCCUCACUGCCUCCACCUCUGACCACUUUGUGAACUUGUCGAUUGCGACGUACAAGUACUCAAAGCCCCCGACAGUGCGGGGGGAAAGGGCCCAGUAUGUCAAGCCCCCAGACCGAGAAAGGCCAGGAGAGAGGAAUGGUUUGAAGGGCUUGAGCUGGCUGAUGAAGCUUCUUCGAAUGGAACUGACACGCUUCACACCUGGUGACUAGUGUCGUCGCAUCCUGGAGGGCGGUGGGCCAGAAGAAGCCUUGCCGAAACACUUUGCCGGCAAGGGCCCUCGACCCUAUGUGGGAUCCACAUAUGCCUCCAUGUAUCUCUGCCAAUAGCCCCAGUCCUUCCUCUCGAGGAUACACUUCAAUUCACACCAUUCGGCCUCUUUCUGUACAGGACGUCAUCGACGAACUGGUACAUAGUAGAGCGACGGGCUACUUUUUCCGCUUCUUCCUGCUCCUCAGGAAGUUCCCCUGUUUGGAGGAAUCAGACGGUAUGUUGUGCCCACGCUGGAGCCUGGGGCUCGACGGCGAAGACUAAAGGCAUUUCCUCCGCUAUAGGAGCGGCUGUCUCCAUGGCAAGAGCUUGAUGCUCCGUUGGAGCUAGCCGUCCCGUGGCGGGCUCAGUGUCUCCGGCAACAUCCUUGCCGGUGGCUCCGGGGAGCUCGGUGGGAAAGUACUUGCCGGGCCCUGAUUUCCUCCUCUUGUUUUGUUCUAUUGAUGGAUGAACGGAUGGCUGAGUUAGCUGAAGCACAAAGGUACCUGGUUCCACAGGUAGCUUGAGGGCAGCGCGCUUUGAUAGGUAAUCGGCGAUGUCGUUCUCUGCUCGGGGAACGUGCUCUGCCUGUAUACCAUCAAAACGCUCUUCCAGCUUUCUCACUUCAUCGACGUAGGCCUUCAUCAACGGGCUCUGGUAAUCUUUGUUGACUUGUUUGACGACAAGUUGCGAGUCGCCCCUGACAAUGAGUUUUUUGAUUCCGAGGUCUACCGCGAUCCUAAGACCAGCAAGCAACCCCUCAUAUUCAGCAGUAUUAUUCGUUGAUACCUCCCUAGGGAAGUGCAUCUGGACCACGUACUUGAGGUGCUCUCCGGUGGGCGCGACAAGCAGUACGCCAGCCCCGGCGCCCUGUAAGGAGAAAGAUCCAUCAAAGUACAUGAUCCAGUCGCAACUUGCCUCUUUGCCGGGGAGAGCAGUCUCCUGGGCUUCUUCAUCAGGCGUCGCGGUCCAUUCUGCAACGAACUCUGCCAGGACUCGGCUUUCAAUCGUCGAGGUACUUUCAAACUUGAGGACAAAGCUGGACAGCUCCAGUGCCCACUCUACAAUUCUUCCCGUUGCAUCUGGAUUGUGCAAUAUCCGUUGCAGAGGGAGGCGAGUGACGACAGUGAUCUCGUGUGCCUCGAAGUAGUGACGCAGCUUCCUCGAGGCCAUAAGAAGGCCGAAGAGCAAUUUCUGCACACCGGAGUACCUUGAUCUAGCCCCCUGCAAGAGGGAGCUAACAAAGUAGACCGGGUGCUGCAUCAUUUUCUUCCUUGGCGGCACUCCAACCGGCCAUGUCGUCUCUGCACCAACGGUAUCAGGCUCUGUCGCUGCUAUCACCUCGUCAUCAAUUUCUCUCUGUGCCACUAGCGCGGCGCUGACCACCUGGUUCGUUGCCGCCAGGUAUAGCAGCAACGGUUCUUGUGGCCUAGGCGCAACUAGUACUGGCGUGGAGGAGAGAUACCUCUUCAAAUCUUGCAAUGCUGCUUCGGCUUCUGGCGUCCAUCCCAUCGGGCCCGCCUUUUUCAAAAUCUUGAAAAAGGGAAGGGUGCACUCGGCGGACUUGGAAAUGAACCUGCUCAUGGCGGCAAUGCAACCAGCAAGCCGACGUACAUCCUUGACCCGCUUGGGCGCUUCAAUUUGUUCUAUAGCUUUGAUCUUGUCCGGAUUGGCCUUUAUCCCACGCUAUGACACAAAGAACCCGAGAAGCUUGCCAGACGGGACGCCGAAGACGCACUUCUCAGGGUUCAGCUUGAGAUUGAUCUUGCAUAGGUUUGCAAAUGUUUCUUGUAAAUCCGGUAUAAGGGUUGCCCUGUUCUUGGUUUUGACCACUAUAUCAUCCAUAUAAGCUUCCAUAUUUCUAUGGAGCUGGGGUUCAAAACCAAUCUGGACCGCCCUCGCAAACGUUGAACCAGCACUCUUCAACCCGAAAGGCAUCCGUAUGAAACAAUACGUACCACAUGGGGUGAUGAAUGCCGUUUUCUCUUCGUCUUCUCUUGUCAUGAAGAUCUGGUGGUAGCCGGAGUAGGCAUCGAGGAAUGAUAACAGAUCACACCCAGCCGUGGAGUCAACAAUCUGGUUGAUGUGCGGCAACGGGAAGGGGUCUUUGGGACAAGCCUUAUUGAUAUCUGUGUAAUCAAUACACAGCCUCCACUUCCCAUUUGCCUUGCGCACUACCACUGGAUUGGCCAACCACGUUGGAUGGAGCACUCCUCUUACCAAACCCGCUGCUUCCAGUUUCCCGAUCUCCUCUGUGAUGAACUCUUGUCGUUCCAAAGCUUGCUUUCUGAUAUUUUGCUUGACGGGCCGCGCAUGAGGACAGACAGCAAGGUGGUGCUCAAUCACCUUCCUGGGAACGCCGGGGAUGUCGGAUGCUUUCCAUGCAAACACAUCGACAUUCGCCCGCAGGAAGGUGACGAGCGCGUCUUCCUAUUUGUCGUCAAGGGCGGAGCUUAUGGUGAAAGCCCCUCCUAUGCCGUCCUCCUUGACAGAAACCUUCUUGGUUCCCGGUGGUAUGGCCCUGGACUUCUUGUUUCUGCUGUUGGAGCUCUCUGGCACGUCCUCGACGGGAGCACUACACUCCGAAGAGUGCGCUUGCCGGAGUGGGUGUCCGAGGUCUCACCGGUCUUCUUCUUCUUCUUCCCUCCCGGGGCUCCAGUGGAAGGAGCAAGUGCCCUAGUGGCGGCAGCUGCUGCAACUGCUUGUUGGUAGAGUUGGUCAGCGCAAAUCAGCGCAUCUUUCUUAUCGGAGGGGAUGGUGAUGAUCAUCACAGGUCCUGGCAUCUUCAGGGUGUUGUAGGCGUAGUGUGACGCCGCCAUGAACUUGGCCAGCGCUAGGCGGCCAAGGAUCCCGUUGUAGGGCAAGGGGAUCUUGGCAACAUCGAACAUGAUCCUUUCUAUCAUGUAGUUCAGGUCACUUCCAAAAGUCACGGGCAGCGUGACCUUCCCCUUUGGUUGACUUCUUCCCGGGUUGACCCCCUGAAACGUGCCCGUUUCCUCGAGGUCUUCGUCAAGAAUCUACAGCUUCUCGAUCACGGUAGGUGAGAUUAAGUUCAGACCGGCCCUGCCAUCGACUAGCAUCUUUGUCACCUUGAGGUUGCGUAUUGUUGGUGAAACCAACAAUGGCAAGCACCCGACCGUAGUAGUGCGGUCGGGGUGAUCCUCAGUGUCAAAAAUGAUAGGCAUGCUGGACCACUUCAGCGGCUUUUGGGCACCAGAAGACGGCUCCGCCGCUGUAAUCUCACGCGCCCACUGUUUAAGCUGGCGGUGAGAAGUAUGCAGCGAGGCGCCGCCAUUUCGCACAUGGCCCCCGUGGCUUUCUGAAACUCUUGGUCGCCGGACUCAUCGUCCUCUUCAUGAUCGUCGUCUUCUGGCUUUCUGUCACGGCCCCGGGCGGGCCUCUCCUACUGUUUAUCCUUGCUGCGACGGCCUGCUUGGCCGUCACGUUUCUUGCCAGACCCCUCAGCACCGUCCUGGCCCUUCUCCUUGUCCCGCCUCUCAUAUUCAACCCUCUGCUUCUCAGCAAGGAGCUCAACCUGUCGGCAGUUCUGGAGAUCAUGGCCUUUGGUGCGAUGGAUCUUGCAGUAUUGCUUGUCGGAGUUUCCUGGCUUCUCGGCAGCCGCCAAGGCCCGGCAGGCGACACACCCGGCAAUUUCCUUGCCGGGGUCAUCUGCCUUGGUUUUCUUGGCGGAGCGGCAUCAUCAGAUCCCUUGACGGCAAGCAUGGCUUUACCUUUGCGCUUCCUGUUGCAGCGCCGGAUUUUCUUUGCCGGGGCGGCAGCAUCCUCAUCUGAAGAGCCGAUUUCCGCGCCGACAUCUUCGCCGGGGUAUUUCCUUCCCUCUUCAGCCCGAGCACAUCUGUCAGUAAGAACAUAGAGUUCUGCCACGUCUUUCACCUUGUUCGUUGCCAGCUCUUCGCGCAUCUUGCGGUUACGCAUGUUCUGAUGAAACGCGCUGAUGAUGGCGGCAGGGCGAACAUCAGGGAUAUUGUACUGUACCCGGCUGAACCUCUGUAUAUACUUGCACAGACUCUCGCCUCCCUUCUAGGGAAUGAUGUGCAGGUCACUUGCUUGGCCAUGGGCUUGGUGACCUCUAGUAAAGGUGCCAACAAACUCAUGGCACAAAUCCGACCAGGAGGAAAUAGAGUCUACCGGCAAGUGCAUCAAUCACGACAUGGCGUUGGGUUUAAGAGCCAAUGGAAAGUAAUUCGCAAGCACCUUAUCGUCGCGGGCUCCGGCAGCUUGCAUCGCGAUGGUGUAGAUGCUGAGGAACUCAGACGGGUGGGUCUUGCCGUUGUACUUCUCGCCAACGUCAGGUUUGAAGGUGCGGUGAGUGGGCCACUGGAACCGCCGCAACUCAUGGGUAAAAGCCGGACAGCCUACCUCCUAAGGUAGGCCUCCAGGGCUCUCCGGGGCCGGGUGGUUCACAGCAGGCCCUGCUCGCCUGUCUGACUGGUGGGGCGCUCCACGCCGGCGCUCGAUAGUGGUUCAAGCGUCUUCAUGGGCUCGUUCCCGAAGAACUUGGCGCUGGUCACAGUGGGUCCGCGGGUCAGACGACGCUAUGGAGAUGUCGUCGCCCGUGACGUCGCGACGAGCUGGCGUCGCGGUACCGGGCGAGGAGGAGGCGAAUGCAUCGUGGUCAUGGCGCCGCCGGCUUUUCCGCCACUGGUGCGUGGGACUCCAUCAGAGCAUCGACUCGGGGGCUCCACCGGACUCGGUUCGUCUUUGUUGGCCACCGCAACAAGGCUUCGGAUAGUGGCUCUCCAUUCGUCGAGUUUCCCCGUAGUGGGAGGAAAGUUGAGGAGCAACUGCGCGCGCGCCAGGGCCUCUGCUGGCGUUGGUGGCAGCGAAACCUGCACGGAUCGCGACGCGCUUCGACAUCUGACCAUGUCAGAAGGAGCUCUAUCACGAUCCGGCGGUCGCAUGCCGUUUUCACCAGCGCUUUGGCGAGCGGGCAGGUCUUCUACGUCCCGGGGGCGGUGCUCGGGGCUCUUCCCGCGGUGAUGCCCGGGAUCUUCGGCGUGAUGACGCCAUUCAUCGCGCGCUGCCUGAGAGGAGCGCGCUGUUGGCGCCGGCGUGGGAGUCUUGGAGGCCCUUGCGUCGCCUUCGGGUGGGGCGGCGGUGACCUUGGAAGGUCCCGCUCCACCCGCGGAGGGCCUGGCUCCGUCUUUGGAUUUGGCAAUGUGUGGCCCGUUACCAGGUGCACAAACAUCGCUGCCUCCCAAACUCCGGCUACUGGGAUGGUGUUGGUGUUCGCGAGCAGCGCCCCGGGUCCUUUCUGCGACCGGUUCGCUGCUCGCCCGUGUCGGGACGGGCUGUCCGGGUUCCGACUGGCCAACCGCCAUCGUCGUCUUCUUCUUGGGCGCCAUGAUGAUGAAGAAGCGUCGAACUAACCACUAAAGCUGAUUCUCACAACUGCGCCCCCUACCUGGCGCGCCAAAGAUGUCGGUGGGAACGACACGUAUGGGAUCACAAGAAUCCCUACUACGGUUAGCGGGGCGUGGGGUCGUGAGAAGAGCGGAUCAAACAGAUAGCACACGGUUCGUUUAUCCAGGUUUGGGCCGCGAGGAUGCGUAAAAGCCUACUCCUGCUUUGGUGGAUUGUAUAUCUGUGUUCUUGAGCUAGAUAUGGGGCGUGAGGAGCUCCAAAAAGCUGAAUCCUCCUCCUGGUCGCCUCGGGCCUCCUUUUAUAGAAAAAAGGGGCUGCCACAGUGGCACACAGGAGGUGGAAAGGGUACAGUGAUGCGAGGUUAUCCCUCGCAUUACAUGACAAGGCGCAUUUAAUGUGUCUUGCUUAGGUGUCCUUGCUUUAUCGGGGACGGGGGAGAGAUCUGUCUUGUCCGUCGCCGCUCCUUCUUAUGUCGACACGCGCCCUGGCCAGCGAUGCUUGAGAUGCCAUGUAGGUAGGCAGGCAGCUGAGGUGGCGCAAUGGUGGGUCUUCACGAAGAUCUGCAUGUCGCCACGCAGGCGCUUGCCCAGCUGGUUGGGUCGGCAGCUGCAUGCGUACGUCGGUGGAAGUUUAGUCGUCGUGGGCCUGGUGGUGGCCCUGCGGAUGUCCUUGGCAAGGGCCUUGCCGGGGCCCCGACAAGGCUCUUGCCGCGGCGCCUGCUGCCAUCCCCGGCAAGGCGCUUGCCGGAGGUCUUGUGGUCUUCCUCGGCUGGGAUCCCGCCAAGGGUCGUCAUCUUCUUAGUGCGUAUAUGAUCUUGAAUGUCUUCACAAAGAUCUGCAUGCCACUACGGGGAUGUCUCCCGAAUCCUUGCCCCAUGGGGGCAGCAGACUCAAGGGUGAUUUGCUCCGUAGGCGUGGGGCGAGUUGCCGCGGCAAGGGUCUUGCCGGGGCUGCUAAUGCCGGCCCCGGCAAGGAUCUUUCCGGGGGAGCCCGCCUCGUCCCUUGGUUCUUCAUGGUCUUGGCUUUGGUGUUGCUCCAGUUCCAUCGAGCUUCGGUCUUACCCUGGCUUACCUCCCCUGCCUUGCUUGGUGUGGUCGUGGGCGCGGCUCUGACUGCCCGUGCACAGUUAUAGGGGUACAAAAAGGUGUACCCCUCUUUUUGUACAUCGACACUCUUCAAGCAAAGAAUUAAAAUUAUUUUGUGAAUUCAUAAACUCUUUAACACUAUUCUCAAAUUCAGAGGGAAUCUUAUUAAAAUUUCCAUAAAAAUUGUUGUAGGAAUUUCCAUAAUUAUUAGAAGGAUUACUAGGAUAAGGCCUAGGAUUAAAAUUCCCUCUAUACGCGUUGUUACCAACAUUAUUCCUACCAACAAAAUUCACAUCCAUAGAUUCAUUAUUAUUCUCAAUCAAAGUAGACAAAGGCAUAUCAUUAGGAUCAGAAGAAACACUCUUAGUAGCAAAUAAUUUCAUAAGUUCAUCCAUCUUUCCACUCAAAACAUUGAUUUCUUCUAUCGCAUGCACUUUUUUUAUUAGUAGAUCUUUCAGUAUGCCAUUGAGAAUAAUUAACCAUAAUAUUAUCUAGGAGUUUAGUAGCAUCUCCUAAAGUGAUCUCCAUAAAAGUGCCUCCCACGUCCGAAUCUAAAAGAUUUCUAGAAGCAAAAUUCAAUCCGGCAUAAAAAAUUUGUAUAAUCAUCCACAAAUUCAAACCAUGAGUAUGGCAAUUACGUAUCAUUAAUUUCAUUCUCUCCCAAGCUUGUGCAACAUGUUCAUGAUCAAGUUGCUUAAAAUUCAUAAUGUUGUUUCUAAGAGAGAUGGUCUUAGCGGGAGGAAAAUACUUAGAGAUAAAAGCAUCUUUGCACUUGUUCCAAGAAUCAAUUCUAUUUUUAGGCAAAGACGAAAACCAAGCUUUGGCACGAUCUCUAAACGAAAAAGGAAAUAGCUUCAAUUUAACAAUAUCAUUAUCGACAUCUUUCUUCUUUUGCAUAUCACAUAAAUCAACGAAGCUAUUCAGAUGAGUAGCAGCAUCUUCACUAGGAAGGCCGGCGAAUUGAUAUUUCAUAACAAGAUUCAACAAAGCAGUAUUGAUUUCACAAGAUUCAGUAUUGGCAAGAAGAGCAAUCGGAGUGCUAAGGAAAUCAUUAUUAUUGGUAUUGGUGAAGUCACACAAUUUUGUAGUAUCUUGAGCCAUCGCGACAAACAACCGAUCCAACACACGAGCAAACAAAAGGCAAGAAAAAAGGCAAACAGAAAGAGAGAAGGAGAUUGGGAAAGAGAGGGCGAAUAAAACAGCAAGGGUGAAGUGGGGGAGAGGAAAAUGAGAGGCAAAUGGCAACUAAUGUAAUGCGGGAGAUAGGGAUUGUGAUGGGUACUUGGUAUGUUGACUUUUUGCGUAGACUCCCCGGCAACGGCGCUAGAAAUUCUUCUUGCUACCUCUUGAGCUCUGCGUUGGAUUUCCCUGAAGAGGAGAGGAUGAUGCAGCAAAGUAGCAUAAGUAUUUCCCUCAGUUUUUGAGAACCAAGGUAUCAAUCCAGUAGGAGGCUACGCUCAAGUCCCUCGUACCUGCACAAAACGAUAGCUACUCGCAACCAACGCGAUUAGGGGUUGUCAAUCCCUUCAUGGUCACUUACGAGAGUGAGAUCUGAUAGAUAUGAUAUUUUUGGUAUUUUUGGUAUAGAGAUGCAAAGUGAAAAGUAAAAAAGCAAAGCAAGAUUAAAGUGAUGGAGAUUGAUAUGAUGAGAAUAGACCCGGGGGCCAUAGGUUUCACUAGUGGCUUCUCUCAAGAUCAUAAGUAUUCUAUGGUGGGUGAACAAAUUUCUGUUGAGCAAUUGACAGAAUUAAGCAUAGUUAUGAGAAUAUCUAGGUAUGAUCAUGUAUAUAGGCAUCACGUCCGAGACAAGUAGACCGACUCCUGCCUGCAUCUACUACUAUUACUCCACUCAUCGACCGCUAUCCAACAUGCAUCUAGAUUAUUAAGUUAAAAACAGAGUAACGCUUUAAGCAAGAUGACAUGAUGUAGAGGGAUAGUUUCAUGCAAUAUGAUAAAAAAAACCAUCUUGUUAUCCUCGAUGGCAACAAUACAAUACGUGCCUUGCUGCCCCUUCUGUCACUAGGAAAGGACACCGCAAGAUUGAACCCAAAGCUAAGCACUUCUCCCAUGGCAAGAAAAACCAAUCUAGUAGGCCAAACUAAACUGAUAAUUCAAAGAGACUUGCAAAGAUAAUCAACCAUACAUAAAAGAAUUCAGAGAAGAUUCAAAUAUUAUUCAUAGAUAGACUUGAUCAUAAACCCACAAUUCAUCGAUCUCAACAAACACACCGCAAAAAGAUGAUUACAUCGAAUAGAUCUCCACGAGAGAGGGGGAGAACAUUGUAUUGAGAUCCAAAGAGAGAGAAGAAGCCAACUAGCUAAUAACUAUGGACCCAUAGGUCUGAGGUGAACUACUCACACUUCAUCGGAGAGGCUAUGAUGAUGUAGAAGCCCUCCGUGAUGACGGCCCUCUCCGGCGGAGCUCCGGAACAGGCCCCAAGAUGGGAUCUCGUGGAUAAAGAAAGUUGCGGCGGUGGAAUUAGGUUGGCUCCGUAUCUGAUCGUUUGGGGGGUACGUAGGUAUAUAUAGGAGGAAGGAGUACGUCGGUGGAGCAACAAGGGGCCAAGGAGGCAGGGGGCGCGCCCUAGGAGGGGGCGCGCCCCCCACCCUCGUGACCGCCUCUCUUGUCCCUUGGAGUAGGGUCCAAGUCUCCUGGAUCACGUUCGGUCAGAAAAUCGCGUUCCCGAAGGUUUUAUUCCGUUUGGACUCCGUUUGAUAUUCUGUUUCUCCGAAACUCUGAAAUAGGCAAAAAACAACAAUUCUGGGUUGGGCCUCCGGUUAAUAGGUUAGUCCCAAAAAUAAUAUAAAAGUGGAAACUAAAGCCCAUUAUAGUCCAAAACAGUAGAUAAUAUAGCAUGGAGCAAUCAAAAAUUAUAGAUUCGUUGGAGACGUAUCAGCAUCCAACUCGCUUGCUCACGAAGACCUAGGGCAUUUUGAGGAAGCUCAUCAUUGGAAUAUACAAGCCAAGUUCUAUAAUGAAAGAUUCCCACUAGUAUAUGAAAGUGACAACAUAGGAUGCUCUCUAUCAUGAAGAUCAUGGUGCUACUUUGAAGCAUAAGUGCGGUAAAAGGAUAGUAGCAUUGCCCCUUCUCUCUUUUUCUCUCAUUUUUUUAUUUGGGCCUUUCUCUUUUUUUCCUUUUUUAUGGCCUCCUUUUUUAUUUGGGCUUCUUUGGCCUCUUUUAUUUAUUUAUUUCCAUCUAGAGUCUCAUCCCGACUUAUGGGGGAAUCAUAGUCUCCAUCAUCCUUUCCUCACUGGGACAAUGCUCUAAUAAUGAUGAUCAUCACACUUUUAUUUACUUACAACUCAAGAAUUACAACUCGAUACUUAGAACAAGAUAUGACUCUAUAUGAAUGUCUCCGGCGGUGUACCGGGAUGUGCAAUGACACAUGAGUGACAUGUAUGAAAGAAUUAUGAACGGUGGCUUUGCCACAAAUACAAUGUCAACUACAUGAUCAUGCAUAGCAAUAUGACAAUGAUGGAGCGUGUCAUAAUAAACAGAACGGUGAAAAGUUGCAUGGCAAUAUAUCUCGGAAUGGCUACGGAAAUGCCAUAAUAGGUAGGUAUGGUGGAUGUUUUGAGGAAGGUAUAUGGUGGGUGUAUGAUACCAGCGAAAGGUGCGCGGUAUUAGAGAGGCUAGCAAUGGUGGAAGGAAGAAAAGUGCAUAUAAUCCAUGGACUCAACAUUAGUCAUAAAAGAACUCGUAUACUUAUUGCAAAAAUCUACAAGUUAUCAAAGCAAAGUACUACACGCAUGCUCCUAGGGGGAUAUAUUGGUAGGAAAAUACCAUCGCUCAUCACCGACCGCCACUCAUAAGGAAGACAAUCAAUAAAUAAAUCAUGCUCCGACUUCAUCACAUAACGGUUCACCAUACGUGCAUGCUACGGGAAUCACAAACUUUAACACAAGUAUCUCUCAAAUUCACAAUUACUCAACUAGCAUGACUCUAAUAUCACCAUCUUCAUAUCUCAAAACAAUCAUCAAGUAUCAAACUUCUCAUAGUAUUCAAUGCACUAUAUAUGAAAGUUUUUAUUAUAUCCCUCUUGGGUGCCCAUCAUAUUAGGACUAGUUUCCUAACCAAAGCAAACUACCAUGCUGUUCUAAAGACUCUCAAAUAAUAUAAGUGAAGCAUGGGAGUUCAUCUAUUUCUAUAAAAUAAAACCACCACCGUGCUCUAAAGAGAUAUAAGUGAAGCACUAGAGCAAACGAAAAACUACUCCGAAAGAUAUAAGUGAAGAUCAAUGAGUAGUCAAAUAAUUAUGCAACUAUGUGAAGAUUCUCUAACAUUUAAUAAUUUCAGAUCUUGGUAUUUUAUUGAAAAAUCAAGCAAAAAUAAAUAAAAUGGCAUUCUAAGAAUAGCAAACAUCAUGUGAAGAAGCAAAAACUUAGGAUCAACCAAAACUAACCUAUAGUUGUUGAAGAAGAAAGGUGGGAUGCCACUCGGGGCAUCCCCAAGCUUAGACGCUUGAGACUUCUUGAAAUAUUAUCUUGGGAUGCCUUGGGCAUCCCCAAUCUUGAGCUUUUGUGUCUCCUUAAUUCCUCUCAUAUCACGGUCUCCCUAAAUCUCAAAAGCUUCAUCCACACAAAACUCAACAAGGACUCGUGAGAUAAGUUAGUAUAAACCAUUGCAAAAACCUUAUCAUACUCUACUGUAGAAAAUCACUAAAAUUAUUAUUCAACAUUGCAUACUAAAUUCCUCUGCAUAUUUAAUUGUCCUAUCCUCAAAUAGAAUCAUUAAAGAAGCAAACAUAUGCAAACAAUGCAAACAUAACAGCAAUCUGCCUAAACAUGACAGUCUGUAAAGACUGCAGCAAAAUCCAUACUUCCCUACCUCCAAAAAUUGUGAAAGAAAAUUCCCACUGUAGUAAAUUUAUCAGAGCUUAAUAUGCAAAAGGUUUCAACAUUUUAUCACAUUCUGAAUUUUCUAGGGAAUUAUUGCAACAGCGGUAAACUUUCUGUUUUCAAACAGCAACAUGAAGACUUGUAAAAUAGGCAUAGUAAAGGCUAUCAAUGCCACUUUUAUUGAAAUAAAAGAUACAAAACAUUGUUCUAAAUAACUUAAAUCAAAUCCUAACAAAAUAAAUUGACGCUCCAAGCAAAACACAUAUCAUGUGGUGAAUAAAAAUAUAGCUCCAAGUAAAGUUACCGAUGAAAGUAGACGAAAGAGGGGAUGCCUUCCGGGGCAUCCCCAAGCUUAGGAUCUUGGUUGUUGUCAGUGUCAAAACCGGCGGAUCUCGGGUAGGGGGUCCCAAGCUGUGCGUCUAGGUGGAUGGUAACAGGAGACAAGGGACACGAUGUUUUUACCCAGGUUCGGGCCCUCUCGAUGGAGGUAAAACCCUACUCCUGCUUGAUUAAUAUUGAUGAUAUGGGUAGUACAAGAGUAGAUCUACCACGAGAUCAGAGAGGCUAAACCCUAGAAGCUAGCCUAUGGUAUGAUUGUUGUUCAUCCUAAGGACUAAAACUCUCCAGUUUAUAUAGACACGGGAGAGGGCUAGGGUUACACAGAGUCGGUUACAAUGGGAGGAGAUCAUAUCUGCAUCGCCAAGCUUGCCUUCCAUGCCAAGGAAAGUCCCAUCCGGACACGGGAGGAAGUCUUCAAUCUUGUAUAUUCAUAGUCCAAGAGUCCGGCCAAAGGUUAUAGUCCGGCUACCCGGACACCCCCUAAUCCAGGACUCCCUCAGUAGCCCCUGAACCAGGCUUCAAUGACGACGAGUCCGACGCGUAGAUUGUCUUCGGCAUUGCAAGGCGGGUUCCUCCUCCGAAUACUUCAUAGAUGAUUUUGAACACAAGGAUAGUGUCCGGUUCUGCAAAAUAAAUUCCACAUAUUGCCAUAGAGAGAAUAAUAUUUACACAAAUCUAAUCUGCUGACGUAUUCCAUAGCGUGACAUCACACCACGGCCAGACCUUUAUUCGAAUCGUUUUUACUGUCCCACCUCAGCGCGUUUUGCGAGGCGGUUUCCUUGGCACGUCCUAUCGAAGCAGAGAUCAUGUCCCCUUUAUUUAUGGGAUUCUCAUCAAUACGGACGUGGGUAACCCAGUUGUUCCCGUUGGUAUGUUUUCUCGAUCAAAGGAGAGUCCCAAACGGUCACGGGGAGGGCCCUCGGUAUUCAACCUCUUAUAAAGAGACCAAGGCCUUACUCCUUUCUUUCAAUCUCAAACGAGUUCGCCCUUUCCCUCGAGUUCCAACACCCAAGGCUCUAGAUUUCAGGCGCUUCGGACCUUCGACAAUGUCCGGUUCCGACCUUCGAGGCCGAUGGAUGCCUUCCUCCAUCACGGAGGAGGACGUGCUAAAGCCGAGAGAAGCCAGGUUCUUGACCGGCGAAAUUUCACAUAGGCUGCCUGCGCAAGGGCAGGCCAUUCCCACUCCCAAGCCUGGUGAGAGCGUGGUGUUUGUGUCUCACUUCCUUCGGGGGCUAGGCCUCCCGACGGACCCCUUCGUGAGGGGGCUCAUGUUUUAUUAUGGGCUGGAAUUUCACGACUUGGCUCCGGAGUCCAUCCUCCACAUCUCAUCGUUCAUCGUCGUGUGCGAAGCCUUCCUCCGCAUUACUCCUCACUUCGGAUUGUGGCUUAAGACCUUUAAAGUAGAGCCGAAGAUGAUCGAGGGACAGCACGCGGAGUGCGGAGGCGCAGUUAUAAGCAAGAAUGCUGACGCUCCAUGGCCCGAGGGCCCUUUUCAAGAGGAGUUCAGCUUAUGGCAAUGAGAGUGAUUUUAUAUCACAGCUCCCAGGGGCACCAAGUGGGUGGCGCCGCCUGCUUUUUGCUUGGGUCCCCCACCACAGCUAGCAUCAUGGGUCAAUAAAGGGUUGGACUGGGGGCCACCCAAGGAUGUGCCCUUGUUGCAGGGCCGCAUUCAAGAUCUCCUAGAAAGAGACAUCAGUCUGGUCGUAGUGGCGCAGGUCAUGCUGAUUCGCCAAACCCUGCCCUGCAAACGUCGCCCCCUCCGCCUGUGGGAGUUCAAUCCGGAGGGACCACGAGCUCCCCAACAUUUUAUGGGCGCAACACCCACGAAGAUGUACAAAUUGUUCUUCGGAUCAUAAGCAAUGUGUCCGGACUCGACCGAGGAUGCAGGUCUGAGCUGCAAUCGCCCGGAUACUCAAGUAAGUAGCCCCGUACCCGGACACGCUAUCCGUAUUUUUAUCAUAAAAUUGCCCUUAAAAGAACUGUCCCUUAAACAGGAGUGGAUAGUGAAAGCAAAGCUAAUCAGGUGUCUGCCCCCCCUCCCCGAGACCACGCCGGAUCCCUUGUUAACCAGGAUGCUGGAGGUCGUGCCUUGGGAAGAAGGCGAAGGGGGGGAACAAGGAAGCUAACGCCUCCCCGAAGGAGGAUGUCAGGAAAGGAGGAAUCGAGAAUUCCUCUACCCAGGGGAAGAAGAGGACCGCCUCUGAAGACCCGGAGACCAUGGUCUCAAAGCGGGGAAGAAACCUUCAUCAGAGGGUCCUGCGCCGGGGGAUGCCUCGGCCGCACUGUGCCCCCAAGGUGAUCAGCCCUCCACCGAGCCGUAAGUAGAGAGGGGAAUUUAAAAUGAGAGACAUCCAUAUUCUAUUUCUGAGGAAAAUAACCGAAAUUUUACCUUGUAGUUCGGAUCUCAGCCCUUCUCAGCAGAGCUCAUCUUCGGGGGAUCUUCUUUCAGAGAUGAUGGAGAGCGGCAUGCCUCCCCCUGCCGUACCGCCUUGUGAGGCGGGCGACCUGAGGUGUCGUCUGGAGGGUUUCUCCGAAUCCGGCAGGGCCGGAAGGCAGCCGUAUGGCCCCCCAAAGCCCUCCGUGUUCGGCCUUCGUCCGGCACAGUCUGGUGCACGGUCGGAGGAGCUGAAGGAUCUGCUCGGGCGAGCAUCUAUCUCAGAAGAACACCAUGCGUUGAUGGGUACGGGGAUUGAAAGGAUUGCAUCCACGGAGAGCGGGUUGCACGAGGCCGUCAGGAGUUUACUGACAGGUUUUGAGGUACGUAAAAUGAUGUACCUUUUGACAGUUCCGCAUAUAUAAGAUGCGUCCUGUAUAGAUAGUAGCCCCUGAGACUCUGCCGUUGUCAAAAAUGACGGCGCAGAGGAUCAUAACCCCAGGCAUAAUAUUUUGCCUUUCCUAUGCAGGUGGUGAAGUGUCCGGUGGCUAGCCGGACUGAUGAAUUUGCCGAGCUAAAGCGGCAACUUGACGUGGCAGACGCCGACAUCACGCUUGUCAACAAGCGGCUUGACAAGGCACAAGGUAUGUAAUUUCUCCGGAGACACCAGGUAAGAGGAGCUUGAUGCCCAUAUCUUACAACAUGUGUGCUUGAUGCAGAUGGUGCCACUGCCAUGGAGAACCUUCGGGCAUAACUUGCCCGAGCCAAGGAGCAGGCCAGGAAAAGCGAUGCGGCUGCCUUAAAGGCGGUUGAAGAGCUAAAAGCCGAACAUGCUGCUCACUGCCGAAGCAAGAAGGAAAUGGACGAGAUGGUUGUAAAGUUGAAGAGCGCUGCCGACCGCUGCAAGCUUCUUGAAAAAGAAGAUCGAGCGGAAUAGACGGACCUGGAGAAGGCCACUACCGAGGCCAAGGAUGCUCGCUCUGCGAUGAGAGCUAUGAAGGAGGAGCUACGUCAGGCCGGAGAUAUCGCGGCUGGAAAGCCCUUUAUGCUGCGGAUGAAGUUCGGGGAUCCUAAAUAUGCUCCGUUGGACCGGUUGUGGAGUACGGUGGACACUUAUCUGGAUUUGGCAGCGAGUGCCGCGGACGCGGCCAAACACUUUCGAGAUAAAGAGGAUCACGAAGUGGAAAAGAUUUUUUGGUCGCAGUUCCACAAUCCAGAGCGUCCACUUCCAUUAACCAAUCGUUUGGCCGAAUGGGCUGAGCUGAGUAGGUUAUCCGGACUCGCCAUGAAGUGUGUCGUGAGUCAUCUGUGGCCGGAAAGGCCUGAGCCAAAGAGCUAUUUUAGCUUGGUGCAGCAGUUCCUUGGUGCGGUGCCGCAUAUCAAUGCAGUGAAGAGGUCAGCAUGCAUAGAGGGUGCGCGGAUGGCACUUGCCCGUGUCAAGACAUACUGGGCAGAGAUGAAGGCCACCGCUAUUGCAGCCCAAGACUCGGACGGGAGCCGAGUACCUGCCGAGCACUAUUUUCAGGAAGUUCUGCAGGGCGCUCGUUUAAUAGAGACACAGUGCUCAAAGUAUAUUAUGUUUGAAUAACAUGUAUUAUUGUAAAACAAUGUUUGGAUGUAAUAUAAAAGCUUUUUAUACUUGUGCCUUCAAGAAUUGAAAUACCUCUUGUGCGGCCGUUAAUGUAUAUGUGUAUAUAACAUGAAAGAUGGCAGUCUUCGGCUUCAGCCCCCACGCAUAUAAUGCGGGGGUGUUCGCAGAAGGCGCAUUUUCACACUUGAUCCAACGUCUUGGUCCUAUUAAGGAGGUGAUAGCGCAGCAAACUAGGCAACCGGACUAUAAUGCUUUAUCACUUUCACUUAGCCAUAGGAGUUUGACAGUGGGGCUACUAUACAGCCCCUGGGGGCACCGCGCUCACCCAAAUUCGGGGCGCGUGUGUGCCUGGCCGGGAAACGUCCCUUCGUUAAUACGGAGGAAUCCUAAAGAUUCCGGCGGGUCAUCGAGUGGUUGACCAGUCUCACGCUAUAUCAUGCCAGUUAGUUUUCGGCUUUCUCUACCGAGGUGCUCACCUGGCUGAACCGGGGCACAAUCGCGGUAGUUCUCCUGGUGCCGCCUUAGCCGAUAGAGCGGAACGUAAGGCAGCAAAACACAGGAGCCGAGCAAACCCAACAUUUGACCAAAGACAUGAUUCAGAGCUGAUGCAUAUAAGGCCAAACUCGCGACGCUGAACACUCCCUAAGGUAUUCGGUCUUUUAUGAAAACGGGCAGAACAGCGCCCUUGGUAAUAAGCCCCUGAUGUCCAGGUACGUGCAAAACUCUGACGUGGCCACAUGCCAAGAUGCCAGCCUCCUCCUCAGCUAUGCAGAGAAUCCGGGGGAUGUGUAUCAACAAGAGACAGUAAAAAAGGUUUACGCAGGGUCUUAAUCUAAAAAGAAUCCUGGAGACGGGUCCCUGCUGCACGUCUGCGCCUGUGUCUCCGUUGUGCCAUGUCCUGUACGGGCGUAGCAUGGUGUUCAUCUGUAAAAGAGAGGAACUUAGCUGACAAGAAAAAGAAUAGUAGUGCAGAAUGUACGCUGUACUAGAUAAACAAUGUAUAAUUUAAGACGGGUAAAAUUGAGCCUUAUUGUUGUGUAUUUUACAUAUGCGGAGCCCCUUGUAUAGGGGUGUACGGCUAUCAAACUUUUAUCAAUUAUAUGUUUGCUCCAGACUCGCCUAGCCGAGUCCGUGGUCUUGAUGACCUGGUAGAUGCUUUUGUUGGUGAAGCUGUUUUAAUGUAUGGCUGUCAAGGCAGCCGCAUAUUCUUUCGCGCUCGAGGGACACUUGAUAUUUCCCUUUAGUGAGAUGAUGCCUCAUGGACCGGGCAUCUUAAGCGUAAGAGAUGCAUAAUGCGGUAUUGCGUUAAAGCGGGCGAAAGCCUCUCGUCCCAAUAGUGCUUGAUAGCUACUUGAAAAUGGGGCGAUGAGGAAGGUUAGCUUUUCGCGGCGGAAGUUAUUGGGGGAGCCGAACAUAACUUUUAACCAGAGAGAACCCAUGCAAUGGGCAUCCAGGCCUGGCAUUGCUCCUUGAAAGGAAGUGUUGCUAUGGCGAAUUCUUGUUAGGUCUAUCCCCAUUUUGCGGAUUGUGUCCUGAUAUAGCAGGUUUAAACCACUCCCGCCGUCCAUCAGGACAUGUGUAAAGUGGAGUCCGUCGAUUAUUGGAUCUAGUAUCAAGGCAGUCCCGCUUGUGUUCCGGAUACUUCUAGAGUAAUCCUGAUGGUCGAAGGUGAUCAGUUUUAACAACCAGUGGCGAGACUCCUUUGGGAUAGGCCGUAUGGCGUGUAUCUCUAUAGGCGCCACUCCUUUCGUUACGUGAAGUAAAUUUACUGUUUUGACUUCUUGUGGGAAAUUCUUUUGUUUCCCGGUGCUCUGCUUGUGGGGUUCGUCAUCGUCCUCACUUGGUGUAUCGAGCCCCUUGUGUUCGGCGUUGAGUUUGCCGGAUUGCUUGAAUACCCAACAAUCUCUGUGGGUAUGAUUUGCGGGCUUCCCGGGAGUACUAUGGAUUUGACAUAUCUUGUCCAAGAUUUUGUUCAGGUUAGAUAGCUCGUCCUUGUUAUCCUUAAGGGGCAGCUUUUUCUGAUUCUGUCGAGAUCUUUUGAAUCCGACAUUGACUGCCGUGCUCUUCGGACUGCUUCCCCUAUUCCGGCGCUGGUCCUUGUUGCGUCGUGGUUUCCCAUUUCCAUCCCUGACUUCGGAUGUACUUGGGUCGCUGGUGCUACAUCUUGCCAACCAGCUAUCCUCUCCCGUGCAAAAGCGGGUCAUGAGGCUUGUUAAUGCGGCCAUUGUUCUUGGCUUCUCUUGGCCGAGGUGUCUGGCGAGCCAUUCAUCUCGAACGCUGUGUUUGAAAGCUGCUAAGGCUUCAGCGUCCGGAUAGUCGACUAUCUGAUUCUUUUUAGUAAGAAAUCUAUUCCAGAGUUUUCGGGCUCACUCUCCGGGCUGUUGAGUUAUAUGGCUUAAAUCGUCCGCAUCUGGAGGUCGUACAUAGGUCCCUUGAAAAUUUGCCCGAAAAGCAUCCUCGAGCUCCUCCCAACUUCCAAUGGUGUUUUCGAGAAGGCUUUUAAGCCAAUGCCGGGCUGGCCCUUUGAGCUUAAGGGGUAAGUAUUUGAUGGCGUGGAGGUCAUCUCCCCUGGCCAUGUGUAUGUGGAGGAUAUAAUCCUCAAUCCAGACUCCGGGGUCUGUUGUUCUGUCGUAUGCCUCUAUGUUUACGGGUUUGAAUCCCACUGGAAAUUCAUGGUCCAGCACCUCAUCAGUGAAACAGAGGGGGUGUGCGGCACCCCUGUAUUUGGGUGUGCCGUGUUGUUCGGAUAUUUGUUGAGUUGCAUUUCUUACUAGAGCUUGCUUUCUUGGCCCGUAGAUAGACCUGGCUGGGCCAUCCUUUUGAUGUGAAUCCUUGGGUGGAUCGCGUGCUGGCUUGGGUGCGGCGCCACUUGCCGCUCUAUGUUGGCCAUGAGGUCGUCUAUCCGACCGGGUGGCUUCCUUGUUUUUUGAUUUAGGGGGCUCUAGGGCCUCCUCAUCAAAUUCAGGCAGUAGCUUUCGCUUCGGAUAGCUCUUUGUGUGGCGGCUGCCGCCGUAUUUAUCUGCGGUGUUGAGUACUUUGCUCCAUCUGAUUCUGAGUGCAUCUUCCGCAGUUUUGAGCUUUCGCUUCUGCUUUUUCAGGCUGCGCGCGAUGGCGACGAGCCUUUUGUGGAGGUUCUUCUGCUCCAGGAACUUGUCCGGCGUGAGGUCGUCCGGACUGUUAUCUUCGCCGGGGACGCGUUGUUUGGUUUGUUUAUCCAAGUUGCCCUGUUCGGACGGUUGCUCAAUGGCAUGUUCGUCGUCCGCUGGUUCGCCCUGCUCUGUGGCUGGGCCUGUAUGGCUGCUGUCUCUGUCGAGGCGGGGUUUGGAGCGGCACUUACGUUGCCGCUUUGACUGCUUUUCGAGGGAACGAUCCCUCAUUUCGUCCCUUUGUUCCUUGUCGUUGCUUCCUUUAGGUGUGUCCACCAUGUAUACAUCGUGAGAUGAGGUGGUUGUCCAGUGCCCUAUAGGCGCUGUCUCUUGUUUGUCUCCUACAUCGUCGUCCAUAACAUCGAUGUCAUCGGAGUCGAAGUCUAGCAUAUCGGUUAAAUCAUCGACAAUGGCUACAAAGUGGGUGGUGGGUGGGCAUCGAAUUUCUUCGUCAUCCGCAUCCCAACCCUGCUGACCAUAGUCCGGCCAGGACUCUCCUGAUAAAGAGAGAGACUUUAACGAAUUUAGAAUGUCGCCAAAGGGCGAGUGCUGAAAGAUGUCCGCGGCGGUGAACUCCAUGAUCAGCGCCCAAUCAGAUUCGAUUGGCAGGGGCGCGGAAGGUUCAGAGUCCGGAUAGGAGUCCGACACCUUGGAGUCACGGGCUUCGUAGAGAAUAGGGACGGUGUUCGGCUCGAUCACCAUAGAGAUUGCAGCCCCCGAGGCGGUGUCCAGCCACCCGUCCUCGAUUGGCGCAGUCGGCUCUGAGCUAAGGGUCGGCGCGGACACGGGUGCGGCCUCCAGGGCACUGUUCGACGGCAGAGCUAGAUCAUGCCCGUCGUGACAGUGCGGCGUGCCUAGCUGUGGCUCGAAUCCGUCGAAGAUCAAGUCCCCGUGGAUAUCUGCCGUGUAGUUCAAAUUUCCAAACCUGACCUGAUGGCCAGGGGUGUAGCUUUCGAUCUGCUCUAGAUGGCCAAGCGAAUUGGCCCGCAAUGCAAAGCCGGCGAAUACUAAGAUCUGCCCGGGGAGAAAAGUCUCACCCUAGACCGCAUUGCUGUUGAUGAUUGGAGGAGCCAUCGGGCCUAAAUAUGAUGACACAGAGGAACUCUCAAUGAAAGCACCAAUGUCGGUGCCAAAACCGGCGGAUCUCGGGUAGGGGGUCCCGAACUGUGCGUUUAGGCGGAUGGUAACAGGAGACAAGGGACACGAUGUUUUUACCCAGGUUCGGGCCCUCUCGAUGGAGGUAAAACCCUACUCCUGCUUGAUUAAUAUUGAUGAUAUGGGUAGUACAAGAGUAGAUCUACCACGAGAUCAGAGAGGCUAAACCCUAGAAGCUAGCCUAUGGUAUGAUUGUUGUUCGUCCUACGGACUAAAACUCUCCGGUUUAUAUAGACACCGGAGAGGGCUAGGGUUACACAGAGUCGGUUACAAUGGGAGGAGAUCAUAUCCACAUCGCCAAGCUUGCCUUCCAUGCCAAGGAAAGUCCCAUCCGGACACGGGACGAAGUCUUCAAUCUUGUAUCUUCAUAGUCCAAGAGUCCGGCCAAAGGUUAUAGUCCGGCUACCCGGACACCCCCUAAUCCAGGACUCCCUCAGUUGUCCUUGAAUAUUACCUUGGGGUGCCUUUGGAAUCCCUAAGCUUAGGCUCUUGCCACUCCUUAUUCCAUAGUCCAUCGAAUCUUUACCCAAAACUUGAAAACUUCACAACACAAAACUUAACAGAAAACUCGUAAGCUCCGUUAGUAUAAGAAAAUAAAUCACCACUUCAAGGUACUGUAAUGAACUCAUUCCUUAUUUAUAUUGGUUUAAUAUCUACUGUAUUCCAACUUCUCUAUGGUUCAUACCCUCCGAUACUACUCGUAGAUUCAUCAAAAUAAGCAAACAACACGAUGAAAACAGAAUCUGUUGAAAACAGAACAGUCUGUAGUAAUCUGUAGGUUUCGACCACUUACGGAACUCAUAAAAUUCUCAAAUAAGUAGGUGGACCUGAGAAAUUUAUCUAUUAAUCAGAUGCAAAAAGAAUUAACUAAAUAUCACUCUCCAAUAAAAAAUGGCAGCAAUUCUCGUGAGCGCUAAAGUUUCUGUUUUUUACAGCAUGAUCAUAAAGACUUCGCCCAAGUCUUCCCAAAGGUUCUACUUGGCACAAACACUAAUUAAAACAUAAAACCACAUCUAAACAGAGGCUAGAUGAAUUAUUUAUUACUAAACAGGAGCAAAAGGCAAGGAACAAAAAUAAAAUUGGGUUGCCUCCCAACAAGCGCUAUCGUUUAACGCCCCUAGCUAGGCAUGAUGAUUUCAAUGAUGCUCAUAUAGAAGAUAAGAAUUGUAACAUAAAGAGAGCAUCAUGAAGAAUAUGACUAGCACAUUUAAGUCUAACCCACUUCCUAUGCAUAGGGAUUUUGUGAGCAAACAACUUGUGGGAACAAGCAUCAACUUGCAUAGGAAGGUAAAACAAGCAUUACUUCAAAACCCUGCAACCCGGGCUCUAGGUUAAUAGGUUAGUCCCAAAAAUCAUAUAAAUGCAUAUAAAACAUCCAAGGUUGAUAAUAUAAUAGCAUGAAACAAUAAAAAAUUAUAUAUACAUUGGAGACGUAUCAUGAGGUUUAGGUAUCUUCCCUGAACAAGCAAGUAAAGGAUACACCUUGAAACGUGAAAGACUUACCGCACUAGCGGGAUGGGCCAGGGUGUGCCCACGGUCCUCAGUUGUCUCCGGCGGCAUGUCGUUGCCCUUGAAGAGCACCUUCCAGAUAUCUUCGUGCGUAGUCCUGUAGAACCGUUGCAAGGUCUGGUGCUCGGCCGGAUGGAACUCCCAUAAAUGGCAAGUCCAGCUCUAGCAUGGAAGGAUCCGGCGAACCAGUGAUGUCUACUACACAACCUUCUUCUAGUAGACGUUGUUGGGUCUCCAAGUGCAGAGGUUUGUAGGACAGUAGCAAAUUUCCCUCAAGUGGAUGACCUAAGGUUUAUCAAUCUGUGGGAGGCGUAGGAUGAAGAUGGUCUCUCUCAAGCAACCCUGCAACCAAAUAACAAAGAGUCUCUUGUGCCCCCAACACACCCAAUACAAUGGUAAAUUGUAUAGGUGCACUAGUUUGGCGAAGAGAUGGUGAUACAAGUGCAAUAUGGAUAGUAGAUAAAGGUUUUUGUAAUCUGAAAAUAUAAAAACAGCAAGGUAACUAAUGAUAAAAGUGAGCGUAAACGGUAUUGCAAUGCGUUGAAACAAGGCCUAGGGUUCAUACUUUCGCUCGUGCAAGUUCCCUCAACAAUAAUAACAUAAUUGGAUCAUAUAACUAUCCCUCAACAUGCAACAAAGAGUCACUCCAAAGUCACUAAUAGCGGAGAACAAACGAAGAGAUUAUGGUAGGGUACGAAACCACCUCAAAGUUAUUCUUUCCAAUCAAUCCGUUGGGCUAUUCCUAUAUGUGUCACAAACAGCCCUAGAGUUCAUACUAGAAUAACACCUUAAGACACAAAUCAACCAAAACCAUAAUGUCACCUAGAUACUCCAAUGUCACCUCAAGUAUCCGUGGGAAUGAUUAUACGAUAUGCGUCACACAAUCUCAGAUUCAUCUAUUCAACCAACACAUAGAACCUCAAAGAGUGCCCCAAAGUUUCUAGCGGAGAAUCACGACAAAAACGUGUGCCAACCCCUAUGCGUAGGUUCAUGGAUGGAACCCACAAGUUGGUCACCAAAACAUACAUCAAGUGAAUCACGUGAUAUCCCAUUGUCACCACAGAUACACAUGGCAAGACAUACAUCAAGUGUUCUCAAAUCUUUAAAGACUCAAUCCGAUAAGAUAACUUCAAAAGGGGAAACUCAAUUCAUUACAAGAGAGUAGAGGGGGAGAAGAAACAUAAGAUCCAACUAUAAUAGCAAAGCUCCCGAUACAUCAAGAUCAUGCCAAAUCAAGAGCACGAGAGAGAGAGAGAGAGAGAGAGAGAGAGAGAGAGAGAGAGAGAGAGAGAUCAAACACAUAGCUACUGGUACAUACCCUCAGCCCCGAGGGAGAACUACUCCCUCCUCGUCAUGGAGAGCGCCGGGAUGAUGAAGAUGGCCACCGGAGAGGGAUUCCCCCUCCGGCAGCGUGCCGGAACGGGUCUAGAUUGGCUUUCGGUGGCUACAGAGGCUUCUGGCGGCGGAACUCCUGAUCUAUUGUGCUCCUCGAUCAUUUUAGGGUAUAUGGAGAUAUAUAGGUGGAAGAGAUACGUCAGGGGAGCCACGAGGGGCCCACGAGGGUGGAGGGCGCGCCCCGGGGGGGGGGGGGGCGCUCCCCCUACCUCAUGCCUUCCUCGUUUCUUUCCCGACGUGCACUCCAAGUCUCAUGUAUUGCUUUUCUUCCAAAAAUAACUUUUCCGAAGGUUUCAUUCCGUUUGGACUCCGUUUGACAUUCCUUUUCCGCGAAACACUGAAACAAGGGAAAAAACAGAAACUGGCACUUGGCUCUGGGUCAAUAGGUUAGUCCCAAAAGUAAUAUAAAAGUGCAUAGUAAAGCCCAAUAAACAUCCAAGAUGGAUAAUAUAAUAGCAUGAACACUUCAUAAAUUAUAGAUACGUUGGAGACGUAUCAGCAUCCCCAAGCUUAAUUCCUGCUUGUCCUCGAGUAGGUAAAUGAUAAAAGAAAUAAUUUAUGAAGUGUGAAUGCUAGCAGGUGCACAAGUUUGAUCAAUGAUAAUUUCAAUCACCUUUUCUAGCAUCAGUAUAACAAUAGUUCAUCUCAUAAAGGUUCUCAUGAUCAAGUAAUAAGCUAUUCACAUGUUAAAGUAUAGAUCGUAAAAUUUCUUGAAAACUAACAAACCGUGUUAUCAGUCAUCAAACAAUUACAAUUCAUCUUAUUUUCAGGAAGAGUCUAUGUCAGAGCUUUGAUUUAGCAAACCCCACAUACUCAACUAUCAUGUAGUCUUUCACAAUUGCUAACACUCACGCGAUAUUUAUGGGUUCAAAGUUUUAAUCAGACACAGAGAAAGAUAGGGGCUUAUAGAUUCGCCUCCCAGCCUUUUACCUCAAGGGUAAUGUCAACAAUAAUAGUUCAUGAUGCCUUACAUCCAAUUGGAUAUAUAUAUAUAUAUAUAUCAGAAUCUUUCCAACACAAUGUGCUUGCCAAAGGAUAAAAUGUAAAAAGGAAAGGUGAAGAUCACCAUGACUCUUGCAUAAGGGUAGAAGAUAAAAGUAAAGAUAGGCCCUUCGCAGAGGGAAGCAGAGGUUGUCAUGCGCUUUUAUAGUUGGAUGCAUAAAAUCUUAAUGCAAAAGAACGGUCACUUUAUUGUCCCCUGUGAUAGGGACCUUUAUUAUGCAGUACGUCGCUUUUAUUGCUUCCAUAUCACAAGAUCGCAUAAAGCUUACUUUCUCCACACUAAAAGAUCAUACAUAUUUAGAGAGCAAUUUUUAUUGCAUGCACCGAUGACAACUUACUUGAAGGAUCUUACUCGAUCCAUAGGUAGGUAUGGUGGACUCUCAUGGCAAUACUGGUUUAAGAGAUGUUUGGAAGCACAAGUAGUAUCUCUACUUGGUGCAAAUAAUUUGGCUAUCAUGAGGGGGAAAGGCAAGCUCAACAUGUUGGAUGAUCCAUGACAAUAUACUUUAUUUCAGAUAUAAGAAAACAUAACCCAUUACGUUGUCUUCCUUGUCCAACAUCAACCUUUUAGCAUGUCAUAUUUUAAUGAGUGCUCACAACAACAAAAGAUGUCCAAGAUAGUAUAUUUAUAUGUGAAAUCUCUCUUCCUUCAAUAUUCUUUCAUGAAUUGUUCAAGUGACCAAUACAAUGUUUGCUAACCUUCAAUAAAUUUACCACUUCUACUUAUUAUAUGUGAAGUCAUCACUCCCCAUGGGAUAAGCAUAUGAAACAUAUAUAAUUUCAGAUUUAUGAUAUUCGCUCACUCAACUAUUUACUCAUAGGAUAUAAGUGAAGCACACGAGUAAAUGACAAACUACUCCAAAAAGAUAUGAGUGAAGAUCAAUGAGUAGUUUAAAUAAUUAUGCAACUAUGUGAAGACUCUCUCUCAUUUAAUAAUUUCAGAUCUUGAUAAUUUAUUCAAACAGCAAGCAAAGCAAAAUAAAAUGACAUUCUAAGAAUAGCAAACAUCAUGUGAAGAAGCAAAAACUUAGGAUCAACCGAAACUAACCGAUAGUUGUUGAAGAAGAAAGGUGGGAUGCCAACCGGGGCAUCCCCAAGCUUAGAUGCUUGAUACUUCUUGAAAUAUUAUCUUGGGAUGCCUUGGGCAUCCCCAAGAUUGAGCUUUUGUGUCUCCUUAAUUCCUCUCAUAUCAUGGUCUCCCUAAAUCUCAAAAGCUUCAUCCACACAAAACUCAACAAGGACUCGUGAGAUAAGUUAGUAUAAACCAUUGCAAAAACCUUAUCAUACACUACUGUAGCAAAUCACUAAAAUUAUUAUUAAACAUUGCAUAAUAAAUUCCUCUGCAUAUUUAAUAGUCCUAUCCUCAAAUAGAAUCAUUAAAGAACCAAACAUAUGCAAACAAUGCAAACAUAACAGCAAUCUGCCUAAACUGGACAAUCUGUAAAGAGUGUAGUAAGAUCCAUACUUCCCUAACUCCAAAAUUUAUGAAAGAAAAUUCCCACUGUAGUAAAUUUAUCAGAGAUUAAUAUGCAAAAGGUUUCAACAUUUUAUCACAUUCUGACUUUUCUAGAGAAUUAUUGCAACAGCGGUAAACUUUCUGUUUUUAAACAGCAACAUGAAGACUUGUAAAAUAGGCAUAGUAAAGGCUGUCAAUGCCACGUUUAUUGAAAUAAAAGAUGCAAAACAUUGUUCUAAAUAACAGAAAGAAAAUACAAACAAAAUAAAUUGACGCUCCAAGCAAAACACAUAUCAUGUGGUGAAUAAAAAUAUAGCUCCAAGUAAAGUUACCGAUGAACGAAGACGAAAGAGGGGAUGCCUUCCGGGGCAUCCCCAAGCUUAGGCUCUUGGUUGUCCUUGAAUAUUACCUUGGGGUGCCUUGGGCAUCCCCAAGCUUAGGCUCUUGCCACUCCUUAUUCCAUAGUCCAUCGAAUCCUUACCCAAAACUUGAAAACUUCACAACACAAAACUUAACAGAAAACUCGUAAGCUCCUUUAGUAUAAGAAAUCAAAUCACCAUCAUAAGGUACUGUAAUUAACUCAUUAUAAAUUCAUAUUGGUGUAAUAUCUACUGUAUUCCAACUUCUAUAUGGUUCAUACCCUCCGAUACUACUCAUAGAUUCAUCAAAAUAAGCAAACAACACAAUGAAAACAGAAUCUGUCAAAAACAGAACAGUCUGUAGUAAUCUGUAGGUUUCGACCACUUAUGGAACUCAUAAAAUUCUCAAAUAAAUUGGUGGACCUGAUGAAUUUGUCUAGUAAUAAUCUGCAAAAAGAAUUAGCUAAAUAGAACUCUCCAAUAAAAAAUGGCAGCAAUUCUCGUGAGCGCUAAAGUUUCUGUUUUUUUACAGCAUGAUCAUAAAGACUUCAUCCAAGUCUUCCCAAAGGUCCUACUUGGCACAAACACUAAUUAAAACAUAAAACCACAUCUAAACAGAGGCUAGAUGAAUUAUUUAUUACUAAACAGGAGCAAAAAGCAAGGAACAAAAAUAAAAUUGGGUUGCCUCCCAACAAGCGCUAUCGUUUAACGCCCCUAGCUAGGCAUGAUGAUUUCAAUGAUGGUCACAUAAAAGAUAAGAAUUGAAACAUAAGAGAGCAUCAUGAAGAAUAUGACUAGCACAUUUAAGUCUAACCCACUUCCUAUGCAUAGGGAUUUUGUGAGCAAACAACUUAUGGGAACAAUAAUCAACUAGCAUAGGAGGGCAAAACAAGCAUAACCUCAAAACUUUAUGCACACAGAGAGGAAACUUGAUAUUAUUGCAAUUCCUACAAGCAUAUGUUCCUCCCUCAUAAUAAUUUUCAGUAGCAUCAUGAAUGAAUUCAACAAUAUAACCAUCACCUAAAGCAUUCCUUUCAUGAUCUACAAGCAUAGAAAAUUUACUAUUCUCCACAUAAGCAAAUUUUUUCUCAUGAAUAAUUGUAACGCCCCGAGACCGACGCUCCAGAAGACUUCCAGCUAUUCCGAGUUUCGUCGUGUGAUUUGUUUUAUUUGUUGCAUUCAUCCUUGCAUCAUGUGCAUUGCAUCAUGUCAUCAUGCCAUCAUAUCAUUAAUUUUUAAAACCUCAACUAAAUAAAUUGUAUGGAUUUUUCGAUCCAUUUAAAUUGAGGGAAUUCACUCGUGAUUUCUCUUUAUAACAUAUUAAAGCCUCUCAAUAUUAUUAGGGAGCUAUAAUAAAAUAUUCCAUUUUUGGAAUUCACCAUAACACACUUGCAAAAUCCCAAUGCCUUUGUUGUCUUAAUUCUUGUUCUCCAACCUUGCCAAUAAUUAUUUCAUCAUUUUCCGGAGCUCCACCAAAAAUCCGAACAUUUUUGGACCUUCCCAAACCUCACUUCCUAUUCAAAUCAUUUGAAUUUAAAUCAAAUGAGUUUGAAUUUAAUCUUUCAAUCAUGCCUCUUUCUAUUUUUCUUGGGACUAGCGCAUUUUUGUGAGUCCAAGAAUAUUAUUUGCAUGUGCUAAUUCUUUGCCUAUCCUUCUCUUUCUUUUCUUUCUCUUUUUCUGUUUUGUUUUAAAUGGAAAAAUGAGAGAGAGAAGAGAGAGUGCAGCCUGUAGCCCAGCCGGCCUCUCAGGCCCAGCCCACCUAACCCUCCUAACCCAGCCGCGCCCCCGCUGGUAACCCUAGCCGAUCGAGAGCCCCAGCCCCGAUCGAAUCUCCCCUCGUUCCCACACAGCGCCGCCUCUCAGGAGAGGAGCUCCAUCCUCUCGAUCCCCUCGCCCGAUCCCCUCUCCAUCGAUCUCCCCUUGUCCCCCUGUGCGCCGUCGCACGCACACCCGCAUCUCUCCCUCCUGUCGAUCUCUCCCUCUGGCCCCGACCCCGCACGCCCGCAUCGCUCCAGGGAGGAGCUCCUCACGCCUCCGACUUGCCCCUCUCAGCCUCCUGCGCCCGCGCCCCUCCUCUGCCUCGCCUUCUCCUCCCGUCGCCCUGCCUCGACGCCCGCACCUUCGCCGGCCUCGGCCUCCCGCGGCUGCCGCCGCUGGCCCCGCUGCCGAGCUCUCCACCGCGCCCGAACUCUCCCUCCACCCGCAGCGCCCGAACCCAUCGCUCGCUCGGCCCUCUCCGUCCUCGUCCCGAUCGGGAGAGGCUCCCGAGCCGCGGCCGCCGCCCGGAUCCAGCGCCCCCGCGAUCGCCGCGGUGCCCUGCGUCGCCGGAGUCCUGCGCCAAGACCUCCCCCGCCUCGGUUUCGGUCCUCCCCGCGCCGAGUCCCUCUGCUGCCCCCUGCUUCGUGCCUUCUGUCGUCGUCCCCAUCGACCCGAGCGCGCCCCAUACGUGGCCUCAGCCUCGAGCUGUUGUCACGAUGCCUACCCGAAAAGGAGCAAUUUUGGAUCGCCAAGUCCCCUUCGGAUUCAUCAAGACCUUCAUGCAGAACUACACCCGAUGAUGCGACAAGUACCCCCCUCCAGCAAGACCGACGCCUGAACAAGCACACCGGCUCUGUGGAUUUCGGCAAGUCCCUCCGACGACCGGCGCUUAGUACCACUACGUUUGCCUUGUACAUCUACACCAAGACCGGACCGACAAGUACCACGACGUCCGUGAACCACUACCGUCGCCCCGAAGAUGUUGGAUUCGUCAAGUACCUCUCCGAAAAACAAACGUGUACCACUACUCCCACGACGCCCGUGAACGUCUACUUCCGACGACGACCGCUCCGUGAACGACUACUUCCACUACGAACGCGUUCCGCCCCGAAUGCACGCUUCAAAGGUAUAACCCCGAGACGAUCGCCGUGGACCGAUUGCAUGUGUUGAAUGAGAUGCUCGAGUUUUGCACCGUGAUCGAAUCGUCCUUGCGAUGCCCCUCUUUUGCCGUGCCACCGUCCCGUGGGAACCCGGAAGCCGGGAUCACCCCACCAUCUUGCAUGACACGCUCACGCCUCCUUUUGCACCGGUAUCUCUGUGAGCUACCGGAACCGAUAUGUUGCCGUGGCAUCAUUUUCGGAUAUGUUGCCGUGGCACCAUUUUUGUUUCACCGCCGUGGCACCUUUUUCCUUCCGCCAUGGCGACAAAUGCUUCAUAACAUGCUCAUGUCAACAUUUUCAUAAAAUUGCAUAAAACUUGUAUAUGUCAUCCGCAUCAUGAUAACAACAUUUAAAAUGUUUAAACUUGUUGAUGCAUUAAAUUGCUAAAUGCAUAUGGGGAUUUACCGGAUUUGUUGUUUUUAUAUCCGGCCCCAUUUAAAUUGUUUAGAUGGUAUAGUUUAUAUUAUGAUUCACCUCUUGCCAUGUUUAACAACAGUUAAUAUUGUUGGGUAGCUUAAACGAGAGAUAACUAAAUAAUUGAUGUGGUGUUCCGUCAAUAUGCAGUUGCAUAUUGAGCUCCAUUUAAUUUGUAGGAUUGUUUGUGCACUUUGCCAUGCCAUGCCUCAUUAAACCGGACAUGCAUCAUACUUGUUUGUGCAUCAUGACUUGUUUAUGCUUGUGUGUUUACUAUGUUGUUUGUUUCUUUCCGGGUUGCUUCUCACGUUAGCUUCGGUUUCGUUUCGGAGUUGUGAGGAUUCGUUCGUCUACGGCCGUUUGUCUUCUUCUUGGACUCGUUCUUCUUCCUUGAGGGAUCUCAGGCAAGAUGAUCAUACCCUCGAAAUCACUACUAUCUUUGCUAUGCUAGUUUGCUCACUCUUGCUAUGCCAAUGCUACGAUGCCUACCAUUUGCUUGUCAGCCUCCCAAAUUGCCAUGUCAAACCUCUAACCCACCAUGUCCUAGCAAACCGUUGAUUGGCUAUGUUACCGCUUUGCUCAGCCCCUCUUAUAGCGUUGUUAGUUGCAGGUGAAGAUUGAAGUUUGUUCCUUGUUGGAACAUGGAGAUGUUGUUCCUUGUUGGAACAUGUUUACUUGUUGGGAUAUCACAAUAUAUCUUACUUAAUUAAUGCAUCUAUAUACUUGGUAAAGGGUGGAAGGCUCGGCCUUAUGCCUGGUGGUUUGUUCCACUCUUGCCGCCCUAGUUUCCGUCGUAUCGGUGUUAUGUUCCCGGAUUUUGCGUUCCUUACACGGUUGGGCUAUAAUGGGAACCCCUUGACAGUUCGCCUUAAGUAAAGCUCCUCCAGCAAUGCCCAACAUUGGUUUUACCAUUUGCACUAACAACCUACCACCUUCCCUUGGGUUCUGCAGACUCAAGNNNNNNNNNNNNNNNNNNNNNNNNNNNNNNNNNNNNNNNNNNNNNNNNNNNNNNNNNNNNNNNNNNNNNNNNNNNNNNNNNNNNNNNNNNNNNNNNNNNNNNNNNNNNNNNNNNNNNNNNNNNNNNNNNNNNNNNNNNNNNNNNNNNNNNNNNNNNNNNNNNNNNNNNNNNNNNNNNNNNNNNNNNNNNNNNNNNNNNNNNNNNNNNNNNNNNNNNNNNNNNNNNNNNNNNNNNNNNNNNNNNNNNNNNNNNNNNNNNNNNNNNNNNNNNNNNNNNNNNNNNNNNNNNNNNNNNNNNNNNNNNNNNNNNNNNNNNNNNNNNNNNNNNNNNNNNNNNNNNNNNNNNNNNGGCCAGUGCUCCUCUGAGUGUUGGUCCGAACUGAGCUGCCUGCGGGGCCACCUCGGGGAAACUUGAGGGUUGGUUUUACUCGUAGCUAGUCUCAUCUGAGUGUGCCCUGAGAAAGAGAUAUGUGCAGCUCCUAUCGGGAUUUGUCGGCACAUUCGGGCGGUGUUGCUGGUUUAGUUUUACCCUGUCGAAAUGUCUUGUUGUACCGGGAUACCGAGUCUGAUCGGAACGUCUCGGGUGGAGGUCUAUUCCUUCGUUGACCGUGAGAGCUUGUCAUGGGCUAAGUUGGGACACCCCUGCAGGGAUUUGAACUUUCGAAAGCCGUGCCCGCGGUUAUGUGGCAGAUGGGAAUUUGUUAACGCCCGGUUGUAGAAAACCCGAAGUUGACCUUAAUUAAAAUACAUCAACCGCGUGUGUAACCGUGAUGGUCUCUUUCCGGCGGAGUCCGGAAAGUGAACACGGUUGUUGGAGUUAUGCUUGACGUAGGUAGUCCAGGAUCACUUCUUGAUCAUACCUUUAUCGACCGUGCUUUGCCUUCUCUUCUCGCUCUCAUUUGCGUAUGUUAGCCACCAUAUAUGCUAGUCGCUUGCUGCAGCUCCACCUCAUUACUCCAUCCUUCCUAUAAGCUUAAAUAGUCUUGAUCUCGCGGGUGCGAGAUUGCUGAGUCCCCGUGGCUCACAGAUACUUCCAAAACCAGUUUGCAGGUGCCUAUGUUACCGUGCAGAUGACGCAACCAAGCUCAGGAGGAGCUCGAUGAAGAUCUUGUCCUUUGUGUUGUUUCCGUUCUAGUUGAUCAGUAGUGGAGCCCAGUUGGGGUCGAUCGGGGACCUUUGUCGCAUUUGAGGUUCUUCUUUUAUUUUGGUUCCGUAGUCGGACCUUGAUUGUAUCUGGAUGAUGUAAUGCUUUAUUCAUGUAAUUGUGUGAAGUGGCGAUUGUAAGCCAACUAUGUAUCUCUUUCCCUUAUGUAUUACAUGGGUUGUGUGAAGAUUACCUCACUUGCGACAUUGCUUUCAAUGCGGUUAUGCCUCUAAGUCGUGCUUCGACACGUGGGAGAUAUAGCCGCAUCGAGGGUGUUACAAGUUGGUAAUCAGAGCCUUCCCCGACCUUAGGAGCCCCACUGCUUGAUCGUUUUUAGCGGCCGAGUUGUGUCUAGAAAAAUGUUUUGAGUCUUUAGGAUAUAUAUAUCGGAGAGUUAGGAAUUCUUUUUACUCCCCAGUCUCUUCAUCGCUCUGGUAAGGCAUCCUGACGUAGAGUUUUGACUCUUCUCUUCUCAAAUUUCACUAAAAAAUUUUUUUAGGAUCACGCGGGUAUCUUGGAAUCGUUCCGAUGGUUUUAUGAUGAGAACAUUGUCUUGGUGCCUCCUGUCAGGGGUUUAGUGGAAGUGUCCCGGGGAGUUGAGCUCUGAGGUGUUGUCGUCAUAAUUUUAUCGUUGCAGUUCUGGAAUACCUGAGUUUAGUACGCCGACAUCGAAAAUCUCUUUUAUGCAGUUGUUGGUGAGAUAACCCCGAUAACCCAGUACUGAGGUGAGUACGGGAGUAUUGCCAUGACUCGUAUAACGGAUGCUUUUCGAAGGUUGAGGUAGACGAUUUCCGAAGGUUUCUUGGUUAUGUGUUGAAGGAUGGAUACAGCUGGAUGUAGGAUUUGCUAGUUUUGGGUGAGAUAUUAUGCUUCCCCUGUAUCCCCAACACCUGAUUGCAUAACCGGAAAAUUUCGGAGGUUUCAUAGGUGGGAAUUCAAGUAGCUCUUAGGAUAUCUUUCCGACGGAUGUAUGAUAUGAAAUUGGGGUUCGACGUCUAGUGGUCCGCCUAUCCACGGUCGUUUUUUACAGUGGUCUCGUUGUGUCUUAAAGAGUCCUUGGCUAUGCCGACUCGGGGACGCUUCGUAUGUCAUGUGCACUGCCUUGUACAUGAUGGUGCUGUACGAUCGAGCCCGUGUAGGCCCCACCACGAAAACUUCGGACGAAAUCUCUAUCAUAUGUUUGUUCUGGCUUAUUCUGCAAGCCAGUCCUUUGUUUUUGUUUUGAGUUGUGGUAUUCGAGUUGCUUCAAUGUCAAGUGUUGAUUCCAUACCUUUCCUAAAUGGUGUUCUCAUAUUUCUAUGUGAAUACUAAUCCUUCUUGAUCAUCGAGAUUGUUUUGCCAAUCAUUUUCAACCAGUGUGUCUCUCUUCAAGUGGAUCCGAUCAUUUCAACAUCAGCAAGAUCAAUUAUCAUUUCUUCUCAACGGUGUUCGUUUCGUUCUCAACGGUGUUUUCCCACCCUCCCACCCUUGUUUUCUUGAAGGAUUCAGAAUUAUUGAUCAAGUAUCCAUCUUAUUGAUGUGAAGUCUCUCCAUUCUUUUCCUUCAAUGUUCUUAUCCGGUGAUUCUCAUGAAGUUUCUAACGGAGCUUCAAGUUCGUCAUUCUUCUUUCUUUUCUUCUCCGGUGGAUUCAAGUCAAGAUUUGUCGAUUAUAUCCCCUUUUCUCGUUUCAAAUACCUUCUCUUGACGAUGCUCCUCAUAUUCAUUCAUUUCUCGCUAUUCAAUUGUUCCGGAGUGCUCAAGAUAUCUCGAAGAUUCGUGUUUCCACUCUGCAUUCGUUCAAGCUCUUUCGAGAUUGGUAUCUCAUUCAAGUCAUUUAAUUCAACCGGUGCAACAUCUCUUCUAAAUCUUUUCAACGGUGUUCUUUUGAGUGGGCCCUAACCCACAGGUCUUUUCCCAGGAUCUUACCUGACUCUUCUAUUUUCCCAGAGCUAUCCUAAAUUCUUCUCUAAGUUUGACGUAAGAAUGAGUUAUCAUCAGUUAAAUGCUUUUCUCCAAGAUCUUUCAAAAUCUUUUCAUAGUUGGCUCAACCUCUUCGCUUUUGAUUCUUCCGGUGUGCCUCAAUAAUUCUUGGUGGUGUUUCUCGUUGUCAUUCUCAUCAUUUGAAGACCGAAGAAGAGUUUCUCUUUAAUCUUGCUCUAUUCUCUUCAAGAUUCAUGGUGCUAGCUUGUUGCCAUCCUCUCAUAAUUGUUUUCGAUUGUGAGAAUCUUUUUCACCCAUCAGGAGAUAUUCAAGAGUUUUCUCAGUUUGUCAUCCGGAGUCCAUCAAUUCAGGUUUAUUCAUUCUCAGCCGUCAGUUAUCAUUCUCCUAUCUUGCCGGUGCAUCUAUCGAAUAUCCUCUAAUCAGUUCUUGAUCUCUUUGUUCUCAUGUAUCUAGUUUGUCUCAAGCACCUUCGUUCAUUUGCUAAUUCUUACCGGUGAUGCACCCCUACUUCGAUCAUUUUCAAUUCUUAUGGUGGUUCUUUCAAGAUCUCUCUUCCUUGUUCAUCAUAUCAAUUCAUUUGUUGUUCCAAUCCUGCCGGUGGUUCGUUGAAGACCUUCUCAAGUUUUGAUAUAUCUCUUUUAAUCCUUUCUAUGAGAAUAAGUAGUAUGCCAAAUCCGUUGGUUGUCGUCAAUUUAAUUGGUGAAGGAUAAGCAUAACAUAAUUCUUAUUCUUGUUCAUCCAAGUGAUUAAUUCCUUAUUCCUGAGGCUCAUCAAAUUCUUGUUUCCAUUUGUUCAUCUUACUUCAUCGGAGUGCCAAGUUUUCUCUUUAUCUCGUUGCGAAGAUUCAUCUAAAUCAUUACAAGGUUUCACCUUGUAUUUUCAACUUCUUUUUCCUUCCAUUGGAUCAUCUUUUUGUUACCGGAGUUCUUCAUGGAGGUUCUACAUGACGAUUCAUCAAGGAUUUAAUUCCUUCUCAAAGUUUUCAUCGAGAUUCUUUCCUAAGGAGCUCAAGCUUUCUUCAUAUGGUAAUCCGGAGUGCAAUUCUUUCUACCAUAUUUUGGAGGUGGUAUUAUGUCAUUCUUGAUAAUUUGAGUUCAUGUUCCAUGAUUCACAUGUUGUUAAGAAUGAGUUAUUUUUUAAAUCCAUCAACCUCGUUGUUGGAGUUAUCUUGUGUCAUAUUUCACCUAAAAGCCUUCCAUUGGGAAUGUUGCUAUUUGUGGUGCUUGCCAAUGAUCCAAGUUAUCUCUUUAUCAUCUUGGUGGAAGAAGUUUUCAUCUCUUCGUUGAUCUCAAGCAAGCAAUUGUUUUCGUUAGUGGCCGGUUGUCACCUCAUAAUUUUGAGAUGUUUUCCAUAAGCCCACUACAAGCUUAUUCGUUUCGUUGUUGGUUUUUCCCAACAACCCCGUUGUAACCUUCUUGGAAGAGUGCUUUCCAAGCUCAAUUGUGGCAGAAGUUGCCAUUUCCCCCUCCAUUCUGUUAUUCCAAUGACCUAUCUUCUAUUAUUUCUUUCGGAGGCAUUGUGACGUUGCUCUUUUCACUCACCAUCUCGAUUCGUGAGGAUCGUGUUCUUUUCUUGCUUAUCCAUUUAACCGGAGUGUCGUGUUUUCAUUCGAGUUCUCUAAUCUUAUCAAGUUUUCCCUCCUUCCUCAACUGGAGAGCUGUCUGAAAUCCUUCUUAACCAUUGUGCCAUUCUUUCAAUAGUUCCGGAGGCAGUGUGUUGUUGAUUUCAUCAAGUAACAUCCCAUCUUCUCAAGUUCAUGUUAUAUUCCUUCCAUGUUUAACCGGAGUGCUGCCCGAAUUCUUCCCCUCUCAUCUUGUUUUAACCGGAGUGGUUUCGAAUUCUAUCUUGUCCAUUAAACUCUUGAUUCAUGUCUUUGCAACCUUCAAGUUCUCGUAAUGUUCCUUGUUCCUCUUUCUAACGGAUUGUUUGCAAUCUCGUUCAUCUCCUUUGUAUUCUUUCUUUCAAUUUGUUCAACCUCUCAAGGUUCUUUGGUUUCACUCAUUGGUCGAAGAAGCAACUUAGUUUUACCGCUUAUCUUCCUCUUCCGUUUCCCUCCGGUGCCAUCCUAGAUCUCGGGACGAGAUCCUCUUGUAGUGGUGGAGUGUUGUAACGCCCCGAGACCGACGCUCCAGAAGACUUCCAGCUAUUCCGAGUUUCGUCGUGUGAUUUGUUUUAUUUGUUGCAUUCAUCCUUGCAUCAUGUGCAUUGCAUCAUGUCAUCAUGCCAUCAUAUCAUUAAUUUUUAAAACCUCAACUAAAUAAAUUGUAUGGAUUUUUCGAUCCAUUUAAAUUGAGGGAAUUCACUCGUGAUUUCUCUUUAUAACAUAUUAAAGCCUCUCAAUAUUAUUAGGGAGCUAUAAUAAAAUAUUCCAUUUUUGGAAUUCACCAUAACACACUUGCAAAAUCCCAAUGCCUUUGUUGUCUUAAUUCUUGUUCUCCAACCUUGCCAAUAAUUAUUUCAUCAUUUUCCGGAGCUCCACCAAAAAUCCGAACAUUUUUGGACCUUCCCAAACCUCACUUCCUAUUCAAAUCAUUUGAAUUUAAAUCAAAUGAGUUUGAAUUUAAUCUUUCAAUCAUGCCUCUUUCUAUUUUUCUUGGGACUAGCGCAUUUUUGUGAGUCCAAGAAUAUUAUUUGCAUGUGCUAAUUCUUUGCCUAUCCUUCUCUUUCUUUUCUUUCUCUUUUUCUGUUUUGUUUUAAAUGGAAAAAUGAGAGAGAGAAGAGAGAGUGCAGCCUGUAGCCCAGCCGGCCUCUCAGGCCCAGCCCACCUAACCCUCCUAACCCAGCCGCGCCCCCGCUGGUAACCCUAGCCGAUCGAGAGCCCCAGCCCCGAUCGAAUCUCCCCUCGUUCCCACACAGUGCCGCCGCUCAGGAGAGGAGCUCCAUCCUCUCGAUCCCCUCGCCCGAUCCCCUCUCCAUCGAUCUCCCCUUGUCCCCCUGUGCGCCGUCGCACGCACACCCGCAUCUCUCCCUCCUGUCGAUCUCUCCCUCUGGCCCCGACCCCGCACGCCCGCAUCGCUCCAGGGAGGAGCUCCUCACGCCUCCGACUUGCCCCUCUCAGCCUCCUGCGCCCGUGCCCCUCCUCUGCCUCGCCUUCUCCUCCCGUCGCCCUGCCUCGACGCCCGCACCUUCGCCGGCCUCGGCCUCCCGCGGCUGCCGCCGCUGGCCCCGCUGCCGAGCUCUCCACCGCGCCCGAACUCUCCCUCCACCCGCAGCGCCCGAACCCAUCGCUCGCUCGGCCCUCUCCGUCCUCGUCCCGAUCGGGAGAGGCUCCCGAGCCGCGGCCGCCGCCCGGAUCCAGCGCCCCCGCGACCGCCGCGGUGCCCUGCGUCGCCGGAGUCCUGCGCCAAGACCUCCCCCGCCUCGGUUUCGGUCCUCCCCGCGCCGAGUCCCUCUGCUGCCCCCUGCUUCGUGCCUUCUGUCGUCGUCCCCAUCGACCCGAGCGCGCCCCAUACGUGGCCUCAGCCUCGAGCUGUUGUCACGAUGCCUACCCGAACAGGAGCAAUUUUGGAUCGCCAAGUCCCCUUCGGAUUCAUCAAGACCUUCAUGCAGAACUACACCCGAUGAUGCGACAAGUACCCCCCUCCAGCAAGACCGACGCCUGAACAAGCACACUGGCUCUGUGGAUUUCGGCAAGUCCCUCCGACGACCGGCGCUUAGUACCACUACGUUUGCCUUGUACAUCUACACCAAGACCGGACCGACAAGUACCACGACGUCCGUGAACCACUACCGUCGCCCCGAAGAUGUUGGAUUCGUCAAGUACCUCUCCGAAAAACGAACGUGUACCACUACUCCCACGACGCCCGUGAACGUCUACUUCCGACGACGACUGCUCCGUGAACGACUACUUCCACUACGAACGCGUUCCGCCCCGAAUGCACGCUUCAAAGGUAUAACCCCGAGACGAUCGUCGUGGACCGAUUGCAUGUGUUGAAUGAGAUGCUCGAGUUUUGCACCGUGAUCGAAUCGUCCUUGCGAUGCCCCUCUUUUGCCGUGCCACCGUCCCGUGGGAACCCGGAAGCCGGGAUCACCCCACCAUCUUGCAUGACACGCUCACGCCUCCUUUUGCACCGGUAUCUCUAUGAGCUACCGGAACCGAUAUGUUGCCGUGGCAUCAUUUUCGGAUAUGUUGCCGUGGCACCAUUUUUGUUUCACCGCCGUGGCACCUUUUUCCUUCCGCCAUGGCGACAAAUGCUUCAUAACAUGCUCAUGUCAACAUUUUCAUAAAAUUGCAUAAAACUUGUAUAUGUCAUCCGCAUCAUGAUAACAACAUUUAAAAUGUUUAAACUUGUUGUUGCAUUAAAUUGCUAAAUGCAUAUGGGGAUUUACCGAAUUUGUUGUUUUUAUAUCCGGCCCCAUUUAAAUUGUUUAGAUGGUAUAGUUUAUAUUAUGAUUCACCUCUUGCCAUGUUUAACAACAGUUAAUAUUGUUGGGUAGCUUAAACGAGAGAUAACUAAAUAAUUGAUGUGGUGUUCCGUCAAUAUGCAGUUGCAUAUUGAGCUCCAUUUAAUUUGUAGGAUUGUUUGUGCACUUUGCCAUGCCAUGCCUCAUUAAACCGGACAUGCAUCAUACUUGUUUGUGCAUCAUGACUUGUUUAUGCUUGUGUGUUUACUAUGUUGUUUGUUUCUUUCCGGGUUGCUUCUCACGUUAGCUUCGGUUUCGUUCCGGAGUUGUGAGGAUUCGUUCGUCUACGGCCGUUUGUCUUCUUCUUGGACUCGUUCUUCUUCCUUGCGGGAUCUCAGGCAAGAUGAUCAUACCCUCGAAAUCACUACUAUCUUUGCUAUGCUAGUUUGCUCGCUCUUGCUAUGCCAAUGCUACGAUGCCUACCAUUUGCUUGUCAGCCUCCCAAAUUGCCAUGUCAAACCUCUAACCCACCAUGUCCUAGCAAACCGUUGAUUGGCUAUGUUACCGCUUUGCUCAGCCCCUCUUAUAGCAUUGUUAGUUGCAGGUGAAGAUUGAAGUUUGUUCCUUGUUGGAACAUGGAGAUGUUGUUCCUUGUUGGAACAUGUUUACUUGUUGGGAUAUCACAAUAUAUCUUACUUAAUUAAUGCAUCUAUAUACUUGGUAAAGGGUGGAAGGCUCGGCCUUAUGCCUGGUGUUUUGUUCCACUCUUGCCGCCCUAGUUUCCGUCAUAUCGGUGUUAUGUUCCCGGAUUUUGCGUUCCUUACACGGUUGGGCUAUAAUGGGAACCCCUUGACAGUUCGCCUUAAGUAAAUCUCCUCCAGCAAUGCCCAACAUUGGUUUUACCAUUUGCACUAACAACCUACCACCUUCCCUUGGGUUCUGCAGACUCAAGGGUCAUCUUUAUUCUAACCCCCCCCCCCGGGCCAGUGCUCCUCUGAGUGUUGGUCCGAACUGAGCUGCCUGCGAGGCCACCUCGGGGAAACUUGAGGGUUGGUUUUACUCGUAGCUAGUCUCAUCUGAGUGUGCCCUGAGAAAGAGAUAUGUGCAGCUCCUAUCAGGAUUUGUCGGCACAUUCGGGCGGUGUUGCUGGUUUAGUUUUACCCUGUCGAAAUGUCUUGUUGUACCGGGAUACCGAGUCUGAUCGGAACGUCUCGGGUGGAGGUAUAUUCCUUCGUUGACCGUGAGAGCUUGUCAUGGGCUAAGUUGGGACACCCCUGCAGGGAUUUGAACUUUCGAAAGCCGUGCCUGCGGUUAUGUGGCAGAUGGGAAUUUGUUAACGUCCGGUUGUAGAAAACCCGAAGUUGACCUUAAUUAAAAUACAUCAACCGCGUGUGUAACCGUGAUGGUCUCUUUCCGGCGGAGUCCGGAAAGUGAACACGGUUGUUGGAGUUAUGCUUGACGUAGGUAGUCCAGGAUCACUUCUUGAUCAUACCUUUAUCGACCGUGCUUUGCCUUCUCUUCUCGCUCUCAUUUGCGUAUGUUAGCCACCAUAUAUGCUAGUCGCUUGCUGCAGCUCCACCUCAUUACUCCAUCCUUCCUAUAAGCUUAAAUAGUCUUGAUCUCGCGGGUGCGAGAUUGCUGAGCCCCCGUGGCUCACAGAUACUUCCAAAACCAGUUUGCAGGUGCCUAUGUUACCGUGCAGAUGACGCAACCAAGCUCAGGAGGAGCUCGAUGAAGAUCUUGUCCUUUGUGUUGUUUCCGUUCUAGUUGAUCAGUAGUGGAGCCCAGUUGGGGUCGAUCGGGGACCUUUGUCGCAUUUGAGGUUCUUCUUUUAUUUUGGUUCCGUAGUCGGACCUUGAUUGUAUCUGGAUGAUAUAAUGCUUUAUUCAUGUAAUUGUGUGAAGUGGCGAUUGUAAGCCAACUAUGUAUCUCUUUCCCUUAUGUAUUACAUGGGUUGUGUGAAGAUUACCUCACUUGCGACAUUGCUUUCAAUGCGGUUAUGCCUCUAAGUCGUGCUUCGACACGUGGGAGAUAUAGCCGCAUCGAGGGUGUUACAAUAAUAGUGGGAGCAAACUCAACAAAAUAAUUAUCAUGUGAGGCAUAAUCCAAUUGAAAACUAAAAUCAUGAUGACAAGUUUCAUGGUUAUAAUUAAUCUUUAUAGCAUACAUGUCAUCACAAUAAUCAUCAUAGAUAGCAACUUUAUUCUCAUAAUCAAUUGGAACCUCUUCCGAAAUAGUGGAUUCAUCACUAAAUAAGUCAUGACCUCUCCAAAUCCACUUUCAUAAUUAUCACAAUAAGAUUCAACAUCCUCCAAAAUAGUGGGAUCAUUACUUCCUAAAGUUGACACUCUUCCAAACCCACUUUCAUAAAUAUAAUCAUCAUAGAUAGGAGGCAUGCUAUCAUCAUAAUAAAUUUGCUCUUCAAAACUUGGGGGACUAAAAAUAUCAUCUUCAUCAAACAUAGCUUCCCCAAGCUUGUGGCUUUGCAUAUCAUUAGUAUCACGAAUAUUCAAGGAAUUCAUACUAACAACAUUGCAAUAAUGCUCAUUAUUCAGAGAUCUAGUGCCAAACAUUUUAUAGAUUUCUUCUCCUAGCACUUGAGCACAAUUUUCCUUUCCAUCAUUCUCACGAAAGAUAUUAAAAAGAUGAAGCGUAUGAGACAAACUCAAUUUCAUUUUUUGUAAUUUUCUUCUAUAGACUAAAGUAGUGAUAAAACAAGAAACUAAAAGACUCGAUUGCAAGAUCUAAAGAUAUACCUUCAAGCACUCACCUCCCCGGCAACGGCGCCAGAAAAGAGCUUAGUUGACGGGGUGUGAGUGCCGCUUUCCUCACCUCCCCGGCAACGGCGCCAGAAAAGAGCUUGAUGUCUACUACACAACCUUCUUCUUGUAGACGUUGUUGGGCCUCCAAGUGCAGAGGUUUGUAGGACAGUAGAAAAUUUCCCUCAAGUGGAUGACCUAAGGUUUAUCAAUCCGUGGGAGGCGUAGGAUGAAGAUGGUCUCUCUCAAGCAACCCUGCAACCAAAUAACAAAGAGUCUCUUGUGCCCCCAACACACCCAAUACAAUGGUAAAUUGUAUAGGUGCACUAGUUCGGUGAAGAGAUGGUGAUACAAGUGCAAUAUGGAUAGUAGAUAAAGGUUUUUGUAAUUUGAAAAUAUAAAAACAGCAAGGUAACUAAUGAUAAAAGUGAGCGUAAACGGUAUUGCAAUGCGUUGAAACAAGGCCUAGGGUUCAUACUUUCGCUCGUGCAAGUUCCCUCAACAAUAAUAACAUAAUUGGAUCAUAUAACUAUCCCUCAACAUGCAACAAAGAGUCACUCCAAAGUCACUAAUAGCGGAGAACAAACGAAGAGAUUAUGGUAGGGUACGAAACCACCUCAAAGUUAUUCUUUUCCAAUCAAUCCGUUGGGCUAUUCCUAUAAGUGUCACAAACAGCCCUAGAGUUCGUACUAGAAUAACACCUUAAGACACAAAUCAACCAAAACCCUAAUGUCACCUAGAUACUCCAAUGUCAACUCAAGUAUCUGUGGGAAUGAUUAUAUGAUAUGCGUCACACAAUCUCAGAUUCAUCUAUUCAACCAACACAUAGAACCUCAAAGAGUGCCCCAAAGUUUCUACCGGAGAAUCACGACGAAUACGUGUGCUAACCCCCUAUGCAUAGGUUCAUGGGCGGAACCCGCAAGUUGAUCACCAAAACAUACAUCAACUGAAUCACGUGAUAUCCCAUUGUCACCAUAGAUACGCACGGCAAGACAUACAUCAAGUGCUCUCAAAUCUUUAAAGACUUAGUCCGAUAAGAUAACUUCAAAAGGGGAAACUCAAUCCAUUACAAGAGAGUAGAGGGGGAGAAGAAACAUAAGAUCCAACUAUAAUAGCAAAGCUCACGAUACAUCAAGAUCGUGCAAAAUCAAGAACACGAGAGAGAGAGAGAGAGAGAGAGAGAUCAAACACAUAGCUACUGGUACAUACCCUCAGCCCCGAGGGAGAAAUACUCCCUCCUCGUCAUGGAGAGUGCCUGGAUGAUGAAGAUGGCCACCGGAGAGGGAUUCCCCCUCCGGCAGGGUGCCGGAACGGGUCUAGAUUGGCUUUCGGUGGCUACGGAGGCUUCUGGCGGCGGAACUCCCGAUCUAUUGUGAUCCUUGAUUGUUUUAGGGUAUAUGGAGAUAUAUAGGUGGAAGAGAUACGUCAGGGGAGCCACGAGGGUGGAGGGCGCGCCCAUUGGGGUGGGCGCGCCCCCCUACCUCGUGCCUCCCUCGUUUCUUUCCCGACAUGCACUCCAAGUCUCCUGUAUUGCUUUUCUUCCAAAAAUAACUUUUCCGAAGGUUUCAUUCCGUUUGGACUCCGUUUGAUAUUCCUUUUCCGCGAAACACUGAAACAAGGAAAAAACAGAAACUGGCACUGGGCUCUGGGUCAAUCGGUUAGUCCCAAAAGUAAUAUAAACCAUAGUAAAGCCCAAUAAACAUCCAAUAUGGAUAAUAUAAUAGCAUGGAUACUUCAUAAAUUAUAGAUACAUUGGAGACGUAUCAACCAGCAUCAUCUGGAUCACGUUGACGAGCUUGAUGUUCUUGUCCACCAUGCUCUGGAUGCGCAUUUGCAGCGCUGUAAGCUCGUCCGAUCACUAGAAGAAAAAGACACAUCCGUGACAUUUUGGGCCGAACGAAUUUUUUUCUGUCAUACAUUUGACACUUCUAUGACGAUAAUUGUGACAUAACCCGGUAUCAUCAUAGAUGUGGUGGGCUCCUUCUUCUAUGGCAAAAAAUCAUGACAAAAAAUGGGCUUUUCGUCCUAGGCGGGCCGGAGACGCAGCUGCAUGACAUUCUUUGGGCCGUCCAUGACGGAAAAAACCGUGGUAGAAGCGAGGGCGAGGAAAAUUUCGGGGAGUUCCCGGUUACGGUGGGAGGUUGGGGGCCGAGCGAUGCGCGUUUCUCUCAUACACGUACGCGCGUGUGUGCGAGGCGUUGGCUCUAACUGAACCCGGGCGAGGCGUUGGGCUCUAACUGAACCCGAGCGAUUGCACUGUAGGCUACUCGUUGCUGAACCCGAGGGAUCGAUUGAUGGCUGUUAACUGAACCCGAUCGAGCGAUUCCUUCGCUGCUGCUGCUAACUGANNNNNNNNNNNNNNNNNNNNNNNNNNNNNNNNNNNNNNNNNNNNNNNNNNNNNNNNNNNNNNNNNNNNNNNNNNNNNNNNNNNNNNNNNNNNNNNNNNNNNNNNNNNNNNNNNNNNNNNNNNNNNNNNNNNNNNNNNNNNNNNNNNNNNNNNNNNNNNNNNNNNNNNNNNNNNNNNNNNNNNNNNNNNNNNNNNNNNNNNNNNNNNNNNNNNNNNNNNNNNNNNNNNNNNNNNNNNNNNNNNNNNNNNNNNNNNNNNNNNNNNNNNNNNNNNNNNNNNNNNNNNNNNNNNNNNNNNNNNNNNNNNNNNNNNNNNNNNNNNNNNNNNNNNNNNNNNNNNNNNNNNNNNNNNNNNNNNNNNNNNNNNNNNNNNNNNNNNNNNNNNNNNNNNNNNNNNNNNNNNNNNNNNNNNNNNNNNNNNNNNNNNNNNNNNNNNNNNNNNNNNNNNNNNNNNNNNNNNNNNNNNNNNNNNNNNNNNNNNNNNNNNNNNNNNNNNNNNNNNNNNNNNNNNNNNNNNNNNNNNNNNNNNNNNNNNNNNNNNNNNNNNNNNNNNNNNNNNNNNNNNNNNNNNNNNNNNNNNNNNNNNNNNNNNNNNNNNNNNNNNNNNNNNNNNNNNNNNNNNNNNNNNNNNNNNNNNNNNNNNNNNNNNNNNNNNNNNNNNNNNNNNNNNNNNNNNNNNNNNNNNNNNNNNNNNNNNNGAGAUGAACAGUAUCCCGUGGAGUCCCGUUUUGCGGUAUGCCACACCCCUCCCGAUGAACAGGACCCCCGUUUCGACCGUAGCGCUCCAACACAAGUCCGUUUCGUCCGUUUUGCGGUAUGCCACACCCCUCCCGAUCAACAGGACCCCCGUUUUGAUCGUAGGAGGUCCGUUUCGUCCGUUUUGCGGUACGCCACACCCCUCCCGAUCAACAUGACCCCCGUUUCGACCGUAGGAGGUCCGUUUCCUCCGUUUUGCAGUACGCCAGACCCCUCCCGAUCAACAGGACCCCGUUCCAAACAUAGGAGCAAGGUUGUCAGAAUCGUGAUUUUGAAUCGAAUCGGAGCUCUGAUGGCAGGAUCACAAAUCGUAGAAUCUUCACUAUCAGGAUCGUAGAAACGUAGAUUCCAUGAACUAAAAUCGUAGAAUAAGAGCGGUAAGUUUGGAUCGUAAAGUCAUAGAGUCGUAUAACAGAAUAGCGAUUCUGACAACCUUGUGUAGGAGGUUUGUUUCCUCCGUUGUGCGGUACGCUAGGCCUCCUUUCCAUCGCCUGUUCCGUCAAAGCCCUCCCGAUGAACACGACCACGCAUUCCGUUCCGACCCAGCCAGUUGGCUCCCACGCGUUCCGUUGCCUCCCGAUGAACACGACGCAUUCCGUUGCCUCCCCAUGAACAUGACACAUUCUGUUGCCUCCCCAUGAACACGACGACGACGCUGUUUCUUCGUUCCGACCUAGCCAUGUACACGAGCCCUCGCCGUACGUAUGCGCGAGUAGGCGUUCGAGACCCCGCCCGUAUGUACACAUACGUGGCCGUAUUUUCUUUCUUGCACCCUGGCCGCUGUACGUACGUGUACAUGCUACGUGCGUGCCUCUACUACGACACGUGCGCGCCUCUACUACGACACGUGCGCGCCUCUACAUCCACCAGUAUAUAUGUACGUACACGUUCGCGACCAGAAUGACAACGCUACGUACGCUUCGACCAGGUGGGUCCCGACUGUUAAGCACUUCCUUGCGUGCGAAGAUGUAGCUGGUGGGUCCCAGAAGUCAGGGGGGCGAAUCAUUUUGUUUUUGCCCGGACGCACUUCCUUGCGUGCGAAGACGUAGCUGGUGGGUCCCAGCACUCAGGGGGGCGAAUCAUUUUUUUUGCCCGGACGCACUUCCUUGCGUGCGAAGAUGAAGCUGGUGGGUCCCAGCAGUCAGGGGGAAACAUUUUUUUCACGAAAUACAGUGGCCCGUCCGGUGGGUCCCAGCUAUCAGGUGGAGGAAUCUUUAUUUUCCGCGUAAUAAGGAGGCACUUCCUUGCUGCGGCCGUGGACCCAGCUGUCAGCCUCUCCACAUACAGUCCACGUCCGAUGGAAGCCGUUCCUUGACCAUGUUGACCACGCCGCGCCGAGAGCACCAGGGCGGUGGACGACGGCGAGGCCUAGGAAGGGGACAACACGGAGCCAGGGAAGACGCGACAGUGGAUGCGCACACAGAGAGGAGUACGAGGGUUCACUGGUUCGGCUGCGCUGCCGUCGCCGCAGAAUAACAGGGGGUGUGGGUGAGUGGAGGGAUGGCCUGGCCAGUGGUGGGAGUAGUAGGGGGCGGUGAGGCCUCCGCCGCAACGCAGCCGGCCACGGGAGGCAGGAGCACGAGGCACGACCGGUGCUAGUUUGGGCGGCUGGAGCAAGAAGACCAGAGGUUGAAGAAGCACUACGGCCGUUGGAUGGACAUCGUAUGGUCACUGGAGCUAGAAUCGUGCAUAUUGACUAAGUUGACAAAGCCCUCCGUCUCCGUCAACUUAGUAGGCCCACAAGUCAGCCUGCCACUAUACUGGGUCCCAGCUAACAGGGGGAGUAUUCAUUUUUUUGUGCGUAAUAAGGAGGCACUUCCUUGCGUGCGAAGAUAUAGCUAGUGGGCCCGAGCUGUCAGCGGCGGUAACGUUUUUUUCGCGAAAUACAGAGGCCCUUUCGGUGGGAACCUGAUGUCAGGUGGAGGAAUCAUUAUUUUACGUGUAAUAAGGAGGCAUUUCCUUGCGUGCGGCCGUGGACCCAGCUGUCGGCCUCUCCACGUACAGUCCACUUCAGAUGCAUGUCGGUCGUUGACCAUGUUGACCAGGUCGCGCCGAUAGCACCAGGGCGGUGGACGACGGCGAGGCCUAGGAAGGGAACGACACGAAGGCAGGGAAGACUCGGCAGUUGUUUCCCACGUGGAGGGGAGUACGACUGUACGAGGGUUUACUGGUUCGUCUGCCGUCGCCGGAGAAUAACAUAAGGUGUGGGUGAGUAGUAGGAUGGCUAGGCCAGCGAUGGGAGUACGAUGGGGCUGUGAGGCCUGCGCGGCAGCACAGCCAGCCGCGGGGAGGAGGGAGCAGGCAGUCCCGCCGGUGCUUGUUUGAGCGGCUAGAGCAGGAAGAACAGAGAUUGAAGAAGCACGUCGGAAGCAGGAAGAAGGAGCUGCAGGAGGAGCUCACCUAGCAGGCACAAGGGGGCCCUCUGAUCGCUUAGGAGCAGCAGAGGAGGCCGGACUCGACGGGGCUUGGGGUGGCCGGAGACGACGACGAGGGAGGCAGCGUCCGACGAGGAAGUAUGGUCGGGGUGGCGUAGUGGUGCUCCUCGGCUCGGCUCGUAGUUGAAGGCGACGAGGUGGAGGGCGGCGAAGGCCCUGGCAUGGUCCUAGGUGACGGGGACGGCGGAGAGCUCGUCGGCUUUGACAGUCAUGGCGGCGGUGCAGUGGCGCGGUGGAUCUGGAGAGCGAAAGCGGCAUGAGGAGGGGGAAUGGAUGGGGAUGCCAGGGAGAGUGGAGCGGGGAUCGAGGAGUCGGGGCGUGGCGGCCUUAUCCUCUCACGGGGUUCACCGCCGGCGAGGUGGUUUGACUGGGAUGAGCCCCUGUUGCGGCCCAGAAUAGAGGAACAGGGAGGGGAGGAGGACCGGUGCGGGGAGUGGGCUGGAUGGGGUGGGCCGGCUGGUGGGUGAAGGUCCAGGGAAACAAGAGGGAGGGCUUCUUUUCCUUUUACUGCUCCUUUGCAUUUUCUUUUUAAAACUUUCUGUUUUCUAUUUAGCCUUAUUUUAUUUUAGGUUUUAUAAAAUAUGUUCUAAGCCCCAAAAUUAGUAUUAGUAGUUAGGCCACUGCCACAAAUAACUUGGCACUUUGUUAAAAUAGUUUGCAAUUAUUCUUAUUUAAAAUGGAUUUAAAAUAAUUGUUUUAGCCGCUGUUUUAAUUACUUUAGGGCAUUAAACCACUUUGCAAAGAUGUUGGUUCACAACCAUAACUAGUUAAGGAGUAUUUGACACACUUUGAACAUUUUAGUUUGCAUGUUUGAGAAAUUAGAAUUUUUGACUUUAAAUUGUUUUUGAAUUUGAAUUGUGAUUUGGAUCAAGUGAAGAUUAGCAACAGUAAUGUGAUGACAUGGCACCUUUAACAGGGGAUUACCGUAACAUGACACUGGGGGUGUUACAAAUCUCCUCCACUACAAGAAAUUUCGUCCUGAGAUUUAAGUGGAGAAGUAAAGAGUAACUUCGGAAGAACUGACCCUUAUAGGGUUAAUUAUCUGGUGAACAAUUCAGGGAAAGAGGCGGAAGUAUCUCUCGAGUUGAAACUUAAUAAAACAUCGAGACCAAUGUAUGAAGGUAGAAUAGGGAGGUUCAAGCGAAUGGACAAAUGAUCGAUACCUGAACAGAGUGUGAGAAGGGGGUUCAGAGCAUCGAGAAUAGAUCAUCUAUCAGACGGUGGUUCGUGACAACACACAAAGCCAAGAGCAAAUGAUACUUCGGAAUAAAGGAUAUACAGGAGAGUCAGGUUCUGAUCUUGUGGAACUAUGGGUUAUGGUCCCACUGAAGGAAAUAUGCCCUAGAGGCAAUAAUAAAGUUAUUAUUUAUUUCCUUAUAUCAUGAUAAAUGUUUAUUAUUCAUGCUAGAAUUGUAUUAACCGGAAACAUAAUACAUGUGUGAAUACAUAGACAAACAGAGUGUCACUAGUAUGCCUCUACUUGACUAGCUCGUUAAUCAAAGAUGGUUAUGUUUCCUAACCAUGGACAAAGAGUUGUUAUUUGAUUAACGGGAUCACAUCAUUAGUUGAAUGAUCUGAUUGACAUGACCCAUUCCAUUAGCUUAUCACCCGAUCGUUUAGUAUGUUGCUAUUGCUUUCUUCAUGACUUAUACAUGUUCCUAUGACUAUGAGAUUAUGCAACUCCCGUUUGCCGGAGGAACACUUUGUGUGCUACCAAACGUCACAACGUAAAUGGGUGAUUAUAAAGGAGCUCUACAGGUGUCUCCAAUGGUAGAUGUUGGGUUGGCGUAUUUUGAGAUUAGGAUUUGUAACUCCGAAUGUCGGAGAGGUAUCUCUGGGCCCUCUCGGUAAUGCACAUCACUUAAGCCUUGCAAGCAUUGCAACUAAUGAGUUAGUUGCGGGAUGAUGUAUUACGGAACGAGUAAAGAGACUUGCCGGUAACGAGAUUGAACUAGGUAUUGGAUACCGACGAUCGAAUCUCGGGCAAGUAACAUACCGAUGACAAAGGGAACAACGUAUGUUGUUAUGCGGUCUGACCGAUAAAGAUCUUCGUAGAAUAUGUAGGAGCCAAUAUGGGCAUCUAGGUCCCACUAUUGGUUAUUGACCGGAGACGUGUCUCGGUCAUGUCUACAUUGUUCUCGAACCGUAUGGUCCGCACACUUAAGGUUUCGAUGACAAUUAUAUUAUGAGUUUUGAUGUACCGAAGGAGUUCGGAGUCCCGGAUGAGAUCGGGGACAUGACGAGGAGUCUCGAAAUGGUCGAGACGUAAAGAUCGAUAUAUUGGACGACUAUAUUCGGACAUCGGAAAGGUUCCGAGUGAUUCGGGUAUUUUUCGGAGUACCGGAGAGUUACGGGAAUUCGCUGGGAGAAGCAUUGGGCCUUGAUGGGCUUUAGUGGGAAGAGGAGAAAGGGCCUGCUGCGCCCCCCCUACCCUCUAGUCCGAAUUGGACUAGGGAAAAGGGGGCCGGCCACCUUUCCUACUCCUCCACUUCCUUCUCCCUUCCUCCCCUCUUGAUGGACUCCUACUAGGACUUGGAGUCCUAGUAGGACUCUCAUCCUGGCCGCACCAAUGGCCUUGGCCGGCCUCCUCCUCCUCCAUCCUUUAUAUACUGAGGCGAGGGGCUCCCCAAAGACACAAGUUGAUCCUUGAGAUCGUUCCUUAGCCGUGUGCGGUGCCCCCUGCCACCAUAUUCCACCUCGAUCAUAUUGUAGCAGUGCUUAGGCAAAGCCCUGCGUCGGUAGAACAUCAAGAUCGUCACCACGCCGUCGUGCUGACGGAACUCUUCCCCGACGCUUUGCUGGAUCGGAGCCUGGGGAUCGUCAUCGAGCUGUACGUGUGCUAAGAACUCGGAGGUGCCGGAGUAACGGUGCUUGGAUCGGUCGGAUCGGGAAGACGUACGACUACUUCCUCUAUGUUGCGUCAACGCUUCCGCAGUCGGUCUGCGUGGGUACGUAGACAACACUCUCCCCUCUCGUUGUUGUGCAUCACCAUGAUCUUGUGUGUGCGUAGGAUUUUUUUUUAAAUUACUACGUUCCCCAACAGUGGUAUCAGAGCCAGGUUUUAUGGUUUGAUGUUAUAUGCACGAGUAGAACACAAGUGAGUUGUGGGCGAUAUAAGUCAUACUGCCUACCAGCAUGUCAUACUUUGGUUCGGCGGUAUUGUUGGAUGAAGCGGCCCGGACCGACAUUACGCGUACGCUUACGCAAGACCGGUUUCCCCGAUGUGCUUUGCGGGUGACUGUUUCUCCAACUUUAGUUGAACCGAGUGUGGCUACGCCCGGUCCUUGCGAAGGUUAAAACGGAGUCAAAUUGACAAACUAUCGUUGUGGUUUUGAUGCGUAGGUGAGAUUGGUUCUUGCUUAAGCCCGUAGCAGCCACGUAAAACUUGCAACAACAAAGUAGAGGACGUCUAACUUGUUUUUGCAGGGCAUGUUGUGAUGUGAUAUGGUCAAGACGUGAUGAGAUAUAAGUUGUUGUAUGAGAUGAUCAUGUUUUGUUGAAGUUAUCGGCAACUGGCAAAAGCCUUAUGGUUGUUUGUCUAUUGCAUAAGAUGCCAGCGCCAAAUAAUUGCUUUACUUUAUCGCUAUGCGAUAGCAAUAGUUGCAAGAGCAAUUGUUGACGAGACGACCAUGUGACGACACAUUGAUAUAGAUCAAGAUGAUGGAGAUCAUGAUGUCAUGCUGGUGACGAUGGAGAUCAUGACGAUGCUUUGGAGAUGGAGAUCAAAGGCACAAGAUGAUGAUGGCCAUAUCAUGUCACAUAUUUUGAUUGCAUGUGAUGUUUAUCUUUUAUGCAUCUUAUCUUGCUUUGAUUGACGGUAGCAUUAUAAGAUGAUCUCUCACUAAAUUAUCAAGAAGUGUUCUCCCUGAGUAUGCACCGUUGCGAAAGUUCUUCGUGCUGAGACACCACGUGAUGAUCGGGUGUGAUAGGUUCUACGUUCAAAUACAACGGGUGCAAAACAGUUGCACACGCGGAAUACUCAGGUUAUACUUGACGAGCCAAGCAUAUACAGAUAUGGCCUCGGAACACGGAGACCGAAAGGUCAAGCGUGAAUCAUAUAGUAGAUAUGAUCAACAUAGUGAUGUUCACCAAUGAAACUACUCCAUCUCACGUGAUGAUCGGACAUGGUUUAGUUGAUUUGGAUCACGUGAUCACUUAGAGGAUUAGAGGGAUGUCUAUCUAAGUGGGAGUUCUUAAGUAAUAUGAUUAAUUAAACUUAAAUUUAUCACGAACUUAGUCCUGGUAGUAUUUUGCAAAUUAUGUUGUAGAUCAAUAGCUCGCGUUGUUGCUUCCCUGUGUUUAUUUUGAUAUGUUCCUAGAGAAAAUUGUGUUGAAAGAUGUUAGUAGCAAUGAUGCGGAUUGGAUCCGUGAUCUGAGGUUUAACCUCAUUGCUGCACAGAAGAAUUAUGUCCUUGAUGCACCGCUAGGUGACAGACCUAUUGCAGGAGCAGAUGUAGACGUUAUGAACGUUUGGCUAGCUCAAUAUGAUGACUACUUGAUAGUUUAAGUGCACCAUGCUUAACGGCUUAGAAUCGGGACUUCAAAGACGUUUUGAACGUCAUGGACCAUAUGAGAUGUUCCAGGAGUUGAAGUUAAUAUUUCAAGCAAAUACCCGAGUUGAGAGAUAUGAAGUCUCCAACAAGUUCUAUAGCUAAAAGAUGGAGGAGAAUCGCUCAACUAGUGAGCAUGUGCUCAGAUUGUCUGGGUACUACAAUCGCUUGAAUCAAGUGGGAGUUAAUCUUCCAGAUAAGAUAGUGAUUGACAGAAUUCUCUAGUCACCAUCACCAAGUUAGUAGAACUUCGUGAUGAACUAUAAUAUGCAAGGGAUAGCGGAAACAACUCCCGAGCUCUUCGUGAUGCUGAAAUCAAUGAAGGUAGAAAUCAAGAAAAACAUCAAGUGUUGAUGGUUGACAAGAUCACUAGUUUCAAGAAAAGGGCAGAGGGAAGAAGGGGAACUUCAAGAAGAACAGCAAGCAAGUUGCUGCACAAGUGAAGAAGCCCAAGUCUGGUCCUAAGCCUGAGACUAAGUACUUCUACUGCAAAGGGACUGGUCACUGGAAGCGGAACUACCCCAAGUGAUUGGCGGAUAAGAAGGAUGGCAAAGUGAACAUAAGUAUAUUUGAUAUACAUGUUAUUGAUGUGUACUUUACUAGUGUUUAUAGCAAACCCUCAGUAUUUGAUACUAGUUCAGUUGCUAAGAUUAGUAACUCGAAACGGGAGUUGCAGAAUAAACGAAGACUAGUUAAGGGUGAAGUGACGAUGUGUGUUGGAAGUGGUUCCAAGAUUGAUAUGAUCAUCAUCGCACACUCCCUAUAAUUUCGGGAUUAGUGUUGAACCUAAAUAAGUGUUAUUUGGUGUUUGCGUUGAGCAUGAAUAUGAUUUGAUCAUGUUUAUUUUAAUAUGGUUAUUCAUUUAAGUAAGAGAAUAAAUUGUUGUUCUGUUUACAUGAAUAAAACCUUAUAUGGUUACACACCCAAUGAAAAUAGUUCGUUGGAUCUCGAUCGUAGUGAUACACAUAAUCAUAAUAUUGAAACCAAAAUAUGCAAAGUUAAUAAUGAUAGUGCAACUUAUUUGUAGCACUGCCAUUUAGGUCAUAUUGGUGUAAAGCGCAUGAAGAAACUCCAUGCUGAUGGGCUUUUGGAAUCACUUGAUUAUGAAUCAGUUGAUGCUUGCGAACCAUGCCUCAUGGGCAAGAUGACUAAAGACUCUGUUCUUCGGAACAAUGGAGCGAGCAACAGAUUUGUUGGAAAUCAUACAUACUGAUGUAUGUGGUCUGAUGAAUAUUGAGGCUCACGACAGGUAUCAUUAUUUUCUGAUCUUCACAGAUGAUUUGAGCAGAUAUGAGUAUAUCUACUUGAUGAAACAUAAGUCUGAAACAUUUGAAAAGUUCAAAGAAAUUUCAGAGUGAAGUGAAAAAUCAUCGUAACAAGAAAAUAAAGUUUCUACGAUAUGAUCGUAGAGAAGAGUAUUUGAAUUACGAGUUUGGCCUUCAGUUAAAAACAAUGUGAAAUAGUUUCACUACUCAUGCCACCUGGAACACCACAAUGUAAUGGUGUGUCCGAAUGUCAUAACCGUACUUUAUUAGAUAUGGUGCGAUCUAUGAUGUCUCUUACCGAUCUACCACUAUCAUUUUGGGGUUAUGCAUUAGAGACAGCUGCAUUCACGUUUAAAAGGGCACCAUCUAAGUCCGUUCAGAUGACACAAUCUGAACUGUGGUUUGGCAAGAAACCAAAGUUGUCGUUUCUUAAAGUUUGAGGUUGCAAUGAUUAUGUGAAAAAGUUUCAACCUGAUAAGCUCAAACCCAAAUCGGAGAAAUGUGUCUUCAUAGGAUAUCCAAAGAAAACUAUUGGACACACCUUCUAUCACAGAUCUGAAGGCAAGACUUUUGUUGCUAAAUUCGGAAACUUUCUAGAGAAGGAGUUUCUCUCGAAAGAAGUGAGUGGGAGGAAAGUAGAAAACUUGAUAAGGUAAUUGUACCUUCUCCCUUAUUGGGAAGUAGUUCAUCAUAGAAAUCUGUUCUUGUGACUACUACACCAAUUAGUGAGGAAGCUAAUGAUGAUGAUCAUGUAACUUCAGAUCAAGUUACUACCGAAUCUCGUAGGUAAACCAGAGUAAGAUCCGCACCAGAGUGGUACGGUAAUCCUGUUCUAGAAGUCAUGUUACUAGACCAUGAUGAAUUUGCGAACUAUGAGGAAGCGAUGAUGAGCCCAGAUUCCGCGAAAUGGUUUGAGGCCAUGAAAUCUGAGAUAUGAUCCAUGUAUGAGAACAAAGUUUGGACUUUGGUUGACUUGCCCGAUGAUCAGCAAGCAAUUGAGAAUAAAUGGAUCUUCAAGAGGAAGACGGACGCUGAUAGUAGUGUUACUAUCUACAAAGCUAGAAUUGUCGCAAAAGGUUUUCGACAAGUUCAAGGUGUUGACUACGAUGAGAGUUUCUCACUCGUAUCUAUGCUAGAGUCUGUCCGAAUCAUGUUAGUAAUUGCCGCAUUUUAUGAAAUCUGGCAAAUGGAUGAACAAAACUGCAUUCCUUGAUGGAUUUAUUAAAGAAGAGUUGUAUAUGAUGCAACAAGAAGGUUUUGUCAAUCCGAAAGGUGCUAACAAAAUGUGCAAGCUCCAGCGAUCCAUCUGUGGACUGGUGCAAGCAUCUCGGAGUUGGAAUAUACGCUUUGAUGAGUUGAUCAAAGCAUAUAGUUUUAUACAGACUUGCGGUGAAGCCUGUAUUUACAAGAAAGUGAGUGGGAGCACCACAGCAUUUCUGAUAAGUAUAUGUGAAUGACAUAUUGUUGAUCGGAAAUAAUGUAGAAUUAUUUUGUAAAGCAUAAAGGAGUGUUUGAAAGGAGUUUUUCAAAGAAAGACUUCGGUAAAGCUGCUUACAUAUUGAGCUUCAAGAUCUAUAGAGAUAGAUCAAGACGCUUGAUAAGUUUUUUCAAUGAGUACAUACCUUGACAAGAUUUUGAAGUAGUUCAAAAUGGAGCAGUCAAAGAAAGAGUUCUUGCCUGUAUUACAAGGUGUGAAGUUGAGUAAGACUCAAAGCCCGACCACGGCAGAAGAUAGAAAGAGAAUGAAAGUCAUUCCCUAUGCCUUGGCCAUAGGUUCUAUAAAGUAUGUCAUGCUGUGUACCAGAUCUAUUGUAUACCCUGCACUGAUUUGGCAAGGGAGUAUAAUAGUGAUCUAGGAGUAGAUCACUGGACAGCGGUCAAAAUUGUCCUUAGUAGAAUAAGGAAAUAUUUCUCGAUUAUGGAGGUGACAAAAGGUUCGUCGUAAAAAGUUACGUCGAUGCAAGUUUUGACACGGAUCUGGAUGACUCUAAGUCUCGAUCUAGAUACAUAUUGAAAGUGGGAGAAAUUAGCUAGAGUAGCUCCGUGUAGAGCAUUAUAGACAUAGAACUUGCAAAAUACUUACGGAUCUGAAUGUGACAGACCCGUUGACUAAAAUUCUCUCACAAGAAAAACAUGAUCACUUUUUGGUUGUUAAUCACAUCGCAAUGUGAACUAGAUUACUGACUCUAGUAAACCCUUUGAGUGUUGGUCACAUGACGAUGUGAACUAUGGGUGUUAAUCACAUGGUGAUGUGAACUAUUGCUAUUAAAUCACAUGGCAAUGUGAACUAGAUUAUUGACUCUAGUGCAAGUGGGAGUCAGAAGGAAAUAUGCCCUAGAGGCAAUAAUAAAGUUAUUAUUUAUUUCCUUAUAUCAUGAUAAAUGUUUAUUAUUCAUGCUAGAAUUGUAUUAACCGGAAACAUAAUACAUGUGUGAAUACAUAGACAAACAGAGUGUCACUAGUAUGCCUCUACUUGACUAGCUCGUUAAUCAAAGAUGGUUAUGUUUCCUAACCAUGGACAAAGAGUUGUUAUUUGAUUAACGGGAUCACAUCAUUAGUUGAAUGAUCUGAUUGACAUGACCCAUUCCAUUAGCUUAUCACCCGAUCGUUUAGUAUGUUGCUAUUGCUUUCUUCAUGACUUAUACAUGUUCCUAUGACUAUGAGAUUAUGCAACUCCCGUUUGCCGGAGGAACACUUUGUGUGCUACCAAACGUCACAACGUAAAUGGGUGAUUAUAAAGGAGCUCUACAGGUGUCUCCAAUGGUAGAUGUUGGGUUGGCGUAUUUUGAGAUUAGGAUUUGUAACUCCGAAUGUCGGAGAGGUAUCUCUGGGCCCUCUCGGUAAUGCACAUCACUUAAGCCUUGCAAGCAUUGCAACUAAUGAGUUAGUUGCGGGAUGAUGUAUUACGGAACGAGUAAAGAGACUUGCCGGUAACGAGAUUGAACUAGGUAUUGGAUACCGACGAUCGAAUCUCGGGCAAGUAACAUACCGAUGACAAAGGGAACAACGUAUGUUGUUAUGCGGUCUGACCGAUAAAGAUCUUCGUAGAAUAUGUAGGAGCCAAUAUGGGCAUCUAGGUCCCACUAUUGGUUAUUGACCGGAGACGUGUCUCGGUCAUGUCUACAUUGUUCUCGAACCGUAUGGUCCGCACACUUAAGGUUUCGAUGACAAUUAUAUUAUGAGUUUUGAUGUACCGAAGGAGUUCGGAGUCCCGGAUGAGAUCGGGGACAUGACGCGGAGUCUCGAAAUGGUCGAGACGUAAAGAUCGAUAUAUUGGACGACUAUAUUCGGACAUCGGAAAGGUUCCGAGUGAUUCGGGUAUUUUUCGGAGUACCGGAGAGUUACGGGAAUUCGCUGGGAGAAGCAUUGGGCCUUGAUGGGCUUUAGUGGGAAGAGGAGAAAGGGCCUGCUGCGCCCCCCCUACCCUCUAGUCCGAAUUGGACUAGGGAAAAGGGGGCCGGCCACCUUUCCUACUCCUCCACUUCCUUCUCCCUUCCUCCCCUCUUGAUGGACUCCUACUAGGACUUGGAGUCCUAGUAGGACUCUCAUCCUGGCCGCACCAAUGGCCUUGGCCGGCCUCCUCCUCCUCCAUCCUUUAUAUACUGAGGCAAGAGGCUCCCCAAAGACACAAGUUGAUCCUUGAGAUCGUUCCUUAGCCGUGUGCGGUGCCCCCUGCCACCAUAUUCCACCUCGAUCAUAUUGUAGCAGUGCUUAGGCGAAGCCCUGCGUCGGUAGGACAUCAAGAUCGUCACCACGCCGUCAUGCUAACGGAACUCUUCCCCAACGCUUUGCUGGAUCGGAGCCUGGGGAUCGUCAUCGAGCUGUACGUGUGCUAAGAACUCGGAGGUGCCGGAGUAACGGUGCUUGGAUCGGUCGGAUUGGGAAGACGUACGACUACUUCCUCUACGUUGCGUCAACGCUUCCGCAGUCAGUCUGCGUGGGUACGUAGACAACACUCUCCCCUCUCGUGCAUCACCAUGAUCUUGUGUGUGCGUAGGAAUUUUUUUGAAAUUACUACGUUCCCCAACACCCACCAUGUGGGUUAAAACUAGAAAGAGCGGUGACAUGUUACAUGGUUAUGAUAGCAAGCUUUGUCGGAGGGUAGUCUAUCAGUUAUGUUGGCAACAACGUUGGUACCAAGGGCGAGGGACGAAGAGAACCAUUUUCCUGCUCGUUAAACGAGGCAGACCAAUAGGCAAGGUUCUCGUCCAUCGGUGGUUACCAGAAUGUCAACAGCAAUAGUAACAGGGUCUUACCGACAGAGUUGACACCGAGGUGUUUAUAUAUGCCAAAAAUAUUACUGCUCAUAGCAUAUAGACCACAAGAAAGGUCAAACAAAACAACGAAAAGGAAAAUGUGAUGUCUAGAGUAAAUAGAACAAUGGAAAGGAAAAUGUGUUUGGACACAUAAUUCAGGGGUAUAUCCUUCCCAAGGACAAGCAGAGCAUGAUAUCCACUCCAUGAUAGAAAGUAGAAAACCAUUUAGGCAAGGGGAGAGAAAUGUCAUGACAUUACCCAAACAACGGUGUUUGGAUAAUUGAGCAAGAAACCUUUAGCAUUUGGCUUCAAAAUGUUUUAUUGAAAAUCGGAGUACCAAAGACAUGCUUCGAGAUAGCACCGACAUGGUGUUUCAAUUAUGGAUUGGGUCUGUAGAUCACAAGAGAUUCAAAGGAACAUUUCCAAGAUUACUCGGAACGUAAGGUAUAACCAAACACAAUCAGGUCUGUGUUGGCAGGAAGUCAGGGGCGUUGUCGAUGAUAACACAAUCAUAGAGGAGCAAGGAUGGUAUUUCUCAUCAUGAAUUCGAUUGAUAUCCUGAAACCAGUCAGUAUAUUGAUGGGGAUCACGCUAGAUUUUGUCGAGGUACUAUGAAGAGGCCAUUGAACAGCGACCACAUCAAGCAAAAGGAAUGAUGAAGCAAAGGUUAUUGGAACCACAGAUGCGACACAAGCUCGCAAACAAGCUUGUUGUUUGAGGUGAAUUGAUAAGAUGAGGAAGAUCGACGUAAGCUUAGCUCGUCGUCGAAAGUUGUGCUCCGAAAAGAAGGACCGGGUAGCACAAUUAAAAUUAGCUCGAUAAUGAUAUAGCCGAUCAGGCUAUGAAUGACUUGAAGGAUUAUUAAACUCGUAAGCAACGGAAAUAGCAUAGAGUUAUUGAAUCGGAGUGUGGAAUCGAUUCACUUAUCGGUGUUCUCGAGUGACUAAUAACUCGGAACCCGGGGCAAUCUGAAAUCGCUGAGGAGCAAUACGAGAUGAAGACUCAUAGGAAGCAACACAGUUCUUUGUUAUUCUCGAGAUACCGGAGGGUAAUACUCGAAGGAAGGUCAAGAUAGAGGUUGCAAAGAUGCAUUGAUCUGCAGAAGACAAGUGCUUUAACUUGUCCGAGAAAUGGAAUCAAAGGGGAACAAUCAUGGUCAGAACCACGAUUGCAAAGGAACAAACAUAGUUACCAGAUGAACUUAUAACAAGGGGAUUAUUAUUAUCACAAGAAGCUUCCAUGAUAAGAUCUACAUCGUGUCCACGGGCAUGAACACAAAGUUCAAGGUCGACUCCCACUUCUUCAAUGCAUAUCAUUUCAUUUACUUCUCGCUUUCGAUGAAGUCGUAGUGUUGAAAUUAUAUCUGGCAAAACACCAGAAGAGUAUGACUCGUGAAAACUCUCGGGUUCACACGGAUUAGAAAAGCCAUAGGUUCAACCCAUAGGGGCAUCUUAGGAACAUAUACCACAAACUUCAGAAGUAAACAACACAAGCUCAAAAGCAGAGCAUGGUUGACAAAAGGAGAGGAUACAAUUACCAAAGGCAUUAUGUAUUUGGGAAAGAACUUCACGAGGUUCUUUGAAUAUGAAGGACACUGUCGGAUGUUAAUCCAAUAAUGGAUCCGGCGAUCCACAACAGAGUUGAUGUGAGUAUCGAUAUUCAAUCAGAAGAAGAAAUAAUGCAGAGGCAUCGGAUUUUGGAAAUAUCUGAUAAUUCCAAAGCUUAAAUGCAAAGGAAUUAUGAUUUCCAAUUCGGGGGAUCAGAAGCAGAUGCUCUGAUCAAGGAUGGAUAAGUAGAAUAGACCUAGGGGCACAAUCGAUGACAAAUAGAUUGGUCGAGAACCAGCUCAUGUUCAAAAUGACGUCUGAGCCAGAAAGAUAAUUUAGAAGGAUCAACUGAUGAUUGCGUGCUUUCACACACUUGUUGAAUCGAUAGGAUCAAAAUGAUGGUGUCAAAGGAUACUAAUGAACAUUGCUACACAUAUGGAAAGCAUCCAUAAUGCAAGCAGACAAAUAAUUGCAGAGCAAUAGUUUGAAGAGGAUUCUCGGAAGAUCGGAUAUUAUUUACAAGUAUUUUGAAAAGCAUAUGAACAACUGGGGAUGAGCGUACCCCGGUUAAGUGAAUUAUCCUUAGUGCAAAAAGAAGCUGCAAAGCAGAAGGCACAAGGAUUCUCGGAACAACGGAGAGUCCUCGGGGUAUAUUGUAACAACAUGAGCAACUGGGGAUGAAUGUACAAGCGGCAAGGAGCUUAUUCAUGAGGAUUACCGGUGGUCAGGAACUGUAAGGCAGUGGGCACAGAGUCUCGAGAAACAUCAAGGAGUAUCCGCAGAAUCUUCUGGCGAAGCAGGCGAUCAUCGGUAAUGUCGGGGCUCUCUGGGAGGAAGUGGGUACGAGAACCUAAUGUCAGAGUUAGUAAAAUGUUUAACCUGAAUAGAAGAGAGAUCAGAAUCCCAGAGUAUAGACGAGGAGUAAAAGAUCCUAAUACCACCCAAUGGCGACGCAGGCCCGCAAGCCACACAGCCAUGUUAGUAAAAGUUUUUCAAUGACUAGAUUCAACUUCGGCCAAGGAGUUGGAAAGGGGGCUACCUACAGGCAGUCGGCUCUGAUACCAACUUGUGACACUCUCGAUUAAAUCGUACACUAAUCAUACACGCAAAUGUGUACGAUCAAGAUCAAGGACUCACGGGAAGAUAUCACAACACAACUCUAGACACAAAUAAAAUAAUACAAGCUUUAUAAUACAAGCCAUGGGACUCGAGGGCUCGAAUACACAAGAGUCAGCGGAAGAAACAAUAUCUGAGUACAGACAUGAGUUAGACAAGUUUGCCUUAAGAAGGCUAGCACAAAAUCAUCUACAGUUGAAAAGGCAAGGCCUCCCGCCUAGGAGCCUCCUAACUACUCCUGGUCAUCGGCGGUGGCAUCUGGCUCCUAGGCUCCGACAUCUAGUUGCAUCAACCGAAAAGAAGAAGAAAGGGGGAAAAGGGGGAGCAAAGAAACCGUGAGUACUCAUCCAAAGUACUCGCAAGCAAGGAUCUACACUACAUAUGCAACAUUAUCAAAGGAAGGCUGUAUAUGUGGAUUGGGCUGCAGAAAUGCCAGAAUAGAGAGAAGGCCUAGUCCUAUCAAAGACUAGCAUCUUCUGGAAACCACCAUCUUGCAGCAACCAAAGGGAGUAGAGUACCAUAAAGUAAAGUAGUAGCAGUGUUAUCAACCUCGGCCGGAGAUCCUUUCUCAACGCCCUGCGAGAAAGGCAUCCCAGAGCCAUACUAUCCAGUUAUCAUCACAAUCCAAUUCUCAUCAACAUCCAGUUCUCAUCACAAGUAUCCAGUUCUAGUUGUAUCGAUCAGGAUACAACUCCAAGUGUCCCUUACCGUAGGACAGGCUAUCGAUAGAUGUUUUCUUCCCUGUAGGGGUGCACCAACUUACCCACCAUGCUCGCUUAACUCCGGCCGGACACACUUUCCUGGGUCAUGCCCGGCCUCGGCCAAACAAUACGCCGCAACCCGACCUAGGCUUAAUAGAUAGGUCAGCACGCCGGACUAAACCUAUGCCCCCAGGGGUCAUUGGCCAUCUCCCCGGGAACUCCUGCACAUUGCGUACACGGCCGGUGAGCAGACCUAGCUACCUCCUUCAACAAGGCAGGCGCUUACGCAGUCCAACCCGGCGCGCGCCGCACAGUCGGUGACGUCUAUUAAGCUUCGGCUGAUGUAUAUGACGCAGAAUGUCCAUACUAUGCCCACGUGAUGGUUAGUGCUAUCAGGCCAGAGGCCCCUCGGAUCAAAUAUCCAAAUCGUAGUGGAUUAGGAACGCGCGGUAACAAGCAGAGACUCACGAAAGAUGUGACACCGUUGCCCCAUCUCGAGGACUUGCGGCCAGGGCUAGGAAUGCCCGGCCACGCCUCGUAAUUAUCUCGCGGGCACCUUCCAGGUCCGCCCGACUCCACAUCACUCGCAAUUAAGCUCGCGCGGGUACCCCUCAGGGUCGACCUGUCUUUCCAAGUAACAGUGGUAAAGUACAAGUAUCCGUGUGUCCAAACAUCAAGUGGAAAACCCGAGGAAUCACCCCCGAGGUUCACACUUGAGGGGUUGCACAACAGAGUCGUAUCGGAAGUGGUUAAGGAGGAAAUCACCCUCGAUGACCAUGACCGAAUGACUACACUACAGGGUUAACAUCAAAAGUGCUGAAGAGGUUCACCCUCGGUACUUGAUAGUAACCCAGUAGUGUCGAGCAACUAAGAGGAAGUGAUGUGCGGUGUCGGGGCUUGGUCUUCGGUCACGUAGAUCGAGUCGUCGAUGAUGAAGCAGGGGCAACAAGGCCCUGGCACGGUCCUAGGUGACGGGGACGGCAGAGAGCUCGUCGGCUUUGACGGUCAUGGCGGCGGUGCGGUGGCGCGGUGGAUCUAGAGAGCGAAAGCGGCACGAGAAGGGGGAAUGGAUGGGGACGCCAGGGGGAGUGGAGCGGGGAUCGAGGAGUCGGGGCGUGGCGCCUUAUCCUCUCGCGGGGUUCACCGCCGGCGAGGUGGUUUGACUGGGACGAGCCCCUGUUGCGACCCGGAACAGAGGAACAGGGAGGGGAGGAGGACCGGUGCGGGUAGUGGGCUGGAUGGGGUGGGCUGGCUGGUGGGUGAAGGUCCAGGGAAACAAGAGGGAGGGCUUCUUUUCCUUUUACAGCUCCUUUGCAUUUUCUUUUUAAAACUUUCUGUUUUCUAUUUAGCUUUAUUUUAUUUUAGGUUUUAUAAAAUAUGUUCUAAGCCCCAAAAUUAGUAUUAGUAGUUAGGUCACUGCCACAAAUAACUUGGCACUUUGAUAAAAUAGUUUGCAAUUAUUCUUAUUUAAAAUGGAUUUAAAAUAAUUGUUUUAGCCGCUGUUUUAAUUACUUUAGGGCAUUAAACCACUUUGCAAAGAUGUUGGUUCACAACCAUAACUAGUUAAGGAGUAUUUGCCACACUUUGAACAUUUUAGUUUGCAUGUUUGAGAAAUUAGAAUUUUUGACUUUAAAUUGGAUUUGAAUUUGAAUUGUGAUUUGGAUCAAGUGAAGAUUACCAACAGUAAUGUGAUGACAUGGCACCUUUAACAGGGGAUUACUGUCACAUGACACCGGGGGUGUUACACAGCCCUAGUGUUCGUACUAGAAUAACACCUUAAGACACAAAUCAACCAAAACCCUAAUGUCACCUAGAUACUCCAAUGUCACCUCAAGUAUCCGUGGGAAUGAUUAUACGAUAUGCGUCACAAAAUCUCAGAUUCAUCUAUUCAACCAACACAUAGAACCUCAAAGAGUGCCCCAAAGUUUCUACCGGAGAAUCAUGACGAAAACGUGUGCUAACCCCUAUGCAUAGGUUCAUGGGCGGAACCCCCAAGUUGAUCACCAAAACAUACAUCAAGUGAAUCACGUGAUAUCCCAUUGUCACCACAGAUACGCACGGCAAGACAUACAUCAAGUGUUCUCAAAUCUUUAAAGACUCAGUCCGAUAAGAUAGCUUCAAAAGGGGAAACUCAAUCCAUUACAAGAGAGUAGAGGGGGGGAAGAAACAUAAGAUCCAACUAUAAUAGCAAAGCUCACGAUACAUCAAGAUCGUGCCAAAUCAAGAACACGAGAGAUUGAGAGAGAGAGAGAUCAAACACAUAGCUACUGGUACAUACCCUCAGCCCCGAGGGAGAACUACUCCCUCCUCGUCAUGGAGAGUGCCUGGAUGAUGAAGAUGGCCAUCGGAGAGGGAUACCCCUCCGGCAGGGUGCCGGAACGGGUCUAGAUUGGCUUUGGGUGGCUACGGAGGCUUCUGGCGGCGGAACUCCCGAUCUAUUGUGCUCCUCGAUUGUUUUAGGGUAUAUGGAGAUAUAUAGGUGGAAGAGAUACGUCAGGGGAGCCACGAGGGGCCCACGAGGCUGGAGGGCGCACCCAGCUGGGUGGGCGCGCCCCCUACCUCGUGCCUCCCUCGUUUCUUUCCCGACGUGCACUCCAAGUCUCCUAUAUUGCUUUUCUUCCAAAAAUAACCUUUCCGAAGGUUUCAUUCCGUUUGGACUCCGUUUGAUAUUCCUUUUCCGCGAAACACUGAAACAAGGAAAAAAUAGUGCUUCGCACUGGGCUCUGGGUCAAUCGGUUAGUCCCAAAAGUAAUAUAAAAGUGCAUAGUAAAGCCCAAUAAACAUCCAAGAUGGAUAAUAUAAUAGCAUGAAUACUUCAUAAAUUAUAGAUACGUUGGAGACGUAUCAACCAGCAUCACCUGGAUCACAUUGACGAGCUUGAUGUUCUUGUCCACCAUGCUCUGGAUGUGCAUUUGCAGCGCUGUCAGCUCGUCCGAUCACUAUAAGAAAAAGACACAUCCGUGACAUUUUGGGCCGAACGAAUUUUUUUUCUGUCAUACAUUUGACACUUCUAUGACGAUAAUUGUGACAAAACCCGGUAUCAUCAUAGAUGUGGUGGGCUCCUUCUUCUAUGGCAAAAAAUCAUGACAGAAAAUGGGCUUUUCGUCCUAGGCGGGCCGGAGACGCAGCUGCAUGGCAUUCUUUGGGCCAUCCAUGACAGAAAAAACCGUGGUAGAAGCGAGGGCGAGGAAAAUUUCGGGGAGUUCCCGGUUAUGGUGGGAGGUUGGGGGCCGAGCGAUGCGCAUUUCUCUCGUACACGUACGCGCGUGUGUGCGAGGCAUUGGCUCUAACUGAACCCGAGCGAGGCGUUGGGCUCUAACUGAACCCGAGCGAUUGCACUGCAGGCUACGUGUUACUGAACCCGAGCGACCGAUUGAUGGCUGUUAACUGAACCCAAUCGAGCGAUUCCUUCGCUACUGCUGCUAACUGAAGCCGAUCGAUGCUGCCUCUGGGAUGAACAGUGAGCGUUGCGGGGGGGGGGGUUGGAUGAACAGUGAGCGGUGGCAUUGCCUCUGGAUGAACAGGACCCCGUGGUGUGGUGGAGGGCUGGAUGAACAUUAGACGAUGGAGGGGUGCCCGUGGAGGGGUGGUUGAAUAGGCCCCCGUGGUGUGGAGGGCAGGAUGAACACUAGACGGUGGAGGGGUGGUUGAACAGUAGCCGGUGGAGUAGCGUGCGGUGGAUGCUGGAUGAACAGGAGCUCGUGGAGGCUGGAGGAGGUCGAUGGUAGCCCGUGGAGGCUGGAGGAGGUCGACGGUGGAGAUGAACAGUAUCCCGUGGAGUCCCGUUUUGUGGUACGCCACACCCCUCCCGAUGAACAUGACCCCCGUUUUGACCGUAGCGCUCCAACACAAGUCCGUUUCGUCUGUUUUGCGGUAUGCCACACCCCUCCCGAUCAAUAGGACCCCCGUUUUGACCGUAGGAGGUCUGUUUCGUACGUUUUGCGGUACGCCACACCCCUCCCGAUCAACAUGACCCCCGUUUCGACCGUACGAGGUCCGUUUCCUCCGUUUUGUGGUACGCCAGACCCCUCCCGAUCAACAAGACCCCGUUCCAAACGUAGGAGGUUCGUUUCCUCCGUUGUGCGGUAUGCCAGGCCUCGUUUCCAUCGCCUGUUCCGUCCAAGCCCUCCCGAUGAACACGACCACGCAUUCCGUUCUGACCCAGCCGGUUGGCUCCCACGCGUUCCGUUGCCUCCCGAUGAACACAACACAUUCCGUUGCCUCCCCAUGAACACGACGCAUUCUGUUGCCUCCCCAUGAACAUGACGACGACGCUGUUUCUUCGUUCCGACCCAGCCAUGUACACGAGCCCUCGCCGUACGUAUGCGCGAGUAGGCGUUCGAGACCCCGCCCGUAUGUACACAUACGUGGCCGUAUUUUCUUUCUUGCACCCUGGCCGCUGUACAUACGUGUACAUGCUACAUGCGCGCCUCUACUACGACACGUGCGCGCCUCUACAUCCACCAGUAUAUAUGUACGUACACGUUCGCGACCAGAAUGACAACGCUACGUACGCUUUGACCAGGUGGGUCCCGACUGUCAAGCACUACCUUGCGUGCGAAGAUGUAGCUACUGGGUCCCAGAAGUCAGGGGGGCGAAUCAUUUUGUUUUUGCCCGAACGCACUUCCUUGCAUGCGAAGACGUAGCUGGUGGGUCCCAGCAGUCAGGGGGCGAAUCAUUUUUUUGCCCGGACGCACUUCCUUGCGUGCGAAGAUGAAGCUGGUGGGUCCCAGCUGUUAGGGGAAACAUUUUUUUCGCGAAAUACAGUGGCCCGUCCGGUGGGUCCCAGCUGUCAGGUGGAGGAAUCUUUAUUUUCCGCGUAAUAAGGAGGCACUUCCUUGCUGCGGCCGUGGACCCAGCUGUCAGCCUCUCCACGUACAGUCCACGUCCGAUGGAAGCCGUUCCUUGACCAUGUUGACCACGCCGCACUGAGAGCAUGAGGGCGGUGGACGACGGCGAGGCCUAGGAAGGGGACGACGCGGAGCCGGGGAAGACACGGUAGUGGAUGCGCACGCGGAGAGGAGUACGAGGGUUCACUGGUUCGGCUGCGCUGCCGUUGCCGUAGAAUAACAGGGGGUGUGGGUGAGUGGAGGGAUGGCCUGGCCAGUGGUGGGAGUAGUAGGGGGCGGUGAGGCCUCCGCCGCAUCGCAGUCGGCCACGGGAGGCAGGAGCACGAGGCACAACCGGCGCUGGUUUGGGCAGCUGGAGCAAGAAGACCAGAGGUUGAAGAAGCACUACGGCCGUUGGAUGGACAUCGUACGGUCACUGGAGCUAGAAUCAUGCAUAUUGACUAAGUUGAUAAAGCCCUCCAUCUCCUCAACUUAGUAGGCCCACAAGUCAGCCUGCCACUAUACUGGGUCCCAGCUAACAGGGGGAAUAUUCAUUUUUUUGUGCGUAAUAAGGAGGCACUUCCUUGCGUGCAAAGAUAUAGCUGGUGGGCCCGAGCUAUUAGCGGAGGUAACGUUUUUUCGUGAAAUACAAAGGCCCUUUCAGUGGGAACCUGAUGUCAGGUGGAGGAAUCAUUAUUUUGCGCGUAAUAAGGAGGCAUUUCCUUGCGUGCGACCGUGGACCCAGCUGUCGGCCUCUCCACGUACAGUCCACUUCAGAUGCAUGUCGGUCGUUGACCAUGUUGACCAGGCCGCGCCGAUAGCACCAGGGCGGUGGACGACGGCGGGGCCUAGGAAGGGAACGACACGGAGGCAGGGAAGACUCGGCAGUUGUUUCCCACGCGGAGGGGAGUAUGACUGUACGAGGGUUUACUGGUUCGUCUGCCGUCGCCGGAGAAUAACAUCAGGUGUGCGUGAGUAGUGGGAUGGCUUGGCCAGCGAUGGGAGUACGGUGGGGCUGUGAGGCCUACGUGGCAGCACAUCCGGCCAUGGGGAGGAGGGAGUAGGCAGUCCCGCCGGCGCUUGUUUGAGCGGCUGGAGCAGGAAGAGCAGAGAUUGAAGAAGCAUGUCGGCCGUUGGAUGGCCAUCCAACAAUCACUUCUUGUGCGUCAACCUUUUUUUAGGAAAGCCUCAAAUCUGUGGAAAACAGCAUACAACCCAUCUGCCAUUAUUUCUAAUAAUUUACAGCCCAUUUGCUAAUUAUUAAAGUUUUUUGGAGCCCAUAUUCUUUUUGUUAGCAUUACAACCCAUAUUGUGGCCACGGUUAUAAAAUUAUACGAAAUUUUGCAUAUUUCGGUGUGGUCCAAACUGUUUUUAAUCCCGAAAUUUCGACUCACAUUCAAACUGAUUUAAAAAAUAAAUGUAUAUCAAUAUAAAAUCCAACAAAUUCUCCACGCAUAAAAAUUAAUGUAAUUUAAAAUCUCGAAAUGAAAAAAAGAUAUUUGAAACUAAUUGCCGGUUUGAUGUGUUUUAAAAAUGUACAACCCAUUUCUCAUUACUGUUAGGCCAUUUUCUCGGCCAGGCGAAUGAAGCUCUCCUCGUCCUGAAAGAUUUGCAGCCCAAGAGGCCUUACAAAGCGACUUACUUAGCAAAUCACAAAAAACUAGGCUGUGGCCAUGGGCCCAGCUGUCAGCCUCUCCAGGUACAGUACUCUUCCGAUGGAAGUCGGUCGUUGACCACAUUGACCACGCCGCGCCGAGAGCACCAAGGCGAUGGACGACUGUGAGGCCGAGGAAGGGGAUGACGCGGAGCCAGGGAAGACGCGACAGUGGAUGCCCACGCGGAGAGGAGAACAAGGGUUCACUGGUUUGGCUGCGGCGUGAGGCUGCCGUCGCCGCAGAAUAACAGGGGGUGUGGGUGAGUAGAGGGAUACACCGGGCCAGCGGUGGGAGUAGUAGGGGGUGGUGAGGCCUCCGCGGCAUCACAACCGGCCACGAGAGGCAGGAGCACGCGGCACGACCGGCGCUGCUUUGGGCGGCUGGAGCAAGAAGACUAGAGGUUGAAGAAGCACUAUGGCCGUUGGAUGGACAUCGUACGGUCACUGGAGCUAGAAUCGUUCAUAUUGACUAAGUUGACAAAGCCCUCCGUCCUCGUCAACUUAGUAGGCCCACAAGUCAGCCACCCACUAUGGUGGGUCCCAGCUAGCAGGGGGUAUUCAUUUUUUGGUGCGUAAUAAGGAGGCACUUCCUUGCAUGCGAAGAUAUAGCUGGUGGGUCCGACCUGUCAGCGGGGGGAACGUUUUUUUCACGAAAUACAGAAGCCCUUCCCACGUACAGUGCACGUACAGUGCAUAAUAAAGAGGAACUUUCCUUGCGUGCGACCAUGGACCUCGUGGGUCCCAGCCGUCAGGCUCUCCAUGUACAGUCCUCUUCCGAUGACUCUCGUAUGUUGACCACGCCGCGCCGAGUGCACCGAGGCGGUGGACGACGGCGAGGCCCCAGACUGGAGCGACCCGGAGAUGGGGAAUACGCGGCAGUGGAGUCACAGACGGAGAGGAGUGGGAAACUUGACUGGUUUCGGGUGCGGGGUGGGCCUACACUCGGCACAGAAUAACAGGAGGUGCGGAGUGGAGGGAUGGCCUGGCCGUCGGCGGGGUAGCGUUUCGCUGAGGAGCGCCAAACAACGCCGCUGGACGCCGAAGGCUGGAGCAGGCGGUUCCGACAGCGCUGGGGGGAGAAGACGAGAGAUUGAAGAAGAAUGCCGGCCAUUGGAUGUAAAUCCAACGCCUUCUUAGGCUUCGACCUACUGGCCCACAUGUCAGCCAGUCCAUUUGUUUUUUAGUCCAUUUGGUGGGCUGGGUGAAACAAUGAUGUAGCAUCUAUGCAGCCCGUUUAAAUCCCAUUUGCAUUUUUUCGAAAUCCGCGGACUUGCUGGGCUGGGUGAAAAUAUCAUGUUGGGAUAGACGGAGAAAUGUUAUAAAAACAUAAACACAUGAUUGCAUGUCAGUAAAAUCUUUGCAAGCUUAUGUAGGCAAUCACUAGGAGUUAACUUGCCAAGUUAUAUAUAAACAAUUAUUAUUAUUAUUUUGUAAGAACUUUCAACUUACGAAAUAAAAUAUCAUUUUAAUUUGAUGAGUUAAUAGUACGUGGUGUAUUAUUAUUUUUUAGGCUAGACGUGGGACAGUUGAGUUGGUUCUAGGGGAAAGUACUGGGAGAAAACUCAGUUUACAUCGAAAAAGAAAGUGGGAGUGAGGGAGUCCUGGAUUAGGGGGUGUCCGGAUAGCCGGACUAUACCUUCGACCGGACUCCUGGACUAUGAAGAUACAAUAUUGAAGACUUCGUCCCGUGUCCGGAAGGGACUUUCCUUGGCGUGGAAGGCAAGCUUGGCGAUACGGAUAUGUAGAUCUCCUACCAUUGUAACCGACUCUGUGUAACCCUAACCCCCUCCAGUGUCUAUAUAAACCGGAGGGUUUAGUCCGUAGGACCAACAACAACAAUCAUACCAUAGGCUAGCUUCUAGGGUUUAGCCUCCUUGAUCUCGUGGUAGAUCUACUCUUGUACUACCCAUAUCAUCAAUAUUAAUCAAGCAGGAGUAGGGUUUUACCUCCAUCGAGAGGGCCCGAACCUGGGUAAAAACAUCGUGUCCCUUGUCUCCUGUUACCAUCCGCCUAGACGCACAGUUCGGGACCCCCUACCCGAGAUCCGCCGGUUUUGACACCGACAUUGGUGCUUUCAUUGAGAGUUCCUCUAUGUCGUCACUUUUAGGCCCGAUGGCUCAUCCGAUCAUCAACAGCGAUGCAGUCCUGGGCGAGACUUUUAUCCCCGGACAGAUCUUCAUCUUCGGCGGCUUCGCAACAGCUUAGAGCUGAUCAAGAUUUGCUAGCUGACAGAUGGACUGAAGUCCUUGCGGCCGAAGAGUAUGAACUCGAACGCCCCUCCAAGAGCUACUCAAAGCGCAGGUUGCUAGCCCGAUUGGAGGAGGAAGCACCUAAACCUACAUCACCAGCGCAUGAUGCGGCCGACCGGCCACCUCACGGCCGCGACAGAUAGGCCUCUCGGGCCUCCACUCAAGCCGCACCCCGACGCCGUUCAAAAACUAGCAAGGCACGGGAAAAUGCGCCAGACCUGCGAGAUAUAUUGGAGGACAAGGCAAGGCAAACAAGAUCGAUCUAUGGAUCGCGUGGGCGCCCCACGGCAUGAGACGACAAUCGUCACUCCGGAUAUAGUAAAUCCGGCCGGGCCGAACACAAUAGACAAAGCUCAUUUGAGCUAUGUCAGGAUAUAGCCCAAUACAGAGGCGCUGCACACCCACUAUGCUUCACAGAUGAAGUAAUGGAUCAUCAAAUCCCCGAGGGUUUCAAACCCGUAAACAUUGAAUCAUACGAUGGCACAACAGACCCUGCGGUAUGGAUCGAGGAUUAUCUCCUUCACAUCCACAUGGCCCGCGGUGAUGAUCUACACGCCAUCAAAUACCUCACACUCAAACUUAAAGGACUAGCUCGGCAUUGGCUUAAUAGCUUGCCAACAGAAUCAAUUGGUUGUUGGGAGGACCUGGAAGCCGCAUUCCUCGAAAACUUCCAGGGCACUUAUGUGCGACCACCAGACGCCGAUGACCUAAGCCACAUAAUUUAGCAACCAGAGGAGUCGGCCAGGCAAUUCUGGACACGGUUCCUAACAAAGAAAAAUCAAAUCGUCGACUGUCCGGACGUAGAGGCCCUAGCAGCCUUCAAGCAUAACAUCCGUGACGAGUGGCUUGCCCGACACCUUGGACAGGAAAAGCCGAAAUCUAUGGCAGCACUCACGACGCUCAUGACCCUCUUUUGCACGGGAGAAGACAGCUGGCUGGCUCAUAGCAAUAACUUGACCAAGAACCCUGGUAAUUCGGAUACUAAGGACAACAGUGGAAGGUCACAUCGCAACAAGCAAAAGCGUCGCAUUAACGGCGACAAUUCUGAGGAUACGGCAGUUAAUGCCGGAUUCAGGGGCUAAAAAUACGGUCAGCGGAAAAAGCCAUUCAAACGAAAUACUCAGGGCCCGUCCAGUUUGGACCGCAUACUCGACCGCUUGUGCCAGAUACAUGGCACCCCCGAAAAGCCAGCCAAUCACACCAACAGGGAUUGUUGGGUGUUCAAGAAAGCAGGCAAGUUAAAUGCCAAAAAUAGAGACAAGGGGCUGCAUAGCGAGGACGAGGAGGAGCCCCGGCCGCCGAACAACAGUGGACAGAAGGGUUUCCCCUCACAAGUGCGGACGGUGAACAUGAUAUACGCAACCCACAUCCCCAAAAAGGAGCGGAAGCGCGCGCUAAGGGACGUAUACGCGAUGGAGCCAGUCGCCCCAAAGUUCAACCCAUGGUCCUCCUGCCCGAUCACCUUUGAUCGAAGGGACCACCCCACUAGCAUCCGUCACGGCAGAUUCGCCGCAUUGGUUCUAGACCCAAUUAUUCACGGAUUUCACCUCACUAGAGUCCUUAUGGACGGCGGCAGCAGCCUGAACCUGCUUUAUCAGGAUACAGUGCGGAAAAUGGGCAUAGAUCCCUCGAGGAUUAAGCCCACUAAAACGACCUUUAAAGGCGUCAUACCAGGUGUGGAGGCCAAUUGUACAGGCUCAUUUACACUUGAAGUGGUCUUCGGAUCUCCGGAUAAUUUCUGAAGCGAGGAGUUAAUCUUCGACAUAGUCCCGUUCCGCAGCGGCUAUCACGCACUGCUCGGGCGAACUGCAUUUGCCAAGUUCAAUGCGGUACCGCACUACGCAUACCUCAAGCUCAAGAUGCCAGGCCCUCGAGGCGUCAUUACGGUCAAUGGAAACACUGAAUGCUCUCUCCGAACGGAGGAGCACACGGCGGCUCUCGCAGCAGAAGUGCAAAGCAGCCUUUCAAGGCAAUUCUCCAGUCCGGCUAUUAAACGUCCGGACACCUUUACGCACGCCCGGAGUAACCUACAACAAGACCGUCUGGCCCGUUCCGAGCAAGCGUAGCAAUGCGGCCCCAACCCCAGCCCUCGCGAAAUUGCGAAACCAGUGCUUCGCGUACAUAACUACGCUCUGGAAAUACCAUGGGCACAGGGAGAGGGGCACUAUCACGGCACGCCCGAAACAUGGCUUAAACCGCACUAGGGGCUGCUGAAUUUUUGAUUUUCUCUUACUUUCAGGACUCCAUUCUUCGGAAGGCCUAAUCGGCAGCACAAUUGCCGCACAAACGAUGCAAGAACCAGGGAAGCAAAAAGCUACGCCGCAUCAUGGAACUCCCAGGUGGUCUCUAUAACGAGCAAUAUACCUGUUUCGCAUACCAUUCCACAGCCUGCCCCUGAAAGGGACAUGUUAAAUAGUCCCGCCUUUCACUUUUCGCACUAUUUGUAUCAUUCUGCUUUGAUCGUAGCCUUUUUAAAUAAAUAAUGCGUAGCUUUCAUCUAUUAUUGCAUUAAUCUCUUUCAUAUAUGUUCAUUAAUGACAUGUUGCACCCGUACACUCUGGUACGGCCAAUGCGCCAGGGGCUUAAGUACCCCUCAUAUGGUGUGAGAAGUCCGAACACUUUCACAAGUGCGGCACCCCGAACUUAUAGCAUUAUAUGCAUCGGCUCCGAAUCAUGUCUUGGGUCAAUACUUAGGUUUGCCCGGCUCCUAUGUUUUGGUGCCUUAUGUUCCGUUAUAUCGGCUAAGGUAGCACUAGGAGAACUACUGCGAUUGUGCCCCAGUUGAGCUAGGCUGAGCACCUCAGUAGAGAAAGCUAAAACUGACUGUCAUGAUAAAGCAAGAGACUGGUCGCUGUUCAAGAGGUUUUUCAAGUCCCUAAAGACUUAUGCCGCUUAGAGCGAGGAGUUGGCCUUGUCCGGCCUAGGCGUGGAUAGCGCCCCGAACUCGGUCUUCUGAAUACUAGGGGCUUCGCUGAAAUUUAAAAUUAUAGGAUUCUAUGGCUAAGUGAGAGUGUUCAAGCAUUAUAGUCCGAUUGCCUUGUUCGCUGUGCUGAGCGCCUCCCUCGAAGGACCCAAAAAUGGGAACAAGAGCGCUCAGGUUAUCCCGAACACCCCAGCACUAGUGGCAUGGGGGCAGAAGCCGACGACUCGCCAUCUCUCAAAUUUGAUAAACGGCCGCACAAAAGGUAAUAUUUUAAAUUCAAAAAGCAUUGCUUAGCGCCUAUGAACAAGUUUUCAGCGCAUAGGACAAAAUGAGCGAGUUUACUCAAAAAUUACAUCCCUGGAACAUUCAUCCGCCAUAAGGCGAGCACCCUUCAGAACGCCCUCAUAAUACAUCUCGGGCUUGCGAUGCUCCUUCCCCGGCGGUGGCCCGUCCUUCACAAGCUUCUCAGCAUCCAACCUGCCCCAGUGCACCUUAGCACGGGCAAGGGCCCUACGGGCACCCUCGAUGCAGACAGAGCGCUUGAUGACUUCGAGCCUUGGACAGGCCUCCACCAGCCGCCGCACCAGCCCGAAGUAGCUCCCAGGCAGAGCCUCUCCAGGCCACAGCCGAACUAUGAGGCCCUUCAUGGCCUGUUCGGCCACCUUGUGGAGCUCGACCAGUUGCUUCAGUUGGUCGCUCAGGGGCACUGGGUGUCCGGCCUCAGCAUACUGAGACCAGAACACUUUCUCCAUCGAGCUGCCCUCCUUGGUUCGGUAGAAUGCGGCGGCAUCAGACACGCUGCGCGGCAAAUCUGCGAAUGCUCCUGGAGAGCUCCGGAUUCGGGUAAGUAACAAGUAAUUGACUUUCACAUGCUUGCUUUGCAGAAAGAAAGCCUUACCUGCUGCUAUCUUCUUCAUCGCGUCCACCUCCUGAAUGGCCUUCUGGGCUUCGGCCUUGGCAGACUGGGCAUUUUCAAUGGCCAUCGCGAGCUCGGAUGCUCGCGUCUUCGAGUCAAGCUCCAAACUCUCAUGUUUUUUCAUGAGAGCCUGGAGCCCUUGCCGCACCUCGCCAACCUGCGCCUCAUACUUCUCCCGCUCGGUGCGCUCUGUGGCCGCCUUCUUCUCGGCCUCAGACGUUGCUUGCUUAAGGGUCGCCACCUCAGUCAUGGCCCCUACAAUAGCCACGUUAAAUCCUGUCAUUUUUUGCAAUUGAACAUUUUCUAUACUUUUCAAUAAGGUAUUUCUUACCUUCCUUCUCCUCGAGCUACCGCUUGGCAAGGCCGAGCUCUUGCUCGGACUGCCCGAGGUCCUGCUUCAGCGUGUCCACCUCCGCAGUCAGUGCGGCGGACGUUAGCAGCAAAGCCUGCAUACGCAUAUCGACUCAUUUUUUGUUAGACUCCUGCGAAUUUUAUUAGAUCCUCUAUUCGGCUUUUCUUUUCGAAUGCCAAACAGAGCAUCAGGGGCUACUGUCUAUGCGGUAAUAUUCUUCCAUAUUUGUUACUUACCUCAAAGCCUGUCAGAAGGCUGGCACAAGCUUCAGUCAGUCCGCUCUUGGCGGACUGAACCUUCUGGAUCACCACACUCAUAAUAGUAUGGUGCUCCUCGUCGAUGGAGGCGCCCUUAAGCACCUCCAGCAGAUUGUCCGGCGCCUCCGGUUGGACGGGGGCCGCCGGCUCAGUAGGCUUGCUCCUCUUAGAAGGAGGUCACCCGCCGCAGUCCGGAAUCGUUGAGGAUUCCGGCGCGGUGUCCGGCUCAAAGCCGGACUUGGAGCCCUGGGGGGGUCUUGUCCCCUUUACUCCUGGAGUCCGGGAAGUCGCCUUGCGGCACCUCCAGGACCACCUCCUCCUGACUUGGAACCUGUUGGGACAACACUUCAGCGUCGUCCUUAGGGCGGGGGGAGGUAGCCGUCGGAAGUGAAUUCACAUCCGACGAAUUCAGGGAGCCGCUCGACGACUCGUCGAGCCCGGCCUUGGGCGGACUGCAUAAUCGUAUUCGACAUAAGGAAAGGCUGUGCCAUAAAGGAAUGCUAUGAAUUACUCUGGUAUCCGAAUACUUACGAUUUCGCCGGGCGCUUGGCCCUGUGCGGCCACUCCUCUUCGCCAUCGCCGGCGUUGAUGGAGUAGUCCGGAGGAGGGGUCUUCCUCUUCUUGGAACCUUCGGCCUUCCCGGUCGGGGCGGACUUCCUUUUCUUUCCUCCCCCCGCUGGAGGGGGAGAGGUCUCUUCUUCCUCCUCCUCGUCUUCACGGGAGGAGCGUGUCUCGGAUUCGUCGGAUGAUGAAUCUGACACCUCCAGGUGCCGGGCACUCUUUCGAGUCCCCGUGGCCUUCUUCUUGGCGUUCUUCUCCGGCACCACAUAGGGUGCCGGAACCAGCAGCUUCGCCAAGUGAGCAUUGGCUGGGUCUUCGGGCAAAGGAGCCGGACAGUCGAUUUGUCCGGACUUCACCUGCCAAUCCUGUCAAAGGUUAGGGAGCUUAGAUCCCGCAUAGAGUCAAACUAUGAAAAACUAAUACCCUGUAAAAGGUAAAGAUAGCCUACCGCACUAGCGUGACGCUGCGUGCUAAAUCCACGAUCCCCGGAAGCGGAUGCGGGAGCCUCGGCACCCUUAAAUAGCACCUUCCAGGCAUCUUCGUACGUCGUGUCGAAGAGCCUGCUCAAAGUUCGGUGCUGCGCCGGGUCGAACUCCCACAGGUUGAAGGCCCGUUGUUGACACGGGAGGAUUCGGCAGAUGAGCAUAACCUGGACUACAUUGACAAGCUUGAGCUGCUUGUUCACCAGGGUUUGGAUGCAUGUUUGCAGUCCAGUCACCUCUCCUUUGUAGCCCCACGACAGGCCCGUCUCUUUCCAGGAUAUGAGCCGUGUGGGGGGUCUGGACCGAAACUCGGGGGCUGCGACCCAUUCAGGAUCGCGUGGCUCGGUGAUGUAAAACCACCCCGAUUGCCACCCCUUUAGGGUCUCCACAAAGGAGCCCUCGAGCCAUAGGACGUUGGGCAUCUUGCCCGCCAUGGCACCUCCGCACUCCGCCUGGUUGCCGCGCACCACCUUCAGCUUGACAUUGGAAGUCUUGAGCCAUAGGCCGAAAUGGGGGCGGAUGCAGAGGAAGGCCUCGCACACGAUGAUAAACGCUGAGAUGUUGAGGAUGAAGUUCGGGGCCAGAUCGUGGAAAUCUAGGACAUAGUAGAACAUGACCCCCCGGACAAAUGGGUGGAGAGGAAAGCCCAGUCCGCGGAGGAAAUGGGGGAGGAACACCACCCUCUCAUGGGGCCUGGGGGUGGGGAUGAGCUUCCCCUCUUCAGGAAGCCGAUGCGCGAUGUCGUCAGACAAGUAUCCGGCCUUCCUCAGCUUUUUUAUGUGUCCCUCCUUGACGGAGGAUACCAUCCACUUGCCUCCCGCUCCGGACAUGGCUGGAGAAGGUUGAGGUGGGAAGUGCGGACUUGGAGCUGGAGCUCAAGUGCGCGGAAGAUGGAUAGGCAAAGGAGGAAGAAGGCGUAGGUGAAAAGGUGGAUCCUUAUCCCCUUAUAUGGGCAGAUGCGGCUAUGCGUCCCCACCAGCCUAAUAAAACUCGCUUAUCUCCCAAGCGCCGUAAUCAAUGGCGCGGUUGGGUUACCCACGCCCGUAUUGAUGAGAAUCCCGGAAUAAGGGGACCCGAUCUCUGCUUCGACAAGAUGUGUCAAGGCAACCGCCUCGCUGAACGCGCUAAGGUGGGACAGUGAAAUCAAUUCGAAUAAAGGCUUGGCCGUGGUGUGAUGUCAUGCUACGGAAUAUGUCAGCAGAUUAGAUUUGUGUAAAUAUUAUUCUCUCUAUGGCAAUAUGUGGAAACUUAUUUUGCAGAGCCGGACACUAUCCUUGUGUUUGAAAUCUUCUACAAAGUACUUGGAGGAGGAACCCGCCUUGCAAUGCCGAAGACAACUUGCGCGCCGGACUCGUCGUCAUUGAAGCCUGGUUCAGGGGCUACUGAGGGAGUACUGGAUUAGGGGGUGUCCGGAUAGCCGGACUAUACCUUCGAUCGGACUCCUGGACUAUGAAGAUACAAGAUUGAAGACUUCGUCCCAUGUCCGGAAGGGACUUUCCUUGGCGUGGAAGGCAAGCUUGGCGAUACGGAUAUGUAGAUCUCCUACCAUUGUAACCGACUCUGUGUAACCCUAACCCCCUCCGGUGUCUAUAUAAACCGGAGGGUUUAGUCCGUAGGACCAACAACAACAAUCAUACCAUAGGCUAGCUUCUAGGGUUUAGCCUCCUUGAUCUCGUGGUAGAUCUACUCUUGUACUACCCAUAUCAUCAAUAUUAAUCAAGCAAGAGUAGGGUUUUACCUCCAUCGAGAGGGCCCGAACCUGGGUAAGAACAUCGUGUCCCUUGUCUCCUGUUACCAUCCGCCUAGACGCACAGUUCGGGACCCCCUACCCGAGAUCCGCCGGUUUUGACACCGACAGGGAGAAAAUUCAGAGACCUGCUGGGUCCACCUGAGGAGGGGAAUAUGUUGGGAGGAAGGAGAUUCAAAGCACGACAGCUGAGUGAACUAGUUUUUUUACGGAAAAGUGAACUAGUUUACAUACAUAAGAAAAUAGCCACUAAAAAAGCAAUCAGGUUAAUGGGUUCUUAAAAGAAAUAUUUCGGAUAAAACAGAUAAUUACGGCACAUAGGCUAAUGCAUGAAACACUCAGAUGAUAAAGGUGCUUAUAAACAGAUAAAGUACAACAUCUAGACCUUCCUGGCACGCUUGAUCAUGACGCUGCGGCUGCCCAUGUACUCGUCGGUUAUGGGAAGCAGACACACCCUCAUGUCCAAGAUCUGCCUGUACAUGUCGUAGCAUGCGUAUGCGUCCUUGGCCGCGUAGGUUAUGUAGGCUAGAUUCAGAGGUACCUUCCACGUGUUCAGGUCGUCUUCUUUCAUGUUGGCGUAUCAGAGGUCGAUGAUGGUCUCAGCGAGGUCAACCACGGAGUCCUUCUCCUGCCCGUUGCUAAUGAUCUUGUAUUGCUUCUGGAUGUCGACAAGCUUGUUGCACCAUAUGGCCGAACUGUCGCGUUCUUCCUUCUCUCCACCGUAGCGAAGGUGCAGUCGGCGCUGCCGAUGAAACGGGCGAAUGCUCCAGAACCUGGUGCAGCCAUAGGACUGAGGCGAGGCAGAGCUUCACCGAGUCCGUAUCGUUGGUGUACAUCACAUUCAACUUGGUGCAGCCAUAGGACUGAACGGCGAACUCAAAGGGGAACUCCUUGCUGAAGUCCAUAUCCAGCAGGCUCACCCCUCUGAUCGCCAUUGGAGUCUCUUCGAGUGAACGAGUGUGUAGGCGACGGCAGCAGUUCGUUUUUCAGCUCUUGGGGAACUGGAUUCAACAGUAAGCUGAGUGUGUACAGGCGACAACAGUUACUACCCCUCCCUCGUCCGCUGCACGCCCGGUAGAAGAUGCACCCUCGGCCACACGUCGGUUCACGAGCGGGUCUGUAUUGGUACUGUAAUAACAGGAGUUAGUUGUCACUUUACUUAAAUUUAAUUAGCUUUAAUAGAAAUUUAUACUUAAAACAAGCAAUGCAUUCACUCGUUCUAUCAGUGCCACAGGAUCAACAUGCACAACAAUUAGAAUUAUUAUUCUCAGGACGCACACGAUCAGCACAUUUGUCGCACUUUCACAAAGAUAAUACUACCAAGUUUGAACUGUUUGUUAUGGUUGUUGUCCUCUACAUCGUCAUGUCGUGUUUCCCAGCUUGCAAGAUUCAGAACCAACAAAUAAGAUCCAAAUAAUAAGUACAACAAAGAUGCCUACACAUCUCAUUGAUUCCCAGCUUGCAAGAUUCAGAACCAAUAAAUAAGAUUCAAAUAAUAAGUACAACAAAGAUGCCUACACAUCUCACUGAUUCCCAGCUUGCAAGAUUCAGAACCAACCCAUUAGAGCCUUUUGAUAAAGUGAAUAUCGGGAUUAAAUCCAUCUUUGCUAGCCAUGUCAUACAAUCGAAGAACUUGGCGAAUGCUUUGACCGUCACAACAUCUGUAGUUGAGUAUUCCUGUUUGCAUAGCACAAACCAGGAGAGCAUGAUUUCACUUUAAUAGUGGCCUCCUUUACUCAACCUGCAGCUCCACUCGGAUGAAGCCUGCCUUGAGUUCCAUGAUUCAAUUCAUGCGCCUUUUUCUGCAGUUCACCUGAAAUGAAGCAAAGAUUGCAUCAUUCAGCUAGCAAGAAGUACUUGCUCUCGUGAGCUGGCAGGUUCUUCUUUAGUAGUUGCACUAAAAUUGAGGAACAUUAAGGUUGGCUGUCCGGCUCAUGUAAGGUGCAACUAUAAUUUUGUUAUCCUUUUGUGCAGUUCCACUAAAAUAAAGUGCCAUUGUGGUGACAGUGACGGCUCAUCUUGCAAAGGCUAAUAAAAUGUUGCACGAGAUUACCAGCAGAACUUGACGGAGAUUUGGGAAACUCCAAUCACCAUUUUGUGCAGUUCCACAAAAAUUGAGAGAUGUUGCCCACGUGACAUUUUAGUUGAACUGCACAAGACACUCAUUCCAAAAAAAGUGUUUUGUGCAAUUCACCAAAAGGUCACAAUAGCAACAAGGUGAAAUGGAUAUCCCUAUCUGCACAAAAAUAUAGAAAGUAAAUAGUUGCUGGUCAAUAAGAAUAUACGAAACAUAUACAAAAUGAAAAGAAGCAUCUUAAUUAUGUUCAUGGCAAUCACACAAGGACAGUAGAAAUUUUAAAACGUCAGCAUUGCUUCAUGUUACCAGAAACAUUACGAUCAACAAUGAGAUUCCUCAAAUAUGGGAUUACUUUAAUGGUGGCAUUGCUUGUUUACCAGACACAGUAAAUCAACAAUAGCUAAAGAGUUGGUUUAAGGGCAUGGGACCGUGGGGACAUCAGGACACUUAGCAGCGUAAAGGAGCAACUUACUUAUCAUACUGGGGAAAACAGCAGAAGUGCCAUUUGUAACACAGUUUAAUUGCAUCUUAUCACUGGAGGCAUUAGAUUAACAAUAACACUGGUUAGACAUGUCCCUAAGGUAACAGUGUGAUCGCUUCAUUUUACAUGCGCCCUUACAUUAACAACAGCAAAAGAUUGGUAUAAGGACAUGCGAUAGUGGACACAUCAGCACAAUGUACCUACAAGGAGGCAUAAAGUGGUGAUGCCAAGUUUGUUCAUGCUAUGUGAGGGUAGCAAACCUAACCCAGGAGACCUUGUACUAUGUGAGGGCAGCAAAUCUAAUCCUGGAGACCUUUUACUAUGUGAGGGCAGCAAAUCUAAUCCUGGAGACCUUUUGCUAUGUGAGGGCAGCAAAUCUAAUCCUGGAGACCUUUUACUAUGUGAGGGCAGCAAAUCUAAUCCUGAGACCUUUUACUAUGUGAGGGCAGCAAAUCUAAUCCUGGAGACCUUUUACUAUGUGAUGGCAGCAAAUCUAAUCCUGGACAUACUCUGUUGACUUGUCCACUAGCCGCCACUUUCUAUCCUUUUNNNNNNNNNNNNNNNNNNNNNNNNNNNNNNNNNNNNNNNNNNNNNNNNNNNNNNNNNNNNNNNNNNNNNNNNNNNNNNNNNNNNNNNNNNNNNNNNNNNNNNNNNNNNNNNNNNNNNNNNNNNNNNNNNNNNNNNNNNNNNAGCAAAUCUAAUCUUGGAGACCUUUUACUAUGUGAGGGCAGCAAAUCUAAUCCUGGAGACCUUUUACUAUGUGAGGGCAGCAAAUCUAAUCCUGGAGACCUUUUACUAUGUGAGGGCAGCAAAUCUAAUCCUGAGACCUUUUACUAUGUGAGGGCAGCAAAUCUAAUCCUGAGACCUUUUACUAUGUGAGGGCAGCAAAUCUAAUCCUGGAGACCUUUUACUAUGUGAUGGCAGCAAAUCUAAUCCUGGACAUACUCUGUUGACUUGUCCACUAGCCGCCACUUUCUAUCCUUUUUUCAACCAAUAAUAGAUAUGUUCCUUAUCCAGUUUGUACUGCGUUUUCCCAUUAUUUCCCUUUUCAACCAAGAGACCGGUUGGGUAUCCGGUCUCUACUACUUUCACUAUAUUAUUUCCUCUUUGAAUCAAGUCCUAGAUUCAUGCUACAACUUUCCGCCCUUUCUUCGUUGUUUGAACAAAGCCCUGGUUUCGAAUGCAUGAAGUAGCUUUACCUCUAAUAAUACUAAAAAUUUAGGUGGCUUUAGAAGAGCUGAUGGGAGUAGAAAAGGAUGCACAUGCAGACACGUGGGGAGCUGGGGCAGUAGAGCAAUGCCGCUUUCGAAGAACUUAUACCUGAGGGUCGCCAUGAUGUCGGCGGCGGCAGGUCGGAUCUGCGGACAAUACGGCAGGGAGGAAGAAGGGUCGGAGGACUUCCCGAGCCGGCGCUGUGUCGGAGAGAAUGACACGGGCAGAGGAUCGGGCCCCUCCGGCAGUUGUGGGUUUCCUCCCUCGGCGGCGAUGACCGCGUGAAUGAUGCACCUUUUAGUCCUCUACACACACCGGCCGAAGGGAUCCGGCCAGAUCUGUGACCAGCGGUGAGCAGAGAGAAAAUGUCGCUACCGCUGUCUUGUUUAUAUCUAGAGAGGAUGAGAGAAUGAAUAGAGCAACCCUAGUAAAGCAAGCGCUCAGGCCCCUGCGUCCAUGUAUAGUGGAGUGAUUAUCUUUUUUCUCUCCACAACAAGAGUUUCAAUUUGUGUACGUGGCAUUAAAGAAAAGAAACUCUCUAUUUAAGGUGACUACUGUACGACUCCUACUUACUACUAGUAGUACUACAGUAUUGUUCACUUGUGCUCCCCGCCCCUCCAUUCAUUGAACAACCCCACGGGUGAAUAAACAUACAGUAAGUACGGCGUUUAUAUAGAACGAACAAGCUCGAACUAUUUUUGCGUAGUUAAAAGUUGAGGGCGGGGCUUUUCCCGGGCAGUACAUGCGGCAGUUUUCGGGUAGGCGGUUUGACAGAGAGGCGAGGAGGGUGAGCGAGUGGGGCUGUGCGAUUUGAUGGCACGUUACUGCUAGAAAGACUUGUGAUAUGACCACUCACUAUAGUCAUGAAUUACUGGUGCUCCGACCGGGGUGAUGCCCCCCUUCCGUUCCGCGCUCUAAUCUGGUGCAUGACACGUCCACCCGUAUGCUGGCUCUCCCACAUGUCGGAGUAGUAAGGAUCAAAGAAUGAUGCGGUAUAUACUAGUACUAUACUACUCCCUCCGUUCCUAAAUAUAAUUCUUUGGAGAGAUUUCACUAUGGACCACAUACGGAGAAAAAUGAGUGAAUCUACACAUAAAAUGCAUCUAUAUACAUCAGUAUGUGGUCCACAGUGAAAUAUCUAUGAAGACUUAUAUUUAGGAACGGAGGGAGUACUACUCAGGUCAGAGGAGUGCGAACCACGGCAACCCAGUGAACCAGCAGUGCGAACCACGGUAGCCCAGUGAACCAGCAGUAGAAAACAAUGUGGUGAUAUGGCCAUAAAAAACAAUGUGCUACGGUCCACACUGUAGCAUGUACUGUAACACUCCUCUUUGUUUGGAUCCCUGAGUUAGAGCUAGUUUGGGUUGAAAUAGCCUCAAAUUAUCGAAACAAGAGGGGUUAGUUUGAGCUAGUUUGCUCUAACCCAGCUAAAAAAAUAGCCCGCUGGAGAGGUUCUAAUUGGGUUAGUUAUCCCCAGGCCCACUAAAAGAUAACUAAAAAAAUCUCCCCUGCCCGCACCAGAUCGCUCCCCCCCUCUCGCACGACUCCUCUCUGUUCCCCAUAGGGCCGCUCGCCCUAUCUCUCCUCCAGUCGCCCUCUCCUUCCGGCCUCCGCCGCCCUACUCCGGCCGCCCACUCCCUCCGGCCUUCGAAGGUCGCCCCGCUCCCCCUUCACCAGUCGUUUUUCUCCCCCUGUCAUGCGUGGCGGCGGUGCAUCUACCAGGGAGGUCACGAGAGGGGUGAGUUUGUUCGUUCCUUCUCUGUCUCACGGCCAUAUCAUUGAUCUUGCUUGCUCUAGCGCUAAUUCUGAUUUGGAAAAGUAGAUCCUGAUCAAACUUGGUAUAGAUUUGUGGUGCACGCAUGGAAUUGUUUGAUGCUUCUUGAGGAGGUAAUAAAUCUUUCUAGAGGCCCAAAGAUUCAGGUCACCUUUCUAGGUAUUUCAAUUUCAGGCUUGCAUUAUUUCUAGAGGCCCAAAGAUUCAGUUCACCUUUCUAGGUAUUUCAAUUUCAGGCUUGCAUUAUUUCUAGAGGCCCAAAGAUUCAAUUCACCUUUCUAGGUAUUUCAGUUUCAGGCUUGCAUUAUUUCUAGAGGCCCAAAGAUUCAGUUCACCUUUCUAGGUAUUUCAGUUUCAGGCUUGCAUUAUUUCUAGAGGCCCAAAGAUUCAGUUCACCUUUCUAGGUAUUUUAGUUACAUGCUUGCAUUAUUUCUAGAGGCCCAAAGAUUAAGUUCCCAGUCGGCGGCAAGCGGUCCUGCUACCCAUGCCGGUGUCGGCCUCAACUCGCAAGGGCCGGCGUCGGAGGGGUUCCUGGGGCUUGGGCUCUAUAGAGCCUUAAUUCCUCCAGAGCAACGAUGGCGAGAUCCUCCCUCAGUGCGUGAGGGGCUCCGGGCUCCCUCCCUAUCAUGAAUGACUUCUGUGAUGAGUUAGCUCAUUCUUUGUUUCAUGAAGUGUUUUUUUAAUUUGUGAAGCUUGAUUGACGACUUGUAUGUUUAAGUGGGAUAUCUCAUUUGUAUGGACAAAGUAAAAAUUAUCAUGUUUUGCAUGCUUGAUUUGUAUAGAUGGUUCGUUUAUGUCAAUUGUGAGCGGGAGGAGGCCACAGAAGAGCCGGCCACACCAAAAAAUCCGGCAGGAAAUAGGGUCCAAAGUAGUCAAAUGAUUGAGAUAGAGCAUUUAUUGUCAAUCUAACCCUGCCAUCCAUACACCUCUUUGGUUUAGAGUUAGUUCAGGGUUAGAAUCUAACUCUAACCUCUAACUGAGUUAGAGUUCUCCUCGUCUCAGUUCAUCGCCAUCAUACUUUCCCCAUUCCUGUGUUUUCAGUAUCCUGCGAAUCAAAGAGGCCCUUUUUUGCGGGAAAAAUCAAAGAGGCCCUUAGACUGGUUUCGGUUCGGUCAUUUUUUAUAAACGUGUUAUGUCCAAAAUUUAAUGAACUUGCUCCGGUUUCCACGAAAAUAAUCCGGUUUCAUGUAGUAAUUCAUUCAUUCAUUUAUUUAUUCUUCUGCGGGGGGUUUGCAUGUAAUUCAUGAGGUCUGAAAUGUAAAGUACCCCGGCAUAUGCUCCGAGUCGUGCAUGCACUAUGACCCAGAUGCUCUAUGUCCCACAUGUCAGCGAAUGGGAGCACGUGGAAAUAGCCUAGGAGUACAUAUAGGAGGAUAAAUGCAUGAAAUAAUAUGUAUUGUGAAGCGUAGCUGCGGUUCGAAAAGGAGACCUAAAGUGAUGACAGCUAUAGGUCGCACGCACCCAACUAGUGGUACUAGACAUACGAUUAAUUUUUCCCUCAAAAAAAGAGGCACGAGUGCUCAGUACUCCUAUUCUAUAAACACGAGUCCCAUCUGACAACAGCAUCCGUGCUACAGCUAGCUCUCCUCCCGUCCAUCACCUCCAUAGGUGCUUGUGGCUUCUGGUCACUUGGUCUUGGAUUGGAGUGAGCAGUGUUGCACAAAGACUUGGGAGUAGAUGGAUUGGAGUGGUGGGGCGCCUUUAUUAUAUGAGAGUCCAAACUCUGUUGCAUUCACAUCGUGCUGGCUCUAUUCUGGUUAUCCAAUUAAUUCCCUCUGCAUGUAAUUGAGGAUGCAUCAUUGACCGUUCAACGUCUCGGGAACCGCUACCCUCUCCCUCCUUGGCAUUCAAGCACCUAUGGACCCGUCGAUGACGAGGUGCCUAUGGUGACUUCGAAAAUUUCAAGAUGAUAGUGAUGUGCGUGUGUGCGUUCAUAGGGUGAGUGUAUGCGCGUGUAUAUGAGCGCUUGCGUCUGUACUGUGUAAAAAACGUAAAUGUGUGUCAAAAAGAGACUAGUCAGUAUACUCAAUAUUGUGCACCUCGGAGAGGAAAACGAUAGAACUAGUACGUAUUUAUUUACGGUGCAGAUUCACUCAUUUUUCUCCAUAUGUACUCCGUCUCGGUGUAGUCUAGUCACUUGUUGAAAUCUCUAGAAGGGCAAAUACUCCUUUCUGGUUUACAGGGCUAUACUAGCAAGUAGUUGUAUGUACUAGUACAAUAGUGGGCUCACAUAGCAAUUUUGUCUCAUGCAAGAGCCUGGCUAUAUGCGUGCUCCAAUGUUCGCAAGUGCAACGUUCGGUUUGCGCUUGGCUCUUCGCCUCUUCGAGAAGACGAACAAUGAUGUUACUACUACUGCUUCUAUAGUGUCGAAUCCACUACUGCAUGUCCGUCCACCGCGAGCGGGAUGGAUAGCUUGUUGUAGAAGUACUACUAAGCAAAUGCCUGUCCUCGUUUGUGAGCAACCGCACGCAUGGGUGAGGGAGAAGGCAUGUAGUAAAAUCAAGCUUCUCCUCGUUGUACGAGUUGACACGACACAUCAUAGCACUGGCCCCACAUGCUUGCCUCUAAACUUGGCUGAAAGACCCGCAAUGUACAAUAUAUUUGCCGCAACCUCUAACAUUUACACACCACAAAUUAAAAUAUAUGUGGUCGUAUGCAUCGUUCUGAUGCAGAGGCCGGGGAGUCCCCCCUUUUCGAAAAAAACAAAUUAAAAUAUAUAUUCCUGUCUUGACCAGAUGAGCGUGCAAACUACAAUCACCAGGGUGUCAGGUAGGGCCAGAAUACUAUUUUUUUUAAACUUCGAGACGGCCACAUAGCAUGGAGCCAACCCCAACGAUUUUAAGCUUACAGGCACGAUACACGCUAUCCUAGAAUACUCUACACAUGAAACUGCCACACGAGCGUCUGGGCUGCGCUUGGCUCUUCGCCUCUUCGGGAAGUCGAACAAUGAUGGAGUACUAGUACUGUACUGGAGGAGUACUACUGUAGUACGCUUCUGGCCAUCUGACACUUAUUGAACUAUUGCAUGUCCACCGCAUGCGGGAGGGAGAGCAUGUAGCGAAAGCUUCUCCUUGUCUUGCCAGCCACCAUGCUCAUGGGCGAGGGAGGGACGCUCCUGCCUUUGCGUGUAUGACAGGUGGGCCCGGCAGGUGUGUGGCCAACCUGUCAUACAACCAAAGGCAGGUGCAGUUAAGUCCGCGAGGGAGAGGGUAAUCAAACUUCUCAUUGAUGUACGAGUUGACGCGACACAUCAAAGCACUCACUCGAUAUAUUUCAAUAAUUUGCGUUUACCGAUGCAUUAAUUACAAUGCAUGCAUGCAUGCCGUGACUCUCCUUUUGAUACUUGCAUGUGUUGAUUUAAUGCACCUUGAAGUAGUAUAAAAUAUGUGACGGUAAAGCUUUGUAAUACCCCGGCCCAAGUCGAGAGAUGGUUGUGCAUGAGGAGGGCGAGAUCAUGCAGACCAAACAGGACCCGACGAUGGAGCUCUCUAAGGUCUCGAUGGACCUCACCGUGCUCCACUGCCCCUUGUGCCUCCGCCCCUUGACGCCUCCAGUGUAUGAGGUUCGAAUACACCUCGUCCGUUCGGCUGAUUGAGCAAGGUGCAGGUUUCUUGAUUGAUGUGCUGUUCGAUUGAUUUCUGCAGUGCAAGGGAGGGCACCUGGCCUGCGCGGACUGCCGCGUCGAGCGCCCCGGGAACCAGCAGCAGUGCCAGAAGUGUGAGCACGGCGGUGGCUUCGACGUGCGGAACACGGCGGUGGACUCUGUCCUUUCGUAGGUGAGGGUGGAGUGCCCGCACGAAGGCUGUAGGCUCUACGUCACUUACCACAAGCUCGCCGAUCACCAGAGUGUGUGUCCGCUCGCGCCCUGCAAAUUCCCCGUGCCCGUCUGCGGCUACGAAGGCCCGCCGCCGGGGCUCUACCACCACAUCAGCACCGCGCAUCCCAUGCCCAUGCACAGGAUCCAGUACGGCAAAGUGCUCCAGCUGCAAGUGCCACUAUCGGAGCCACGGCUCUUGCUGUUCACGGAGGAGGACCGUCGCGUGUUUUUCUUGGUCGGCGGCGUGCUCGACAUCGGCGCGCCUAUUUCCGUGUCGGUUGUCUGCAUCAGAGCGGGGGCGUCCCCACUGCCGCACUACGUGGCCAAGCUGUGGGCGAACGGCCCGUCGGGGGAGCCCGAAGGCACGACCGACGCCGUCGAGGUGGAAAUGGAGGUGACUAGCAGCAAGGAUCCCGGCGACGUCGACGUGCAGGAGCUGACCUUCUUGACAGUUCUGCCCAAGCUGCUGGCCGGGGCUAAGCUUGUGUCCCUCCACAUUUAGAUUGACAAGCUCACGUCCUAAAUGUUUCUACAGUGCCUUCUGUUUAUCUUAGUAAUAUGCUAAUAUAGGGAUUACCUUGCUCUACUUUAGCUUAAGAAAUGGUGGGUUUUGGUGGCGAUGCAGCAAUUACUUCGACACCAGAUCAGUAAUUUCCAACAGUUGAACGGAUAUUUUGUGUCUGUUGGAUAUAAAGUUCCUUUGGGUAAGAAGUACUACUUGUCAUCAAAAUGGAUAAAAGGAGAUGUAUGUAGACGUAUUUUAGUUCUAGAUACAUCCCUUUUAUCCAUUUUGAUGAUAAGCACUCCCUCCGUCCCACAAUACAUGCCUUCCAUUUGUCAAAAUAUAGAUGUAUCUAGACAUGUUUUAGUAUAUAGGUAAUCCAUGAUAGAGGGAAUCGGAUGGUUGAGAACACUACAAUUCGUAGCUACAGAUGCGUGUGUGACUCCCAGAUGUAGAGGCCGGGGGUCAUCAUCCUCCUUUUUGAGAAAAAAUCAGACUUAGGUUAUUGCACGUACACAGCAGUACUCCCUCCUUUCCGGUUUAUAGGGCUUAAUUCAAAAAUAUCACCAACCAAGAUGGUGAGUGGUGGAAUAUUUUUUGUAGUUUGCAAAAGCACCUAAUUAAUGCUCUUGUUUUUCUCAAAAAAUUAUGUUUAUCAAUGCAUUAAUUGCAAUGCUUGCAUGCAUAAAGUACAUGCAUUGGUCAAUUUUCUCUUAAUACUUGCAUGCAAUGAUUUAAUGCACCUUGGAAUCUGAACAUGUGUUGGGGAACAACCAAAUUGAGCCUUAUAAAAUGGAAAAACUAAAAUUUUGAGAUAAGCCCUAUAAAACCGGAAAGGAGGGAGUAGAAAAAGAAGUACUCCAUCCGGGAAUAGUGCCGCACUUCGAAACUAGAACCGUCAAUAAAUUUUGAGCUUGCGUCUCGUCACAUUCCAAAUUACUCCACGCUAUAUUGAAUUGCAAACCUGUUCACAGCGAUCACAACCUAAACGGUUUCCCACUUAGGUGCGUAUUAGUACCACGCUGUAUUGAAUUGCAAACCUGUUCACACCGAUCACAACCUAAACGGUUUCCCACUUAGGAGCGUAUUAGUACUCGGUUAUAAAUACUAGUAUGCCAAGAUGACUGCACAUUCCUCCUCAACUCCUCAUCCACAAAACACAAACAAGUCAUUCAACAUCCUUCCCUUGCGUCUGCCAUGGCCAACGUGAGUUCUGGGUCGAGAGAUUGCCACCAGGGAGAGGCGAGCAUGGAAGCGGAAGCACGAGAGAUGUCCCGCCUUGCUGCGAGAGCAGCCGACAUGUCCCACCGCGCGGAAGUAGCAGCACAGAGGUCCCGUCGCGCCGUCGAUGCAGCAGACUGGUCCGACCGCGCCGCGGAAGCAGCAGAGAUGUCCCGCCGCGCCACGAAUGCAACAGAGAUGUCCCGCCGCGCCGCGUCGGCCUGGGAAAAUUUCUCGCGGGCAGGCGACGACUGUUACAGGCGCAUGCAUGUGAUCGUCCAUAGCCAGAUGGAUCAGAUCUCCGGCUGGGCGAGGUUGCAGGAUGGCAUGAAAGACUCGUUUGAACAGGCUAUCGGCGUACUAAGGGAGGGCAAUGAGAGGCUCCGGGCCGAGCGUGACCUACUGAGGGAGAAGAUCGUCCGAAGUGCAGACCGGGAGGAGGAGACCAGUGCCUUGUUGAAGAGGACCGGCGUCAUCGUCAAGAAACUUAUGGAUGAGAAUGACAUGCUCCGCAACGAGCGCCAAAGGCUGGUGGAGGAAUCCGUGGAUGUUCUCAAGCAGCGUCUUGAGGAUAUGAAAGAGCUCAUCGCCGCUCGCCGCGGAGACUAGUUCCCGCGGCCUGCAGCAACGCAUCAAGAAAGUAGAGAUCAGCGAGCCAGAUCCUUGUCUUCCUUCUUCUUUUGCCCUUGUGUAUUUCGGGCGUAGCCGCAUGUGGCUUUUUUAAUUAUCUUUCUAAUUAUGUAAGACAAUUAAUCAUCCUUAUCUUUCUAUGGAAGAUCAAUGUUGCGAGGCUGGAAUGAAGAAAACUCUUGCUGUGGCGACCCUGGCGUUGAUGUUCUUCUAGUUGCUGCUGGGCUUCCUUCAGUUUCCUGGUUUCUUUUGAUGUAAUAAUCGGUUUAGGAUGUGGAUUGUGUUGUCGGUUGUGAAAUGUUGGGUUCUAGCGCGGAUGUUUGGCCUUUGUUGGCCUCUUGGGAUGUUGCGAUUUCAAUCUGGUAGCUUUUAGUCCUUCGUGUUAGGCUGGAGUUGUGCUGAACUUCUUGUGAAUUGUGGUGGUUUUCAGUAAUGAAAAUCAAAAGGGGCAAGCCCUUCUUCGAUCAAAAAAUAAUUUAAUCGUCCUUAUAUAUUCAUCAGUCUUGCUAUAAGUCGCAGUAGAUGCUAUAUAGGUCCAUCGGAUCUUACAUCAAGAUCCAUGCUUUCAGAUUUUCUUUUUUCUCUCUUAAAUCUCAGUCGAGUGAGACAUAGCCAUGCCAUUAAACAGAGGCUCGGGCACCAUUAAUGGAGACCUUGGGAGAGAGGUGGACGGCAGAUGGAGGUCAAAGGGCUCUCCUCCCGAUAAGCACGCGCAGGGGUCUGAUCGCACGCCUCUCAUACUCAAAUAGCUACCCUGCACGACGCCUCCUAGCUAAUAAAAAAUGGGGACGCGUGGCGACACGUAAAUGGUACUAGUAAGUAGAACGCCCACGGUUUCAAUAAUAUUUGUGUUUCCGAUUGUAACGUGACAGCACUUGUUCCAAAAUGACUUUGUUGAUUGUUAAUAUGUGCGCCUUCGCAAAUCGGACUGCAAAUUUACCACAGCAUGUUGGUGCCAUGUCAUGGCACCAAGCCAAGUUUCAUUAUUUUCAUGCGUGUUUUGGAUUUACAGGAAUUAAAAAACUAAGUUUCUCAAUGUUUCCAACCCAGUCACGACGCCCAGAAUUUUGAAUUUCAUUCCCAUUUCUUGCAUGGAACCUAGAAAUUUACCCGAGGACACACAUGUGAUUUUUCAACCAACUUUGGUGCACUGGAACAUGUGCUUGUAUUUCAAAUUUGAAUUAUGCACACAAAGGUGACACGUUCCCUCCCAGAACCACGAGCCUUCUUGAGAGAAGCUCCGAUUUGCAAGAAGCUUAUACCAAAAUUUGUUCCUAUUCGGCCAAUUUCUUUUACCACGGCAUGGUACUACCAUGACAUGACACCAUGCCAAGUUUCAUGAUUUUAAAACCAAGUUUCUCAAUGUUCUCGACCGAGCCACGAUGCCCAGAUGUUUGAAUUUUAUUCUCAUUUUUUUGCAUGGGACCUACUCUCGGGAGUAGAAAUUCACCCGAGGACACAAAUGUGAUUUUUCAACCAACUUUGGUGCACGGGAGCAUGUGCUUAUAGUUCAAAUUUGAAUUAUGCACAUUAAAUGACCAAAAACUCAAUUAAUGUGUAAAUAAGGCCAAACGAACCCGAAAUAAUUCCAAAAUUUAACAGGGCACUCAUGUAGUUCUAUGUUGCCGUUGUAAAUAAACUCAUGGGGGACAACGUAUAUCGUUUCGCACUCAAAGGUGGCACGUUCCCUCUCAGAACCACAAUCCUUCUUGAGAGAAGCUUCGAUUUGCAAGAAGCUUAUACCAAAAUAUGUUCCUAUUCGGCCAAUAUUUUUACCAGAACAUGGUAGUACCAUGACAUGACAUCCAUGCAAAGUUUCAUGACUUUCAGGCGUGUUUUGGAUUUACAAGAAUUUUAAAACCAAGUUUCUCAAUCUUCUCGGCCGAGCCACGAUGCCCAGAUGUUUUAAUUUUAUUCUCAUUUCUUGCAUGGGACCUAGAAAUUCACCCGAGGACACAAAUGUGAUUUUUCAACCAACUUUGGUGCACGAGAGCAUGUGCUUGUAGUUCAAAUUUGACUUAUGCACAUUAAAUGACCAGAAAGUCAAUUAAUGUAUAAAAAAUGACAAGCGAACCCAGAAUAAUUCCAAAAUUUAACAGGGCACUAAUAUAGUUCUAUGUUGCCUUUGUUAAGAAACUCAAGGGGGGGGGCAGCGUAUAUCGUUUCACACUCAAAGGUGGCAUGUUCCCUCUUAGAACCACGAGCUUCCAAAUCGGCCCAAUUUUUUACCACAACAUGUUAGUGCCAUGACAUGACACCAUGCCAAGUUUCAUGAUUUCCAGGCGGGUUUUGGAUUUACACGAAUUUAAAAUCAAAGUUUCUCGAUGUUCUCGGCCUAGUCAUGACGCCCAAAUGUUUGAAUUUCAUUCUCAUUUCUUCCAUGGGACCUAGAAAUUCAACCUAGGACACACAUGUGAUUUUUCAACCCACUUUGGUGCACCAGAGCAUGUGCAUGCAAUUCAUAUUUAGAUUAUGCACAUUAAAAGUCUAGAAACUCAAUUAAUGUAUAAAAAGGCCAAAUGAACCCGAAAUAAUUCCAAAAUUCAACAGGGCACUCAUAUAGUUCUAUGUUGCCUCUGUAAAUAAAAUCAAGGGGGAGGCAGCGUAUAUCAUUUCGCACACAAAGGUGACACGUUCCCUCUCGGAACCACGAGGCUUGUUGAGAGAAUCUCCGGUUUUGCAAGAGGCUUAUACUAAAACUUGUCCCAAUUCAGCCAAAAAUUAUACAUAUGAAAACAGGGUUUAGAUUAUCCCAAACAUCUCGCUACCUAGACCAAUAAUGUACUAUGAUUUGAAUUCAACAUAAAAUGGAUACAAAUAUUUGAAUUGGAGAGCGUAUGGUACAUGUAGUUCAUAGUGAAAUAUGAUUACUGCUAUAUGUAUGUUUUUGUUAUCAAGAUAAUAUUUAAAUCAUUGUAUAACUUGACAACAAUCAUAUUCAAAUAAGGAAAAUUGAUUCAAAUUUAGUCCAUAUGGUAGACGACAAUAUAUAUGUUCACAUGGUGGAGUGAAAUGUUCAUAUAUGAUGGAAGAUCAAAAUGUACGACUACAUCAAUUAUAAACCGCAAGGUCACCUAACGAUAUAUUCAAAUUCAACAUAACGUGGAUUCAAAAAUUGAAAUUCGAGAUCAUGGCGUUUGUAAUCAUAUAAAAAGGGACAUUACUCUUUCUUUGGAGGGAAUUGAUUUGUUUUUUGUUGUUGUUGAGGGAAGUGCGAAUCGAUUUGGUACUGUGCAGGGUAAUCUUGUUCUCCCAAUUUUUUACAUUUUUCUUGUAGUUUUUUCAAUGGCAUCUAUAGCAAUAUAAUAAAAGGGGACAUGACUCUCUUGUGUCUUGUAUGAAUUGUUUUUUUACACGUUAAGUUUGUUCUGCCGAACAAGGAAUCCGCACCUUGUUAUCCCGAAAUUUUCAAGCUCGAGUAUCUUUUGUCUCACCUGCUUUGAAACUCCCACUUCUUCAACCCGCGCCGCGCCUUGUUAUCCCGAAAUUUGGACGCGCGUGAGAACUCCCUCCUCAUCCGAAAUCGCUCCCGUAGCCCAGACACGCGAAAUCCCCCUUCUACCCCUCAGCCGGAAAUGAAGCUCCACGUCGCGGUGUCAAAACCGGUGGGGGUACGCUGGUAACUUACCCUACAUUUCGGACAAGAGCGUCCCUAAGCUUGGCUCCCCCUCCCCCUUCGCCCCCCCAUUCGUACACCGAGGCCGCCAAAACCCGCGAAACCCCACGCCCCUCCGUCGGCCUCCCGACCGCCGCCCAGCCGGAGACUAUUCCCCGACUACGUCGUCCACCGCAACAGCUCGCCGUCCCUCAUCCACCGCACCGGAUGAGGAUCCAUUGUCGAUCUCGUCGUCCCGCCGGAUCAGCCGCCCCGUCCUCCACCUCCAAGGAGUUGUCCCGAUGUUUGCCUCAUCUAUCGCGCCACCUCAAUCCCCAUAGCGCCGUCUUGACCUGCCCCACCGGAACCGCAGCACCCUCACCAAUUCCUCCAAUGAAGCUGAGGCCAACUCGGCGCCUCCAAGGAGGUUCUGCACUCACCGCUGCAUUUUAUCUUUUAUUCGAUCUCACGGGGCUGCCGGUGCUCGAUACCGAGCAGACAUGGCGUGUCUCCAUCGACGGCGCCGUUGCCGGCCACAUCAUCCAUGGUGUCUCUCCCCCAUGUCGUUGCUUCCUCAGCGGCGACUUCCACAAUGGCACUAGUUGCGGCUGCUCCAGCUCUCGCUCGCGCUGCCGCUCUGUUCUUGCUGUCGGUCGCGCUGCUGCACUGCUCCUUGAAAGGAUCGAGACGAGGUGUCUAGAGGGGGGGUGAUUAGACACUAAGUGCCAAAAGUUACAGUUUUUUAUUUCUUUAAGUUGAAGUGGAGUUUUGGCACAAGUUUAACAAACACAAUACAUAUCAAGCAAACAUGCAAAUAGUAUAUGAGCAACGGAAAGUAAAGCAUGCAACUUGCAAGAAUGUAAAGGGAAGGGUUUAGAGAAUUCAAACGCAAUUGGAGACACGGAUGUUUUUGUCGUGGUUCUGAUAGGUGGUGCUAUCGUACAUCCACGUUGAUGGAGACUUCAACCCAUGAAGGGUAACGGUUGCGCGAGUCCACGGGGGGCUCCACCCACGAAGGGUCCACGAAGAAGCAACCUUGUCUAUCCCAUCAUGGCCAUCGCCCAUGAAGGACUUGCCUCACUAGCGGUAGAUCUUCACGAAGUAGGGGAUCUCCUUGCCCUUACAAACUCCGUGGUUCAACUCCACAAUCUUGUCGGAGGCUCCCAAGUGAGACCUAGCCAAUCUAGGAGACACCACUCUCUAGGAAGUAACAAAUGGUGUGUUGAUGAUGAACUCCUUGCUCUUGUGCUUCAAAUGAUAGUCUCCCCAACACUCAACUCUCUCUCACAGGAUUUGGAUUUGGUGGAAAGAAGAUUUGAGUGGGAAGCAACUUGGGGAAGGCUAGAGAUCAAGAUUCAUAUGGUGGGAAUGGAAUAUCUUGGCCUCAACACAUGAGUAGGUGGUUCUCUCUCAGAAAAUGUGUAUUGGAAGUGUAUAUAUGUUCUGAUGGCUCUCUCCACGAAUGAAGAGUGGGUGGAGGGGUAUAUAUAGCCUCCACACAAAAACUAACCAUUACACACAAUUUACCAAUCUCGGUGAGACCGAAUUGAGAAACUCGGUCAGACUGAUUUAGCAAACCUAGUGAUGGGACUGAGAUGCAGCUCGAUAGGACCGACAUGGUUAGGGUUAGGGCAUAACGUAAUCUCGGUGAGACCGAUUACACAAACUCGGUGAGACCAAUUUUGGUAAUAAGCUAACCAGAGAGUUGGUCAGGCAAACUCGGUGAGACCGAUUACACAAACUCGGUGGAACCGAUUUUGGUAAUAAGCUGACCAGAGAGUUUGCAUUGUAAUCUCGGUAGUACCGAUUGCUCAAUCUCGGUGAGACCUGUCGUGGUUCUAACUCUGACAGUGAUGUAGGGGGGGUAUGUAUGGAGAGGCUAGAUCUUAGCUAUGGAGGAGUUGUAAGCACACGAGGAUUACGAGUUCAGGCCCUUCUCGGAGGAAGUAACAGCCCUACGUCUCGGUGCCCGGAGGCGGUCGAUUGAAUUAUGUGUGUAUGAAUAACAGGGGUGCGAACCCUUGAUACUGAGGAGGGGGGUGGCUUAUAUAGAGUUCGCCAAGCCCCUCCAGCCCUCAGUAAUGCAGGGUUUAAAGUACAGUAAGGCUGGGCGUUACUGGUAACGCCCCUAAUAAAGUGCUAUGAUGACCAUAAAAGCUACUUAAUGACUGACCGUUUGCGUGCGGAGUGACUUUAGAUCUCCUAGAAGUCGAGUGGUUAGCUUCGUGGUCGAGUGAUAGCUUCGUGGUCGAGUGCCAUGAAUCCGUCGAGUGGGAUACCUCCAAGUCGAUUGAAAGGUGACUUCUUCUAGGGAUGUCCUUGAGUAGGGCACUUAGGACAGGUCCAUGCCCCUACCCUAGGUACGUAGCUUCAUCAUUAGCCCCCGAUUGGAUUGAGGUUUGAGUGGGGAAGGAGUUGGGGAUCUUUCCGACUGGUUCUUCAUGUUAUAUGAACGUCUUGUUUUGGAUCAAUUGUCACGGAUGACGUCGUCAACUUCUUUCAGUCGCCUUGAUCCAUUCUUGGCCUCUUGUCGAGUGAAUUUCUUUACUUGUGAAGUUCCGAGUGAUGGUGUGAAAGGGAUCUUCUGUUUGACGAGUUGUUCUGUGGCCCGCGGAUUUUGCGGGAUUUGAAUUUCGGGAAGCGCGCGGGACGGGGGCGGCCGCAUUAAUCGGAUGGGAUAGGACGGAAGCUCCUCGAUCCCCGUGCCACCUUUUUUGCCAUGUAUCACGCGCGCGCCUGUUGCGAGAUUUGACGGGAUUGCCGGGGCCUACCAGUCAGCCACUCGGAAGCGACCUCUUAUAAGCUGCCGGCUCGGGACCCCCGAACAGUGCUCCUUCACUUUUCCCCCCUUCCUUCACAAGAUCCUCCACCACCUCCGCUCUCACCUUGGUGUCGUAGGUCUGUUCGAGCUUCGUCGGCGAUGAUGGUGAAGGAGAAGACGUCGGCUCUGGAGCGCGCGAAGAAGGCGGCGGUGCAGGGGAAGGGGAAGAAGUCCGCUCGGGGCGGAUCUUCCUCGAGGACUGCUCUGCCCAAGGAUUGGAUCCAGGGCGACUGGAUGCCUCAGCGAUUCGGCGGGAUGAUCUUGAUGAUCUGGUCGAGGGGGGAUUCAUUCCCCACGAAUCUGCGCGUCUUCCGAGGAAAGAAGUCGAACCCCAGCCUCUUGAUGGUGAGUGUGUCCUCCUCACCACCCAUAUCGAUCGCGGAUUCUCUCUGCCUCCUCAUCCUUUUUUCUGGAGCUUCUUGAACUUCUUCGAAGCGCAGCUCCAUCACUUUCCUCCCAAUUCUAUUGUGUAUCUUGCUGCUUUCGUUUCCUUGUGUGAAAACUUCUUGGGUUGCCGCCCCCAUUGGGGACUCUUGAAGCACAUCUUCACUUGCCGCUCUCAGUCGGUCAAGAAGGCCAAGUCGAGUGACGAAUGGACGCAAGUGAUUCAGCUGUGCGGGGGCCUAGCGGUCCAGAUGAGGGGAAAAAGUUCCUUUCCAUCUAUCACUUUUCCCGAGUCAGUCCAUGGGUGGCAGUCGACUUGGUUUUACUGUAAAGACCAGGUGACCCCGGGACAGUCGACUGGGCUUCCCCCUUUUUCUCUGAAUCGAGCACAAAAACCUGCCUCUUUGAAAGUGACGCUGGAGGAAAAGGCGCAAGUCAAGGUGUUGGUCGGUCGAGUGGUUCAGCUUGUCCACGAGGGUGUGACUGGCAUGGACUUGCUGGAAGUCUUCCUUCGGAGGCGUAUCCAACCGCUUCAGGCUCGUGACCACCCGAUGUGGCUGUACUCGGGUCUCGAAGACACCACUCGGAUUCACCCAGAGGAGGUCACUGACGAGAUGUUGGAAGGGUGGCUGUCGAGUAUCACAGGGAACAAGGACAACCCCCGAGGUGCCAGGAGGAUUCCUCCACUCGACCAAUCAUACGAAGUGGACCAGGUCCGACCUUGCGUUUCCGACUGAGAUCUUGCUUUCUUUAUUUGUUCUCUUUGAAUCAGUCGAUUGACUUUUGUCUUAUUUGCUGUCCUCUAGGCCACUACUGAGAUGUACUCGACACCCAAUGGAGCACAGGAGCAGGCCGAGGAAGGAGAGGCGAGCGGAGGCGAAAGUGGAGACGAGGGAGAAGAGUGGGAAUCUGACGGCGAGGAGAGGGGGAUGACGACGAUGGCUCCAGUGAAGAAGAGGAGGAAGAAGUCGAACCUCCCCGCUUGGAACGGCGAUCCAAGCUUACACACGAUCCUGCACGGGAACGUGGUAAGGCGACUGUCCCUGUUGGGCAGUCGUCAAAGCGCCCUCAGACCUCAUCUCUAGCACCGACAAAAAAAUCUCCCAAGCAUCCACGCGCGACGCCGUCCAAGCCGCCCAAGGCUCUGCCCAAGAUGAAGAUGACUGUCCCCACCAUUUCUGGGUAAUAGUAGAAUUUGUUUUCCUUUGUUGAAUGUGACGGACUCUUGGUCGACUCAUUGAAUAAGCUGACUGACUUUCGAAAUUUGCAGUGCUGCCACCUCGGAGAUCUCCGCCAAGGACGAUGAUCAAGAGAUGGAAGACGCAGUUACCUCCAACCCCGGUACGAUUACUGAUGCUCUGCUUUUAGUCGACUGAUGAUUUCUUAUAAUUCCGGUCGAUUGGAUUUUUCUUGUAGCUCCUCCUCAUGUCAUUGACCUCCCUGAUGAUGAUGACGAAGUGCCACUGAGGGCGUGAAGGAACAGGAGGGCGCCGGCUGGCAAGACCCCCACAAACUACUCCGGCGCCUGAGGCCGUAGUCCGGGAGGGUGGUGAUACCACUCGGGCUUCUGUGACCUUUGCUGAACCUCUAACGAGUGUCCGGCCUUCGACGUCGACUGCAAAUCGGCCUUCGCUUUUUGCCACACACCACGUCCCCGAGGACCAAGUGGGUGCCGCUAAAGAGGCUAUACGCCAGGCGGGGAUCAUGAUGGAGCAAGUGAAGGUGGUUCGGGAAGCCAGCCAAGCAGCUUAUGACGCGAGUUCAGCUCUUCAGAGCAACAUCCAGGUCAGUCGAUUCACCGCUUGUUCUGUUAGGAUAUGCUAUCUGAAGAAUCUUUUUUCCGAAGAUCUUUAUAUCUGUACACCCACUGGGUGUGAGUGGGGGCACGCUAAGUGCACCCACUGGGUGUAGUCCUCGAGACUACGGUGGACUGCUGGCAGUCGACUGUAGUCUUUAUAUUGUGUUGCUUUCAUUAAACUUCUUCAUUCGGUCUGGUCAGGCCAUGUCGAAUGGAAUUGUACACGGUCGACUGCGGGCAGUCGAUUUUUUUUGGUCGAACCAGUGGGGGCACGCUGAGUGCACCCACUGGGUGUAGUCCCCGAGACUACUGUCGAAUGUUUUUGAUUCGGCUGUAGUCUUAGAAACGCCAUCAUUGUCUCUUGGUUACUCAAAAGCAACUUAUCUUGGACGUCUGUCGACUGAUUUUUGCAGAAAUCCUGCGAUCUUGUGGCUCGCUACACUGAGUUGGAGAACAAACAGAUCCAGCUCAACCUUGACUUGAAGCUUGCUCAGGAGAACUUGCAGAAGGCGAGGGACGAAGCAAAAGGUAUGGCUGGCGAGCUUUUGUCAACUGUCCUUUCUUUCUGGCCUUCCUCGAUGUUGAUCUCACUUGCUAUUUCGUAGACAAAGUGGAGGAGGCUCUGAAGAAGAAGGAUCAAGACCUUGCCGAAGCUCAGAAGGAGGCCCUGAACAAAAUGAAGCUUGCUGAAGAAAAACUGGCUUCAGUCGGUACUCUUGAAAGGGAAAACUCCAGGCUGAAAACUGCUCUUGACGUGGCUAAUCAAGAGGUCAGCCGUCUGAAGAAAGACAAGAUGGCUUUGAAUGACUAGGCAGGUGAACUGGCGGGGAAGAGGAAUGAUCUGGAGGUUUAUCUCUAUGGACUCGCAAAGAAGCUGUUCGUCAUGCUCGAGGGUAAUUACUCCGGUCUGACUGACUUGCAGUUACCAAACCUGCGUAGAGCCACUGACUUAUCCUUGAAUUGUGUUUACAGAAUUCUGCCAGAACUUUGAAGAGGAGACCAGUCGAGUGGAGAAAGGCUUGGACCCCAUCAAUUCUCCAGUGAAGGACGAGGCUGCUAUGAACGUGCUCCGACUGGAAUCUCGUGUUGCCGGAGUUGUUGACUAUCUUGCUCGGUUGAAGGUUGCGAUGUCGCGGAUCGACAUGUCGCUCUGGCCUAGGAUGACGCUUCAGAAUGACCUCGAGUCCCUGAUGACUCGACUGAAUGAAGUCCCAGGUCGAGUGGUGGAAUGGAAGAAAUCUUCUGCUAGAUGUGGCGCUGAUGUCGCUCUGUCUCUGGUCCGCGUCCACUGCAAGGAGGCGCGAGAAGAAAAGUUGGCCGCCAUCCAAGUUGCCAAUACCAGGAAGCACAACUUUCAAGACUUCAUGGAGACUUUCAUUGCUGCUGCCACUCGCAUUGCAGACGGGAUCGAUUUGGACGAGUUCGUCGCCCCUUCCAGUCCUCCGCCUGAGGAAUAAAAACUUUUAUGCUUCACUUUAAAUUUGCCUCGGAAUGCCGACUGGAUUUUGUCAUCGUUAAACCCUGUCGAGCUGGAGGCUCGAGUACUUCGAUCUGUUGUCUAGGACCUUUGGAUCCUAUCUGAACUUGAUUUAUUGUUGAAUAUCUUCAUGAAUUAUCUGUCGAGUGGAACUUGUUCUUUACUUGAAAUAACUUUGUAUUUGUGGUGCAGCUCCAAAGGAGAAGAUAGCAGUCGAUUUGCACCUCGUCGUCCUUGCGGAUUGGGAUGUGUUCCAUACUUAGGCGAGCACUGGGCUGCAGCUAAGCCCCCGAGUGGGAGGUCUGCUCUCCACUCGGUAGGAUUUUAAAAACUUAGGCGAGUACUGGACUACAGCUAAGCCUCCGAGUGGGGGGUCUGCUCUCCACUCGGUAGGAUUUUUUCAAACUUAGGCGAGUACUGGACUGCAGCUAAGCCUCCGAGUGGGAGGUCUGCUCUCCACUCGGUAGGAUUUUUUCAAACUUAGGCGAGUACUGAACUGCAGCUAAGCCCCCGAGUGGGAGGUCUGCUCUCCACUCGGUAGGAUUUUAAAANNNNNNNNNNNNNNNNNNNNNNNNNNNNNNNNNNNNNNNNNNNNNNNNNNNNNNNNNNNNNNNNNNNNNNNNNNNNNNNNNNNNNNNNNNNNNNNNNNNNNNNNNNNNNNNNNNNNNNNNNNNNNNNNNNNNNNNNNNNNNNNNNNNNNNNNNNNNNNNNNNNNNNNNNNNNNNNNNNNNNNNNNNNNNNNNNNNNNNNNNNNNNNNNNNNNNNNNNNNNNNNNNNNNNNNNNNNNNNNNNNNNNNNNNNNNNNNNNNNNNNNNNNNNNNNNNNNNNNNNNNNNNNNNNNNNNNNNNNNNNNNNNNNNNNNNNNNNNNNNNNNNNNNNNNNNNNNNNNNNNNNNNNNNNNNNNNNNNNNNNNNNNNNNNNNNNNNNNNNNNNNNNNNNNNNNNNNNNNNNNNNNNNNNNNNNNNNNNNNNNNNNNNNNNNNNNNNNNNNNNNNNNNNNNNNNNNNNNNNNNNNNNNNNNNNNNNNNNNNNNNNNNNNNNNNNNNNNNNNNNNNNNNNNNNNNNNNNNNNNNNNNNNNNNNNNNNNNNNNNNNNNNNNNNNNNNNNNNNNNNNNNNNNNNNNNNNNNNNNNNNNNNNNNNNNNNNNNNNNNNNNNNNNNNNNNNNNNNNNNNNNNNNNNNNNNNNNNNNNNNNNNNNNNNNNNNNNNNNNNNNNNNNNNNNNNNNNNNNNNNNNNNNNNNNNNNNNNNNNNNNNNNNNNNNNNNNNNNNNNNNNNNNNNNNNNNNNNNNNNNNNNNNNNNNNNNNNNNNNNNNNNNNNNNNNNNNNNNNNNNNNNNNNNNNNNNNNNNNNNNNNNNNNNNNNNNNNNNNNNNNNNNNNNNNNNNNNNNNNNNNNNNNNNNNNNNNNNNNNNNNNNNNNNNNNNNNNNNNNNNNNNNNNNNNNNNNNNNNNNNNNNNNNNNNNNNNNNNNNNNNNNNNNNNNNNNNNNNNNNNNNNNNNNNNNNNNNNNNNNNNNNNNNNNNNNNNNNNNNNNNNNNNNNNNNNNNNNNNNNNNNNNNNNNNNNNNNNNNNNNNNNNNNNNNNNNNNNNNNNNNNNNNNNNNNNNNNNNNNNNNNNNNNNNNNNNNNNNNNNNNNNNNNNNNNNNNNNNNNNNNNNNNNNNNNNNNNNNNNNNNNNNNNNNNNNNNNNNNNNNNNNNNNNNNNNNNNNNNNNNNNNNNNNNNNNCUGGCUCACCACUCGGUAGGAUUUUUAAACACUUAGGCGAGCACUGGGUUGCAGCUAAGCCCCCGAGUGAGAGUCUGGCUCACCACUCGGUAGGAUUUUUAAACACUUAGGCGAGCAUUGGGCUGCAGCUAAGCCCCCGAGUGAGAGUCUGGCUCACCACUCGGUAGGAUUUUUAAACACUUAGGCGAGCACUGGGCUGCAGCUAAGCCCCCGAGUGAGAGUCUGGCUCACCACUCGGUAGGAUUUUUAAACACUUAGGCGAGCAUUGGGCUGGAGCUAAGCCCCCGAGUGAGAGUCUGGCUCACCACUCGAUAGGAUUUUUUUUACAAACUUAGGCAAAACGGAUUCGUAGCUAAGCUACCCACUGGGGGAUUUCACAUGCAAACAAAGGCGACAGCAAUUAUAGGAAAAAUUGUAACACUCUUGUUUUUUAUAAAUAGACUACAGAAGUUUUUCUUAUUACAUCUCAUCCGAGUGAGAAUUCAAGUGUAAAAGGGGCGGAGCAGUUCCGCAUUCCAAGCUCGUGGCUCAUCGAUCUGGCGACUGAUAUUGUAAAGGUGAUACGCUCCAUUGUGGAGGACUCUGGUGACGAUGAAGGGACCUUCCCAAGUAGGGGCGAGCUUGUGUGGUUUCUGUUGAUCCACUCGGAGGACUAAAUCUCCUUCUUGGAAGGCUCGACUCUUCACAUUUCUGGCAUGGAAUCGACGCAAGUCUUGCUGAUAAAUGGUCGAUCGGAUCAUAGCCAUUUCUCUUUCUUCUUCCAGGAGUUCGACUGCAUCUUGCCGGGCUUGUUCUGCUUCAUCUUCGGUGUAAAGCUCGACUCGUGGCGCAUUGUGAAGUAGAUCGCUCGGCAGGACUGCUUCAGCUCCGUAAACGAGAAAGAACGGAGUUCUUCUAGUUGACCGAUUUGGGGUGGUCCUCAAUCCCCACAGAACUGAUGGAAGCUCGUCGACCCAUGCGCCCGCUGCGUGCUUGAGAUCACGCAUCAGCCGAGGCUUUAGUCCUUUGAGAAUCAGACCAUUUGCCCUUUCUGCUUGUCCAUUCGACUGGGGAUGGGCGACCGAUGCGUAGUCGACUCGUGUGCCUUGAGAGGCGCAAAAAGCUCUGAACUUGUCCAAAUCAAAGUUUGACCCAUUGUCAGUGAUGAUGCUAUGCGGGACUCCAUAUCUGAAUGUUAACUCCCUGACGAAACUGAUAGCAGUGCAAGCAUCAAGAUUCUUGAUAGGCUUAGCUUCAAUCCAUUUGGUAAACUUGUCGACUACCACAAGCACAUGUGUGAAACCGCUCCUGCCUGUUCUCAGUGGACCAACCAUGUCCAGUCCCCAAACAGCGAAGGGCUAGAUGAGUGGAAUGGUCUUCAGGGCUGAUGCAGGCUUGUGCGACAUGUUGGAGUAGAACUGGCACCCUUCACACUUGUCGACUAUCUCUUUUGCCAUUUCGUUCGCUCUUGGCCAGUAAAAUCCCGCUCGGUAUGCUUUAGCCACAAUGGUCCGAGAGGACGCAUGAUGACCAUAGGUCCCCGAGUGGAUAUCAUCAAGGAUUAUCUGACCUUCUUCUGGUGUUAUACACUUCUGACCGACUCUAGUCGCGCUUUCUCUAUACAACUGUCCCUUUAUGACUGUAAAGGCCUUGGAUCGACGGACGACCUGUCGAGCCUCUUCUUCAUCCUCCGGGAGUUCCUUUCUCAGGAUAUACGCGAUGUACGGUAUCGUCCAGUCGGGGGUGAUUGCCAAAACUUCCAUGAUUAGGUCGACCACUGCCAGAAUUUCAACUUCAGUCGGAUCUGUGGCACUCUUUGGCUGCGGGGCUUCAUCUGUAAAAGGAUCUUCUUGGACUGAUGGCGAGUGGAUGUGUUCCAAAAACACAUUUCUAGGGAUGGCUUCUCUCUUGGAGCCUAUCUUUGCCAAAUCAUCAGCCGCUUGAUUUUUCAGUCAGGGGAUGUGAUGAAGCUCUAACCCCUCGAAUUUCUUCUCUAACUUUCUCACUGCAUUGCAAUACCCAGUCAUAGCUGGAUUUCUGACAUCCCACUCCUUCAUCACCUGAUUAACCACCAAAUCUGAGUCGCCAUAGACCAUGAGGCGACGGACGCCGAGUGAAAUGGCCAUGCGCAACCCAUAUAAAAGUGCUUCAUAUUCUGCUUCGUUAUUGGAGGAAUCGAAGUGAAUCUGGAGAACAUAUCUGAGCUUAUCUCCUCAGGGGAAAACCAAUACUACCCCAGCACCGGAACCAUUCAGCAUCUUAGAUCCAUCAAAGAACAUGGUCCAGUGCUCUGAGUGAACUUGAGCCGGAAGUUGCUGUUCGAUCCACUCGGCGACGAAAUCUGCAAUUGCUUGGGACUUGAUAGCUUUCUUUGCCUCAAACUUGAUAUCUAGGGGAAGAAGUUCAAUCGCCCAUUUUGCCACUCGACCAGUUGCAUCUCUGUUGUGCAAAAUCUCUGAUAGCGGAGCGUCGCUGACGAUUGUAAUGGAAUGAUCAGAGAAGUAAUGUGCAACCUUCUUCGUGGUCAUAUAAAUCCCAUAUACAAGCUUCUGGUAGUGAGGAUAUCUUUGCUUUAAAGGAGUCAAAACUUCAGAAACAUAAUAUACUGGGCGCUGAACUUUGAAGGCCUUUCCUUCUUCUUCCCGCUCGACCGUAAGUACUGUACUGACAACUUGUCCUGUGGCUGCAAUGUAAAGCAGCAAAGGCUCCUUGCUGAUUGGGGCAGCAAGCACCGGCUGGGUGGAGAGCAGAGCUUUUAGCUCUGCAAACGCUGCAUCAGCUUCCGGAGUCCACUCGAACUUGUCGGACUUCUUCAUCAGUCGGUAAAGAGGUAAUGCCUUUUCACCGAGACAAGAUAUGAAUCAACUUAAAGUGGCCAAGCAACCUGUAAGCUUCUGAACGUCAUGUACACGCACAUGACGCUUCAUCCGGAGUAUAGUACCAAUUUCUUCAGAAUUGGCGUCGAUUCCCCGUUCGGAAAUGAGAAAACCGAGUAACUUUCCACCUGGAACUCCGAAUGCGCAUUUUGCUGCAUUGAGAUUGAUAUCAUACCCCCUGAGGUUGGCAAAGGUUUCAGCAAGGUCAGUCAGUAGGUCGGAACCUUUGCGUGACUUAACGACAAUAUCAUCCAUGUAUGCCUCCAUGUUCCGACUGAUUUGAGUGAGCAAACACUUCUGAAUCAUCCUCAUGAACAUGGCUCUGGCAUUCUUGAGGCCGAAUGGCAUGGUAACAUAACAGAAACACACGAACGGAGUGAUGAAAGCUGUUUUGAUCUCGUCGGGCCCGUACAGACGGAUCUGAUGGUACCCGGAAUAGGCGUCUAGAAAAGACAAGCGCUCACAUCCCGCAGUCGAGUCGACUAUCUGGUCAAUGCGGGGGAGAGGAAAAUGAUCUUUCGGGCAGGCCCGAUUGAUAUGCUUAAAAUCAAUGCACAUGCGAAGUGACUUGUCCUUCUUGGGGACCAUGACAACAUUGGCGAGCCACUCGGAGUGGUAAAUUUCUCGGAUGAACUCCGCUGCUAAGAGCCGGGCCACCUCCUCGCCAAUGGCCUUCCUCUUCUGGACGGCAGACCGUCGAAGAUGUUCUUUCACAGGUUUAAAUUUUGGAUCGACUCGUAGACGGUGCUCAGCUAGCCCCCUGGGAACUCCAAGCAUGUCAGAAGGCUUCCAUGCGAAGAUGUCCCAGUUCUCACAGAGGAACUGGAUGAGCGCUUCUUCCUAUUUGGAGUCGAGCGUCGUUGAGAUGUGAGUCGGAGCAGCAUUUGGAUCGGUCGGGUGAAUGUGAACUGCCUUCGUUUCACCGGACGACUAAAAAGUUGAUUCUGAAGCAGGCUUCUUAGCUCGUAGCAACUCACUCAGAUCUGCAGUCUUCUGAUAUUCUUGCAGCUCGACCACUGCCAUCUGAGCGUCAGCAAUCUUUGAGCCUUUCUGAAAACACCCUUCUACUUUCUUCCGAUUGCCUGUAACAGUGAUCACACCUUUGGGACCAGGCAUCUUCAAUUUGAGAUACACAUAACAUGGUCGAGCCAUGAACCGUGCAUAAGCUGGCCUGCCCAAAAUAGCGUGACAAGCACUUUGGAAAUCCACAACUUCGAAUGUCAACUUUUCCUUGCGGUAAUUCUUGGAAUCACCGAAAACCACAUCAAGAGCAAUUUGGCCGAGUGACUCGGCUUUCUUCCCAGGAAUGACUCCAUGGAAACUCAUGUUACUGGUACUGAGCCUGGACAUCGGAAUGCCCAUCCCUUUCAAUGUUUCUGCAUACAGUAUGUUCAAACCGCUGCCUCCAUCCAUCAGGACUUUGGUUAGUCGAGUGCCUUCGACAACUGGGUCGACCACCAGAGCUUGCCUCCCAGGGGUGGCAAUGUGCGUAGGGUGAUCAGACUGGUCGAAUGUGAUGGCAGUCUGGGACCACUGCAGAUAAUUGGGUGUUGCCGGAGCAACCAUAUUUACCUCACGGUUAAUAACCUUCAGUCGACUUUUGCUCUCAACAUCAGCAAAAACCAUCAGGGUAGAAUUGACCUGGGGUACCCAUCGUCACUAUCUUCCUUGUCCUCAACUUUGUCCGACUCCUUUUCCUUAUCUUUGGACUGCUUGCCCUGAAACUGCUAGAUCAGAAGCCGACACUGUCGAGUGGUAUGCUUUGGGUAAAUGAGUUUACCCUCUUCAUCUUUCUUGGUGUGGAUGUGACACGGUAGAUCCAAAACAUCAUUUCCAUCUUGGUCUUUAACUUUCUUGGGGUUCCAAGGUCCUUUGGCUUUUCCCUUAAAUUUUCUCUGGGUUACGGCCAGGGCCUCCCCAGGAGCGGCUGGCUCGGCUUUCCGCUUCUGUUUCCGACUGGAAUUUCCUCCGGUUUCCUGGGCGACUGCUUUAUGCUUCCCACUCUGGAGUCGAUCCGCAUCUUCACCAUUAGCGUAUUUGGUGGCAAUCUCCCUCAUCCGAUUCAGGGACAUCUCUCCAGUUCGACCGAACUUCAGAUUCAAUUCUCUGUACUUAACGCCUUCUUUAAAGGCACACACUGCUUGAUGAUCUGGUACAUUUUCAACUGUGUGAUGCAACGUGAUCCACCUCUGGAUGUAAUCCCUCAUAGUUUCAUUCGGUUUCUGCACGCAAGACUGCAAUUCUGUAAGGCCUGCAGGUCGCUUGCAUGUUCCUUCAAAUGUGGUGACAAACACUCGGGAGAGAUCCUCCCAAGUGUAAAUGCUGCUGGGUGCUAACUGAUUCAGCCAUGCUCUGGCCGAGCCUUCUAACAUGAGAGGCAGGUGCUUCAUGGCUACCUCAUCAUUCCCACCGCCAAUCUGGACAGCCACUCGGUAAUCUUCGAGCCAAGUAUCGAGCUUGGACUCACCGGUGAACUUACUAACUCCAGUCGGCAACCUGAAGUUGGUAGGAAUUACCGCGGCUCUGAUGGCUCGACUGAAACACUCCGGCCCUGAAACAUGUACUCUGCUACAGGUAGGCGCAUCUCUGUCGUGGCCUUCUCGGUGAGCUCUAUUCCUGUCGACCAAACCUUGAACAAGAAUGGAUCUCGCAUCAAAGCCUGGUUCCCUAGGGUCAACUGGAAUUCUCCGCCCAACACUAUGAUGGCGCCUGUCAUCCUGCUGUCGAGGCACAUAUGAUCCACUCCUCGGGGGAGGGGUUGGCACUCGACGUCGAUCAUCACGAUCGAGUCGGUGAUCAUACCGAUCAUUCCUUCUGUGCUGAUCAUGCCAGUCUCCACGUCCCUCACGCCUCGGGGGCGAUCUCGGGCUGUGAGCCAACUGGACUAUAUCUGCUGGAACAGAUCGGCUAUGUAUCCUGUUUCGCGACUGAGAAACAGCGGAAUUCUGGUCUCCUGCUGCCCGGAGCAAUGCUCUGAUUUGCAACAAACCUCUGCCAGCCUCUGACUGGGAGGGCUGAAUUGACUCUGCUAAAUUCAGAAUCGGAGUUUGAUAUACCUGCGGGGGCGGAAAGAGAUGACGUCGACUGGAUUCCGGAGCCCGUUGACGUGCUCGCUCAUCGAGUACUCGCUGGAGAUUUUCCAGUCGAGUGCGCUCGGCCAAGUUAGCCAAGCGCGCAUCCUCCAAGGCCUGGGCCUCGGGGGUUUCUCCAACGAUAGGAGUGCGGAGUGCAUCCAUGUUUCGGCGGCGAAGCUCCUCUUGCUGCACUGACGUGAGAGGCUCGGGGAGAUACUCUUCGUGGGGACGCGACGGGUCGCCUCCAUCCGCGCCUCCGUCAGUGCGGGGAAAACCGGGAGGACUAUGUGGCCCAUCGAUCACCAGAACCUCUGCCGCUGGGUCACUGCUGUCGCAUUCGGAUGCGGUCUCUACGGAGCCAGUCGAUAGGUCGAACAGGCCGUAGAGGGAUUCGUCGGGCUCGAUCGCCGCGACUUGUGGGGUGGCCGACUGGCGGGCCACCGCAUGCCUCACCCACCUCUGAAGCCUAGACCGACCGGAGCACUUGCGCCGGUGAGAGACAGGGCGGGGAGAUGCCAUAGGAGCCGACCGAUACUGGGUCGACGGCUGCCGCAAGAGGACACCAUGGACGCAUGCGCGAAAGUGCGUCGCCCCGCGGACGGGGAGCGCGUCGAUGUCAAGUGGAGCCUCCUGAAGCCAAGCAGAUUCGUCGGUGAUGAACGCGAGUGCGCCGAGACGGAUCUCGCGGCCCUCCACCAAAGCUCCACCCGAAACCAUGAUCAAAGAGAUCAGAAAAAUCGCAACUUCUCCAACUAGGCGCUAAGACUCCAGCCCCAAGGUGGGCGCCAACUGUCGUGGUUCUAACCCUGACAGUGAUGUAGGGGGGUAUGUAUGGAGAGGCUAGAUCUUAGCUAUGGAGGAGUUAUAAGCACACGAGGAUUACGAGUUCAGGCCCUUCUCGGAGGAAGUAACAGCCCUACGUCUCGGUGCCCGGAGCCGGUCGACUGAAUUAUGUGUGUAUGAAUAACAGGGGUGCGAACCCUUGAUACUGAGGAGGGGGGUGGCUUAUAUAGAGUUCGCCAGGCCCCUCCAGCCCUCAGUAAUGCAGGGUUUAAAGUACAUUAAGGCUGGGCGUUACUGGUAACACCCCUAAUAAAGUGCUAUGAUGACCAUAAAAGCUACUUAAUGACCGACCGUUUAUGUGCGGAGUGACUUUAGAUCUCCUAGUAGUCGAGUGGUUGGCUUCGUGGUCGAGUGAUAGCGUCGUGGUCGAGUGCCUUGAAUCCGUCGAGUGGGAUACCUCCAAGUCGAUUGAAAGGUGACUUCUUCUAGGGAUGUCCUUGAGUAGGGCACUUAGGACAGGUCCAUGCCCCUACCCUAGGUACGUAGCUUCAUCAAGACCGAUAUUGGUAAUGGACAUACACAGAGAGAUUACAAUCCCAUCUCGGUGAGACCGAGAUCCCUAUCGGUGAAACCGAUUUGCCUAGGGUUUGUGGCAGUGGCUAUGACAUCUGAACUCGGUGGCGCCGGAUAGAGAGAAUCGGUGGGGCCGAGUUUGACUUUUGGUUUAGGUCAUAUGUGGAUGUGGGAAGGUAGUUGAGGGUUUUGGAGCAUAUCACUAAGCACUUUGAGCAAGCAAGCCAUUAAGCAACACCUCAUCCCCUCUUGAUAGUAUUGGCUUUUCCUAUAGACUCAAUGUGAUCUUGGAUCACUAAAAUAGGAAAUGUAGAGUCUUGAUCUUGAAGCUUGAGUCAAUCAUUUGUCCUUAGCAUCUUGAAGGGGUUCCACAUCCUUUAGUCCAUGCCACUUAAUUUGUUGGACUUGUCUAAAACAUACUAGGUAAAAGUAUUAGUUCAACAAGAGAUAUGUUGUCAUUAAUUAUCAAAAUCACCCAGGGAGCACUUGUGCUUUCACUCCUGCUUUCGUUCGUGCUGCUGCUCUGCUCUUGCUCUCGCUUGCGCUGCUGCUGCUGCUGCACGACCUCCAGCACCUACAGGAGUUGCUGCUUUAGCACUCGCUCGCGGUGCUAUUGCACGACUUGCUCUCUGCUAGUGCGUUCCCUGCUCGAGCGUCUGCUGAUUUAGAUCACUGCUUCUCUGCUACUAGUGCUCGAACGCCCUAAACAUCUAUUGCAAUGCUCUGUUACUAGUUCAAUCAGUUUCGAUAGUAAAAUUCAGUUUUGACUGUGAAGUUCAUUUUCUUCAGUUAAGUUCAGAGUGAACAGUACUUACAACAUCUGUCGGAGCGGCCGUGGCGCGGCUGAUGCGUUUUACAUCUAGCACUUUUUGGUGAUGUAUUUUACAUCAUCUAUUGCAGAUGAUAUUAGGGUCCCACUUCAGAUUAACGUUGUAUGUCUUGUCAUGCUUCAGCCUCGUCGCUGUACACCUUAGCGAAGCUGCUCCAACGACGGAACCAUCCAUCACAACGGAGCAGUACCCUCGGCGUCGUUUCCAGAGGCAUCGGAUCUUCUUCCCCGCCUCCGACAGUCACACCAGCAUCAUCACCAUCCUCCACGUCCAACCCAAUGAUGCUGAGGUCCACAAGGCUAUGCCAAAGAGGUUGUACACUCGUCGCAUCACUUUGUUUCUCCAUUCCUCUGUUCUUCCAAUUCAUGUGAGCCAAACACCCAGGUUGACUGAAAUCCUAUGUUUCCAAAUGCUCUGUUUUGCACGUGCAUUCAUAUCCUAUUCCUGUGUUUUUCCUGUCCCUGCGUUUAUAGAAUCCUCCAAUUCUAAGGAGCCCUUACAGAUUGACUUCAUUUUUAGAUAGGCGUCAAAGAAAACUCUGUGUGUUAUGUCCUGCUCCUACCGUGCCGUCAUCCAUCCCACCUGAGGUGCACCAUCACAGAAGCAUUCACUGCAGCAGAGAUCCCCCUAUAGACUUCCUUUCGCCGCCUCAGAUCAUCUUCCCCGUUGCCGGCAGCCACACCAACUGCAUUACCAUCAUCGACUGAGCAGAUGAACCUGAGGACUACACAGUUCCGGAAGAGAGGUCGCAGUCUUUCGUGUUUGCUUACGUUAUACAUCGGUUAUUAUUACCUACUACUUUAUCAUUCAAUCUUGAGUUUUGAAUUGCCCAUGGGUCUCAUAUUGAGCCAGCAACGAAUAGUACCUGUCUACUAUAUGGUUCAUCUGGGGUCUUCUAUGUGGUUCAUGUUGGGUGGGCAACAAACAAUAGAUGAUCCAUUGUCUAUCUUUUUAAACUGAAGCUAUAAUCUACCUGCUAUCAUUAGUUUUGGAUCCAUCCACUCAUUUUCUACCACCAGUCUUGAUUUUUGCAUGCACCCCUUAGGCCUUACAAAAUCUAACUUUUUUUAUUAUGCAUGUCAGAUAUUGUACACAAUCAUACUGAACAUGUAGAGAAAAAGAGAAGACCGUUGCGUGCGAAUAUAAUGUCAUGCAGACGCCGCUCCAUGGGCGAAGUGCCCCCCCCCCUCCUGCAUUUCCAGAUUGUAUUCCAGAGGAAGAUAACUGUUCAGAUGGAGAUUCAGAAGGAGCCGACCACGCUUGUUUACCACCUGAGGUGUUUGCUCUAACCUGGCAUGCUGAUGUUGGUCAUAUCAUGCAUAUGGCGCCUUGCAUUGCUUACAUUAUACAUCUUAUAUGUCAUCAGCUUAGUUUAGAUUUGCUUUGUGUGAAUGCCACCUGUUUGGUUUCUAUAUCAUACUCCCACCAUUCCUAAAUAUGUGUCUUCUUAGAGAUUUCAACAAGUGACUACAUACGGAACAAAAUGAGUGAAUCUACACUCUAAAAUAUGUCUUUAUACAUCCGUAUGUGGUAGUCCAUUUGAAAUCUCUAAAAAGAUAAAUAUUUAGGAACGGAGGGAGUAUAUGGGAAUUAUGCAAUGCCAUCUUCUUUAGCCAGGCAUCAUAUACGUGAAUCAUGCAAUGCUAUCCUGUUUAGCCAGAUCGUAUAUGUGAAUUGUAUCGUGCCAUAUUUUUUGCCAUAAUGUAUUCCAUUUGUCAACAAUGUUUAUACAUUCAUCUACUCUUCCUGUGCAUCAGCCAUUUGAGUCGGUCAUGGCAAAAUCUGGAGUGAAAACAAGGUCUUCUGAGCAGUCAGUGCUACCUGUCGAUGCAGAUUUCUUGUUGGUUAUAGAUAGCUCCUUAGAGGAGGAUUCAGAGAGAGAUGACCAGUCGUAUUCCCCCCCCCCCCGAGGUGCAUGCUCUAACUUGGCUGGGUUAUAUUGCUCAUAUAAUGCAUAUGGUGUCUUGCAUUGCCAUGCCAUCUGCUUAGAUUAGACAUGCUUUGUGUGAAUGCCUCCUGUUUGCUUUCUAUAUCAGAUAUGUGAAUUAUGCAAUGCCAUGUUUUUCAGCCAGUUAUCAUAUAUGUGAAUUAUGCACCGCCAUGGAGCCAGGCAUCAUACAUAUGAAUUAUCUCAUGCCAUCUUUUUUUUUCAUUACGUAUUCCAUUUGUCGACAAUCUGUGUAUAUUGAACUACUCUUCAUGUGUAUCAGCCAUUUGAGCCGGUUAUGGAAAAAUCUGGAGUGAAAACAAGGUCUUCAGAGCAGGCAAUGGUACCUGUUGAAGCAUAUAUCUCGAUGGUUACAGGGAGCUCCUCAGAGGAAGAUUCAGAGACAGAUGACCAGUCCUAUAUCCCACCUGAGGUGUAUGCUCUAAGUUGCAAUGUUUAUAUUUCUCAUAUGAUGCAUAUGGUGUCUUGCAUUGCUUAGUUUAGACAUCAUAUGCACAAUAUUGAAUUUUAUCUGCUUAGUUUACAGAUCAUACAUGCGAGUGCCAGCUGCUUAGUAUAUGAAUCAAUUAUGUCAAUUAUAUCAUGCCAUCCUGUAUACUUAGACAACAUGUAUGUGAAUUAUUUCAUCCCAACCUAUUUUAGAAAGACAUCAUAUAGUUUUGUCAUGUCAUCCUGUUUAGGUACUCAUCAUAUGUUGAAUUAUGCCAUUAUAUCCUGUUAAGUUAUCCAUCAUAUAUCUGAAACUGUGUCAUGCUAUCCUGUUUAGUUAGGCAUCAUAUAUGUGAAAUUGUGUCAUGAUGUCCUGUUUGGUUAGACAACAUAUAUGUGAAUUACCACAUCUGUCUAUCAUACAAUGUCUGUACGUUCAAUUUAUUUUCUUGUUUAUCAGCCAUUUGAAUUGGAGGGGGUGAUGGCAGUAUCUAAGGGAGCAAAAACUCGUUCUUCACAAAAGAUGGUGCUACCCGUCGAUGCAAAUUGAACCAUGCUUGUACUGGCCCACAAACUAGCCCCACCACACAUAAUCGAGACUCUUCCAGAUUGCACACUUACACCGUUGGGCAGAGAACCAGCUACAACCCAUCUAACCGCAACCCCAGCGAAUAGUAACCCACUUAUAGUUGACAAAGCACCAUGUCCACCAUAGAGUACCCCCACACGAGUAGUUUGUAAAGCUGCUGCAGUGCCCAAAGCACGAAGACCACCACAGCUAACCCAAACUCCACGUUUAAAGCAGAAGAGAAACUGUUCUCAGGUCAGAUUCCGUAGCUAUGGUCCAUACUCCUUUGUUGUUGCAUCACUGUAUUUACUCAUACCAACUACUUUCGAAUUUGAAGGAUCCAACUGAAACUCCAAUGGCGCAACAGGUAUGUUUUAAACCUAUUUCUUUAACUAGAUUACUGUUCUAACUUCUUGCUCUAUGUUGAUUUCAGUUUAAGUUGUAUAAACAGUUAUGUUCUCAUGUGAUGCACAUUACAAGUGCUGCCAAUGCUGUGUAGUUUCUCACACUUAUAUUCUGUCUAUGCUGCUGUGUCUUAAAAAUAUAUGAGUUGAACUGUGUCUCUAUCUUUAUUAGGGAACAUAAACUAGAAUGAUAUGGACAAUACAGUGACCAUAGUACAUAGAUUUAUGUUUGUUUCAUGCUGUUAUCCUGUCCACCUUACUACUGAACCAGUUUACCAAAAUGAGUUCCGUAUACUACAAGCUAAACCUGUGAUGUGUCUGCUUGUUUCUCUUGUAGUAUGCAAACAGAAUAUUGGAGAAGAGCACCCCACUAUGCAAUGGUAGAGAAAGUAAUGCAGAUAAGGUUCAAGAUAGUGAGACAACCCUGUUGGUCUCCAAGAAAGGUGAUAAAAACGAUCUUGUAGACAGUGAGAAAACCCCACAGUCCUGCGUUGAUGUAGUGUUCGAGUUACUGGCCAGUACCGCUGGCACAAGCUCUUCGAACUCGCUGCCUGAAUCACUUCGGCUUCUUCAGUCUCAGCUACAAGCUAAAAGGCAUCAGUCAGCUGUGCUGCGGCAAGAAGCCGAAGGACUGAGGAAGUCCCUGCAAAAUUCAGAUGCGUACUUUCUUGUGCAACAGCAAGCGCAGGAGGAUUUAAGCUAAGCAUCUUGCCAGCAUUAUGGGUACCCAGGAUAUUGUUUCUUGAACUCUUCUGAAGUGGUUUCAGUUCUGGACUUGUUUUUCUAUGGCGUUUAUAUGCUGCUUUGUUCCCUAUAUUUGCACUGGUGGCGAACUUUGAUGCCCAGUGGAUGUAAUAUGUGUAAUAGCCGUGAUAGCCUAGCAUAAGUUGCUUGCUUAUUUAUUUCCUUGUUGUCUUGUUUAUUUGUUUGCUUGUAGUCAGUGCAGUUUUUUUUCCGUGGUUUGCUAGUGGCUGCAAUAACCUAUUUUUUAAAACUAGGCCACAAUAACCAUGGGCUAAUAUUUACUAUAGUGACACUGGGCCUCCUACGGGCCAUAGAAACAGUGGGCCUUCUACAGGCCGUAGAAACAGUAGGCCCUCUACGGGCUGUAGAAACAAUGGGCCUUCUACGGGCUGUAGAAACAAUGGGCCUUCUACGGGCCGUAUCAUCAAUGGGCCUUAUGCGGGUCGUAUGAUCGAUUGGCCAAACAUGGGCCAAUAACAUGCCGCAUUAUGGCCGUAAACGGGCUACAGUUGGAAUCGUCCGUUCAUGGGCCGACCAUAACGGGCCAUCGUUAAUAGGCUGUAUUUGAUGACGCUAUGAAAACGGCCCAAUGUAUUAACGGACCAUAAACGGGCCGACUGUAACCACGGGCUGAAUUUGGCCCGCGAGCAGAAAAUGACAGUAAUGGGCCAUAAGUAAACGAAUGCUGGAAAUGAACCCAAGAAUAAAUGGGCUCUAAGAAGGCUGAAAGAUAACACGGGCUAGAAACGGCCCAACAUAAUAACGGGCCGUUAAUGGGUAUAAAGUGAUACACUGUUCAUUACGGGCCAGUUUCACCACGGGCCGUUAAUGGGUGUAAAGUGAUACAUUGUUCAUUACGAGCCAGUUUCACCAUGGGCCGUUAAUGGGUGUAAAGUGAUACACUGUUCAUUACGGGCCAGUUUCACCACGGGCCGUUAAUAGGCCAAGAGUUACAUAGGGCCUCAUAUGGGCCAAAAGACGUCAUGGGCCAUACAUGGGCCAGAAGUGGAAACGGGCUGGAAUCAUAUUGGAUGGCCCAGAUGACGCUACUGGGCCUAAUUCGGAUAUGGCGUAACGGGCCUUGGGUUAGCGGGCUGUAAAUGGGCUAUAUGCGAACAGGCCGUUAACAGGCUUUCCAUGGGCCGGCCCGCCACCUUUUGACCAAGUCAAAUGGGCCAGCCUUUUCACUGGAAUGGGCCUCUAUUGGGCCGUGCCACAUGUCGACGUAUCAUAGGCGCCUUCCGUCCAAUGAGUGGAUGACAUCUGUCCCAAUGAUGAGCCGACACGUGUUUCCUCCAGCCAAUGAUGAUUUUACACGUGGAAAAUUCCCAUUGGCCGGGGCUGUUAACGGGUUAUUAGAUCCAAAACCCGACCAGAUAGCUUAACGGCGUUCCGUUACGGUGGAUGCCACGUGUCGGUCACCCUUGACGAAAGCACUUCUAUGACGCGCGAUUUAUCGUCAUGGAAGUGGACACUUCCGUGAUGAUAAUUUUGGAGAUGUCAUGGAACACUUCUACGACAGCACAAGUAUGACUAUCUUGAUUCUAUCAUAAAUUUGUCAUGGAUGUACAUGCAUGACAGAAAACGUGACCUACUGUGACAAACACGUAUCAUCAUGGAAGUGUAUUUUUUUGUAGUGGAUGAAGACCAAUUCAGGACCUUCCCUAGCCAGGAGGUGAGCCGCAUUGGGGCUCCGGACUUGAAUUCGGGAGCCGCGGCCCAGGUUGCGUCGCGGGGCUCUGUAAUAUAGAACCACAGUUUCUGCCACUCUUUGACGGUCUCCACAAAGGUACCUUUGGGCCAUGUGACGUUGGGCAUCUUGCUCACCAUGGCACCUCCGCACUCUGCGUGUUGGCCAUCCACCACCUUCGACUUCACGUUGAAGAUCUUAAGCCACAGUCCAAAGUGAGGUGGAAUGCGGAGGAAGGCCUCGCACACGACAAUAAAUGCCGAGAUGUUGAGGAAGGAGUUUGGGGCUAGAUCAUGGAAAUCUAGCCCGUAAUAGAACAUGAGUCCACGGACGAAAGGGUGGAGAGGAAAUCCUAGCCCACGGAUGAAGUGGGGGAUGAACACCACCCUCUCAUUGGGCUUCGGGGUAGGGACGAUCUGCCCCUUGGCCGGAAGCCGGUGGGCAAUUUCUUUGGCCAGGUACCCGGCCUCCCGAAGCUUGGUGUUGUCCUUCUCCUUGACGGAGGAGGCCAUCCACUUGCCUUGCCCUCCAGAUCCGGACAUGGUCGAGUGCUUUCUUGAGGUGGAAAGGAUGAGGACUUGGGCGCUGGAGCUCGAGAAUGGGAAGGCAGAGAGAGAAAGCGUGGGUGAAAGAGAGGAAUCCUUAUCUCCUUAUAAAGGCAGUGAAUAUCAAGCGCCUCCCCACUCACCUCAAAACUCUCCUAUUCCCAAGGGCUGUGCAGACGGCACAGUUGGAUUACCCACGCCCGUAUUGAUUUGAAAUCCCGCAAUAAGGGGGCACGAUCUCUGCUUCGACAAGACGUGUCAAUGAAACUGCGUCUCGAAACAUGGAAUGCCAAGAUGAAAACGGUUCGAAAUAAUGACCGGGCAGAGACGUGACGUCACGCUACAAAAGUUGUCAGUGGAUUGGACUCGUGCAAUAUUAUACUCUCUGCGGUUGUGUGUGGUACUUGUGUUGUAGAGCUAGACACGUUCGUUGCGUUCGAAGACUAUUUUGGAGUGUUCAGAAAAGGAACCCGCCUUGCAAUGCCGAAGAUAAUCUACACGCGGGACACCUCGUCAUUGAAGCCUGGUUCAAGGGCUACUGAGGGAGUCCUGGAUUAAGGGAUCCUCGAUGUCCGAACUAUGAUAUGUAGGCCGGACUAAUGGGUUGUGAAGAUACAAUACCGAAGACUCUCUCCCGUGUCCAGAUGGGACUCUCCUUGGCAUGGAAGGCAAGCUUGGCGCCUUGAUAUGAAGAUUCCUUUCUCUAUAACCGACUUUGUACAACCCUAGUCCCCUCCGGUGUCUAUAUAAACCGGAGGGCUUAGUCCAUAGAGGCAAUCAUAACCAUAAUCGUACAUGCUAGACUUUUAGGGUUUUAGCCAUUACGAUCUCGUGGUAGAUCAACUCUUGUAAUACUCAUAUUCAUCAAGAUCAAUCAAGCAGGAAGUAGGGUAUUACCUCCAUAGAGAGGGCCCGAACCUGGGUAAACAUCAUGUCCCCUUUCUCCUGUUACCAUCGACCUUAGACGCACAGUUCGGGACCCCCUACCCGAGAUCCGCCGGUUUUGACACCGACAAUGGUCUCUAUCGCCGAUCGAUUGAUGAUGUUCUUUUAAAGUGUUUGGACGAGAACCAAGCGAAAGUUGCUAUGGGAGAGGUCCAUGAAGGUAUUUGUGGCACUCAUCAGUCGGCUCCCAAGAUGGAAUGGUUACUACGACGUGCUGGGUUUUAUUGGCCGACAAUGGUUAAUGAUUGCUUCCGGUACUAUAAAGGAUGUGAAGCUUGUCAAAAGUUUGGUGAUAUUCAGUUAGCUCCUGCUGCUAUGUUACAUCCUAUUAUCAAGCCGUGGCCUUUUAGAGGUUGGGGAUUGGACUUUAUUGGAGAGAUUCAUCCUUCUUAUUCAAAGGGGCAUCGGUUCGUGUUGGUGGCAACUGAUUAUUUCACUAAAUGGUCUGAAGCAAUACCACUCAAAAAUAUGACGCAUACAGAGGUAAUUCAAUUCAUAACUGAGCAUAUUAUUCAGAGAUUCGGCAUUCGUCAAACAUUAACUACGGACCAAGGUUCAUCCUUUAUGUCACAUCAAGUCAGAGAAUUUGCCGAAUCAUAUAAGAUAAAGUUGCUCAAUUCCUCUCCAUAUGAUGCCCAUACACUGGACAAGCUGAGUCUAGUAAUAAAGUAUUAAUCAAGCUCAUCAAGAAGAAGAUUGAGAAUAAUCCAAGGAGAUGGCAUGAGCUAUUGUCCGAAGCUUUGUGGGCACACAGAAUCUCAAGGCAUGGUGCGACAAAGUUAACUCCAUAUGAGCUUGUAUACGGUCAAGAGGCCGUUUUACCAGUGGAAGUGAAUUUUAAUGCUUUGAGAAUAUCCUAACAAAAUGAUUUAUCGGCAGUGGACUUUUAUAACUUGAUGAUGGACAAUAUUGAUGAGGUCGCCGAUAAAUGAUUGGCUGCUUUGAAGGCCAUAGAGAGAGAUAAGUUGAGGGUGGUUAGAGCUUACAAUAAAAAGGUCAAGUUGAAGAGUUUUCAAGUUGGCGACCUUGUGUGGAAGAUGAUUCUACCAAUUGGUUCGAAAGACAGAAAAUUCAGGAAGUGGUCUCCAAGUUGGGAAGGUCCUUUUAAGAUUACAAGAGUAGUUCCUGAAAACUCAUAUUUGGUGGAAUCCGUACAAGGGACAUUAUUACCUCGAGCUCUAAAUGGAAAAUAUCUAAAGAAGUAUCAUCCAAGUGUGUGGCAAGAAGCCUAGAUAGGCAACGGUCGAUAAAUAACUAUCACCCUUAGCAUAAAUAUGGCUGAUACAUAAUUAUCUCUCUGAGAAAUAUAAAUGGCCGAUGGAGUGUUGACAUCUUCCUUAGAACAAAUACAUUACAAAUUAUUUUUCGGCACGCAAGUUUUGCCAAAAAACAGGGGGGGCAUGUGUUGACACCAGAUUUUGGCAUUGUCAAAAACACAAUUAAGAUGGCCUCAAAUGGAAAAAUGCUCAAAGUGAGAAAGUUCUGUUUAGUCAGAAGAAAAAACUUUGAUGUUUGGAUCAUAGCCAUCCGAUCUCAUCUAUAAGGCCGAAGUUGUGUUCGAAGUACUGAGAUUUUAUAUUCAGAACACUAUUCGGCUGAUUAUGCGCCCAAGACGGCCUCAUAUGGAAAAAUGAUCAACACGUAUUGUCUUCGUCUCGUCGAAAUGGUCGAUUUUGAAACAAAAAUCGUCUUAAUCCAAGGUCAUAUGCAAAAGUUACAGCCAGUACAAGACGCUGCUAUACUGGAUGGCCGGACACUCCGGGGACAACCAUCCGAGUUUUGAUUUUCUCUGUGGAUGGCCGGACACUCCGGAUACGUUUGUCCGGGUUUUGAAUUUCGCUGUUGCGGACUUCGUAAAACAGCCGAAACCCCCUCAAGAUGGCCUCAGAUCAAAAAAACGUUCAACAUGAAAGUUCCUCGCCUCGUCGCAACGGUCAAGAUAGCUUUUGGGCUCUUUUGCAUCCGAGGUCGUUUACUCCCCCAGACAUGGCCUGCAAGGUGCAGCCAGAUUUUACCGAACAAUUUUGGAAAGUUCGGACCAAACAAAUCCGAAUUGGACUAGGGUUUUGGACGUGAAUUGAAGACUUUUCCUUGCACGGGAAAUCCAGCCGCCUCUUAUAUACUUAAGGGAUGACGGCUGAUUGAACAGCAACACACAAUCACAAACACUACAUCUUUUUCAUCUACAUCUUGUCCCUCCCUCGUUCUUGCUCCCUCGUUCUUCGUUAUUCUUCGUGUUGGAGAGCUGAAACCGCGAGGCUCUAGGGGCGGCUUGACCGACCUAGGGCAGCCCAUAGCCUCCGCACUCCCUGACGGGGUCCCUCCCGGGAGUGUAGGGUUUCGGGUCCUCAAGCUCUCGCCGGUCGACCGGCGAAUCACGCUUCCGGUGAGACUCCUUCGACGUGAGCUGCGGUGCACCACCCCCUGCGUCGAGGGUACACGUGGUGUGUUCGUGUGCAAACAAAAUGCCAUGACACUCCAUGCAUGUGUCCAUGCCAUGAGACCAAUAUAUUUGAAAAUUUCUUCUAAUUUACUGCACAUGGAAUUAAAUCGCACACAAGUACACAAAUAUGAUUUUUUGAACCGUUAUGGUUAGCCGUUGCAUGUACAUGUAGUUCUAAUUUGAAUUACGGUCAUUAAAUGGUUAAAAAUCACUUAAAUGUCUUAAAAGGUCAAAUGACCCUUGAAAUUUUCCAAAUUUUCACAUGAGAGUUGUAUUAGUGCACGUUACACGUUGAAAAUAAUUUGAAGGCCGUAAGAGGAAGCUAUCUCACGUUCGUCAUCAAACAUGCAUUGUUUCCUCUCGGAGCCACGAGCCUUCUAGUGAGUUUCUCCGCUUUGUGAGGGGUGUGUGUCCAAACUUUCGUCAAACAGGAAUUUUUUUACCACAUCAUCUUGGUGGCAUGACAUUACAUCAAGCAAGGUUUCAUGUUUUUUUGAUCAUUUUUUAAAUUUUUUGGAAUUAAAAUGUCAUGGCACCCCAUGCAUGUGUCCAUGCCAUGAGACCAAUAUGUUUGAAAAUUCCUUUUAAUUUGCUGCACAUGGAAUUAACUCGUACACAAAUAUGAUUUUUCAAACUAUUAUGGUUAGCCGUUGCAUGUACAUGUAGUUCUAAUUCUAAUUAUGGUCAAUAAUGGCUAGAAAAUCACUUAAAUUUCAUCAAAAGUUCAACCAACCCUUGAAAUUUUCCAAAUUUUCACAUGACAGUUGUAUUAGUGCACGUUACAUGUAGAAAUUUUUUUGAAGGCCGUAAGACGAAGCUAUCUCCCGUUCGUCAUCAAACAUGCAUUGUUCCCUCUCGGAACCACGAGCCUUCUAGUGAGUUGCUUCGGUUUGUGAGGGGUGUGUCUCCAAACUUUCGUCAAACAUGCCAAAAAUUUUACCACAUCAUCUUGGUCACAUGACAUUACAUCAACCAAGGUUUCAUGUAUUUCUGAUCUUUUUUAUUUUUUUGGAAUUUAAAUGCCAUGGCACUCCAUGCUUAAUUUUGUCAUAGCCGUUAGAACAAUAUGUUUGAAAAUUUCUUCCAAUUUACUACACAUGGAAUUAAAUUGCACACAAGUACACAAAAUUUGACUUUUCAAACCAUUAUGGUUAGCUGUUGCAUGUACAUGUAGUUCAAAUUUCAAUUACGGUCAUUACACUACUAGGAAAAGGCUAAUUGCCACUAGUAACAAAUAGUAAUGGCGCAUAUGGCUUAAUCUUAGGUCAAUAUGCUUAAUCUCAAGUCAAAUCGCACUUCGUGGUCAAACUUCCCGGAAGGCCACCCAUCCUCACACUACUCCAGCCCGAGCAUGCUUAACUUCGCAGUUCUAUCCAACCCCAGCACCAACUCACUUAACAGGCACUUGUUGAUAUAUCUAUCAUAUCAAUCCUAUUAAACCUUGUUGAUGUCUAGGACUUUGUUCAUGUUCAUGAGUGUGAUGAAAUUUUGAAAGAUAUUUCAAACUUCCCGGUCAUAUUACGUAUCAUAUUUACAAAAAAGUCCAAAAUUAAUUCAAAAUUAAUUUUUUUUGUUACUAGUGGUGCACCUAGCAAAUGGUGCGCCACUAGUAAGUUUGAAUUUUUUUUCCAUUUCCCCCCCUCUAGAUCUUAAAAGCCCCACAUCUUUCGUUCUGUUAGGUUUUUGGGGAUUCUGAAAAACACCUCUAUCCGUGCUUCACAUAAGAUAAGGGAGGCUAUUCUUCCCCUCUUGCAAAAGCAUAUCCCUCCAGGGCAUCCGACAGUCCGAUGAGUGGGCUGCCGAAUAUAGGGAAGACAUGUUGUGAGAGCGGCGAUCCGCCGCGACCGGUCGUAGACUAGUUCUACCGCAAGGCGGUAUAGUUUUGUUACAAUAUGCUUGAAAUGUAAAAAAAUUCGUUCGAUUUGAAUAAAAAUCAUCCGGUUGGCAUGUAAUUGGUCUGAUUUGUUUAACACCAAUUUGAAAUGUAUGCAGAUAGCAUUGGAUGGCCGGCUCCCACAUCCAUGUCCGCGAACUGCCCCCCUAUCCACGGACAUAUGCGGUGUCUGGUUUGCGGGAGAUGCCCUUACUAGGAUGUACUCUGCAUAAAUAAAUAAAAUCAGGUCGAAUGGUGAAACUAUUUUUGCAAUGUUCUUGCAUUGUCAUGGUAUCUCUAAUGUCAUGCAUCAAACCACCUGUAAACGUCUAUACUCGUUUGGAUUGCACUGUCCGUUUUGUGUCCACGAGCGUCGUCCAUGCAUCCAAAUUCAUGAAAACCAAAAGCAAGCCUGGCGGAGGUUUGCGGAACGUCUGGACAGCAGCCAUGUCGGAUUAUGAUACCCCAGGCCCAUAGACCCCCUCCCUUGAAUCCUCGCUUUUCUCAUUCUGUCCCUUUGUCCUUGUUGUGUAUCCACGUAGUCCGAGGUCCCCGUCCCUGGAAGCAACCCCGGAGAGAUCGAAACACAAUUCUUUUUGUCGCCAAUGAAGCCUCGGCGACUCAAGUCGUGACUCGCCUAAGACGAUGCAGAUCUUCGUGAAGACCCUGACGGGUAAAACCAUCACGUUGGAGGUGGAGGGCAGCGACACGCCGACACCAUGGACAGCGUUAAGGGCAAGGUCUGGGACAAGGAAGGGAUCCCGCCGGACUAGCAGCGGCUCAUCUUCGCCGUGAAGCAAUUGGAGGACGUUCGCUUGCUGGCGACUACAACGUGCACAAGGAGUCGACGCAACACCUGGUGCUCCGCCUCCACAGCAGCACCACCAUCAAGGUCAAGACGCCAACCGCCAAGGAGAUCGAGAUCGACAUUGAACCCACUGACAUGGCCGACAGGAUCCAGGAGUGCGUCGAGGAGAAGGAGGGCAUCCCGCCAGUCCAGCAGAGGCUCAUAUUCGAUGGCAAGCAUAUGGCCGGCGACAAGACAGGCGGCUACGUGCUCCACCUCGUGCUCGCCCUAGGGGGAUGCCUGCUAGAAUUUGGGUCUUACGGUCGCUUGCUUUCCCAUGAGGGUGUAGCUUUGGUUUGAUUUCUUGCUUAUGAUUUUGGGUGUCUAUAAGAUUUUGGUUGGAACCUUUUGAACACUGUUUGAGUCUCUUUUAAAGCAAUAAUGGUUGAGGUUACAUGUACGUACAAUAACAACAAUUAUCUGCACAAUAAUCUUUUCACAUUCGUUCAUAUAUUUUUACCACCAAUCCACUAAAUCAAAGAUAUGAAAAUUUGUUUUGAGCCAAACGUUGCCUCGCCGUUUGAAUAAAGAUACUUGCACUAACCAAUCAAAGAUAUGCAAUUUUUACCGCUAUAAGUCACGGCGCUGACCGACCGAUCAGACGGACGAGAACCACACGGGAAUGCUCUCCGGCAUUCAGUCGUAGAAUGGACCAAUUUUGAUCCAAAAAAAUAGAAUGGACCAAUUUCGCCUCCAGGCUACGGCCUGGUUGACUCUAUAUCUAUAUGGCCGCAGAAAAUGGUUUUUCUUUUGGGUGAAUUUAUUUGUUGGGCCAGUUAAGUUAAUAUAUAACACCAAUAGGUUUUGGGCCGUGUUAUGAAAAUAUUUUUCAGUGUAUUUUCUGCUAUAUUAUGACAAUGUAAAUUAUUUAUGCACUAUUCAAAUGAGAAAUAUGAGCCCAAAUUUAUGUUGAAAGUUACUUUAAUGAUGAGAGAAUUUUAUAAUGUUUUUCCGUGGGUUAUAAUGGACCUAAUUAUGGUAUCGAUCAUUUUAUUCAUCUUUAGUGCUUUCUAAGUUGUUUCAGUUCUUUUUUAUGUUUAUGCAUUGAAAAUAAAUCUAGUAUUAUGCUAAAAUUAUGUUUCAAUUUUUUGAAUACGGUUGAACCAAUUGGAAAUUGUAUUAAAAAUUCAUGUGGCAUUAAUAUUAAUGUCAUUUCAUGGCAAUUUUUUUAAUGAUGAUCACCUUUUAGCAUUAUUUUAAUGUGAAAAUUCAUCUUGUAAAAUGAUAUAUUCACCAUUAUUACUCAGUCACUAAAUUUUCCAAAAAUUAUUAUUUGGAAAAUUUAGUUUAGUGUGCUGUUUAUGUUGAUGCCAUCCUUGUGGUAUUUUUUUAAUGAUGCGAUCAUCAUCAACAAGCACAUGUCACCUUAAGGAAAUGUUAAUUUUCGUGUGGUUUGGUUUUCCACACCGCACCAUGCGGCACAAUAUGUUUGGCUGACAUGCGUAACGGGCAAAAUUAAUGUUUUCUUAUCGUGCAUUUUAUCUUAUUGAAUGCACUGUAGAACUAGAAUGGCGUUGAUGAAAUUAUGGUCGAUUCUCUAAAUUAGCUCGCUCCAGAAUAAGAAUAAUAGAGCGUGACUCGCUCUAUUACUGAAUACUCCCUCCGUCUCAAAAUAAGUGCUUCAACUUUAUUAUAACUUUGUACUAACGUUGGUACAAAAUUUAGACACUUAUUUUGAGACGGAGGGAGUAUAAACUAGCUAUAGUUGGUAAGUUCUUUGUCAAGUGAUUAGAGAUAAGGUUAUGAGGUGAAUAUUCUUUUCCCUGGUUAAAAUUUCAUCAAAAAGGGAGCUGACCUCGACACAAGAAGCCGGUCCAUAAAAGUUACAGUCUCGAAUGUAAGCAGUCCAAUACUGAACAAACACUUGUUUCAAAAACGGCGCGACAAGUCGCGCAGCCACUUCUAGUAACUGUCCAAAUUUCAACGAGACUGUAGCCAAUCUGUUGAAAAUGGAACACAAAAUUUGACGAUGAAAUCCACGUGACUUUUACAACCCCUGCGACCUUUCUGUGUUCCAUCCAAACUCAAACAUGUGAGAGAAAAACAAGAAGCAAGCAAAAGAUGCUCUGCAAUUGCUUACCCAAAGUUGUUAUACAACUAUUGCAGCAGAUAAAAAAUCCCUUAAUUUUAUUAAACAAAAGUCAGCUGAUGUACAAACCAUGCGAACAAUGUAAUCUGCAGAAACUAGUAUUCUUGUAGUGUUAUAUGGGAUCAAACCUGAAUUUUGUUCACAUGUUAUUCGGAAGAUUUACGACAUGUGCUAAACCAAAUAUACUCCGGGUGUGCAGCAAAAUGCAGCAAGUCGCCUGCAUUUUCAUUUUCUGAGUAAACAUGGGUGCAUUAGCAUCGCCAUAUUCAGAAUGAUAGGUGCUAAUGAAAAUGACUGAAACUUAUAGGCCGAGUGUCCGGGCGCAUCAGCAUCACCAUGUUCAGAAUUCAACCUUUGUGAAAACACAAAUUCAUUUUCUGCUGAUGGACUCAAACUUUCAACAGAGUUUCAUCCAAGACACCACAUAUGUGCCAACACCAGAUGCUUCAUCGAAGACUAAGAGAAAUGCAGGUGGCAACGUUAAAGUAGUGUCCAUUGUCGAACACAUUACAGACUAAUGUCACUGCACCACUCACUUCUAUAGUGCUCCCACAUUUCUGAUCAACAACAUAUACUCAUCAGAAAUUCUAUAGUGCUCCCACUCACUUCUUUGGAAAUACAAGUUUCUCAUAAACUUUGUAUAAACCCAAAAUCUUUGAUCAUCCCAUCAAAGCGUACAUUCCAACUCCAAGAUGCUUACUCCAGUCCUUAGAAGGGUUGCUGGAGCUUUGCAUACUUGUUAGCAUCUUUCAGGAUUGACAAAAUCUUCUGGUUGUAUCACAUACAACCUUUCCUCAAGAAAAUCGUCAAGGAAACAAUAUUUUGACAUCCUAUCUGCAAGAUUUCAUAAAUAAUGCAGUACCUGCUAAUAUAAUUCCAACAGACUCUUAGCAUCGCUACGAGUGAGAAAGUCUCAUCGUAAUCAACUCCUUGAACUUGUCGGAAAACAUGUUAACGACAAGUCAAGCUUUCUUAAUGGUGAUACUUACCAUCAUUAUCCGUCUUUCUUUUAAAAUCCACAUGUACCUAACAGCCUUACGACCAUCAAGUAGUUCUUCCAAAGUCUACACUUUGUUUUCAUAUAUGGAUCCUUUCUCGGAUUUUAUGGCCUCGAGCCAUGUAACGCCCUCGAUGCGGCUAUAGCUCCCACGUGUCGAUGCACAACUUAGAGACAUAACCGCAUUGAAAGCAAUGUUGCAAGUUAGGAAAUCAUCACAAACAUCCCAUGUAAUAAAUAAUAAAGGGGAGAUACAUAGUUGGCUUACACUCGCCACGUCACAUCAAAGUACAUAAAUAACAUCCAUCAAACAGACACUCAUGGCCCGACUACGGCGCCAAAAUGGAAAAGAACCCAACAUGUGACAAGGCCCUGAAUCGAACCCCAACUAGGCACCACUACUGAUCAUCCGGAAAAGACACAUAGUAUCGCUGAGAGUCCUCGUCGAACUCCCACUUGAGCUCAUAAUCGUCACCUGGAGCGGAAACACCUGGACCUGCAUCUGGAGUUAUAGUAUCUGUGAGCCACAGGGACUCAGCAAUCUCGCACCCUCGCGAUCAAGACUAUUUAAGCUCAUAGGAAGGAUAGGCAAAUAUAUGUGGAGCUGCAGCAAGCGACUAGCAUAUAUGGUGGCUAACUUAUACGCAAAAGAGAGCGGGAAGAGGAGGCAAUGCGCGAGCGAGAAUCUAGAAGAACAACCUACGCAAGCAUAACUCCAACACCGUGUCCACUUCCCAGACUCCGCCGAAAAGGGGCCAUCACGGUAACACACCCGGUUGAUUCAUUUUAAUUAAGUUUAGUUCAAGUUAUCUACAACCGGACAUUAACAAAUUCCCAUCUGCCCAUAACCGCGGGCACGACUUUCGAAAGUUCAAUCCCUGCAGGGGAGUCCCAACUUAGCCCAUGACAAGCUCUCACGGUCAACGAAGGAAUAGACCUCCACCCAAGACACACCGAUCAGACUCGGUAUCCCCGUACAACAAGACAAUUCGACAGGCCAAAACUAAACCAGCAACACCGCCCGAAUGUGCCGACAAAUCCCGAUAGGAGCUGCACAUAUCUCUUUCUCAGGGCACACUCAGAUUGUCCUAGGUACGGGUAGGCCAGCCCAGAGUUGCCCCUGGUGGCCACCGACAGCUGACAGUUGGACCAACACUCAGAGGAGCACUGGCCCGGGGAGGGUUAAAUAAGAUGACCCUCAGGCUCCGGAAACCCAAGGGAAGAAAAGAAUAGGUGGCAAAUAGUAAAACCAAUGUUGGGCAUUGCUGGCAAAGCUUUAAUCAAGGCGAACUAUCGAGGGGUUCCUAUUAUAACCCAACCGCGUGAGGGACGCUAAAAUCCGGGAACAUAACACCGAUAUGACGGAAACUAGGGCGGCAAGAGUGGAACAAAACACUAGGCGAGAGGCCGAGCCUUCCACCCUUUACCAAGUAUAUAGAUGCAUUAAGAUAACAUAGCAAUAUAAUGAUAUCCCAACAAGUAAAUAAAUGUUCCAACAAGGAACGGCUCCAAUCUUCACCUGCAACUAGCAACGCUAUAAGAAGGGGCUGAGCAAAGCGGUAACAUAGCCAAUCAACGGUUUGCUAGGAACAUGGUGGGUUAGAGGUUCAACAUGGCAAUUGGGAGGCUGACAAGCAAAAGGUAGGCAUCGAAGCAUUGGCAUAGCAAGAGCGAGAAAACUAGCAUAACAAAGAUAGUAGUGAUUUUGAGGGUAUGAUCAUCUUGCCUGCAAAGCUGUCAAAGUUGACUGGAUCCUCAAAGCACACUCAACGGGCUCCUCGGUAUCGAACUCGUCUCUCGGAUCUACCCAAACAACACAAACAAACAACAAAGAUACAAUCAACCACGUGCAAGGACAAACAGAAGAUGCAAAGAUGGUAUGCUAUGCGGGAUGCGAUGCGGGAUGCAAAAUGCAAGACGUUACAGGAAAAACAUGAACCUAGCCUCAACUUGGAAAACCAAGUGUGCCCCUGGAUAGAGGGGAUGAAAUCGCUUGAAAACGAUAUAAAGAUCAUUGGGAUCGGAGCUACGGUUUGGAAAUGGCAAGCGUUUUAAGAUAUGAAGCGGUCUGCGAUAUACAGCAAGUAGGCAUCUAAACGCAACGAAAUGAACAUGCUACAGCCACCAAACAUGACAACAAAAGACAUGGCAGUGAUGUACUCAAGAUGCUUAACAAAACACUAGCACUGAGCCACGGCCAAUUCAUCCAUUAUGAGGUUCAAACAAGCAUGGCAAAAGCGAAUAAGCAAAACAGAUUUCAGACUUAGUGAAAUUAACACUAGUCUGAAAUUUCAGACCACGAUGCUCUCUUCGGAGCAGCAAAACAACAUGAUACAAGACCUGAUCAUGACAAGUAAGAACAUGGCAUGGAGCUACUCAACAAGCUUAACAAAACACCCAAAGUGACCUGGGGCCAAAAGGGUUCACAAAAAUACUCUAACGAGCACACGAACAUAGAUAAAACACAAUCAGUUUUCAGACAGUGAAAACUGAGACAUGCUGAAACUUAACUCACGAAGGCAUGUAAACGAGCUCGAUGCACUCACUACGGUACAAGUCAUGGCAAGGCAAGCAUACAUACAGUAAGAAGACACAAAAUGCUAGCUAGACAUGGCAAGAACAAUGGCAUAGCAUGCAUGGAUCAACUACAAUAGCUCCGGCAAAAUCGCAAAAUAGUUAACAAUCUACCCAAAAUCACAACGAUGCAAAAGUUGAGCUCGAUUGACUCAAACUAGGGUGCACCAAACUAGCAAGUAAAGACAUGGAUGGAUAGAGCAUAACAAGAUUAACAAAAGUCCCUUACUGAUCAUCCUCAAAAGGGGCACGGAUCACUAGGAAACAAGCUGAACAUAAGGCAUCAUGAACUAAAAAUCCCAGACUUAGUGAAAAUCACUGUCCCUGAAAACAGAUUUCUCAGGUGCCCCUCUUUGCAAGCUUGCACAAGUCACCACACACAUCCUAAAAAUGCAUGGGUUGCACCUCUAGAAACAAGACAAAAUGCUUAAUAAAUCAUCUCAAGGACUCACAGGCAUAUCAUGCAUACAUUAAUCAUGGCAAAAAUGACAAAAGUCUAGGAUGAACUAACGGAUCUGACAUUUAACUCACGAUGCCUCCUUCUAGAAGCAUUUCGGGCAUCAAGAUGAACACAAAUGAAAAUGAUGCAAUGGAAUGAAAUGAUGUACUCGUCGAGGCGAAGAUUUUGAUAUAUUAUAUGUCCAAAACGGAGUUACAGAUGCGAAGAUAUCACUGGUCAAAGGUAGCAUAAAAGAUUAAGGGGGAGAGGGAAAAGUCAACCGUCGCUAGGGUUUACUGUAGCACAGAUCUGGAUCGCGCGCGCGGCACUGUUCAUGCACUGUUCAUCGGCGCGGACCUCGAGAACUCCGGUGAGGUGGGCGGCUCCGGCGAGGUCGGCCGGUGGAGAGGGUGGCCGUGGGGGCGGCGGNNNNNNNNNNNNNNNNNNNNNNNNNNNNNNNNNNNNNNNNNNNNNNNNNNNNNNNNNNNNNNNNNNNNNNNNNNNNNNNNNNNNNNNNNNNNNNNNNNNNNNNNNNNNNNNNNNNNNNNNNNNNNNNNNNNNNNNNNNNNNNNNNNNNNNNNNNNNNNNNNNNNNNNNNNNNNNNNNNNNNNNNNNNNNNNNNNNNNNNNNNNNNNNNNNNNNNNNNNNNNNNNNNNNNNNNNNNNNNNNNNNNNNNNNNNNNNNNNNNNNNNNNNNNNNNNNNNNNNNNNNNNNNNNNNNNNNNNNNNNNNNNNNNNNNNNNNNNNNNNNNNNNNNNNNNNNNNNNNNNNNNNNNNNNNNNNNNNNNNNNNNNNNNNNNNNNNNNNNNNNNNNNNNNNNNNGUGGGGGCGAGGGGCGGGCCUCCCGCGGGCCGGCGGGCUUCGGCGGCGCGGCGAAGUGGUCCGUGCCACGUGGCGGCUGGCGAGUGGGCGGGCUGCUGCGGCGGACGCUGUCCAGCCGGGGGCGGACACAUCCGUCGGUGCGGGGAUCUUUUUUUUUAGAACUAGGGUUUCGAGGGGGAAGACGAGAUCCGAAAAUGGAGGGGGUAUAUAUAGGCAUAAGUAGAGCUAGGAGAGUCCAAAUGAGGUGCGGUUUUCGGCCACACGAUCGUGAUCGAACGCUCUAGGACAUGGAGCAGAGUUUGAUGGGUUUUGGGCCAAAAUGGAGGGGUGUUGGGCUGCAACACACACGAGGCCUUUUCGGUCCCUCGGUUAACCGUUGGAGUAUCAAACGAAUUCCAAAUGAUACGAAACUUGACAGGCGGUCUACCGGUAGUAAACCAAGGCUGCAUGACAAGUCUCGGUCCAAUCCAGAAAUGUUUAGUCCCCACACACGAAAGAAAGCUAGAAAUGACCACCGGAGGAGAACGAAGCGCCGGAAUGCAAAACGGACAACGGGGAAAAUGCUCGAAUGCAAGAGAUGAACACGUAUGCAAAUGCAAUGCACAUGAUGACAUGAUAUGAGAUGCAUGAAGAACGAAAACAACACACACGAGACAAAGACCCGAACCCGAGAAAUAAAUAUAACUUAACGCCGGAAACGGCAAGAGUUGGAUACAAAUUUGGAAUGUCGUAUCUGGGGCGUUACAACACUCCACCACUACGAAAAGAUCUCGUCCCGAGAUCUAGGACUGAAAGAACGUCGGGUACUCAGAACGGAGGUGAUCCCCGCGUUCCCAGGUAGCUUCAUGGUCGGAAUGGUGAGACCACUUUACUUUGAGAAAUUUGAUUGACUUGUUGCGGGUCUUGCGUUCAGUCUCUUCAAGAAUAGCAACUGGGUGCUCACGAUAAGAGAGAUCCUCUUGGAGCUCAAUGUCCUCAAAGUUGAUGGUGCGGUCAGGCGUCUUGAAGCACUUUCGAAGCUGAGAGACAUGGAACACAUCAUGAACAUUUGCAAAGUUCGAAGGAAGCUCAAGCUGAUAGGCGAGGUCGCCUCUCUUGCUGACAAUCUUGAAAGGUCCCACGUAUCUAGGGGCAAGAUUCCCUUUGAUACCGAAGCGACGAGUACCUUUCAUAGGAGAGACGCAGAGGUAAACAUGAUCUCCGAUCUCGAAAGCCAAAUCACGGUGCUUACUAUCAUAGUAGCUCUUCUGGCGGGAUUGGGCUGCUUUGAGGUUAUCACGAAUGACUUUGCACAUUUCUUCUGCCUCUGUGAUUAAGUCAUUACCCAGCAGCUGACGUUCACCGGUUUUAGACCAGUUGAGAGGGGUACGGCACUUCCUGCCAUACAGAAUUUCAAAUGGGGCCUUGCCCGAACUUGCUUGAAAACUGUUGUUGUAUGAUAAUUCAGCAUAAGGAAGACAAUCCUCCCACUUCAUGCCGAAGGAGAUCACACAAGCCCUGAGCAUAUCUUCAAGAAUCUGGUUGACACGCUCGACUUGACCGCUUGUUUGAGGAUGGAAAGCAGUGCUGAAACGGAUGUUGGUGCCCAUGGCCUUCUGAAAAGAAUCCCAAAACUUGGAGGUAAAGAUGCUGCCACGGUCUGAAGAUAUCACUUGAGGAAUACCGUGCAGAGAGACAAUUCGAGAGGUAUAGAGUUCCGCCAAUUGAGCUGCAGUGAUCGACUCUUUGAUAGGCAGAAAAUGAGCCACUUUGGUGAGCUUGUCGAUGACGACGAAUAUAGCAUCAUUGCCACGCUUGGACUUUGGAAACCCAGUCACGAAGUCCAUUUCAAUGUGGUCAAACUUCCAUUCUGGAAUGGCAAGAGGUUGGAGGAGACCUGCUGGCCUUUGGUGUUCUGCCUUCACUCUUCUGCAGACAUCACACUCGUUCACGAAUUGAGCGAUCUCGCGCUUCAUUCGAGUCCACCAAUAAGCUUGCUUGAGAUCCUGAUACAUCUUCGUACUCCCAAGGUGGAUGGAGAGGAGAGAAUUGUGAGCCUCGUUCAAGAUCACUUUACGAAGUUCACCUUUGGGUACAACAAUUCGAUCCUCGAAGAAGAGAGUGUCCUUGUCAUCAAGGCGGUAGCACUUGUACUUGGACUGACUCUUGGCAAUCCCAAUCUUCACCUUCUUCACCAUAGCAUCAAGAAGCUGGGCUUGGCGAAUCUGGUCUUCUAAGGUAGGAGAGACUUGAAGGUUGGCGAGGAAACCUUGAGGAACAACUUGCAGAUUCAGUUUGCGGAAAGCUUCACAAAGCUCGGGUUGAUACGGCUUAAGAAUCAGACUAUUGCAAUACGCUUUCCUGCUCAACGCGUCAGUGAUCACAUUUGCCUUGCCUGGAGUAUACUCGAUACUCGGAUUAUACUCUUGAAUCAUUUCGAUCCAUCGAGUUUGCCUGAGGUUGAGAUUAGGCUGCGUGAAGAUGUACUUGAGACUCUUGUGAUCAGUGAAAAUAUCCACUUUUCUUCCCAAUAGAAGAUGUCUCCAAGUCAACAAAGCAUGCACAACUGCCGCCAACUCUAGAUCAUGAGUGGGGUAGUUCUUCUCAUUAGGCUUCAACUGGCGAGAGGUAUAAGCAACAACUUUCUUCUCUUGCAUCAAAACUGCACCGAGACCUUGGAGAGAGGCAUCACAAAAGACCUCGUACGGCUUGGAUUCAUCAGGCGGAGUCAAGACUGGAGCAGUAAUCAACUUCUCUUUCAAAGUGUUGAAAGCAAUAUCACACUCCGGAGACCAAACGUACUUGACGUGCUUCUGAAGAAGAUUUGAGAGGGGCUUCGUGAUCUUAGAAAAGUUUUCAACGAAUCUUCGGCAAUAGCUUGCGAGACCGAGGAAACUGCGGAGUUGCUUCAUGUUCUGAGGAGGUUCCCAAUUCACAAUUGCAGACACCUUCCCAGGAUUCACGGCAAUGCCCUUGGCAGAGAUGAAAACUGAGACAUGCUGAAACUUAACUCACGAAGGCAUGUAAACGAGCUCGAUGCACUCACUACGGUGCAAGUCAUGGCAAGGCAAGCAUACAUACAGUAAGAAGACACAAAAUGCUAGCUAGAAAUGGCAAGAACAAUGGCAUAGCAUGCAUGGAUCAACUACAAUAGCUCCGGCAAAAUCGCAAAAUAGUUAACGAUCUGCCCAAAAUCACAACGAUGCAAAAGUUGAGCUCGAUUGACUCAAGCUAGGGUGCACCAAACUAGCAAGUAAAGACAUGGAUGGAUAGAGCAUAACAAGAUUAACAAAAUUCCCUUACUGAUCAUCCUCAAAAGAGGCACGGAUCACUAGGAAACAAGCUGAACAUAAGGCAUCAUGAACUAAAAAUCCCAGACUUAGUGAAAAUCACUAAGUCCCUGAAAACAGAUUUCUCAGGUGCCCCUCUUUGCAAGCUUGCACAAGUCACCACACACAUCCUAGAAAUGCAUGGGUUGCACCUUUGGAAAGAAGACAAAAUGCUUAACAAAUCAUCUCAAGGACUCACAGGCAUAUCAUGCACACAUUAAUCAUGGCAAAAAUGACAAAAGUCUAGGAUGAACUAACGGAUCUGACAUUUAACUCACGAUGCCUCCUUCUAGCAGCAUUUCGGGCAUCAAGAUGAACUCAAAUGAAAAUGAUGCAAUGGAAUGAAAUGAUGUACUCAUCGAGGCGAAGAUUUUGAUAUAUUAUAUGUCCAAAACGGAGUUACGGAUGCGGAGACAUCACUGGUCAAAGUUAGCAUAAAAGAUAAAGGGGGAGAGGGAAAAGUCAACCGUCGCUAGGGUUUACUGUAGCACAGAUCUGGAUCGCGCGCGCGGCACUGUUCAUGCACUAAUCAUCGGCGCGGACCUCGAGAACUCUGGCGAGGUCGGCCGGUGGAGAGGGUGGCCGCGGGGGCGGCGGCCGGCGACGAGGCGCCNNNNNNNNNNNNNNNNNNNNNNNNNNNNNNNNNNNNNNNNNNNNNNNNNNNNNNNNNNNNNNNNNNNNNNNNNNNNNNNNNNNNNNNNNNNNNNNNNNNNNNNNNNNNNNNNNNNNNNNNNNNNNNNNNNNNNNNNNNNNNNNNNNNNNNNNNNNNNNNNNNNNNNNNNNNNNNNNNNNNNNNNNNNNNNNNNNNNNNNNNNNNNNNNNNNNNNNNNNNNNNNNNNNNNNNNNNNNNNNNNNNNNNNNNNNNNNNNNNNNNNNNNNNNNNNNNNNNNNNNNNNNNNNNNNNNNNNNNNNNNNNNNNNNNNNNNNNNNNNNNNNNNNNNNNNNNNNNNNNNNNNNNNNNNNNNNNNNNNNNNNNNNNNNNNNNNNNNNNNNNNNNNNNNNNNNNNUGGCCCGUGGGGGCGAGGGGCGGGCCUCCCGCGGGCCGGCGGGCUUCGGCGGCGCGGCGAAGUGGUCCGUGCCACGUGGCGGCUGGCGAGUGGGCGGGCUGCGGCGGUGGACGCUGUCCGUCCGGGGGCGGACACGUCCGUCGGUGCGGGGAUCUUUUUUUUAGAACUAGGGUUUCGAGGGGGAAGACGAGAUCCGAAAAUGGAGGGGGUAUAUAUAGGCAUAAGUAGAGCUAGGAGAGUCCAAAUGAGGUGCAGUUUUCGGCCACGCGAUCGUGAUCGAACACUCUAGGACAUGGAGCAGAGUUUGGUGGGUUUUGGGCCAAAAUGGAGGGGUGUUGGGCUGCAACACACACGAGGCCUUUUCGGUCCCUCGGUUAACCGUUGGAGUAUCAAACGAAGUCCAAAUGAUACGAAACUUGACAGGCGGUCUACCGGUAGUAAACCAAGGCCGCAUGACAAGUCUCGGUCCAAUCUGGAAAUGUUUAAUCCCCACACACGAAAGAAAGCUAGAAAUUACCACCGGAGGAGAACGAAGCGCCGGAAUGCAAAACAGACAACGGGGAAAAUGCUCGAAUGCAAGAGAUGAACACGUAUGCAAAUGCAAUGCACAUGAUGACAUGAUAUGAGAUGCAUGAAGAACGAAAACAACACACAUGAGACAAAGAACCGAACCCGAGAAAUAAAUAUAACUUAACGCCAGAAACGGCAAGAGUUGGAUACAAAUUUGGAAAGUCGUAUCUGGGGCGUUACAAGCCAUUCUUGGAAUCCGGGCCCACCAUCGCUUCUCCAUAGCUCGUAGGUUCAUUGUUGUCUAGCAACAUGACUUCCAAGACAUGAUUACGUACCACUCUGAAGUAGUAUGCAUCCUUGUCGUCCUACGAGGUUUUGGUAGUGACUUGAUCCGAAGUUUCAUGAUCACUAUCAUAAGCUUCCACUUCAAUUGGUGUUGGUGCCACGGGAACAACUCCUUGUGCCCUGUUAUACACUAGUUGAAGUAACGGUUCAAUAACCUCAUCAAGUCUCCACCUCCCACUCAAUUCUUUCGAGAGAAACUUUUCCUCGAGAAAGCACCCGAUUCUAGAAACAAUCCCUAUUGCUUUCGGAUCUGAGACAGGAGGUAUACCCAACUAUUUUGGGUGUCCUAUGAACAUGCAUUUAUCCGCUUUGGUUCGAGCUUAUCAGCCUGAAACUUUUUCAAAUAAGCGUCGCAGCCCCAAACUUUUAAGAAACGACAUCUUAGGUUUCUCUGAACCAUAGUUCAUAUGGUGUCGACUUAAAGGGAAUUGUGUGGUGCCCUAUUUAAAGUGAAUGUGGUUGUCUCUAAUGCCUAACCCAUAAACUAUAGUGGUAAUUCGAUAAGAGACAUCAUGGUAUGCACCACAUCCAAUAGGGUGCAGCUAUGGUGUUCGGACACACCAUCACACUAUGGUGUUCCAGGCGGCAUUAGUCGUGAAACAAUUUCCACAAUGUCUUAAUUGUGUGCCAAACUCGUGACUCGGAUAUUCAUCUCUAUGAUCAUAUCAUAGACAUUUUAUCCUCUUGUCACGAUGAUCUUCAACUUCAUUCUGAAAUUACUUGAACCUUUCAAUAAUUCAGACUUUUGUUUCAUCAAGUAAAUAUACUCAUCAUCUACUCAAAUCAUUUGUGUGAAGUAAGAACUUAAAGAUAUCCACUACUUGCCUCAGCACUCAUUGGACUGCACACAUCAAAAUGUAUUACUUCCAACAAGUUGCUUUCUUGUUCCAUCUUACUGAAAAACGAGGCCUUUCAGUCAUCUUGCCCAUCCGGUAAGAUUUGCAUGUCUCAAGUGAUUCAAAAUCAAGUGAGUCCAAAGAUCCAUCAACAUGGAGCUUCUUCAUGCGUUUUAUACCAAUAUGACUCAAAUUGCAGUGCCACAAGUAUGUGGUACUAUCAUUACUAUCUUAUAUCUUUUGGCAUGAACAUGUGUAUCACUACGAUCGGGAUUUCAAUAAACCAUUCAUUUUAGGUGCAAGACCAUUGAAGGUAUUAUUCAAAUAAACAGAGUAACCAUUAUUCUCCUUAAAUGAAUAACUGUAUUGCGAUAAACAUAAUCCAAUCAUGUCUAUGCUUAACGCAAACACCAAAUAACAAUUAUUUAGGUUUAACACCAAUCCAGAUGGUAGAGGGAGCGUGCGAUGUUUGAUCACAUCAACCUUGGAAACACUUCCAACACAUAUCGUCAUCUCACCUUUGGCUAGUCUCCGUUUAUUUUGUAGCCUUUUAUUUCGAGUUACUAACACUUAGCAACUGAACCGGUAUCUAAUACCCUGCUGCUACUAGGAGUACUAGUAAAGUACACAUUUAAUAUAAUGUAUGUCCAAUACAUACUUCUGUCAACCUUGCCAGCCUUCUCAUCUACCAAGUAUCUAGGGUGGUUCUGCUUCAGUGACCGUUCCCCUUAUUACAGAAGCACUUAGUCUCGGGCUUGGGUUCAACCUUGGGUUUCUUCACUAGAGCAGCAACUGAUUUGUCGUUUCAUGAAGUAUCCCUUUCUUGCCCUUGCCCUUCUUGAAACUAGUGGUUUUACUAACCAUCAACAAUUGAUGCUUCUAUUUGAUUUCUACUUUCGCGGUGUCGCGAAUAGCUCAAGGAUCAUAUCUAUCCCUGAUAUGUUAUAGUUCAUCACUAAGCUCUAGUAGCUUGGUGGCAGUGACUUUGGAGAACCAUCACUAUCUCAUCUGGAAUAUCAACUCCCACUCGAUUCAAGCGAUUGUAGUACUCAUACAAUCUGAGCACAUGCUCAACAAUUGAGCUUUUCUCCUUAGUUUGCAGGCUUAGGAAACUUGUCAGAGGUCUCAUACCUCUUGACGUGGGCACUAGCCUGAAAUCCCAAUUUCAGUCCUUGGAACAUCUCAUAUGUCCUGCGAUGUUUCAAAAACGUCUUUGGUGCCUCAAUUCUAAACCAUUUAGCAUUACGCACUAAACUAUCAUGUAGUCAUCAAAACGUGUAUGUCGGAUGUUCGCAACAUCCACAACCGACGCUCGAGGUUCAGCUCACUGAGUGGUGCAUUAAGGGCAUAAUCCUUCUGCGCAGCAAUGAGGACAAUCCUCAGUUUACGGACCUAGUCCAUAUAAUUGCUACUAUCAACUUUCAACUAAAUUUUCUCUAGGAACAUAUCUAAAACAGUAGAACUAAAGCGUAAGCUACGACAUAAUUUGCGAAGUCCUUUUGACUAUGUUCAUGAUAAUUAAGUUCAUCUGAUUAUUUAAUGAACUCCCACUUAGAUAGACAUCCCUCUAGUCAUCUAAGUGAUACAUGAUCUGAAUCGACUAGGCCGUGUCCGAUCAUCACGUGAGACGGACUAGUCAUCAUCGGUGAACAUCUUCAUGUUGAUCGUAUCUUCUAUACGACUCAUGUUCGACCUUUCGGUCUUCUGUGUUCCGAGGCCAUGUCUGUACAUGCUAGGCUUGUCAAGUCAACCUAAGUGUAUUGCGUGUGUAAAUCUGGCUUACACCCGUUGUAUUCGAACGUUAGAAUCUAUCACACCCGAUCAUCACGUGGUGCUUCGAAACAACGAACCUUCGCAAUGGUGCACAGUUAGGGAGAACACUUUUCUUGAAAUUUUAGUGAGGGAUCAUCUUAUUUAAGCUACCGUCGUUCUAAGCAAAUAAGAUGUAAAAACAUGAUAAACAUCACAUUCAAUCAAAUAGUGACAUGAUAUGGCCAAUAUCAUUUUGCUCCUUUUGAUCUCCAUCUUCAGGAUGCCAUGAUCAUCAUCGUCACCGGCAUGACACCAUGAUCUCCAUCAUCAUGAUCUCCAUCAUCGUGUCUUCGUGAAGUUGUCUCGCCAACUAUUACUUCUACUACUAUGGCUAACGGUUAGCAAUAAAGUAAAGUAAUUACAUGACAUUUAUGUUGACACGCAGGUCAUAAAUAAAUUAAGACAACUCCUAUGGCUCCUGCCGGUUGCCAUACUCAUCGACAUGCAAGUCGUGAUUCCUAUUACAAGAACAUGAUCAAUCUCAUACAUCACAUAUAUCAUUCAUGACAUCCUUUUUGGCCAUAUCACAUCACAUGGCAUAUGCUGCAAAAACAAGUUAGACGUCCUCUAAUUGUUGUUGCAAAUUUUUACGUGGCUGCUAUAGGUUUCUUAGCAAGAACGUUUCUUACCUACGCCAAAACCACAACGUGAUAUGCCAAUUUCUAUUUACCCUUCAUAAGGACCCUUUUCAUCGAAUCUGAUCCGACUAAAGUGGGAGAGACAGACACCCGCUAGCCACCUUAUGCAACUAGUGCAUGUCAGUCGGUGGAACCUGUCUCACGUAAGUGUACGUGUAAGGUCGGUCUGGGCCGCUUCAUCCCACGAUGCCGCCGAAUCAAGAUAAGACUAGUAACUGCAAGUAAAUUGACAAAAUCGAUGCCCACAACUAUUGGAAAUAUGCCCUAGAGGCAGUAAUAAAUUGGUUAUUAUUAUAUUUCACUGUUCAUGAUAGUCGUUUAUUAUCCAUGCUAGAAUUGUAUUGAUAGGAAACUCAGAUACAUGUGUGGAUACAUAGACAACACCAUGUCCCUAGUAAGCCUCUAGUUGACUAGCUCGUUGAUCAAUAGAUGGUUACGGUUUCCUGACCAUGGACAUUGGAUGUCGUUGAUAACGGGAUCACAUCAUUAGGAGAAUGAUAUGAUGGACAAGACCCAAUCCUAAGCCUAGCACAAAGAUCGUAUAGUUCGUUUGCUAAAGCUUUUCUAAUGUCAAGUAUCAUUUCCUUAGACCAUGAGAUUGUGCAACUCCCGGAUACCGUAGGAGUGCUUUGGGUGUGCCAAACGUCACAACGUAACUGGGUGGCUAUAAAGGUACACUACAGGUAUCUCCGAAAGUGUCUGUUGGGUUGGCACGAAUCGAGACUGGGAUUUGUCACUCCGUGUAAACGGAGAGGUAUCUCUGGGCCCACUCGGUAGGACAUCAUCAUAAUGUGCACAAUGUGACCAAGGAGUUGAUCAUAGGAUGAUGUGUUAUAGAACGAGUAAAGAGACUUGCUGGUAACGAGAUUGAACAAGGUAUCGGGAUACCGACGAUCGAAUCUCGGACAAGUAUCGUACCGCUAGACAAAGGGAAUUGUAUACGGGAUUGACUGAAUCCUUGACAUCGCGGUUACCGAAGGUUGUUCGGAGUCCCAGAUGAGAUCCCGGACGUCACAAGGAGUUCCGGAAUGGUCUGGAGGUAAAGAUUGAUAUAUAGGAAGUAUGGUUUUGGCCACCGGAAGUGAUCCGGGCAUCACCGGUAGUGUACCGGGACCACCGGAGGGGUCCGGGGGUCCACCGGGAGGGGCCACGAGCCCCGGAGGCAUACAUGGGCCAAGUGUGAGAAGGGACCAGCCCCUAGGUGGGCUGGGGCGCCUCCCCACCAAGGCCCAUGCGCCUAAGGGGAAGAGGGGGCAAACCCUAAGGGCAGAUGGCCCCUAAGGCCCAUGCCUAGUGCGCCUCCCUCUUCCCCUGCCCUUGGCCGCCUCCCAGAUGGGAUCUGGGGGCUGCCGCCACCCCUAGGGAGGGAACCCUAGGUGGGGGCGCAGCCCCUCCCCUCCCCCUAUAUAUACUUGAGGUAUGGGGCUGCCCAACACAUGUGAUUUUGCUCUCCCUGUUGGCGCAGCCCUACCUCUGUCCCUCCUCGUCUCUCGUAGUGCUUGGCGAAGCCCUGCUGGAGUCCCGCGCUCCUCCACCACCACCAUGCCGUCGUGCUGCUGCUGGAUGGAGUCUUCCCCAACCUCUCCUUCUCCCCUUGCUGGAUCAAGGCAUAGGAGACGUCACCGGGCGGUACGUGUGUUGAACACGGAGGUGCCGUCCGUUCGGCACUAGGAUCAUCGGUGAUUUGGAUCACGACGAGUACGACUCCAUCAACCCCGUUCACUUGAACGCUUCCGCUUAGCGAUCUACAAGGGUAUGUAGAUGCACUCUCCUUCCCCUCGUUGCUAGAUUACUCCAUAGAUUGAUCUUGGUGAUGCGUAGAAAAUUUUGAAUUUCUGCUACGUUCCCCAACAGUGGCAUCAUGAGCUAGGUCUAUGUGUAGUUUCUAUGCACGAGUAGAACACAAAGUAGUUGUGGGCGUCGAUAUUGUCAAUUUACUUGACGUUACUAGUCUUAUCUUGAUUCGGCGGCAUCGUGGGAUGAAGCGGCUCGGACCGACCUUACACGUACGCUUACGUGAGACUGGUUCCACCGACUGACAUGCACUAGUUGCAUAAGGUGGCUAGCGGGUGUCUGUCUCUCCCACUUUAGUCGGAUCGGAUUCGAUGAAAAGGGUCCUUAUGAAGGGUAAAUAGAAAUUGGCAUAUCACGUUGUGGUUUUCGUGUAGGUAAGAAACGUUCUUGCUAGAAACCUAUAGCAGCCACGUAAAAACUUGCAACAACAAUUAGAGGACGUCUAACUUGUUUUUGCAGCAUAUGCCUUGUGAUGUGAUAUGGCCAAAAGGAUGUGAUGAAUGAUAUAUGUGAUGUAUGAGAUUGAUCAUGUUCUUGUAAUAGGAAUCACGACUUGCAUGUCGAUGAGUAUGACAACCGGCAGGAGCCAUAGGAGUUGUCUUAAUUUAUUUAUGACCUGCAUGUCAACAUAAACAUUGUGUAAUUACUUUACUUUAUUGCUAAAGUGUUAGCCAUAGUAGUAGAAGUAAUAGAUGACGAGACAACUUCAAGAAGACACGAUGAUGGAGAUCAUGAUGAUGGAGAUCAUGGUGUCAUGCUGGUGACAACGAUGAUCAUGGAGCCUCGAAGAUGGAGAUCAAAAGGAGCAAAAUGAUAUUGGCCAUAUCAUGUCACUAUUUGAUUGCAUGUGAUGUUUAUCAUGUUUUACAUCUUAUUUGCUUAGAACGACGGUAGCUUAAAUAAGAUGACCCCUCACUAAAAUUUCUAGAAAGUGUUCCCCCUAACUGUGCACCGUUGCGAAGGUUCGUCGUUUCGAAGCACCACGUGAUGAUCGGGUGUGAUAGAUUCUAACAUUCGAAUACAACGGGUGUUAACGAGCCUAGCAUGUACAGACAUGGCCUCGGGACACAUGCGAAACACUUAGGUUGACUUGACGAGCCUAGCAUGUACAGACAUGGCCUCGGAACAUGGAAGACCGAAAGGUCGAACAUGAGUCGUAUAGAAGAUACGAUCAACAUGAGAUGUUCACCAUUGAUGACUAGUCCGUCUCACGUGAUGAUUGGACACGGCCUAGUCGAUUCGGAUCAUGUUUCACUUAGAUGACUAGAGGGAUGUCUAUCUGAGUGGGAGUUCAUGAAAUUAAUUUGAUUAGAUGAACUCAAUUAUCAUGAACAUAGUCUAAAUUAUCUUCGCAAAUAUGUUGUAGAUAAAUAGCUCACGUUGUAGCUCCAUGUUUCAAUACGUUCCUAGAGAAAGAUUAAGUUGAAAGAUAUUGUAAGCAAUGAUGCGGACUAGGUCCGUAGUCCGAGGAGUGUCCUCACUGCUACACAGAAGGCUGACGUCUUUGAUGCACCGCUCGAUGUGCAAACCCCUACAACGUCGUCUGUGGAUGUUGUGAACACCUAACAGACACAUUCUGAUGACUACCUGAUAGUUUAGUGCACCAUACUUUAUGGCUUAGAAUCGAGAUUCCAAUGACGUCUUGAACGUCAUAGAACAUAUGAGAUGUUCCAAGAGCUGAAAUUGGGAUUUCAGGCUCAUGCCCGUGUUGAGAGGUGUGAGACCUCUGACAAGUUCUUUUGCCAACAAGAUGGAGGAGAAUAGCUCAGCUAGUGAGCAUGUGCUCAGAAUGUCUGGGUGCUACAAUCACUUAAAUCAAGUGGGAGUUAAACUUCCAGAUAAGAUAGUGAUUGAUAGAGUUCUCUAGCCACUAUCACUAAGCUACUAGAUCUUCGUGAUGAACUAUGACAUGCAAGGGAUGGAAUUGAUCCCGGAGCUGUUCGCGGUGCUUAAGACCGCAAAAGGUAGAAAUCAAGAAGGAGCAUCAAGUGUUGAUGGUUUAACAAGACCAUUGGUUUCAAGAAGGGCAAGGGCUAGAAGGGAAACUUCAUGGAUGGCAAACCAGUUGCCGCUCCAGUGAAGGAACCCAAGGUUGAACCCAAACCCGAGACUAAGUGCUUCUAUUGUAAGGGGAACGGGCACUGGUAGCGGAAUUAUGCAUGGGCCUCCUCUUCAGCAUCUGGUUCAUACUCUGAGUCGCUGCGAUCAUCAGCAGCUCGUGCAUUUUGUGUCGGUUGCACAUUAGAGGCACUAGGGUAUACAAGGCUACGAGCUAAGCUUUUUAUGUCUUUAAGAUACUCCCUCUCUACAGCCUUGCGUUCCACAAUCCUUGCAUCCCUUUCCUUCAAAUACGCCUCACCCUUGCGUUUCUGUUCCGCAAGAUAUUCGCUGCUAUGCAUAUCACUCUCCAGAACUGGUGGCAUGAUUUUAGUAACUGGAGCUGGAAAACAUGACAGAGAGUGAACUUAAUGAAUUGCCAAAAGACCUACUAGCCUACAUUAUCAUCACUACAUGACUCAAAUCUGCUUCAACUUGUUUGGAGGAGUACUUGUAACGUACAUGAUUACAUUAAAUUGUCUCUUGAAACCUGGCCAUCAUUGCUAGUAGACAAAAAAAGCUAAAUUGUGUAAAACAGUUGUAAACACGCAGCUCUCCUAACAAGAGUUCAUGUGUUCCUUUAUACUUAAGCUUAGAAUUGAUGCUUGUAUAAUUUGAGAUGGCAAAUACAUUACUGUAUGAUGCUUUUGAGGGUUGUAGAACAGAUCGAAAUAAAUAACAUACUUGGAAAUAUGGAGCGUCCAGAAUUCAGUUAAACAAGAACAAGUGCAAACUCAUAGACUCAGUCUUUAUUCAAGUUUCAAACAAGUGCAGAGUCGCUCUUUAUUCAGUAUUGAACAAGAAGAAGUGCAGACUCAUAGACUCAGUCUUUAUUCAGUUUCAAACAAGUGCAGAGUCGCUCUUUAUUUAGUUUUGAACAAGAAGAAGUGCAGACUCAGUCUUUAUCUAGAAUUCAAAAUAAAGAACAUACACUGUGAACUCCAUAUGGUAAUAUAUUGUAUCAAGAACAAGAGCAGAGUCAAUCUUUAUUCUGUUAUGAUGAUUGUAGGUGAAGACUUUUAUGGGGUAGCAGAGCCACAAACAGGGACAUGGUCGUUGUAUUACAGGAAAUCUCAUGACAACUGAAUAAAGACCAAGUAAAUCUUACAGAGCUAUUGGAUUUGCCACAUGGUCGUUGUAUUCAGACAUGUAAAGAAGUCUCACACCCGUGGGUGCUUUUAUCCCCCAAAUCGCUUCCCUGAUGAUCCCCUACGUCUAGAGCUUGGGGUUGGGGUAUGACGAGGGCGGGAUAAGAAAUUUACCGUGAGCCGCCGCCGAUUGCUGCAAUCAUUCGGGAAAGAGAUCCGGGUGGGGCGGCCUCCAAUCCACUGUCGCCGGUUGAUGCGGUGGAUCCGUGCUCAGCCGGUCGGGCGGCCUCCUCCAAUCCGCCGUCGUCGGUCGCUGAAAUCAGGGGGGAAUGUAGUGGAGUGCUCACGGGGAUGGUUGAUGUUGGUGGAUCCGAGCUCGGACGGUGGGGCGGCCACCCCCAAUCUGCCGGCCUUGAUCGCCGCAGUCGUGAUGUCGAUUGAAUCUGAUGAGAAAAAUUCCCGGGUGCGCGGUGGUUUUUAGCGGCGCCUGUUCGCCGGGGAAAUAGAAGGAUAAUCUUUGGCUGGGUCUUUGACUGAUGGGACACAGGGUGAAUGCGGGAAAAAUAUAGAAAAGUGGAUGGAAAAUAGUACGUGGGUGGAGGGAAAAGAGUUUUUUUUGCGAGGAGAUGGUGUAUUUUCAUAAUUUAUUUUACUUAAUAUUAUGUAAUUAAUUUAAUUCGAAAUAAGUACAAAAUGAUUAUUAAAAAGUAAAUCUUACAUGAACAAUAUGAUGUGGUAUUUUCCACAUCACAUACUUAAGAUCCCUGUAAAUAAAUAUGUCGAAAAUUGUUUAGAGGGAUCUUAAGUAUGUGACCUGGAAAAAAACAAAAUGCAAAUGAGUGAUUAUUUUAACUGCUUGUGUAAAUAAAAUUGGUAAGUUGGGAUGAUUUUUUUCUUUUUUCUUAGGAAAAAUCUGAUCUACUCCUUUCAAUCAUGGCAGUACAAUGAAUACCAAAAAAAAUCUAGAUUUGUAGACCACCUAGCGAUGACUCCAAGCGCUGAAGCGAGACGAAGGCGCGCCGCUUUCAUCGCCCCUCUAUCACAUCCAUAGCUUCUGGUAAUGCUUAGUGUCGGCAUCUUGCUUUCAUCAUGUUUAAAUUUCAGAGUGAAGUUAAGAAUCAUCAUAACAAUAAGAUCAUGUUCCUACGAUCUGAUCAAAAAGGGGAUUUUCUGAGUUAUGAGUUUGGCAAACACUUAAGACAUUGUGGAAUUGUUUCACAGUUGAAGCCACCUGGAACACCACUGGGUUAUGGUGUGUCCGGACGUCGUAAUCAAACCUUAUGAGAUAUGGUGCGAUCUAUGAUGUCUCUUAUCAAUCUACCGUUUUCAUUUUGAGGUUAUGCGUUAGAGACAGCUGCAUUCACUUUAUAUAGGACACCAUCUAAGUCCGUUGAGACGGCGUCGUAUGAACGUUGGUUUGGCAAGAAACCAAAGUUGUCGUUUCUUAAUGUUUGGGGCUGCGAUGCUUAAGGCUUCAGCCAGAAAAGCUCGAACCCAAAGCGGACAAACACAUCUUCAUAGGAUACCCAAAGGUGACAGUAGGGUAUACCUUCUAUCUCAGAUCUGAGGGCAAAUUGUUUGUCGCUAAGAACGGGUCCUUUCUCGAGAAGGAGUUUCUCUCGAAAGAAUUGAGUGGGAGGAAGAUAGAACUUGAUGAGGUUGUCGAACCUUUACUUCAACCAGAGAGUGAUGCAACACAGAAAGAUGUUUUCUGUGGCGCCUACGUCUGUUGAAUAGGAAGUUAAUGAUAGUGAUCAUGAAGCUUCGGAUCAAGUUGCAAUCGAACCUCGUAGGUCGACAAGGAUAUGUACUACUCCUAAGUGGUAAGGUAAUCAUGUCUUAGAUAUCAUGUUGUUAGACAACAAUGAACCUACGAGCUAUGGAGAAGCGAUGGUGGGCCCGUAUUCUGACAAAUGGUUAGAAGCCAUGAAAUCCGAGAUAGGAUCCAUAUAUCAGAACAAAGUAUGGACUUUGGUGGACUUGCCCAAUGAUCGGCAUGCCAUUGAGAUAAAUGGAUCUUUAAGAAGAAGAUGGACGUGGGCGGUAAUGUUACCGUCUAUGAAGCUCGACUUGUGGGAAAGAGUCUUUUCACAAGUUCAAGGAGUUGACUAUGAUGAGAAUUCUCACCCGUAGCGGUGCUUAAGUCCGUCGGAAUCAUGAUAGCAUUAGCUGUAAUUUUUGAUUAUGAAAUCUUACAGAUGGAUGUCAAAACAAGUUUUCUUACCAGUUUUCGUAAGAAAAGUUGUAUGUGAUACAAUAAAAGGUUUUGUCGAUCCUAAGGAUGCUAAAAGGUAUGCUGGCUCCAGCAAUCCUUCUAUGGACUAGAGCAAGCAUCUCGGAAUCGGAAUAUAUGUUUUGAUGGAGUGAUCAAAGCUUUUAGGUUUAUAAAUUGUUUGCAAGAAACUUGUAUUUACAAGAAAGUGAGUGGGAGCACUACAACGUUUCUAAUAAGUAUAUGUGGAUGACAUAUUGUUGAUUCGAAAUAAUGUAGAAUUUCUGGAAAGCAUAAACGGUUAUUUGAAGAGUUUUUUUCAAAGGAAAGACCUGGAUAAAGCUGCUUACAUAUUGGGCAUCAAGAUCUAUAGAGAUAGAUCAAGACGCCUGAUGGUACUUUCAAAGAACGCACACCUUGACAUGUUUUUGAAGGAGUUCAAAAUAGAUCAGUCAAAGAAGGGGUUCUUACCUGAGUUGUAAGGUGUGAAGUUGAGUAAGACUGAAACAUUGACCAUGGCAGAAGAAAGAGGAAGGACGAAAGGUCAUCCCCUAUGCUCUUGUCAUGGGCUCUAUAUGGUAUGCCAUGCUGAAGUACCACACCUAUUGUGUGACUUGCCACAUGUCUCGCAAGAGGGUACAAAGGUGAUCUAGGAGUGGAUCAUCAGAUAGCAGUCAAAAUUAUCCUUAGAGGAAUAAGGAAAUGUUUCUCGGUUAUGGAGGUGAUAAAGAGUUCGACAUAAAGAGUUACAUCGAUGCAAGCUUAACACCUAUCCGGAUAGCUCUGAGUAGAGAUAUCGGAUACGUAUAAUGGAGCAAUAAUUUGGAAUAGCUCCAAGUGGAACGUGGUAGCAGCAUCUACGAUAUAAAGUUUUGCGAAUACAUAGGGAUCUGAAUAUGGCAAGACCCAUUGACUACAACCUCUCUCACAAGCAUAACAUGAUCAAACCCAGAACUCUUUGAGUGUUUAUCACAUAGUGAUGUGAACUAGAUCAUUGAGUCUAGUAGACUCUUGGAUGUGGGUCACAUGGCGAUGUGACCUGUGAGUGUUAAUCACAUGGCGAUGUGAACUAGAUUAUUGACUCUAGUGCAAGUGGGAGACUGUUGGAAAUAUGCCCUAGAGGCAAUAAUAAAUUGGUUAUUAUUAUAUUUCAUUGUUCAUGAUAGUCGUUUAUUAUCCAUGCUAGAAUUGUAUUGAUAGGAACUCAGAUACAUGUGUGGAUACAUAGACAACACCAUGUCCCUAGUAAGCCUCUAGUUGACUAGCUCGUUGAUCAAUAGAUGGUUACGGUUUCCUGACCAUGGACAUUGGAUGUCGUUGAUAACGGGAUCACAUCAUUAGGAGAAUGAUGUGAUGGACAAGACCCAAUCCUAAGCCUAGCACAAAGAUCGUAUAGUUCGUAUGCUAAAGCUUUUCUAAUGUCAAGUAUCAUUUCCUUAGACCAUGAGAUUGUGCAACUCCCGGAUACCGUAGGAGUGCUUUGGGUGUGCCAAACGUCACAACGUAACUGGGUGGCUAUAAAGGUACACUACAGGUAUCUCCGAAAGUGUCUGUUGGGUUGGCACGAAUCGAGACUGGGAUUUGUCACUCCUUGUAAACGGAGAGGUAUCUCUGGGCCCACUCGGUAGGACAUCAUCAUAAUGUGCACAAUGUGAUCAAGGAGUUGAUCAUGGGAUGAUGUGUUACGGAACAAGUAAAGAGACUUGCCGGUAACGAGAUUGAACAAGGUAUCGGAUACCGACGAUCGAAUCUCGGGCAAGUAUCAUACCGUUACACAAAGGGAAUUGUAUACAGGAUUGACUGAAUCCUUGACAUCAUGGUUCAUUCGAUGAGAUCAUCGUGGAGCAUGUGGGAGCCAACAUGGGUAUCCAGAUCCCGUUGUUGGUUAUUGACCGGAGAGUUGUCUCGGCCAUGUCAGCAUGACUCCCGAGCCCGUAGGGUCUACACACUUAAGGUUCGAUGACGCUAGGGUUAUAGGGAAAGUAUGUACGCGGUUACCGAAUGUUGUUUGGAGUCCCGGAUGAGAUCCCGGACAUCAUGAGGAGUUCCGGAAUGGUCCGGAGGUAAAGAUUGAUAUAUAGGAAGUAUGGUUUUGGCCAUCGGAAGUGUUCCGGGCAUCACCGGUAGUGUACCGGGACCACCGGAGGGGUCCGGGGGUCCACCGGGAGGGGCCACGAGCCCCGGAGGCAUACAUGGGCCAAGUGUGAGAAGGGACCAGCCCCUAGGUGGGCUGGGGCGCCUCCCCACCAAGGCCCAUGCACCUAAGGGGAAGAGGGGGCAAACCCUAAGGGCAGAUGGGCCCUAAGGCCCAUGCCUGGUGUGCCUCCCUCUUCCCCUCCCCUUGGCCGCCUCCCAGAUGGGAUCUGGGGGCUGCCGCCACCCCUAGGGAGGGAACCCUAGGUGGGGGCGCAGCCCAUCCCCUCCCCCUAUAUAUACUUGAGGUAUGGGGCUGCCCAACACAUGUGAUUUUGCUCUCCCUGUUGGCGCAGCCCUACCUCUCUCCCUCCUCGUCUCUCGUAGUGCUUGGCGAAGCCCUGCUGGAGUCCCGCGCUCCUCCACCACCACCACGUCGUCGUGCUGCUGCUGGAUGGAGUCUUCCCCAACCUCUCCUUCUCCCGUUACUGGAUCAAGGCGUAGGAGACGUCACCGGGCUGUAUGUGUGUUGAACACGGAGGUGCCGUCCGUUCGGCACUAGGAUCAUCGGUGAUUUGGAUCAUGACGAGUACGACUCCAUCAACCCCAUUCACUUGAAUGCUUCCGCUUAGCGAUCUACAAGGGUAUGUAGAUGCACUCUCCUUCCUCUCGUUGCUAGAUUAUUCCAUAGAUUGAUCUUGGUGAUGCGUAGAAAAUUUUGAAUUUCUGCUACGUUCCCCAAGAACAACUACUUUGUGUUCUACUCGUGCAUAGAAACUACGCAUAGACCUAGCUCAUGAUGCCACUAUUGGGGAACGUAGCAGAAAUUCAAAAUUUUCUACGCAUCACCAAGAUCAAUCUAUUGAGUAAUCUAGCAACUAGGGGAAGGAGAGUGCAUCUACAUACCCUUGUAGAUCGCUAAGCGGAAGCGUUCAAGUGAACCGGGUUGAUGGAGUCGUACUCGUCGUGAUCCAAAUCACCGAUGAUCCUAGCGCCGAACGGGGCACCUCCGUGUUCAACACACAUACGGAACGGAGACGUCUCCCACGCCUUGAUCCAGCAAGGAGGAGGGAGAGGUUGAGGAAGAGAGUCCAACAGCAGCACGACAGCGUGGUGGUGAUGGAGUGGCAGUUCUCCGGCAGGGCUUCGCCAAGCUCACGCGGAGGAGGAGAGGUAUUGGAGGAGAGGGGCUGCGCCAGGUUCAAGGGGGUGGCCGCCCUCCCACCCCUCCACUAUUUAUAGGUGGGCAGAGAGGGGGCCGGCCCCCCUAGAUCCCAUCUAGGGUUGGGGGCGGCGGCCAAGGGGGGGAGGAGUGCCUCCCGAGUCAAGUGGAGGCCCUCCCCCUUAGGGUUUCCCCUCUCCCAUGCGCAUGGGCCUUGGGGGGGCUAGUGCCCUUGGCCCAUUAAGGCUAGGGCGCCCCCCUACAGCCCAUGCUGCUUUAUUGGACAUGGUGGAACAUUUUCCGGACCUCCGGACCCCUCCGGAAUCCUUCGGAACCUUCCGGAAGCUUCCCGGUACAAUACCGGAAAAAACUGAACUUUUCCCGGAACCCGAACAACAACUUUCCAUAUAUAAAGCUUUACCUCCGGACCAUUCCGGAACUCCUCGUGAUGUCCGGGAUCUCAUCCGGAACUCCGAACAACAUUCGGUAAUCACAUACAAGUCUUCCUAAUAACCCUAGCAUCAUCGAACCUUAAGUGUGUAGACCCUACGGGUUCGGGAACCAUGCAGACAUGACCGAGACAACUCUCCGGCCAAUAACCAACAGCGGGAUCUGGAUACCCAUGUUGGCUCCCACAUGUUCCACGAUGAUCUCAUCGGAUGAACCACGAUGUUGAGGAUUCAAUCAAUCUCGUAUUCAAUUCCCUUUGUCCAGCGGUAUUGUACUUGCCCGAGAUUCGAUCGUCGGUAUCCGAUACCUUGUUCAAUCUCGUUACCGGCAAGUCUCUUUACUUGUUCCGUAACACAUCAUCCCGUGAUCAACUCCUUGGUCACAUUGUGCACAUUAUGAUGAUGUCCUACCGAGUGGGCCCAGAGAUACCUCUCCAUCACACGGAGUGAAAAAUCCCAGUCUCGAUUCGUGCCAACCCAACAGACACUUUCAGAGAUACCCGUAGUGCACCUUUAUAGCCACCCAGUUACGUUGUGACGUUUGGUACACCCAAAGCAUUCCUACGGUAUCCGGGAGUUGCACAAUCUCAUGGUCUAAGGAAAUGAUACUUGACAUUUGAAAAGCUUUAGCAUACGAACUACACGAUCUUUGUGCUAGGCUUAGGAUUGGGUCUUGUCCAUCACAUCAUUCUCCUAAUGAUAUGAUCCCGUUAUCAACGACAUCUAAUGUCCAUGGUCAGGAAACCGUAACCAUCUAUUGAUCAACGAGCUAGUCAACUAGAGGCUUACUAGGGACACGGUGUUGUCUAUGUAUCCAUACAUUUAUCUAAGUUUCCUAUCAAUACAAUUCUAGCAUGGAUAAUAAACGAUUAUCAUGAACAAGGAAAUAUACUAAUAACUAAUUUAUUAUUGCCUCUAGGGCAUAUUGCCAACACACACACACACACACAUGAAUCCUCGCUUUUCUCACUUUGUCCCUUCGUCCUUGUUGUGUAUCCGCGUAGUCCGAGGUCCCCGUCCCCGAAAGAAACCUAGAAGAGAUCGAAACACAACUCUUUUCGCCGCCAGUGAAGCCUCGAUGACUCAAGUCGCGACUCGCCUAAGACGAUGUAGAUCUUCGUGAAGACCCUGACAGGUAAAACCAUCAUGCUGGAGGUGGAGGGCAGCGACACCGUGGACAGCGUCAAGGGCAAGGUCUAGGAUAAGAAAGGGAUCCCGCCGGACCAGCAGCGGCUCAUAUCUUCGCCGAGAAGCAGCUGGAGGACGGUCGCUUGCUGGCAACUACAACGUGCACAAGGUGUCGACACAUCACUUGGUGCUCUGCCUCCGCAACGGCACCACCAUCAAGGUCAAGACACCCACCGCCAAGGAGAUCGGGAUCAACAUCGAGCCCACGGACACGUCCGACAGGAUCAAGGAGCACGUCGAGGAGAAGGAGGGCAUCCCGCCCGUCCAGCAGAGGCUCAUCUUCGAUGGCAAGCAGAUGGCCGCCGACAAGACAGUGCAAAAGUACAAGGUCAAGGGCAGCUACGUGCUCCACCUUGUGCUCGCCCUCAGGGGCGGUGCCUGCUAGAAUUUGGGUCUUACGGUCACUCGCUUUUCCAUGAGGGUGUAGCUUUGGUUUUUUUUCUUGCGUAUGAUUUUGGUUGGAACUUUUUGAACAGUGUUUGAGUCUCUUUAAAGCCAUAAUGUUUGAGGCCAGGUUACAUGUACGUACAAUCACAACAGUUGUCUGCACAAUAAUCUUUUCCCAUCCGUUCAUAUAUUUUUACCACCAAUCCACUAAAUCGAAGAUAUGAAAAUUUGUUUUGAGGCAAACGUUGCCUCGCCAUUUGAAUAAAGAUACUUGCACUAACCAAUCAAAGAUAUGCAAUUUUUUACCGCUAUAAGGCACGGUGCUGACCGUCCGACUGGAUCGGACGGACGAGAACCACGCGGGAAUGCUGUCCAGAAUUCAGUCGUAGAAUGGACCAAUUUUAACCCGCAAAAAAAUAGAAUGGACCAAAUUCUCCUCCAGGCUACGGCCUGGUUGACUCUAUAUCUAUGGUCGCACAAAAUGGUUUUUCUUUUGGAUGAAUUUAUUUGUUGGGCCAGUGAAGUUAAUGUUGGGGAACGUAGUAAUUUCAAAAAAAUUCCUACGCACACGCAAGAUCAUGGUGAUGCAUAACAACGAGAGGGGAGAGUAUGAUCUACGUACCCUUGUAGAUCAACAACGGAAGCGUUGACACAACGUAGAGGAAGUAGUCGUACGUCUUCUCGAUCCGACUGGUCCAAGCACCGUUACUCCGGCACCUCUGAGUUCUUAGCACACGUACAGCUCGAUGACGCUCCCCGGGCUCUGAUCCAGCAAAGCUUCGGGGAUGAGUUCCGUCAGCACAACGGCGUGGUGACGAUGAUGAUGUUCUACCGACGCAGGGCUUCGCCUAAGCACUACAACGAUAUGAUCGAGGUGGAAUAUGGUGGCAGGGGGCACCGCACAUGGCUAAGGAACGAUCACGUGGAUCAACUUGUGUGUUCUACGGUGCCCCCCUGCCUCCGUAUAUAAAGGAUCCAAGGGGGGGUGCGGCCGGCCUAGAGGAGGGCGCGGGAGGAGUCCUACUCCUACCGGGAGUAGGACUCCCCUCCCCGUUCCUUGUCCAACUAGGAGAGGUGGAGGGAGAGAAGGAAAGCGGGGGCGCCGUCCCUCCCUCCUUGUCCAAUUCGGACUAGGGGGAGAGGGGGCGCGCGGCCUGCCCUGGCAGUCCCUUCCUCUUCUCCACAUUAGGCCCAUAAGGCCCAUUAACCCCCCGGGGGGUUCCGGUAACCCCCCGGUGCUCCGGUUUUAUCCGAAACUUCCCCGGAAUGCUUCCGGUGUCCGAAUAUAGUCAUCCAAUAUAUCAAUCUUUAUGUCUCGACCAUUUCGAGACUCCUCGUCAUGUCCGUGAUCACAUCCGGGACUCCGAACUAACUUCGGUACAUCGAAAUGCAUAAACUCAUAAUAACUGUCAUCGUAACUUUAAGCGUGCGGACCCUACGAUUCAAGAACAAUGUAGACAUGACUGAGACAAAUCUCCGGUCAAUAACCAACAGCGGGACCUGGAUGCCCAUAUUGGCUCCUACAUAUUCUAUGAAGAUCUUUAUCGGUCAGACCGAUAACAACAUACGUUGUUCCCUUUGUCAUCGGUAUGUUACUUGCCCGAGAUUCGAUCGUCGGUAUCCAAUACCUAGUUCAAUCUCGUUACCGGCAAGUCUCUUUACUCAUUCCGUAAUACAUCAUCUCACAACUAACAUAUUAGUUGUAAUGCUUGCAAGGCUUAUGUGAUGUCCAUUACCGAGAGGGCCCAGAGAUACCUCUCCGACAAUCGGAGGGACAAAUCCUAAUCUCGAAAUACGCCAACCCAACAUCUACCUUUGGGGACACCUGUAGAGCACCUUUAUAAUCACCCAGUUACGUUGUGACGUUUGGUAGCACACAAAGUGUUCCUCCUGCAAACGGGAGUUGCAUAAUCUCAUAGUCAUAGGAACAUGUAUAAGUCAUGAAGAAAGCAAUAGCAACAUACUAAACGAUCGGGUGCUAAGCUAAUGGAAUGGGUCAUGUCAAUCAGAUCAUUCAACUAAUGAUGUGAUCUCGUUAAUCAAAUAACAACUCUUUGUUCAUGGUUAGGAAACAUAACCAUCUUUGAUUAACGAGCUAGUCAAGUAGAUGCAUACUAGUGACAUUCUGUUUGUCUAUGUAUUCACACAUGUAUCAUGUUUCCGGUUAAUACAAUUCUAGCAUGAAUAAUAAACAUUUAUCAUGAUAUAAGGAAAUAAAUAAUAACUUUAUUAUUGCCUCUAGGGCAUAUUUCCUUCAGUCUCCCACUUGCACUAGAGUCAAUAAUCUAGAUUACAUAGUAAUGAUUCUAACACCCAUGGAGCCUUGGUGCUGAUCAUGUUUUGCUCGUGGAAGAGGCUUAGUCAACGGGUCUGCAACAUUCAGAUCCAUAUGUAUCUUGCAAAUCUCUAUGUCUCCCACCUGGACUAGAUCCCGGAUGGAAUUUAAGUGUCUCUUGAUGUGCUUGGUUCUCUUGUGAAAUCUGGAUUCCUUUGCCAAGGCAAUUGCACCAGUAUUGUCACAAAAGAUUUUCAUUGGACCCGAUGCACUAGGUAUGACACCUAGAUCGGAUAUGAACUCCUUCAUCCAGACUCCUUCGUUUGUUGCUUCCGAAGCAGCUAUGUACUCCGCUUCACAUGUAGAUCCCGCCACGACACUUUGUUUAGAACUGCACCAACUGACAGCUCCACUGUUUAAUACAAACACGUAUCCGGUUUGCGAUUUAGAAUCGUCUGGAUCAGUGUCAAAGCUUGCAUCAACGUAACCGUUUACGAUGAGCUCUUUGUCACCUCCAUAUACGAGAAACAUAUCCUUAGUCCUUUUCAGGUACUUCAGGAUGUUCUUGACCGCUGUCCAGUGAUCCUCUCCUGGAUUACUUUGGUACCUCCCUGCUAAACUUAUAGCAAGGCACACAUCAGGUCUGGUACACAGCAUUGCAUACAUGAUAGAGCCUAUGGCUGAAGCAUAGGGAACAUCUUUCAUUUUCUCUCUAUCUUCUGCAGUGGUCGGGCAUUGAGUCCUACUCAACUUCACACCUUGUAACACAGGCAAGAACCCUUUCUUUGCUUGAUCCAUUUUGAACUUCUUCAAAAUCUUUUCAAGGUAUGUGCUUUGUGAAAGUCCAAUUAAGCGUCUUGAUCUAUCUCUAUAGAUCUUUAUGCCUAAUAUGUAAGCAGCUUCACCGAGGUCUUUCAUUGAAAAACUCUUAUUCAAGUAUCCCUUUAUGCUAUCCAGAAAUUCUAUAUCAUUUCCAAUCAGUAAUAUGUCAUCCACAUAUAAUAUCAGAAAUGCUACAGAGCUCCCACUCACUUUCUUGUAAAUACAGGCUUCUCCAAAAGUUUGUAUAAACCCAAAUGCUUUGAUCACACUAUCAAAGCGUUUAUUCCAACUCCGAGAGGCUUGCACCAGUCCAUAAAUGGAUCGCUGGAGCUUGCACACUUUGUUAGCUCCCUUUGGAUCGACAAAACCUUCCGGUUGCAUCAUAUACAACUCUUCUUCCAGAAAUCCAUUCAGGAAUGCAUUUUUGACAUCCAUCUGCCAAAUUUCAUAAUCAUAAAAUGCGGCAAUUGCUAACAUGAUUCGGACAGACUUAAGCAUCGCUACGGGUGAGAAGGUCUCAUCGUAGUCAAUCCCUUGAACUUGCCGAAAACCUUUUGCGACAAGUCGAGCUUUGUAGACAGUAAUAUUACCGUCAGCGUCAGUCUUCUUCUUGAAGAUCCAUUUAUUCUCAAUUGCUUGCCGAUCAUCGGGCAAGUCAACCAAAGUCCAUACUUUGUUCUCAUACAUGGAUCCCAUCUCAUAUUUCAUGGCUUCAAGCCAUUUUGCGGAAUCUGGGCUCACCAUCGCUUCUUCAUAGUUCGUAGGUUCAUCAUGAUCUAGUAGCAUGACUUCCAGAACAGGAUUACCGUACCACUCUGGUGCGGAUCUCACACUGGUUGAUCUACGAGGUUCAGUAGUAUCUUGAUCUAAAGUUUCAUGAUCAUCAUCAUUAGCUUCCUCACUAACUGGUGUAGGUGUCACUGAAAUAGUUUUCUGUGAUGUACUACUUUCCAAUAAGGGAGCAGGUACAGUUACCUCGUCAAGUUCUACUUUCCUCCCACUCACUUCUUUCGAGAGAAACUCCUUCUCUAGAAAGGAUCCAUUCUUAGCAACGAAUGUCUUGCCUUCGGAUCUGUGAUAGAAGGUGUACCCAACAGUCUCCUUUGGGUAUCCUAUGAAGACACAUUUCUCCGAUUUGGGUUCGAGCUUAUCAGGUUGAAGCUUUUUCACAUAAGCAUCGCAGCCCCAAACUUUAAGAAACGACAACUUUGGUUUCUUGCCAAACCAUAGUUCAUAAGGCGUCGUCUCAACAGAUUUUGAUGGUGCACUAUUUAACGUGAAUGCGGACGUCUCUAAAGCAUAACCCCAAAACGAUAGCGGUAAAUCUGUAAGAGACAUCAUAGAUCGCACCAUAUCUAAUAAAGUACGAUUACGACGUUCGGACACACCAUUACGCUGUGGUGUUCCGGGUGGCGUGAGUUGCGAAACUAUUCCACAAUUUUUCAAAUGUACACCAAACUCGUAACUCAAAUAUUCUCCUCCACGAUCAGAUCGUAGAAACUUUAUUUUCUUAUUACGAUGAUUUUCAACUUCACUCUGAAAUUCUUUGAACUUUUCAAAUGUUUCAGACUUAUGUUUCAUUAAGUAGAUAUACCCAUAUCUGCUUAAAUCAUCUGUGAAGGUGAGAAAAUAACGAUAUCCACCACGAGCCUCAACAUUCAUCGGACCACAUACAUCUGUAUGUAUGAUUUCCAAUAAAUCUGUUGCUCUCUCCACAGUACCGGAGAAUGGCGUUUUAGUCAUCUUGCCCAUGAGGCACGGUUCGCAAGUACCAAGUGAUUCAUAAUCAAGUGAUUCCAAAAGUCCAUCAGUAUGGAGUUUCUUCAUGCGCUUUAUACCGAUAUGACCUAAACGGCAGUGCCACAAAUAAGUUGCACUAUCAUUAUCAACUCUGCAUCUUUUGGCUUCAACAUUAUGAAUAUGUGUAUCACUACUAUCGAGAUUCAUCAAAAAUAGACCACUCUUCAAAGGUGCAUGACCAUAAAAUAUAUUACUCAUAUAAAUAGAACAACCAUUAUUCUCUGAUUUAAAUGAAUAACCGUCUCGCAUCAAACAAGAUCCAGAUAUAAUGUUCAUGCUCAACGCUGGCACCAAAUAACAAUUGUUUAGGUCUAAUACUAAUCCCGAAGGUAGAUGUAGAGGUAGCGUGCCGACCGCGAUCACAUCGACUUUGGAACCAUUUCCCACGUGCAUCGUCACCUCGUCCUUUGCCAGUGUUCGCUUAAUCCGUAGUCCCUGUUUUGAGUUGCAAAUAUUAGCAACAGAACCAGUAUCAAAUACCCAGGUGCUACUGCGAGCUCUAGUAAGGUACACAUCAAUAACAUGUAUAUCACAUAUACCUUUGUUCACCUUGCCAUCCUUCUUAUCCGCCAAAUACUUGGGGCAGUUCUGCUUCCAGUGACCAGUCUGCUUGCAGUAGAAGCACUCAGUUUCAGGCUUAGGUCCAGACUUGGGUUUCUUCUCUUGAGCAGCAACUUGCUUGCUGUUCUUCUUGAAGUUCCCCUUCUUCUUCCCUUUGCCCUUUUUCUUGAAACUAGUGGUCUUGUUGACCAUCAACACUUGAUGCUCCUUUUUUUAUUUCUACCUCCGUGGCUUUCAGCAUUGCGAAGAGCUCGGGAAUAGUCUUAUUCAUCCCUUGCAUAUUAUAGUUCAUCACGAAGCUCUUGUAGCUUGGUGGUAGUGAUUGGAGAAUUCUGUCAAUGACGCAAUCAUCUGGAAGAUUAACUCCCAAUUGAAUCAAGUGAUUAUUAUACCCAGACAUUUUGAGUAUAUGCUCACUGACAGAACUGUUCUCCUCCAUCUUGCAGCUAUAGAACUUAUUGGAGACUUCAUAUCUCUCAAUCCGGGCAUUUGCUUGAAAUAUUAACUUCAACUCCUGGAACAUCUCAUAUGCUCCAUGACGUUCAAAACGUCGUUGAAGUCCCGAUUCUAAGCCGUAAAGCAUGGCACACUGAACUAUCGAGUAGUCAUCAGCUUUGCUCUGCCAGACGUUCAUAACAUCUGGUGUUGCUCCAGCAGCAGGCCUGGCACCCAGCGGUGCUUCCAGGACGUAAUUCUUCUAUGCAGCAAUGAGGAUAAUCCUCAAGUUACGGACCCAGUCCGUGUAAUUGCUACCAUCAUCUUUCAACUUUGCUUUCUCAAGGAACGCAUUAAAAUUCAACGGAACAACAGCACGGGCCAUCUAUCUACAAUCAACAUAAACAAGCAAGAUACUAUCAGGGACUAAGUUCAUGAUAAAUUUAAGUUCAAUUAAUCAUAUUACUUAAGAACUCCCACUUAGAUAGACAUCCCUCUAAUCUUCUAAGUGAUCACAUGAUCCAAAUCAACUAAACCAUAACCGAUCAUCACGUGAAAUGGAUUAGUCUUCAAUGGUGAACAUCAUUAUGUUGAUCAUAUCUACUAUAUGAUUCACGCUCGACCUUUCGGUCUCCGUGUUCCGAGGCCAUAUCUGCAUAUGCUAGGCUCGUCAAGUAUAACCCGAGUAUUCUGCGUGUGCAAAAACUGGCUUGCACCCGUUGUAGAUGGACGUAGAGCUUAUCACACCCGAUCAUCACGUGGUGUCUGGGCACGACGAACUUUGGCAACGGUGCAUACUCAGGGAGAACACUUCUUGAUAAUUUAGUGAGAGAUCAUCUUAUAAUGCUACCGCCAAUCAAAGCAAGAUAAGAUGCAUAAAAGAUAAACAUCACAUGCAAUCAAUAUAAGUGAUAUGAUAUGGCCAUCAUCAUCUUCUGCCUGUGAUCUCCAUCUCCGAAGCACCGUCAUGAUCACCAUCAUCACCGGCGCGACACCUUGAUCUCCAUCGUAGCAUCGUUGUCGUCUCGCCAAUCUUAUGCUUCCACGACUACCGCUACCGCUUAGUGAUAAAGUAAAGCAUUACAUCACGAUUGCAUUGCAUACAAUAAAGCGACAAUCAUAUGGCUCCUUCCAGUUGCUGAUAACUCGGUUACAAAACAUGAUCAUCUCAUACAAUAAAAUUUAGCAUCAUGUCUUGACCAUAUCACAUCACAACAUGCCCUGCAAAAACAAGUUAGACGUCCUCUACUUUGUUGUUGCAAGUUUUACGUGGCUGCUACGGGCUUAAGCAAGAACCAAUCUCACCUACGCAUCAAAACCACAACGAUAGUUUGUCAAGUUGAUGCCGUUUUAACCUUCGCAAGGACCGGGAGUAGCCACACUCGGUUCAACUAAAGUUGGAGAGACUGUCGCCCGCAAGCCACCUAUGUGCAAAGCACGUCGGGAGAACCGGUCUCGCGUAAGCGUACGCGUAAUGUCGGUUCGGGUCGCCUCGUCCAACAAUACCGCCGAACCAAAGUAUGACAUGCUGGUAGGCAGUAUGACUUAUAUCGCCCACAACUCACUUGUGUUCUACUCGUGCAAAUAACAUCAAACCAUAAAACCUAGGCUCGGAUGCCACUGUUGGGGAACGUAGUAAUUUCAAAAAAUUUCCUACGCACACGCAAGAUCAUGGUGAUGCAUAGCAACGAGAGGGGAGAGUAUGAUCUACGUACCCUUGUAGAUCAACAACGGAAGCGUUGACACAACAUAGAGGAAGUAGUCGUACGUCUUCUCGAUCCGACCGAUCCAAGCACCGUUACUCCGGCACCUCCGAGUUCUUAGCACACGUACAGCUCGAUGACGCUCCCCGGGCUCCGAUCCAGCAAAGCUUCGGGGAUGAGUUCCGUCAGCACAACGGCGUGGUGACGAUGAUGAUGUUCUACCGACGCAGGGCUUCGCCUAAGCACUAUAACGAUAUGAUCGAGGUGGAAUAUGGUGGCAGGGGGCACCGCACACGGCUAAGGAACGAUCACGUGGAUCAACUUGUGUGUUAUAGGGUGCCCCCCUGCCUCCAUAUAUAAAGCAUCCAAGGGGGGUGCGGCCGGCCUAGAGGAGGGCACAGGAGGAGUCCUACUCCUACCGGGAGUAGGACUCCCCUCCCCGUUCCUUGUCCAACUAGGAGAGGUGGAGGGAGAGAAGGAAAGCGGGGGCGCCGUCCCUCCCUCCUUGUCCAAUUCGGACUAGGGGGAGAGGGGGCGCGCGGCCUGCCCUCGCAGCCCCUUCCUCUUCUCCACAUUAGGCCCAUAAGGCCCAUUAACCCCCCGGGGGGUUCCGGUAACCCCCCGGUGCUCCGGUUUUAUCCGAAACUUCCCCGGAAUGCUUCCGGUGUCCGAAUAUAGUCAUCCAAUAUAUCAAUCUUUAUGUCUCGACCAUUUCGAGACUCCUCGUCAUGUCUGUGAUCACAUCCGGGACUCCGAACUAACUUUGGUACAUCAAAAUGCAUAAACUCAUAAUAACUGUCAUCGUAACUUUAAGCGUGCGGACCCUACGGUUCGAGAACAAUGUAGACAUGACUGAGACAAAUCUUCGGUCAAUAACCAACAGCGGGACCUGGAUGCCCAUAUUGGCUCCUACAUAUUCUACGAAGAUCUUUAUCAGUCAGACCGCAUAACAACAUACGUUGUUCCCUUUGCCAUCGGUAUGUUACUUGCCCGAGAUUCGAUCAUCGGUAUCCAAUACCUAGUUCAAUCUCGUUACCGGCAAGUCUCUUUACUCGUUCCGUAAUACAUCAUCUCACAACUAACAUAUUAGUUGUAAUGCUUGCAAGGCUUAUGUGAUGUGCAUUACCGAGAGGGCCCAGAGAUACCUCUUCAACAAUCGGAGUGACAAAUCCUAAUCUCGAAAUACGCCAACCCAACAUCUACCUUUGGAGACACCUGUAGAGCACCUUUAUAAUCACCCAGUUACGUUGUGACGUUUGGUAGCACACAAAGUGUUCCUCCGGCAAACGGGAGUUGCAUAAUCUCAUAGUCAUAGGAACAUGUAUAAGUCAUGAAGAAAGCAAUAGCAACAUACUAAACAAUCGGGUGCUAAGCUAAUGGAAUGGGUCAUGUCAAUCAGAUCAUUCAACUAAUGAUGUGAUCUCGUUAAUCAAAUAACAACUCUUUGUUCAUGGUUAGGAAACAUAACCAUCUUUGAUUAACGAGCUAGUCAAGUAGAGGCAUACUAGUGACAUUCUGUUUGUCUAUGUAUUCACACAUGUAUCAUGUUUCCGGUUAAUACAAUUCUAGCAUGAAUAAUAAACAUUUAUCAUGAUAUAAGGAAAUAAAUAAUAACUUUAUUAUUGCCUCUAGGGCAUAUUUCCUUCAGUUAAUAUAUAACACCAAUAGGUUUUGGGCCGAGUUAUGAAAAUGUUUUUCCAGUGUAUUUUCUGCUAUAUUAUGAAAAUAUAAAUUAUUUAUGCACUAUUCAAAUGAGAAAUAUGAGCCCAAAUUUAUGUUGAAAGUUACUUUAAUGAUGAGAGAUUUUUAUAAUGUUUUUCCGUGGGUUAUAAUGGGCCUAAUUAUGGUAUCAAUCAUUUUAUUUAUCUUUAGUGCUUUCUAAGUUGUUUCAGUUCCUUUUAUGUUUAUGCAUUGAAAAUAAAUCUAGUAUUAUGCUAAAAUCAUGUUUGAAUUUUUUGAAUACGGUUGAACCAAUUGGAAAUUGCAUUGAAAAUUCAUGUGGCAUUAAUGUUAAAUGUGAUUUCAUGGCAAUUUUUAAUGAUGAUCACCUUUUAGCAUCAUUUUAAUGUGAAAAUUCAUCUUGUAAAAUGAUAUAUUCACCAUUAUUACUCACUCACUAAAUUUUCCAAAAAAUAUUAUUCGGAAAAUUUAGUUUAGUGUGUUGUUUAUGUUGAUGUCAUCAUUAUCAACAAGCACAUGCCACCUAAGGAAAUGUUGAUUUUCGUGUGGUUUGGUUUUCCACACCCCACCAUGCGGCACAAUAUGUUUGGCCUGCAUGCCUAACGGGCAAAAUUGAUGUUUUCUGAUGGUGCAUUUUAUCUUAUUGAAUGCACUGCACAACUAGAAUGGCGUUGAUGAAAUUAUGGUCGAUUCUCUAAACUAGCUCGCUCCAGAAUAAGUAUAAUUGAGCGUGCUCAAAAUAAGUGCCUCAACUUUAUUAUAACUUUGUACUAACGUUAGUACAAAGUAUAGGCACUUAUUUUAGGACGGAGGGAGUAUAAACUAGCUACAGUUGGUAAGUUCUUUGUCAAGUGAUUAGAGAUAAGGUUAUGAGGCGAAUAUUCUUUUCCCUGGUUAAAAUUUCAUCAAAAAGGGAGCUGACCUCGACACAAGAAGCCAAUCCAUAAAAGUUACAGUCUCGAAUGUAAGCAGUCCAAUACUGAACAAACACUUGUUUUAGAAACGGCGCGACAAGUCGCGCAACCGCUUCUAGUAAGUACACUACCCUUCAACUGUCCAAAAUUUCAACCAGACUGUAGCCAAUCUGUUGAAAAUGGAACACAAAAUUUGACGACGAAAUCCACGUGACUUUUACAACCCCUGCGACUUUUCUGUGUUCCAUCCAAACUCAAACAUGUGAGAGAAAAACAAGAAGCAAGCAAAAGAUGCUCCGUAAUUGCUUACCGGAAGUUGUUAUACAACUAUUGCAGCAGAUAAAAAAUCUCUUAAUUUUAUUAAACAAAGGUCAGCUGAUGUACAAAGCAUGCCAACAAUGUAAUCUGCAGAAACUAGUAUUCUUGUAGUGUUAUAUGGGAUCAAACCUGAAUUUUGUUCACAUGUUAUUCGGAAGAUUUACGACAUGUGCUAAACCAAAUAUACUCCGGGUGCGCAGCAAAAUGCAGCAAGUCGCCUGCAUUUUCAUUUUCUGAGUAAACAUGGGUGCAUUAGCAUCGCCAUAUUCAAAAUGAUAGGUGCUAAUGAAAAUGACUGAAACUUAUAGGCCGAGUGUCCGGGCGCAUCAGCAUCACCAUGUUCAGAAUUCAACCUUUGUGAAAACACAAAUUCAUUUUCUGCUGAUGGACUCAAACUUUCAGCAGAGUUUCAUCCAAGACACCACAUCUGUGCCAACACCAGAUGCUUCAUCUAAGACUAAGAGAAAUGCAGGUGGCAACGUUGAAGUAGUGUCCAUUGUCGAACACAUUACAGACUAAUGUCACUGCACCACUUAUCAAACAGUUUCGGAAUAUUAGAACCGUGAUGCCAACGCAAAUAGGUUUCUUAUUAUACUGUCUGGAGAACAAACCAAGUUUAGCUAGUAGAAACACAACAACUGCUUGGUUUUCUUGAACCCAUAUAUCAGUGGAAGGAAUUGGGUUCUAAUGUGCCGCAGUCAUACCCAAAAUAUACAAUACUUGUGCCCUGUUUUAGGGCAACCCAAAACAAAAUUCAGCAACUUUUGGUUUUUGGGCAACUGUUUUGGCCGAAGAGGGACUUCAUCAAAUUCAUACUGACACAGAUUUUGUUAGAUCUGGUAUAGGAGGCACUGCGGUGGCUGUAUGCAUGGACUCUUCUGGGAAUUACUUGCGAUCAUGUACGCUAGUAAUUCAUGGCAUGAGAGAAGUUUCAACUCUAGAGGUAUCGCUUGCAGGGAAGCUCUAUCUUUGGCGGAUGAUCUUCUACUUCACAAUUUUCUAGUGGCUACUGAUUCUAAGCAGGUGGCUAAUGAUAUCAACAUGGGCUGCACUGGUAUUCAUGGUCUGAUUGUAGCUGAGAUUAAGUUAAGGACAACCAAAUUUAAUUGUAGUUUUUGUUUCUGAGAGUCAGGCCUUGAAUAGAGAAGCCCAUUUACUAGCCAAGCUUUUUGAUUCUUUAGAUUGUGGUAGACAUGUCUGGUUGGGACAGCCUCAUGAUCACAUUUAUUUUCCCAGUUUUGUGAACUAUGAAUAACAAACUUUGGUGGUUCUUAAAAAAUGAAGUUGCUGGAGCCGUUUUUUGCCCUCCAAGUAGUCAAAAAGCGACUGAGAUGCUCUGACUGAGCACGAACAACACUAUGUACAGAUACCAGAACCAGUGUACCCCAAAUGGCUAGGAUUGUCAGGUAAUAGUACUGAAACAUGUUAACCAGAAACAUGUAAAGAUACCCUAAACAGUUCAACAGUGUCCACGUACAACUCACUCUAGACUGUUGACCGGGUCUUGGCCCAUUCCUCAGACACAACUUUUUGACAAACUUUAU
rnacentral:lncRNA from 1 species